AACACUUUCUGGAAAUCUGUAUUUUCAAAAUUACUUUGAAUUUUGUAUUGAAACUUCAAAAACUCAAAACACCAAAGUUGUACAUCUUGACAAGAUCUACAACUUUUCUUUUGAACUCCAUCUCAAAUUUUGCUUGGUUUUUAAAUUGUGCAAAAGGGGGCAAUUCUAGGGUUCAAAAAUCAGGGUUUUCCCCCCUAAUCUUUCGGAAAUCUUUCACCCUAGGGUUUUAGCAACCAACACAAGCAUCCAAACACAAUAUAAACACACUUUAAUUCCCUAAGCGCAUUCAACUAAAUUAAACUUGUUUUAUGUUAUUGCAUCAGGGUGUGCUUAACAAAUAUGCUGUGCAAUGCUAAUGAUGACAUGAUCCAAAUUUUAGUAACCGUAACAUCGGGGAUGUUACAACUUAAAAGCACCGAACGCCUUGCCAAGAGGUAAACUUCGUAGUUAUCCUUUUCCCUUCAAUUAUUUUGUUUAGUUAAUCAGGUUCAUAUCAUCUCGAAAUAAAAUAAAAAUGUUAAAAAUAGUAAGCCCCAUGUGAGUAUGCUCAUGGCAUAAAACCCAUAGGUACAUUCACUGUGGUGGCAUAAAAUAAAUAUGUUUACAUCUUACAAUAAAAAUAUAAAAAUAAUAAGUGCAUGAUCCUACUAAAUAAAUAACAUUUAUUGAGGAGGCUCAACAUGAUAAAGGCUAGAUAUUUAUGCUAACACUUAACCAGUUCCACAAAGCUUUGUUGUCUAUUUGAGCUCCAUAGAAUUCAAGGAUCAAAGAAGACUAGCAGACGGAGGACAUCCUAAUCGCUGUCAGGGUGCUGCCGACAUUCAAAUACACCUCCGCCACCUACUAGCUACAUCAGAAGAAAUUAUGUCAAAAUCCAGCUUGGGGGAGAGCACCCCCAUUUAUCCAGCUAAGUGUUUCUACUCACGUUUAUACUUUACUCAAAUAAUAAAAAGAUGCAUAAUCAUAAAAAACCCAAAUAAAGAUUUUGUGCUUUUAUAUAUAUCUUUGCUUAGUUUGCUAAAUAAAUAAAUAAAUAAAGUUUGCUAUGAACCCUCAUGAUAAGCUCUCACAUGGAAAUAAUGAAUAGUUGCUCUGCCAUGACUAGUUCUUAAAAUUGAAAUCUCUCUCAAGUUUAGGCAUAACUGUUAUAAUUUAAACCUGCUCUAAACCUGAACUUGUGGGAAGAGUACUUGAUCUAAAGUCUAAGUCGUUAACGGAUAUGAUAUGGGAGGGUUGAGCUGCUGUUUAUCUGUUCCUAGAGAUGAUAGAAUUCUGGAGAAUUUUAUCUUUGAAAAUCUUUAAAAUAACACAUGAUGAGUUCCUGUAUGAUGAAGAGUUUAAAAUCCUACCACAGCCAUAUAUACAUGCUUAUUAGACUUUGAGCCACACAUUUACUUUUUACUGUUUAUGGGCAUUGAGUGUGGUCAAGCUGUGUAGACCCUUAGGAGCUUGUCAUGCGGUUAAAAUCAAGAUUCACUUGCACGUUCACUCAUAUAUGCUGCUUCUACUCCGGAAGUACGCAUCCACAUAUAUCCACUCACUUCCAUCUCCAGAGCCACCCAAAAGUAUUCUAGUCCUAAUCCGGGAGAGAAUAGCCAAAAAGAUUAUCCUAUCCCGGUUAUUCCCUAUGAAAUAAAUGCUCGAGUUAUCUUGGUUACUACCACUUGCUAUAUUAUUUCAGGAGAUGAGUGCUCUAAAAAAAGAAAAAAAAGAAGAAAAAGAGGAAAAAUAUGAGGAAAUAAAAAGGGACAAGUGCCCGGAACCUCGAAGAAAAGAAAAAGUGAGACGAGAGGUAAAAAUGGACAAGUGUCCGACAGUAGAAUUAGGGGUACAAGAUACCCACCUGAGAGGAAAGAAAAAGAAAAUAUAGAGCAUCUCAUUCUCCCCAAAAAGUUACAAAGUGCAAGAAAGGUAUGUAUCCCCUCAAAAGAGCAAAAGUAGAAUUAGACUUUCACCAUUAUUAUCACCAUCAUGACCAUACACCAUUCAUUCGCCACACAUGCACAUCUUGAUUUGACUUAUUGACUUGUUUCUCGGGAUCCAUGGUUUGACUAUGCAAUAAAUGUCUUGUAAGUAUGUAUUAGCUGUCUCCCACCUAUGAGCUCCAGAUAUCAAAACCUUAUUAGAGUAGGGUGAGAGAGAAGGCAAUAUCACUAUGCAUUAUACCAAAAAUACCACAUACUUUGAGAGAAGGCAUAUACCAUUAUUGCCUUGGUAAGGAUCCAGAAAUACCACAAAAGAGAGAUUUGAGAGAAUCAUAUAAGGAAUCUCUGAUUUUUAUUUGAAAAUCUGCAAAAACUCCAGAGCUAUAGCUGAUCAAAGAAUAAGAGACAUGGCGCUUGACUUGACGUUCUAUCUUUUAACUGCUAAAGACACAAGUGACGGUUACAAGCCCCAUGGUGAAAGGUAAAAUGAGUAAGUUUUAAGUCUUAACAGUUUAUUCUAACUCAGAGAUGAGAUCUUGCUUGAAUGCGUGUGUACUUUUAAGGCAUGAAACCACUGCAGAAACUCUUGAGUUCAUCCUUGCUCAGGGAUGAGCAAGAGGUAAGCUUGGGGGAGUUGUUGACGGUCCUUAAGUACCAAAUAUAAUCAUCAAAUAAAUAAAGAAAAGGACCAAUCUACAACCAACACCUAGAAUUAGGGUUUGAUGUUUAUCUAUUUCUGCAGGGGGUUAUCAGGAAAUAAGAAAUAAAGGCCCACAUGUCGGGAUUACAUAGAGAUAUCAACGCACCGCGCAAUUUUCUACCAUCUAGAAGACUCCAGAAGCCACGGGAAGAAAGCAGAGGCCGAAAGGGGCCAGGCCUAGGGCGCCCGCCCUGAGGACCUGGGCGCCCGCCCACCUCUGGUCUCCGUUCGGGACUCUUUUCGCACAUGACAUUCCACCGACCUAAAGGAUCAAGGAUAACGUAGUACCACAUCGCCUGCUGGACCAAAAAUGCACAGAGGAGGACUUAUAAGCAGACCCCCUGGCCCCUAGAGGAGACAAGUUUUUCAUAGAGUUGAGGGGAGCCCUCAAAGGAAAACCUCUUCUCUAAAUAAAAUUUAUUUUAGGCUUAGCAUCCAAUGUGAGUAGAAUUAGAUCUUCUAGUUUCUACUAGAUUGAGAGAGAUAGAGUGGAGGUGUAGAUCGGAGGAAGGCCGGCCUGUCGGUGUCUACUCCGAGGUUGUACCUGUGGGAUCAAGUCUCCUAACUCGAGGCUUGCUUCUAAGAUUCUUCAGUAAUUCGACUUCUAAUUCUAGUAAGUUCUUGUUUUAUUGUUCUUUAGUUUAUGAGUUUACUUUAAUCCUCUUCCGGUUGAGUGUUAGAGUAAUCAUUGCUAGUGUAAACGUGGUGUUUAGGCUAGGGUACUCAUAGAUAUCCCCUGACUAGCUGGACCGUGGUAGUAGCGAGGAACGUGACAUUUCCGAGUUACCUUUGUAUCCCAUAUCUUGUUAGCAGGACGGGUAGGGUUUAUAGGUGCGGGUCGAACAUCCUUUGUGGUGUCUAGAUUCCGUAAGCUUCCCCAAUAGAACAGUAGAUCAUCCUUACCAAGGUUAGAACGAGACAACGGUUGCAGUCUUCUCUAUACAUCAGUCACAUCGAGAAACAUUCUUUGUAGCCUAAAGGGAUAGUAGCAAUAGAUUUGGUUAGUCAGAUGCACCCUUUCUCCCAAUGGUAAAAAUAUAAAUACGAUAACUCUAGAUAACAUCCUGGGUGAAAUGCUCACCGAUAUCCGUGCGCUUGCGGAUCAUUUUCUUACUGCGUUACCAAAUAUCAACACUUUCCUCAAGAAGUUCUUCCCAGCGGGCAAGACCAGUGCCCUGCGUGGGAAGAUUUCGAGCUUCCAGCAGUAGUCCGGCGAGAUGAUUCCUGAAGCAUAGGAACGUCUCAAUGAGUACAUUCGCGCCUGUCCUCAUCAUGGGAUAGAUGAAUGCCUCAUUAUUCAAGAUUUCUACCACGGACUGACCGGCAUGGCCCGUAGUCACCUUAAUGCCUCAGCUGGAGGGGCAUUCUUGUAGAAAAAUGUCAAGGAUGCCAAGGACCUCAUUGAAAAGAUGGUCAUCAACCAAGGAUGGAAUGAGGAGCGCCUCCAACCCAAGAAGAGAGGUGACCACGCCCUCAGUGAGGUGGACAUGCUCUCUUCCAAGAUGGACCUCCUUAUGAAGAAAAUAGAGGAAUCUUCCUCUAAAAAGGGAAUUAAGGCCAUCCAGACCCCUACUGCUGUUCGUGCUGUGGAAAUUGAUCCAUGGUGCAAGGUAUGCGGAGGAGAUGAUCACUCAGACAAUAACUGCCCCGAGACCCAGGAGGAGGUGAACUACAUCAACACAACAACUUCAACAACGGGAACUGGCCCCAAGAACAACAAUGGAGUUCAUGCCCCUUCUACCAAGGCCAAGGUAUGGGUUACAAUAAUAAUUCUGGUAAGCGCGCCCUGAUAUUAGUGGCAAGAAAUGGAAGGCGAGGCGUGAUCGUGUCGUGAAGGGUGGGGGUGGAAAAGGAAAAUAGUGGGUGGGCUGAGAGCGCUGGGGGGCGAGAUCGGGGUCAUCAGACAUGGGACCUGGUGGAUCGUGGCCGUCCGACGCGAUAUCACGAGGAGUUGGCCGCGGUGAGAGGCUAGCUGACUGGCUGGCUUGUGCUUGACUGGAUUGUAGUACUCAGGACAGGCUUUUUGUCUGAAGGUGCCGCUCUAGGUUCCAAAUUUUCUACCUCCACUGCAUCCAAACAUAUAUGUAUGUGUGACAGUGGUAUCCAUGGAGUGAAUUGUCAUUUUUCCAGAACCUUUCUUCUAGAAACUUGUAAUUAAUUGGCCUUGUGAUUGUUCUGCAUUUUGCCUUUGUUCUGCUCCAUUCCUCACAUUUUUUCCUUUUCAAGUCAAAGCACUGAUAGUAUCUACAAUUCAAUCGCCAAUCCUCAGCUGCCCAAUGUACUCCAGUAACAAAGAUGACAUGAGGUGACGUUGUGAGCACAGGUGCGGGUGGCGGCUGGAUACUCCUCUUUGGGAUGUAGGAUGGAACUGUAGGGCUGAGGGAGCUCAAGAGGGGCGCCAUUGCUGCUAUUGCGUGCUUUGGUAGUGGUGGCGAGGGCUGAGGGUUCCUUCAUUCCACCUCUAACCUGGACCUUUACUGUUCAAUGACAUACCUAGUAUACUUCAUCGGUAGUCGUUCCCGUUCCUAAUGUGGUUGCCCUACUCCCCUGCCUCGCAGGUACCAGCUAGAGGCACUCGAGCACGCGCUGGUGGGGAACACGCUAACGUUCCAGGAGACGGGCGCCGGGAAGACGCUCAUCGCGAUGCUUCUCCUGUGCUGCUUUCACUGUCGUUGUCGCCAUCAUUGCUGCCAUAGUCGCUAGUGCCACCACCGUCACCACCAUCCUCAUCCGCGACGCCACCUUGGAUGAUGGGGUUAUCAAGGAGAGGUGAGGAUGCACCAUGGAUGGAGAAUUGUUUCUCGUGUUUACGCCGAAGUAGGCGAGCACCUCAUAGAAGAAGCCGUGUAGCGGGACACGCAUCCCGUCCUACAUGACCUGCUCAUACACGCAUUUGUCCGCCCUCGUGAGAGUAUGUGCCUUUCAUUAUCUUUGCAAUGGGAAAAUACAUAAAUAUUUAACUGUAUUUGUAGCUUGUAUAAAGAACUUGUAUUCUUUCAAAAUUCUACAACACUAUUUAUCAUAAAAUGUGCUAAAUGAUUAAAGCCUGACAACAUAUAAUUUUAUUUUUUUAUGUAUAAAGGUACUUCAUAACACUAAAUCUCAAGUUCAUGUAUCUUACAGUUUAGGGUUUGUUAGGGACACUAUGACCCUUUGGAAAGACUAUGAUGUGGAACGUAGAUCUAAAAAUGACCAUCCAAAGGAGUUUACAAGGGAACACGUAAGUUCUCAUAUAAUGAAAACAAAAUAUCAUGUCAUUAUGGUGGAACAUGGGAAACAAACCAUGCCUAUUAAUUUACCUCUUACAUAACUAAGUUUUUUUCAGCUGUGAAAAGGACUUCUUCAGCUCAUUUGAUUCUUGUAUGAAUGCAACAGAUUAGAUUCAAGAGUUUCUACGGAGAGAGAAGGAAAGAAAGAGAGAGAGAGAGCAGAGAAAAUGGAGGCGGUGUCAGCAUUUCUCCACAACAACACUGGUAGGGAGAACAAAUAAAAUAGAUGAUAAAAAAUGAUCAAAUCUCUCUCACCAAAGAGCAAACCAAUGAUGUCAAAUGGAUGUUGCUUCACAAUAUUUAUGUUCAUCAAUUGUACUUCCAGACUUGGGAUAGAGGGUCAACCAAAUGAUCUUUUUGGCUAUGAUUGUCAAAGUAGAAAGACCGCUGAUUUGGUCAUGUGUGCAAUCUGCAGCUGCGUACAGGAUCCUUUUGCCACAUGUAAGGGAUAUUGAUCAGAAAAUGACUAUUGAUCAGUGUUGUUACACAUUGAACAGUUGAACCAGGAAGCAUCACCAUGUCCAUCAUCGGCAGAAAGUUAUUGGCUCUAUAAUGUUGUUACACACUGGGGCAGCAUCACCUUGUACAUCAUGUGCUCUAAGUUCUUGCAUAUGUAGAUUUGCUGUGCACUGGGCAACAUCACGUUCUGCACUUGUAGUUUUCUCGCAUCAGUAGUGUUCCAACAAGAACAAACAAAUAAUCCACAAACAAUAAACAAACAACAAACAACAAAUAAAUUAGAAACCAAACAAGAAAACAUCAAUUUUGAUGGCGCCCUCGAUGAUAGGAUCAUCACGGAGAGGCAAGGAGGCAUCAAGGAUGUAGCUAGAGGAGGAAGACGAGGAGGAUGAGGAUGCUCAGUGUCUCCAUCUUCCUCUUCUUCCUCCUCUAGCUAGAGCUCUUGGAGCAGAUGAUGGACAAGGUGAUGCUUCUCAGUGCACAGAAAAAUUGCAAGUGGAAAACCUUAGAGCAGAUGGUGGUCAAAGUGAUGUUAUCCACUCCACAGGAACCCAACUGAUGCAAGAAAACUAUAGGUGCAGAACGCAAUGAUGCCCAGUGCACGGCAAGUCUACAUGCAAAGUGAUGGUCAAAGUAAGUACUCCUCUUUGUCAGCCAAGAGUCUCCCACAAAUCAUCAUCUCAUGUACAUAAAUCCUGUAAUAUACACAAGGAUGCAUGGCAUAGAUAAUGCUUUUGUGGCUUUGUUCCUUCAACACAUACGCCCAUCGUGAUCGACAUGUGUGGUGUUUGGGUGUGACUCACAAAUAUGAUGUUACACUAUACGAAGUAAAUGUUUGUAGAAACUAUUUAUUGAUAAAAAACACUUUUAUGAUGUUCAAUAAAAUAUAUAAACAUAUUGUGUACAAUGUAUAAUGUUUGUAGAAACUAUUUAUUAACAAAAAACAUAUUUAUGAUAUUCGAUAAAAUGUAUAAAUUGUAUACAUACAUAGUAAAGUGCAAAGAAUUACCACACAGUUGCACCGAUACAUUGUAUGCAUAUUAUUUAUGAAAAAAUACAUUUAUGAAGCUUGAUACAAUGUACAAAAAAUUAUGGGUAUCGACACAUUGUGUACAUGCAGCCAUGCGUUGUAGGCAUAUGUACAAAAUUGUGAGCGUGCAGUCCACGCCGGUGUCAAACACAGUGCUUGUCGCGUUCCUGAACGGUGUGAGGAUGGUGACGCCUCAAACAAAAUAAAAUGGCCAUAGGAUCGCAUUGACACAUUUGUAUAUGGCUGGUAGCCCUAAUUUGUACAUAGGCACGGAAGAAGCUUCCCAGUCCUUUUGACAAAAGCCUAGAGCUUCUCCAGGAGAGGGAUAUGGAAAUCCAGCUCUUUGUUGUCUUCACUGCCUCCAUUGUAUUUGAAAUUGAUCAGCAGACGAUCCAUGAAUUCCUGGGCCUCCUGCACUGACUUGCCUGAGAUGUGCAGCCAUCGUCGUCAUCGCCUCAAAUACCUGUGUAGUCGUCGUCGCUUCAAAUAGCCAACUAGCUAGAGGUGGCCCAUAAAACCAUACACAAGUUCCAACCAGCAAACCCCUUCUGUUUCAAAGUUUUAGUUUCACACAACCUGUACUAGCCCUUUGGUUUUCAUUCUCUGACUAGACAAAUACUACAUUAAUUAACAAUUUAUAUCAAGUAACUACAACACAUCAAGCUUCUUAUACUAGUACACAACCUGAGAACAUGGAAUGCAUUGGCGUUAAAGGCAUGUCAAUUUGCAAUUACCCUCAAUUGCAAAAAUGUAAUGUUCGGGAGCACUGCCAUGUCUUGUAUCAUUUUUUAUUCUUUUUGUUGUCUUUGUUGUCUUCGGUGCUCUUUGUUUCCCUUCAAGAUAACUUAGUUGCACAAGUAUUUUAAGUAUAUGUAUAUGUAUAUGUAUAUGUAUAUGUAUAUGUAUAUGUAUAUGUAUAUGUAUAUGUAUAUGUAUAUGUAUAUGUAUAUGUAUAUGUAUAUGUAUAUGUAUAUGUAUAUGUAUAUGUAUAUCUAUAUGUAUAUGUGUAUGUAUAUGUAUAUGUAUAUGUAUAUGUAUAUGUAUAUGUAUAUGUAUAUGUAUAUGUAUAUGUAUAUGUAUAUGUAUAUGUAUAUGUAUAUGUAUAUGUAUAUGUAUAUGUAUAUGUAUAUGUAUAUGUAUAUGUAUAUGUAUAUGUAUAUGUAUAUGUAUAUGUAUAUGUAUAUGUAUAUGUAUAUGUAUAUGUAUAUGUAUAUGUAUAUGUAUAUGUAUAUGUAUAUGUAUAUGUAUAUGUAUAUGAUAUGUAUACGUAUACGUAUACGUAUAUGUAUACGUAUAUGUAUACGUAUAUGUAUAUGUAUAUGUAUAUGUAUAUGAAAGGCCUCACUACAUAGUUGUUAAUCAGAACAUUAAGAAAACUCUUUUCUUAAUCAUCGAUGUGAUUCUAGUAAUGAUGUACAAUGUUGUCAUUACAUUUUGUUAAAUAUGUACUCAUCUGAUGACAACUCCUACCAUAAUGGAAAUGAAGUUGAUAGACAUGAAAAAUAAAAAUGUUAUGAGGCCAUGCAAAUAUCAUGUAUAAAUAGCCCAUUAGAACUUAGUUGCACAAGUAUUAGAAAAAUCUGAAAAGUUAUGGGGCCAUGCACAAGACAGAGGACACUACGAAACAGAGCCCAUCUCACCCUGCUGCUAAUCUAAUUAACUCAUCGUCUCAAGCACAGCGAUAACUCAUUAUUUACUCCAACCCUAGCAAGGCACUUCGUUGUCUGAUACCAGAAAACUGAUCUAUGCUACUAAUAUGCUCCCAGUCAAUCCACUUCAUUUUAAAUAUAUUAGCACACUUAUAUAUAUUGGUGUACAAGCCUGCUUCUCAAUGUACCAGAACAUCUUGUCUAUCUCUGUCCUGUACCCCUUAUAGUGGUUAAUAGUUCUGAGUCUCUUAAGCCCAAUAAAAGGGGCCCGAGCGUAACCCAAGGGCUCUCCGCCCUGUACUGGAGCAACUAUGAGGCAAGUCCUUCUCUUUCCAACCUCUAUCAUUGGCACUUGCUUCCCUAACUCGGACUCUAAGGGUGUCUGAUCACUAUCUGUGUCAUUACUGUAUAAGUCAGGGUGCUCAAACUGUGAGCCCUUUGGCUAGUAUUCCUCGUGUGAUAAAUGCGACAGCGCCGUUUCCCCAACUGCUCAGCCACCUACAUAAAGGAAACAUAUCAUAUGAACAUAGUGGAACAUGCAAGAUAUUAAUAUACCCUGCACCCAAAGAAAUGAGUGAAAAAGAAAAACACUUGCAAUAUUGAAAAUUGUCAAAUAAGAUGAUGUGCAUGACAUUUAGGCCUGCAAUGGUGCCAGCAUCUAUGGUGGCAUGUCGCUGGUAGUUGUUGAAAUACGCCGGCAUAGUGAUGAUGGCAUUCUUGAUUGUCAUGCCAAAAUACGUCUCAGUGGUCUCCUUAAGUUUGAUCGGCACCAUCGCCAAAAUCUGCUAAGGUGUAAACUGUCUCUCCUUACCUUCAUACUACACCAAAAUAAUAGGAUGGUCAUCACGUCCUGCGAUGACUCUGAAAAGCCAUGAGAUGAUGUCAUUUUGCAUAGAGUUCUCACUAAAUCGGCGGCCGAUCAGUUGCUUCAUUUUUGUUUAAGACCUCAACAACAAAAUCAAACAAACAAACAAAAACAGCAAUGACAAAAAAAGAAAACAACAAGGAAACAAUGAACAACAAAAACAAACAACAAACAAUAAAUAAUAAACAAAUAUGUAUUUAAUGAAGUAGUUGCUCCUUUUGUGAAGCCAACCGCUUGUGAUGCUGCCGUGGGCAUAAAUGAUAAUGUGGCAGGUGGACCAUCGGUGCCUGAACCCGCAGAACCUUGUUUGCAAAAUUCACUUGUUACUUGGGAUCCUAAGUUGGCUCAUUGUAAGCAAAAGACAACCCAUGAUAUUACUGAUAUAUCUAGAGGGAUAGAGCGGGUAAGAAUACCUGUAGUAAAUGAAUUUGGUAGCGAGACCUGUCCUCCAUUCUUUUAUUAUGUAGCAAGAAAUCGUAUCUUCCAAAAUGCUAAUGUCAAAAUCUCAAUUGCUCGGAUUGGUGAUAAAGAUUGUUGUGUUGAUUGUUUCGGCAACUAUUUGUCAGCUAUUUCGGCAAAUUAUUGUUUGGGCAACUAAUUGUCUUCCAAAAUGAAGACUGUUUGCUAGGUGAGUGAAGCAUAUUUUAUUUUAUAGUUGCUGUCGUGGGAGCUUAAAUUUGGAACACACAAACAAUUGUUUUUUGUUUUUCUAUAAACAUAUUUGUUUUACUUCUACCUAGCAUUAUUCAAGAUACAAACAAUCAACCAACCCAAAUCCACCCUUGACCUCAUGGACUCCUAAGCCCGGCAUUAAAUUAUCUCGUGGUUUUGUUUCACCUCGCUUUGUUCCAAAUGCAGCUUUUUGAUGUAUAUACACACACCUAUAACAUAGCUGAAUUACAUAAAAUUAUUUGUAUUUUGUUCAAAUGUUACUGGAAUAAUACAUAAACAAAACUGUCUCAGACAGCAUAAAAUAAUAUAGGGAAUCUAGUGAAGCGUACGAGACAGAUACUAAGUUUAGCAUCUAAUCUCAUGCAAUGUGUUUGCUAGUACAUAACUAUCUUAUCUACCCAACGUGCAUGAUCCUGAACGGCAUGCCAAAAUAUCUACGCCACUUGCAACCUACUGUGCUCCAUCAUUGUCCACCGACACGACAAGCUGUUCGGGGUCAAGGUGCGGAUACCAACGCAGCGUGGUACGUUUCAUAACCUCUAGACCCUGCUCAUACCUGACCAGUACAUGCUCGGUCAAUUGGCUCUCCAGUUCUUUACAACCCUAGAUCUCGCACACCGCAGCCACCCUAGGGCUCAUCAGCUCCUUCACGUGCGCCUUCUUCGUGCCGGCGAGCUCGGCCUUGGCCUGUGGCAGGUCCUGCCGCAGCUCGUCCUUAAGCUCCCGCGUGUAGCCCAGCAUGAAGGAUGCGUAGUUCGUGGCCUGCGUGCGCAUUACUACGGCCGACGACCACAACAUAGCAGUAUUCUAUGACCAACGUAUCUUUGUAUCCUAUUUACCAAAAUCUUUUCUGUUUUACUGGCCAAGGAAACUUCCAUUUUGCAAAGAUAGCAUUCAGAGGUUCUUGUAUCAUCUGACAAUGCAGGAUCUUGAUAGAAUGUGUGGAAGCUGAUAGAACAAUUGGAAUUCCACUACUUCCCCUGUCAGUAGCAGUUCUAAGUCAACAACGGUUUGAUAUCCAUUCUAGAGGAACACUACUAUGUACACAAUGUUUACAUAUUAUCAACAAAUGUCAGUGCAAUUGUUUGUGUAAUUGUAUGUACAUUAACUAUGUAUGUACACAAUGUGAUUUUACAUUGUAUCGAAUGUCAUAUAUGUGUUUCCAUAACUAGUUUAGUUUGUUGUACAUUAUUUGUAACAUUUGGUUAACAUUUAAGUUAAUAAAUCUGAGCUUGAGAAUCUCAUAAAAUUGGGAGAACAAAUCGUAGGGACGGCGCUGAUUGGUCGCCGCCUCCUUCACGUCCCCAGUUGCUCUCAUGCCAAAGCACGCCGCGAUGUCCAAGAUGAUAACGCUUGCUCUAAUUAUCCGGCCACGACACCAUAUUAGUCUAGCAUGCAAUAAGUGCAAACUUCUCUACAAGUGACGCAUGCUCAAGAAUACAUGCUAGUGCACUGCAAUCAGCAGGCUGACACCAGUAAUCUUCACUAAGGACUAGGCCAACAUAUGUAUAUGUAUAUGUAUAUGUAUAUGUAUAUGUAUAUGUAUAUGUAUAUGUAUAUGUAUAUGUAUAUGUAUAUGUAUAUGUAUAUGUAUAUGUAUAUGUAUAUGUAUAUGUAUAUGUAUAUGUAUAUGUAUAUGUAUAUGUAUAUGUAUAUGUAUAUGUAUAUGUAUAUGUAUAUGUAUAUGUAUAUGUAUAUGUAUAUGUAUAUGUAUAUGUAUAUGUAUAUGUAUAUGUAUAUGUAUAUGUAUAUGUAUAUGUUUGCAGCUAAACCUUAUAUUCAUAAGUUUUUUCAUAUGACUGUGAGAAGAGUAGAGAAGUUAUGCACUUUUUCGCGAAGGUACAAACUGUUUUAUUUAUAAUUAUUCUUUUAUCACACCAAAAUUUAAGAUAUUAUAAUCUUCUUAUCAAAUAAGAACUCCCGCAUACAGUAUUUCACCAUCUCAUUGUCAAAUAAAAUAUUUUAUAUACUAUCUAGGCUAGGAGUAUACAUGAAAUUUUAUCGAUAUCAGAAAUAUAAGAAGUAUUAUAUGCACCUGAGUACUAGCACAUCAAAUUAUUGUUGUAGACACUUCAUACAUACAUACAUACAUACAUACAUACAUACAUACAUACAUACAUACAUGCAUGCAUACAUGCAUACAUACAUACAUACAUACAUACAUACAUACAUACAUACAUACAUACAUACAUACAUACAUACAUACAUACAUACAUACAUACAUACAUACAUACAUACAUACAUACAUACAUACAUACAUACAUACAUACAUACAUACAUACAUACAUACAUACAUACAUACAUACAUACAUACAUACAUACAUACAUACAUACAUACAUACAUACAUACAUACAUACAUACAUACAUACAUACAUACAUACAUACAUACAUACAUACAUACAUACAUACAUACAUACAUACAUACAUACAUACAUACAUACAUACAUACAUACAUACAUACAUACAUACAUACAUACAUACAUACAUACAUACAUAUCUUGGUAGAGAAGAUUUUGACAAUGGGGAGUUCAUAAGGAAAUACACGAAGAUUAUAAUAUUUAAAUUUUUGUUGCGAUAAAGGAAAAAGUAUUAUACACAUAAUUGUUUGUAGUGUAUCAAGCUUCAUAAAUGUAUUUUUUCAUCAAUAAUAUGUAUACAAUGUAUCGGUGCAACUGUGUGGUAAUUGCUUGCACAUUUACUAUGUAUGUACACAAUUUGUACAUUCUAUUGAACAUCAUAAAUAUGUUUUUUUGUCAAUAAAUAGUUUCUUCAAACAUUGUAUAUUGUACACAAUAUGUUUAUAUAUUUUAUCAAACAUCAUAAAUGUGUUUUUUAUCAAUAAAUAGUUUAUAUAAACAUUUACUUUAUAUAGUGUAACAUCUUGGUCUUCUUCCUAAUAUAACUUUUCACCUCCAUCCUGAUGCGAGUGCGGGUGGAGGCGCGCGCUAGGGUUCACAAUCUAGAGGAAAACAGUAGUCUGACUAGAGAUCUCCUUGCCGUGUCGCCUCGCCCUCCGCUGCCGCUUCCUCGUGAUCCCGUCUACGGAAAGCGCCCCGUCGGGUUCGAGUCUGUACUAGAAACAACACACGGCGUUGCCACGCGCUUGUCGUGAGUGAGAACAUUAGUUGGAGGCUGCCCAUGUAUCUCCGUUUAUUCCGUAGUAGAAAGGAUUGCAUAUAUUGAUGUGCUUAUUCACUUAGUAAUAAAUCAUAUUGAAAAUGUAACACAAUGUCACGGCAUAUGCAAAGAGAACGAUAAGCAAAAGAUGUGUAUCUGAAUGCAUGUCGAUGGAGGCACAUUACUUCACAAUGAUCCCUCUAUGUGACUUCAAACAAGAUUACAAAUGGUAAUUUACCGUUGAGGAAAAAUCAAAUCUGUUUGCUCUAGCAUGAUUAUUGUUGUACAUAACUAAGAAAAGUAUGCAAAUAUAAUUAAUAAAAAGGUGGAAGAUGUAUGGAGUCAUGGAGGUAUGACAGGGAAGCAAUCUUUUCUUUUUAUUAGCAUAGUAGCUGAAUGAGUGAUUAUACAUUUUGAAAAUUAGUCCCAUUUGAUGAAGUGACAAGUACCAGAAGGAGCUAUUAUAUUAUGGUAAUUCAACUUGGCACUGUGCAUAUGAUUUCUACAGAAAUAAAUUGAAAACCAGUAGUACUUAUAAACUCUUAAUUCUGAAUUCAUGCUUUGCAAUUUAAGAAGAAAAAGAUAUAAUGCAUGACACAUGAUCAUAGUUCAAAUUGUUGCGGUUGUCUCCCAAAAAAAUGUAUUUUUAAUGACAAUGAGAUGGAAGAAAGAAAAAGAAGCAUUUGAAACAAAGUAGGAUAGGAGCGAGAGGCUGAAGAGGACGUGCAGGGGUGGCCUUGCCUCUUGCUUGCCUGCUGCUGCCGGCUGCCGGAGGGCGACGGCCGACGGCAAGCGGGCCGCCGCCGCACUGCUGCGGGAUGGAGCAGGAGUGCAGGACGAGCGGUGGAGCGGGAGCCACCGUCCCGCCGAGCACCGAGCAGGGGGUAUUCAAACGAGGUUGGUGGCUUGCUGCUCGCCGGGACCCUGCCCUGCCCCUGCCUGCGCCCCGCGCCGGCGCCAGGCGUGCCCCUGCCGGCGCCGCGCCGUCGCCCGCUGAUGCACCUUGCUACGUGCGCGUGCCGCCGCUCUAGCCUGCUGCCUACCGGUUACCGCCGCUGCACGCCGCCGGCAGCUCGAAAUCGCCCCAAAUCACAUGCUGGUUCACGCUUGGGAUGGGACGCCGAGCAGCGGCUGAGGGCUGCUUAGCCUUGUUGGGCCAGGGGAAGGAGGUGAUAUUUUGCCAUUUUGGUUUUGGGCCUGCGGGAUAUAAUAGGCUGCUUAGCCUUGUUGGGCCGCCGGUGGGAGAUAAAAAAUGCUGAGAAUUGGCCUGUUUUGCUAAUACACGUCUCAGUUCACUAUAUUUUUUACUUUUUUUCAUGCUAGAUUGUGGCCAUGCCCCGUGCGUUGCAACGUGAAAACAAAUAUCAUGGUAAUUUGAGGUGUAUCAUGAUAAUCCUGAUUUAAACAUAUAAUGUACUUAGCCAAAAUAAUAUUACUUUGAGUAGUGUUUAUAAUUUUUUUGUAUAGCCAGUCAUCAAUUCCAUAGGAUCAUAUAUGCAUGAUGAUUCAAACCUCAACUGGAUAAAGCACCUCAUGAGGGUAGAAAUUGCUUGAAAAUGCCUCAUAGUCUUGUGUGAUAUAUAUAUUUUCCCCUAAAACUAGAAUGACAUUUGCUUGGUAGUUGUCAGUGUUUUUAUCAGCUACCCUGAUGCCAUUUCUCUUUGAGUUCAAGUGUUCAACUGCCGAGCUAGGCUUGGAUGAUUGGAGGAGAACGCAGCAGCGACGCCGAAUCGAGCUUGUGGGAGACAGGGUCCUGCCUUAGCGCCGAUCCGCACUUCCUGCUUCCAAUUGGAGUGAGGUAAUAUAUUUCCCCUCUAGAUGAUUACUCUCGUGAUUGACACACUACUACUUGAAGCCCUCCAAAUUAGUUACAAGACAAAAUCUAUGCCUUCUAAUGUUGGUGUAGUUGGUACUUGGUACAACAUGUUCUGUAAUGUUGAACUUUGGCUGUGUGGUGCUCUGGUGGCAUGCUACUUUAGGUUUCUUAUCUUGCUGUACAUAAUUUUGUGGCAUCACAUUGAAGCUUAGAUGGCAAUAGCUGUAACAAAACUGUCCAAUUUAUUACCUUGGCAGGCAGCUGAUGGGUUACUUCCCGUUGUCCAUAUCCCUCUCUGUGAGAAGCUCUAGGCUAAAAUUAGAGAAACAAGCAUCACACGCUGGCACCGCCACUGCCAUCCUCAUCCGCGACGCCGCCCACGAUGAUGGGGUAACUCAUAUAGCCGCCACUCUCUCCUCUCAGCCUCCCUAACCUGUUCGGGAACCGCUAUUCCCAAUAGGAUGAAAGGAAAAUCGAAUUCAAUAAACCGGAACCAAAUUCAAUUCACGUUCUUUGAAUUCGGUUGAGAUAAACCAAAAUUUCGAUUUAGUGGGACGGAAAAUGAUUCUUAACAAUCGAAUCCGAUUUGUGUUCUUCGAAUUUGGUAGAGAUAAACCAAAUUCGAUUUAGUGGGAUGGAAAAUCGAAUUCGGUACCGUUUUGUCGAAUGCAAUUCAUUCAUCGAAUUCGGUCGAUAUAAUCCAAAUUCGAUUUAUGCGUCGCUGACGCCGCCACCGCCAAAGUUCUUGUUGUGGCCACCCCUAGAGGCUCCACACCUACCUUCUUUCUCUUGCAAUUCAAGGGGAUAAAACACUAGGUUCAUACAUUUAAGAGAUCUAAGUAGUCACAAAGCUCAUGUUCAUGGCGACUUUUGGACCUAGUGCUUUCUAGAAAACUGGCAAUAUCAUGUCACUGUAUUGACUACCACUAGUUGUAUUAUAAUGCCAGAAAUGCUAUUGAGUUAAACUUGUCCUGAUAAGUACCAACUCCUCAUAAACAUCCUAGGUCCACCUCUGCUCUUCUUUUCUUAUCACAUGCCUCAUUCUCUAUAGCAUCUCUCUUGAGUAUAAACAUUUUUAUGUCCUCAAUAUUUAUGAGAAUCUACUAUUAAUUAGUAUGGGGAUCUACGAAGUAGAGUAACCAUCAUACCAUGAACAAAAUCCAAACAUAGGUUCGGGGGCUACACCCGGCAGGUGUGCUCACCGUAGAAAAAAUUCAAAGGCCUCGACAAGGCAAACUUAGUCUAGCAGGCAAAGGAACAAACAGUUCCCUUACGUGCUCGGGGCUACUGUCGGGGAAAAAACCAGGCUUAGAAGGAAAGGCCAAAAUGAUCUUCAAGAACAAAUCAGCUCAACUCGGCCCAUCUGCACCAUCGGAAGCGAAGGAGGCCAGCCAAGCUAAACUCGUAUGGUGGAUCCGGUGGGUAGUGUAUAUAUUCUCUUCUAUUAGAGUAGUUCUACCUAGAAUAAGGUUGGAUUUCUUACCGGUGGAGUUGACAUCGGUAAGCUUUUGUCCCUUCCAAAUUUUCUCUACUAUUGCUUCUGUUCGUGCUGAGCAGGGAGAGUAGCUACAGCCUGUAGAUGUGAGCAGAGGCAUGAAGAGGAGGGGAGUAGCGCAGUCGGCCUGGGAGGAAAGGAUCUAGUGGUUCUGUGUAUCGGCUGUGGUGCCGCUGGGUGCAGCGAGCGGACGGUGGGAGGCUAAUGGACACCAGCAAUUCGAUGGCUAGAAUAUAGCAGUGAUUUGGCCAUUCGUUUUUGCAAAUUAAUGUGUGUAUAUGAUCUGUUGUUCAAUACUUCAAUACAUCAUAUGAUGAUGUAAUGAAUAAUUCAAGGAAUGGUUGAAAUUCCAUUCUUCUUCAGAUUUGGUUCUAGCUAGCACCUGUUACCUGAAAUUUAUGAGCUGAAUUUAUUUACAAUAAUAAUGCACCAGAAAAUUGAUCAAUAAUGUGCAGUAGAAACACUAACCUUGCUGCAUGUUUUUUUUGGAGAUAAAUGGGAACCGUGGACACCGCAGGAAGAACUCCAAAUCCCAAGGGGGGUCAGAGGCAUCAGAUUUUUCUAUGUCAUCUCAUCUGGUAUGCUCCAUUCGACAAUAAUAAUGCACCAGAAAAUUGAUCAAUAAUAUGCAGUAGGAACACUAACCUUAAAUCCCAAGGGGGGGUCAGAAGCAUCACUUGUUUCUAUGUCAUUUCAUGAGGUAACAUUAACUAUGCCUAGCGCUCAGAUAUAUUUGCUGGUCACUGUUUCAGCGUGUUUUUUAUAGGUAACUAGAGACAAAGGACUCCCCCAGAUGAUGAGUCGGCCAUUAGAAGAUAAGAAUGUGGAAUAUGAUGAUAGUAUAUGUAUUGAUUUUGGUUUUAAACCUGAUGAGGUGAAAGAGGCAGUACAAUACCUUGAUAAAGGAGAUCGUGAUGAGGUGAAGAAGCUUGGUUUUGGAACAUUUCUGGACCUAAGUAUUGGAGAUUUUAAACAAAGACAUCGACAACCUAUUGAUUCUAUUGUCAGAAACGUAACUGUCGAAAAAGAUAGAAUUGCAAUAUGCAUGCGGGAUGGUGUGAUUUUGUACUUGACACCCGAGAUCAUAUCUCUGUGAAUGAAUCUACCGCGUGGUGACAAGGGGCCUCUGGACUGCAAUCCUCAAAAGAAUACUGCAGAGCUUGCUAAUUGCCGCACUGAACUUGGUGUGAAAUCCUUGAAAGUUGAGAAUGUAGUUGAGGUAUUGAAGAAAACAAAGGACAGAAAAUUGAAGGUCAAAUGUUUUAUGCUUCUGGUAAUUUCCAGAAUUCUGAUGCCCACCACCACUACCAAGACUAUCAAUACAAAUGCAGUCAUGUAUACUAAAGAAAUGGACACCAUUAAAGACUUUGACUGGUGCACUAUAGUUUAUGACGAUUUAAGGACCUCAGUCAGUAGUUACAAAGACAAAUUGAAGAAACUUGCGCUGUGUCCACCGAAGAGCAAGCCAUCAAGGGUUAUCAGUGGAUGUGUAAUAAAGCUACUGGUAAGCAUCAACUCUACUUUUCCCAUUCAAAACCAAGCUGUGAAGCUCUGUCUGAACUAAUUCUGGUUGGCAGGCCUAUGUUGUUGACAACAUGGAGAUGGAGCUGCCUGAGAAGGAUGAUGAGGGUAGAAAAAAAUGCCCCAAGAUAAAUCAAUAUAAUAUGGAGUUUUUGAUGGAGAUGAUUUGUAAAGCUAUGCGCAAACGCAAAGAUUGCCCUCCUACAUUUGAGAUGUUUAAGGUAAGUACAAGGCAUCUGGCUCAAUUUUACUUGUGUGAAGAGGUAGGUUUUAGUUCUUAUCUGUUCAAUUUACCUUUUCAGCUGAAAGGAAUUGAGGAUACCUGCUAUCGUGAAACUUCAAGGUAUAUUGUGUCCUCAAGGGACAUAGAAUCCCUAAAUUCUGUAGCGACAUCAUCUGUGUCUAGAGGUGUGCCUCCGUUUGCAAAGAUCGGGUUCCCAUUAGCCCAUCAACACCAAGGGGUACUUGCUGAAGUUGAGCGAGUUGGUCCAAGUGCUCGGCUUAAGUCACAAGCAUCAAAAUGCUUGGCUGUACUGAAGGAUAUCACUUAAGGGUUUAGUCAAGAUCAGGUGGAUCAACUGUACGAGAACCAUGUGCUUUCCAAGAUUGGUCAAUGUGGCAGUCACCAUGUUGUGGACAUCAAUGACCACACUAUCCCUGAAGUUACGCUUGUUAAUGCCUUCAAGCCCAAGGGUGAGAUGGUCUCGAUCAUUAUUCAUGCACAAUGUUCUAUAUGGAAUAUGCAACAUCAUGACCGAGUUUAUCUAAAACAAGAAUGUGUUGAUGAUUUGAUUGUUGGAAUUUCUUCUAUAAAUCUGAGCAGACAGCUAGACAUAUACCGUCAGCCAAAUACAUUAAAGCAUGUAACUCAGGUUGGUUGGUUUUUUCCUGUUUUGUUAUUUUAAUAGGUUCAUUGGAUGGCAUGAUCAUGUUCUUGUUCUUGCAGAUAUUUGUCCCUCUAUUCCAUGACAAACACUUCUCUCUUAUUGUGGUGAAUCUUCAAAAUGGUUCUUUUGAUUGUCUGGACUCAAUGACUAGGCCUACAGGGAACCCUGUAGAGGAAAAAGUGAUUGCAAAUAUGCGUCAAUACUUGGCUGAAAGGUUUGACAUAUCUGAUGUUGAUACAUGGCCUCAAGCAGUCUUGCCAGUUAGGCAGCAAAAGAACACUUAUGAUUGUGGCUUUCGUCUGAUGCUUCAUAUGAUACAUUAUAGGACGAAAGACAUGAAUAGGAUUGAUGAGGUUAGUGCUGGCAAGUCUUGUCUUUUACUUAGUUUUUUGCUGGUGUUUUACUUAGUUUUACCUUAGAUAUACAGGACAUGGUCUUCAGAUACCGCAGAAGACUUGCGGUUGAGUUAUUAUAUAAUGAACAAAACAAAGUGAAGCCCCAUAGAGACCAAGCCUUGAGUUCUUAGGUGUCCAAUUAUUGCCACGGCAGUCCAGAUGUUGCCGUCAUCAGGUCUCAACCGCAACCUUCUGAGACAAAUAAGCCACCUGAGAAACAUAGUUCCAAACGGAAGGUCAAUAAGGCACGUGGUCCCAAACGGAAGGUCAACAAGAAACAUGAUGCCUUGACAGAGACAAAUGAGGAAGUAGCUGCUUCCAACAUGAAGAUGAAACCUGCUGGCCCGAAGACAAAUGAUCAGAAGCCACCUUCUCCGCCACCUGCUUCCAAACCUGCUGAACCUACUGGCAACGAAUGUCGCAGGACCAAUAGGGUAAAGCUAAGACAUAACUAUGGUGUCCUUGACAAGGGUACCUAAAGAUAAAGUGAGAGUCAAACAAGAGGCAAAAAGGGUAAAAAGGUGAAAGGCAGAUCCAGAGCUUUAGAGUUUGGACUCUCGUUUUUGCUUGACAUCAGAUAUUUGGACAGCAUCACAAAAUCUAGGAUACAAGGAAGCAUGUACUGACAGCAGUCUUUGUAUGUUGGUUGCAUUGGCUUUCCUGUUAGUAGUUUUGGUGAUGUAUUAUAACAUUUUUAAGCAGCUAGCUGAGCAGAUUAUCUUGUAAUGAAGUAGUAGCUUGUCCCUUUGUUCUGUGAUCAUUCAGUUCUACAAGGAGAGAAACCUGUUUGUCAGUAGUUCUUGCUCAAUCAUAUUAUUAAGCUUUUGCAUGUAUGUGUAGUGUGGAGCUUAUUAGUAGUUCCUGCUUCUAUCUAGUUCCCACGAACAUGUGAUGUUUUUUUAUUUUUCCUAGAUUAUAUAUUUUUGAUAUAAACACACCGCUCCAAAUUUAUUAGCUUUUUAUUCCACCUCAUUCGCUCUCUAUUUUUGAAAUUAUUAUCUGGUUGGGUAUCAUUGGCAAUGACGGAAUUCGUGACUAACUUUAUUAUCCUGCCAAACACAAGUUCUAAGUUCACAGUCUCCAUAAAUACAAACAAAACCCAAAGUCCAUGGUCUGCUCAACUUUUGUUAUGUCAAUUGGAUUCCAAGCCCACGAUAUCAUGCAGAGAAUACCUACUAUUCUGACACUGAGGUGGUGUGUUACGUACCGAAGAGGAAGAGGAGCUAUCAGACUAGUUUAUGUUUAAAUACUUUGUUCUUAAUAUAGUUCAACUUUUGUUAUGUCAAUUGGAUUCCAAGCCCUCGAUACUUUGAGUUUCAUGCAGGGAAUACCUGUAAUUCUGACAAUGAGGUGGUGUGUUACGUACCGAAGAGGAAGAGGAGGUAAUCUGACUAGAGGGGAAACAUGGCAGGAAGAGAAAAGCUGGAGCAUUGCUGUUUUGGGAAUGCUUGGGAAUGCCACCGUAGCGGUCAAAUAACUAGUGAGCUUAGGUGGACAGAAAUGCCACCCUAGUGGUCAAAAUGCCUGCUUUUUGUUUGUAUAUACAUGCUGCAACAGCUGCUGAAAAUGCAUGAUACUAAUAUCAGCUUAACAGGGCAUUAUUAUCCUUUUAAAUUUGUGUUCUAGUGUUCAAAAGUUGCAUUUGUUACCCUGGUGUUGCUCUGUAUUCUGUUGAUUCAAUUUUUCAUGUUGUUCAUUCAUCAAACCAUCAAGAAACUUGCAAGCCUCGGUUGUACCACUGGGACUUCAAGAUGGCUGAGGCAGCAAUAGUUCUCAUCAACUGUUGUUCCUGUUGGACUCCUGAUGGCUGAGGUUGCAAGUUUAUUGAAGAUUUCAUGCCCUCCAUGUGUAAGCUGGAUCUGAGAUAAACAUAACUUUCUUCAAUUUACAUCAACAUGCAAGCUGGAUCUGGCAUCUCGCUUUCCUUGUUUUUUUAGUUUUAUCACUUGCAGGAUAUGCACAAUUAAACACGUUUCCAUCAUAAGUCAACAUAUAUUUAAAAGCAAUAUUUCAACACAUUUCCUACAUUUUCUAUCCAGAUCAACAUAUAUGCAAAAUCAUAACAUAUGAAUUAAACUCAACAUAUAUGUAAAAUCAACACGUUUCUGGCCUAAAGUUUUCUUAUUUAUCAACAGAGGUUACCGUCGUUGUCGUCAUCCUUGCUCUCUGGAUCUACCCUAAAAUAAGCACAUUAGGGAACACCGUGGUAAAACGACACAUUACUAUUGCUGAUUCACAGAGCAAUACCCCCGUAAAAAGAUACUAUACUUAAAUAAAUGCAACAUACGGUAUAGGGAAACACUAUACAUUUUAAUUAUGAACACCACUAGUCUGCUUUGGCUGCCACAAAGCUGGUCCGUUUUGGCUCGUGCGGAGUUGGUCCGUUUUGGCAUCAUAUAUAGUAGCUGCUAGAAGUCCGGCUUCUGUUUCGAAGUGUCACACUUUUUAACUAACUGUAGCUUUUUGUAUGUAUGUAGCUGUCUCAUGACUAGUGUCGUAGUUUAUACAAUUAACUGUACCUUUUUGCAUUGUAGUUUCUUAUUUGUAUUUGUAGUCCUGCUGUAGUCUCUUAACGUUAUUUUCACAUUUGUAAUAUUCUCCAUAACAUUGCUAAUACCAUAGUCCAACCCUGAUUCAUGGACAUAGGUUAUCUUUGAAGUAUCGCUAAUCAUUAAACAAGGAAGCAUGAAAGCACGUUAUAUGAAUAAUAAAAAUCACAUUACAAAUAAAUACAAAGUCACUACCACAAAACUGAAUACCCUUGAGGGUCAAAAACCCUCAAGGAAACCCCUAAAACCGCCAAAGAAAUCAAUAUUGGCGGCUAGCACUCAAGGAAUAGUCGCCAAGGGUAGAGAGACAAGGUGCCGGCCGCCACAAAUCAAUUUCUUGAGGGUUAAACCAUCGAGAAAAUAAAUCAGUGGUCAGAUUUUUAACAUCGUCAAGAAAAUAUAACGACACCCAAGGAUAUAGGUUUCCUUGAGUGCCAAUGACACUCAAGAAAAUGUAAAAACACCCAAGGAUAUAGGUUUCCUUGAGUGCCGAUGGCACCCAAGAAAAUGUAAAAACACCCAAGGAUAAAUAUUUUCUUGAGUGCCGAUGACCCUCAAGGAUAUGCAUGGAAAAAAAAGAGAAACAAUCUCAUAUUUGUUGUAGCUGAGAAUCGAACUCAUGACCUGAUGUUCCAUGUGAAACUAACUUACCACUACACCACAAAGUCUUUUGUGACUAAGUGAAUGUUUCUUUCUUUUUGUUUUCACUUUAGUGGAUCUUGUAAUGAAUAUUUGAGAACCUAAAUGAUUUCAAAUGAAAAAAGUUUGAAUUAUAAAGUUUUAUAUCUCAUCGAGUACUAUAACUUUGGUUUAGGUUGUAUCUCUAUCUGAGGUCAUUUGAAUAUUCAAAAAAUUUAAAGUUUAAAGUUCUAAUAAUUUAAAACAUAUUUUAUGGACCUCAAAUAAUUUCAAAUGAAAAUUUCAUCAACUAAGAAGUUGUAUAUCUCUUUGGGCUCUAUAACUUUGAUAUAAACUUUGCCUCCAUACGAUAUUAUGUUACAUUUUAGCUUUAAAAUAAGCAAGCAUCUCAAGCUAAGUGCUAGUAUAUGCAUUCUCUAAUGCAUAACAACACAAAAUUAUAACUUUUAUUGGAUUAAUUUACUAACAAAAAUUAUAUAUCAUUUUCCAAACAUGUCAAUGGAGCGUUUAUGUCUAUAAAAUGCAAUGUCUAACUAACAAGAAUGCAAUGAGUUCACUAUAUCGAUGGUUAAGAGAAAUAUGACCAUAAACUGUUUUUUCCUUGGCAGCUAUAAUAAUUUACUUGAGGGUUUACACCCAAAGAAACUAGAACUUCCUUGGCGGUUUCUAGUUACACCCAAGGAAAUGUGAAUUACCUUUGGUGGUUUAUAAUAACACUCAAGGAAACAUAGAAUUACCUUGGCGGUUUCAACUAGCACUCAAGGAAAUAUAGAUUUAACUUGGCGGUUUGGUUUAGUACUCAAGAAUAUGCAUUUUCUUGGGGGUUUUAUACAACCCUCAAGGUAAUUGUAUAUCCUUGGGGGUUUAAUUUCGCCCCUCAAGGAAAUUGCUGGCCCUCAAGGAUACUCAGUUUUCUGGUAGUGAGUAUCGAUCAGUACAAUGAAAUUAUAGUACCAUCAAAUCACAUUACACUAGUACAGAGAGAUACUAUACUGGCGGUUCGCAACCCCUUUGUACAGGCGGAUUGACGAACCGCCAGUAGCUAUAGGCCUGUGGAAAUAAAAGUUUCCACAGACGGUUAACUGAUAACCGCCUGUAGAAACCGAUUUCUACAGGCGGUUCAGUUAUGAGAUCCGCCUGUGGAAAUCAGUUUCUACAGGCGGUUCUUUUAUGUAAGAAAUUGGAUUCUACAGGCGGUUCUCAUAACAGAACCGCCUGUGGUAAGAUUUUCCAAAACCCUAUUUUUACACAACAAGAAAUAAGGCUUUACAUGACGAUUUACUGGUGACGUUCUAAGAAAGCAUCAUAGAAUUGUAUUGUCUGUGACGGUUUAUUCUUGAGGUAAUAUAUCUAUGAUGACUGGUUAAAUUAUCGUCAUGGUUGAACGUCAUAGAUCAUUUUGGCACCUUUGUGGUAAACCUAAACCGUAAAGUUAUAGCUAAUGUUUAAAGUUAAAUGAAUUAUAACAUCUUAGGUGUUAGACAGUCAUUAACACAAAUCAUUGAUGCAUCAACAAAACUAAGAAAUAUAUUGCAUAGAUAGAAACGGAAGUCCUACUUUCCCCGGACUCUAGAAAGCCAAGGAAUUAAAAAAAAAUCAUAAAUAGAAACAAAAAAUAUAGUUGCAUAAAAAGAAAAAUAAAAACAAAAAAGAAGAAGAAAAGAACACGCCACAUAAAUAUAGAAGAAAAAAAUAAAAACCGAGAGAGAGGAGACUGGUUAUAAACAAGUCCUACUUUCCCAUCCCCAUCGUUCUCUCGCAGUCACCUGAGGGCCGACUCCCUUCGUAGUCUUUCUCUCUGUCUCUCUCGAUCUCCCUCACAGCGCCGUCCUCCCUACUCCUCCGCCCAGAAGCCUCCGCAUCCGGCGGCCACCCCUUCCUGCUCCUCCUCCAUAGGCCACCACCUUCACAUCUGGCGCCCUCCCCGCCGGAUGUUGCCCCUUGGCGCUCCUCCCCUUCUCUCUGGCGCCCCCCUCUCUCAGCCCGGUGUCCAGAUCUACUGGUCCGAGCACAAUCGCAUCAGGAAGUGGCAGCUCCGAGCACAGUUUAAUUUGAGUGUCCGAGAUGAGCCCGUAUUCCGGCCGCCAAAGUCUUGGUCAGGCCCUCUGCAGGCGACGAGCAGCCACAACAACGGCCACGUAUGCUUGUUUCUUCUCUUCCCUUCCUUUUGUGCAAAAUUGAGGAUCCCUAAUUUAGGCUAUUUGGUUAUACAUAUUCGAAACUGAUCUGAUAUAAUCCCAAGUGUAUGCAUGUAUGCUGCAGGAUGUGGGUUUAAUUUCUUUAAUAUGACUAUUACUGUUUUUACCAGAGCAAUACAUGUUGAAAAAUUUGUACUAUCAUACUUUCAGUAUCUAUAGAGACCUUUCUUAUAGGUGAAAUUAAUUAGGCAUGUGUAUCUACUGUCAGAUAAAAUAUGUUGCUACGCAGGUUUCAGUAUCUGUAGAGAUCUUUUGUAACACUGAAGUUACUAAUGUAUGCCUUAUUAAGUAUUAUCAUGGCAGAUGAUUGACCUUAAAUUAAAACCCACUUGCUUUACCUUGCAGAUGUGUGACCUUAAAUUUAGUAGUAUUCAGAACUUAGUAACCCACUUGUCGAAUGCAGAAAUAUGGUUGAAAUGGUUUGCCACUUGUUGAACUUAGUAACCCACUUAGGGCCUGUUUGGUUAUCAGGGAUUGGACACUGGGAACAAUUCCAACUUGAAAUGUUGUGCUAAUUUGUACUAACUUUGCUCACAGGAAAUGAUUCUGGGAGGAAUUAUGCCUAAGCGAAUGAUAUUAACCCUUUGGGCAGUAAUUGUUUACAGAUUUUAAAAUACAUCUCUGAGAGGAGUAGGAAAGAGCAAUGAUGGCAGGAAGAGGGUAGAUAUCCACAGGAUGCGGCAGUACAGGUUGCAGCUCGAAUAGAAACUUGGUGAUAUCUUGGUCAUAUUACUUUACAUGAGCGACACUGAACCAUCAUAUCCACUAUUUAAAUAUGAAAAUUAUUUGCAAAGUACUAGUUAUGCAAAGCCCACUUUGGCAUGGAGGAGAAAAUGUUUCUAGAUGUUUUAGGCAAUUGAAUUCCCCUACUACAGAGUGCUAGAGCACUGAACAAUAGGUACUGAAUAUUAAUUAUUAUUCAAAGUAAAAUAUAUGGAUGCAAUGUGCUGAAAUAGAUGUCCUGCACUGAUAAAGAUUUAGUGGUGAUUCACUAAAUGCUGUUAUGGAAGUAUUAAAUAUAAAUGACUUGUUGUGCAGCGUGCAUUUGUACAUAUAUUUGGAAAUAGAUUGCAAGAUUGUCGUUGUGCUUCAUGAUUUCUAAUUCUUGCUAUUGAUUCUGUUUUUCUUAAACCUCAAUCAUUCAGAUAUGCAAGCAAGUGGCAGCACUGUUUUCAAACUUUAAGGUAUGAACAAAUUCAAGUGGACUAUGUGGCAGCAUUGCUCUUAGGCUCUAAAGGCAUGCACUGCUCAGUUUUGGGUGAGUAUUAAGUAUUAGUCCUGCACUUCUUUGGCAGAUUGUCUCUAUGUAGUUGAAGGCUUACAAUUUUGUUGGCUCGUAGUUGCACGGUCUAGGAUCCAAUGCUCAUGUUUCUCCACACAUAUGAGUCUUAACUGGCCAAAAGAUUUACAUUUUUUCAAAGAUAGUACCUUUGCACAUGUGAGUUUUAUUACUGAUCAAGUAUUCUCUGCAGAUGUUUUAUGAGGCUAUCUAUGGAUUGCGGCAAAAGGAUCAAGGCGCUCAUGGUGGCUAUUUUCAUUAGUCGUGAAAGAUUUUGUUGUGCGAGCAAAACAUCUGGGUUGUUGUUGUACAAGCCAACGUCUUAGUUUUCUAGAUACUUGAGUGUAGCUUGGUUAUUGCCUUAGUAUUUCGUGUGAAAUAUUGUACAAGUACAAAUGUUGAUGGUUUUAAUGAAAAUGAUGAGCAAUAUUUGUCAAUUGUGAGUUUUGUUCCAGUUUAUGUGUGUUUCAUGAGUGUUUCAGCAAAACCAUGACAGUUCAGUUCAUCACCAUAGUCUCUUCCUAUAGUUGCCCUCUGGUUCGUCCAUGACGAUCCAAAAAAUCACCCCGUGACGUUCUAUUUUGGUCUAAAAAAUGUAUCACGAGGAAUAGAUGACGUUCCUAUGAACCGUCAUAGAUAGUUAAUUGUGACGGAUUUUUGCUUGUCUGUGACAGAAUCAAACCGUCAUGUAUAAGUUAAUUUCUUGUAGUGUUAAUAUUAUAUAUAUAUAUAUAUAUUAUAUACAUUAAUAUUGAAACUAUGUUAGGCUACAAGAUUCAACCAAUGCAACAUGCAAUAUAUUUAUAUAUACCAUUACUUUGUACAUAAAAUUAUAUUAAUUACAAACAUCACACAUCAAAGUUUUUUGUUUACAGACAUAUGAGGUUUCACAUCUGAAACCUCUGCUCUAAUAACCCGAUCGAGAUAGCUUUAGCCUACUAAUAUCUCUUAGCGCUCUAAACUCAGGCUUUGCUAGGAUGCUGGUCGGGUCGUGAUAUUUCCCUUCGGUGGGAAUGGCUUCUCUCAAGAGAAAAGUGCAGAGGUCCUCAACUAUGUUAUAUAGAACAGCUUGAGUCACGCUCUUCGCCUUUUCCAACUCAUGUUGCUGCAGAGGAAGUUAGAAACAUCAUAAAUUUAUAGUUCAUAUAACACAUGCUUAGCAACAAAAAAUGACACAAAUAAUAUAAACGACUAUUAGAGCAAUACCUUAGAAGGGUUAGUUACAUAUCUUCCGGUCUCUCUCAUGAACUCGCAGACGUAGAAUCCAUAGUGGACCGAUCCGACUGGUUGCUUAUGGCACUGAUGUAUGACAAAAAAGUGGAUACUUAUUAGUUGCAACAUCGUCAUAUGCAUAUUAUAUUUAUAAAAGACAGCUUGUGAUAUUUUGGUACAUACCGGCCAUUUAUAAAAUAAUCUCAAUGGCUGCCCCGGUUCUGAUUAAUCACACCUUCCACCUUUGAUCUUAUAAUACCUAUAGGCCCUAUAGUAUCGAAUACACAAUCCUCAAGUUAUUCUGAAACUCUUAUAAAAGUAGGUAUGGAUAUUUAAUGUACUCAGCUUACCGUUCCAAGUGUGUAAUGAAUUUUGCAUAACUUGAAGGAUCAUAGUCUGCAGAGUCUAGGACUAGCACACGUCCUAGACUAGGAUUAAUGAGGAGGCAGAUCCAGUGGUCCCUGAGAGAAUCGAAUUUAUGAUGCAAGGUGCAUGAUUUAUUGAUACAAAUCCCAUCACCUUUUUUUGCGUGGGGAAUUGUUUUAGAAUAGUUAGGCAAAUUUCUGAUCAUAGGCUAAUUUAUUUGAUUUGUAUAGGUCCUCUGAGACUUAUCACUAAUAGGUUGUUUCUCUUUGUUGGAUAUGUCACUUUUACCAUUAUGAUGUAACUUCGCAAUGUGGCAUGUCGCACUUUUGGCCAUGGAUUUGGCUAGAAAAUGCAUUGGAUAGGGUAGCAAGAAGAUGGAUCAAAAAAAUUACUAUACUCUACAUGUAACUCUUAGAUGACUUGGACGAACUACACAUGAUAAAUCUGGCCUGAUAGGUUUCGGCUUGACUGGCUACAUCUAUGAGAUCUCUUAAAAGCAAGGAAACUAAUGGGAUAAGAGGGAAAAGUACUCUGUCGACUGCUUAGAUAUCUCAAAAGUAAUCAUUGGGAAACAUGUCCUUAACUUGCAAAAUAUAUGGAAACAUUUUGGUAAAUUACCUUUUGAAAAUGCACUCGAGAGUAUGGAAACUAGUGGGAUAAGGGGAAAAGUACCCCGUCAACUAAUUAGAUCUGUCAAAAGUAAUCAUUGAGGAACAAUGUCCUUAACUUGCUAGAUGUUAGGCAAUAUUUCAAUAACUCCUAGAGGGAAAAGUACUCCAUCGGCUACUUAGAUAUCUCAAAAGUAAGACCGAAUAUCCCAACACUUGGAUCCAAGUGCCCGAGUCUCUGGUUGAGUCCUUUUAUUACUUAGCUUGGUUCCGUGGACUAAUUAGAUCUCUAAUCAUUAAGGAACAAUGUCCCUAAGUUGCUAGACGUUAGGCAAGAUUUCAAUAACUCCUAGAGGGAAAAGUACUACAUCGACUACUUAGAUAUCUCAAAAGUAAUCAUUGGGGAACAAUGUCGUAAACUUGCUAAAUAUAGGGCAACAUUUUAAUAAUUCCCUUUAGAAAUGCAUUGGACAGGGUAGCAAGAAGAUGGAUCAAAAAAAUUACUAUACUCUACAUGUAACUCUUAGAUGACUUGGAUAAAUUACACAUGAUUAAUCUGGCCUGAUAGGUUCGGGCCUGACUGGCUACAUCUAUGAGAUCUCUUAAAAGCAAGGAAACUAAUGGGAUAAGAGGGAAAAGUACUCUGUCAAAUGCUUAGAUAUCUCAAAAGUAAUGAUUGGGAAACAUGUCCUUAACUUGCUAAAUAUAUGGAAACAUUUCAGUAAAUUACCUUUUGAAAAUGUACUCGAGAGUACGAAAACUAGUGGGAUAAGGGGAAAAGUACUCCGUCAACUAAUUAGAUCUCUCAAAAGUAAUCAUUGAGGAACAAUGUCCUUAACUUGCAAGAUGUUAGGCAAUAUUUCAAUAACUCCCAGAGGGAAAAGUACUCCAUCGGCUACUUAGAUAUCUCAAAAGUAAGACCGAAUAUCCCAGCACUUGGAUCUAACUUCCCGAGUCUCUAGUUGAGUCCUUUUAUUUCUUAGCUUGGUUCCGUCGACUAAUUAUAUCUCUCAAAAGUAAUCAUUGAGGAACAAUGUCCCUAAGUUGCUAGAUGUUAGGCAAGAUUUCAAUAGCUACCAGAGGGAAAUGUACUCUAUCGGCUACUUAGAUAUCUCAAAAGUAAUCAUUGGGGAACAAUGUCGUAAACUUGCUAAAUAUAGGGCAACAUUUUAAUAAUUCCCUUUAGAAAAUGCAUUGGACAGGGUAGCAAGAAGAUGGAUCAAAAAAAUUACUAUCCUCUACAUGUAACGCUUAGAUGACUUCGAUGAACUACACAUGAUAAAUCUGACCUGAUAGGUUUGGGCCUCACUGGCUACAUCUAUGAGAUCUCUUAAAAGCAAGGAAACUAAUGGGAUAAGAGGGAAAAGUACUCUGUCAAAUGCUUAGAUAUCUCAAAAGUAAUCAUUGGGAAACAUGUACUUAACUUGCUAAAUAUAUGGAAACAUUUCAGUAAAUUACCUUUUGAAAAUGUACUCGACAGUACGAAAACUAGUGGGAUAAGGGGAAAAGUACUCCGUCAACUAAUUAGAUCUCUCCAAAGUAAUCAUUGAAGAACAAUGUCCUUAACUUGCUAGAUGUUAGGCAAUAUUUCAAUAACACCCAGAGGGAAAAGUACUCCAUCGGCUACUUACAUAUCUCAAAAGUAAGACCGAAUAUCCCAGCACUUGGAUCUAACUUCCCGAGUCUCUAGUUGAGUACUUUUAUUUCUUAGCUUGGUUCCGUCGAUUAAUUAGAUCUCUCAAAAGUUAUCAUUGAGGAACAAUGUCCCUAAGUUGCUAGACGUUAGGCAAGAUUUCAAUAGCUACCGGAGGGAAAGGUACUCUAUCAGCUACUUAGAUAUCUCAAAAGUAAUCAUUGGGGAACAAUGUUGUAAACUUGCUAAAUAUAGGGCAACAUUUUAAUAAUUCCCUUUAGAAAAUGCAUUGGACAGGGUAGCAAGAAGAUGGAUCAAAAAAAUUACUAUCCUCUACAUGUGACUCUUAGAUGACUUGGAUGAACUACAUAUGAUAAAUCUGGCCUGGUUUGGGCUUGACAGGCUACAUCUAUGAGAUCUCUUAAAAGCAAGGAGACUAAUGGGAUAAGAGGGAAAAGUACUUUGUCGACUGCUUAGAUAUCUCAAAAGUAAUCAUUGGGAAUCAUGUCCUUAACUUGCUAAAUAUAUGGAAAUAUUUCAAUAAAUUACCUUUUGAAAAUGCACUCGAGAGUAUGGAAACUAGUGGGAUAAGGGGAAAAGUACUCCGUCGACUAAUUAGAUCUCUCAAAAGUAAUCAUUGAGGAACAAUGUCCUUAAGUGUCUAGAUGUUAGGCAACAUUUCAAAAACUCCUAGAGGGAAAGUACUCCAUCGGCUACUUAGAUUUCUGAAAAGUAAUCAUUGGGGAAUAAUGUCUAUAAAAUGCAAUUGGCCCACGUGGAAGCUUGCCACCUCCACACACAAGCACAUACAUAAUGUAAUAUUUUUAUUGGAAACAAACUAUUUGGCAAGUAAUAUUUAGCAAGUUUAGGACAUUGUUCCCCAAUGAUUACUUUUGAGAUAUCUAAGUAGCCGAUGGAGUAGGUUUCCCCCUAGGAGUUAUUGAAAUGUUGCCGAACAUCUAGCAACUUGAGGACAUUGUUCCUCAAUGAUUACUUUUGAGAGAUCUAAUUAGUUCAUCAACUUGCUAAUUAGGCCAGAUUUAUCAUGUGUAGUCAAGCCCUAAACCUAUCAGGCCAGAUUUAUCAACUUGCAAGUUUUGAGAGAUCUAGCAAGUCAAGCCCAAACCUAUCAGGCCAGAUUUAUCAUGUGUAGUUCGUCAAAGUCAUCUAAGAGUUACAUGUAGAGUAUAGUAAUUUUUUUGAUCCACCUUCUUGCUACCCUAUCCAAUGCAUUUUCUAAAGGGAAUUAUUAAAAUGUUGCCCUAUAUUUAGCAAGUUUACGACAUUGUUCCCCGUCCAAUGCAUUUUCAAAAGGGAAUUAAUGAAAUGUUGCCCUAUAUUUAGCAAGUUUAGGACAUUGUUCCCAAAUGAUUACUUUUGAGAUAUCUAAGUAGUCAACAGAGUACUAUUCCCCUUAUCCCACUAGUUUCUUGAGGACUUUACAACUUUUAAAGCAAUCACUAAUGAACUCAUGUAGAUACUCGAAGAGCAUACCACUCGUCUCCAGAUUACGUACAUUGGAUAGCAGCGCCUCCUUCGGCACUCUAGAAUCAAUCUCCACUUCAAUUCUUUAUCAACCGAAUUCGAUGAAAACCAAUCACAUUUGAUGAAAGGGAAUCGAAUUCGGUAAUCUUUAUGGAAUUGGAUUUUCCUUCCUUGGAAAUCGAAUUUGGUUUAUGUCAACUAAAUUCGAUGAACGAUAAUCAAAUUCGAUGAUAGUGAAUCGAAUGCGGUACAGUUCUUCGAAUUCGAUGUUAUGGCUUUCAAAAAAAGAAAUAUACCCAAACAUUGCCAAAUCCAUGGUCAAAAGUGCGACAUGCCACAUUGCGAAGUUAUGUCAUUAAUGGUAAAAGAGACAUAUCCAACAAAGAGAAACAACCUAUUAGUGGAGGAGAGAGGAGAAAUCAUUAUCAGAGGUAGCCAUCAAAGUUAGGGUUUAGAGCUUUUCUCCCACAGAGAAUUAGAAUUAGCUACUCCCUAAUCCUUCAAGUUUAGAGGAUUGAUUAGAUAGAAUUAGAGAAGUAGAACACUACGCUCUGGAUUCGGAUCUUUGUUAAUAAAGAUUGGUAUUAUUUCAUAUCUUUCUCUAAUACUUUGUUCUAAUUGCAAUAUGUCUCUAUUUAUUAUGUUCUUAGUUUGCUCUAGUUCUAUAUUUGAUAUAGUUAUGAUUGAUAAUGAGUUUAUGUAUAAGUUUGCAAAGCGCUUAGCUCUUGACACGUGGGAGUUAAGUGGUAGAUCACAUGUGGGCGUGGUGCUUAGAUGUUAUUUACCUGCAAAUGUAUCCUAUUGGCCGGGUUGUGUGGUAGUUCGCGGUAGUGACAGCUUCGUUGAUUUUUAUAUAGUCCACCCUCCAUUGAUAGGACGGGCAGAAUUUGUAUUGCGGAGUGAGUCUUGCGAUGCUCUGAUUUACUUUAGCAAUGUUCCUUAUACAUGAAUGAAGAGUCUUUUAUACUAUAUAUGAUCUUGUAGAUAACUAGAGUAGAUUGUGACUUAGUAGAUAGUAGAUAACUUAGAAUCCAUUCUCUAGCUAAUCCGACGUCACCUUAUAUAUAUGAGGAGUAGUCUAUUUUCUAAUCGCUGUGUUAUUUACCCAUGAGCUUAUAUUUCAUUAUCAUUAGUAUUAUGGAUUACCCCUUGUCAAAGUAAGUGACUGUGUGACGAGUUCCUCAUUAGUAAUUAUGUUCUUGCAAGUUUAUCUCUAGUCUAUGCCUUGAUAGAUUUUAUCCUUAUUUUAAUUUCACCCUUGUCCUCCUAAGCAAAAUUAUAAAUAACGAUACCUAGAAUACUUUUCCUGGUGAAAUGCUACAAUGAGGUGUUUUAUCUGUUCGCUUGCGGAUAGAAUAGAUUAUUUUCUAGAGAGCCUUUACAUUCAUAAAUACCUUUAUACACUCUGGCACCAUGCUGGGGAUGACAACCUAGUAUUCAAGUGGUGUUAGCUAGUGUCAACAAGCAUUUCUGGCACCGUUGCCGGGGAACAAAAGGGAAACACAUAGGAACGGUAAGGAAAGUCAGGAAAUCAGUCGAGGUUAUUCACAUAAAAUAUUAGACUAGACUAUGGAGAAAUAAUUGCAUAAAAGCUACUAAGUGAGAAAUCAUAACAAGGCACCUCUGCUUUGGCAGGUUCACCCUGUUGUUUUUCUAUGUUUAUAUUUUUAUACAGGGUAUAUCAGGAUUGACUUUGGGUACGUUCAACUCUUCAUCAUCAGAACCAAAGCAAUCAAGAAAGGAAGAAGAAGCUAGCUACCAAUUGCUGAAGCUAUGGCACAAAAGACUUUGCAAGAAUUCUCUGCUCCAAGUCUUGAGAACAUUCCAACUGGUCCAAGAUUUGCAGUAGAAGAAGGAGCACCCGAGUUCGAGCUCAAGUCAAGCCUCAUCAAUUUGGUACAAGCUACACAAUUCAGUGGAAAGGCACAUGAAGAUGCUAGUGCACACUUGCAGAAUUUCUUAGAGAUUGGAAGCACAAUCCACAUCAACGGAGCUGACAAAGACGUCAUACUACUUCGCCUUUUUCCAUUCUCACUAGAAGGGAAGGCGAGGAAGUGGUUUUACACUCAUCAAGAUAACAUCAACAACUGGACGAACUUGUCAGAUGCCUUUCUAUCAAAGUUUUUCCCUAUAGGCAAAACAACUGCCUUAAGAGGAAAUACUGUCAGUUUCCAACAGCAGAAGACAGAAACCAUUCCAGAAGCAUGGGAGCGUUUUCAAGGAUACAUAUCAGAUUGUCCUCACCAUGGAAUGGCCACAUGGUUACUUAUGUAGACCUUCUACCAUGGAUUAACCCAGAAGGCUCGUGAGUGCCUAGAUGCAUCUGCUAAGGGAUCAUUCUUGGAGCUUACAAUUUGAAAAGCAGAGAUACUUUUGGAUAAGAUAGCAGAAAACCAAAGCUGGUUCCAAGAUGAAGCUCAACAAUGUCAUCAAACUGAAGAAAUACCAGAAGAAGUAAAUGCAUUAUCAACCAAGAUGGAAAAUUUGCUCCAUUGGAUUGACUAGAGGGCCAAGUUUAAAGAAGAUCAAAGGGCCAUUGAGACAGCAUACAAAUAUCAACCUACUUCGAGUCAACCCAAUAGCAAAGGUAUGAAUUCAGGUAAUACUUUCAAGCAACUUUCAUUGAAAGAGAUAAUAGCUCAAGAAACUAAAACUAAUGAUGAAGUUAAACAAAGGCUAGACACAAAUGAAUCAUCUCUAAAAGAUAUACAUAAUAAAAUGGAUUUUCUAUUAACUGCCUUUGAUGAGCAAAACACUCUUAAUAAAAGGGUAGAGCUUAAAUUAAUAAAGCUAGCUGCUUCAUUGCCUGUUGCCACUAACAUUGAGCAGGUAAAGAACAUAACUACUAGAGGAGGCAAGGCCACCAGGGAUCCCCCGUACUCAAAAGAGAAACAAAGAACAUCAGCACCAGUGUAACCAGCAGUGAUAGAAGAAGAAAGCCUAGUUGAAGCAGAAGAUCUGCUACAAACAACAAGAACUCGAGAAAUGAGGAAAGAUUUUUACGACACCAACUAUUUUCCAUUUCCCAGAAGAAACAGAGGACUGCAGUCGGAUGAGCAGUUUGGUAAGUUUGUAGAGGUCAUUCAGAAAUUAUAUGUCAACAUACCUCUGCUUGAUGCCAUACAGGUACCUACAUAUGCAAAGUACAUCAGAGAUAUUCUUAACAAGAAGAGACCACUGCCCACCACUGAGGUUAUCAAGCUGACAGAAGAAUGUAGUGCGGCCAUCCUCAAUAAACCACCAAGGAAGAAGAAGGAUCCCGGAUGUCCCACUAUUGAUUGCUCGAUCGGAAACCAACACUUUAACAAUGCACUUUGUGAUCUCGAAGCAAGUGUCAGUGUGAUGCCAGCAUCAGUCUACGAGAAGCUUGAGCAUACGACCCUAGAACCAACAUCAAUGUGCCUGCAAUUAGCAGAUUAAUCAGUUCGACACCCGUUGGGCAUCGCCGAAAACAUUCCAGUCAAGAUAAGAAAUUUCCUUGUGCUAGUAGACUUCAUGGUACUGGACAUGAGUCCUGACUUAAAAGUGUCCCUCAUCCUUGGAAGGCCAUUUCUGAGCACUGCCAAUGCCCACAUUGAUGUCGGGAAGGGAGAAAUCAACUUCAACAUAAACGGACAAGAAGAACACUUCACAUUCAAGCCCAGACUAGAGAGAGACUCUAUAGUGAAGGAAGUUCAUGAAGAAGAACCACUGGAGACACCAUCUCCGGAGGAAGGUAAUUCAGAAGAUUAAAAGAUUUGGAGGUCCAGCUUGGUGGACCUAAAAAAUCCCAAAACCUCGCCGGGAGGUAAAUCGAUAUUUAUCCGCAUCAUUAAUUCUUGCAUAAUUAAUUCUUGCAUUAUUCAUAUUUAUUCAUAGCAUUACUAUAAUAAUGAAAAGCCCCAUAUAAAUAAUAUUUAUGGUGUGUAACAACCCAUAUUUAUUAAUUAUUGUGGAGGCACAAAAAUAUUUUCCAUUAUCAUUUCAAUAAGUUUCAAUUCUCAUAGAUUUUCCUGCAUUAUAUUUAUAGCAACCUUCUAGAAGCAUGACCCACACUCCUUGGGUCCCACAUGUCAUACACCACACCUCACACACAUCCCAUCGCAUUAUUUAAUCCACCAACAUAACUCCACUCACCAGCACUUUUCCAUCGACCAACCACCACCCAUGAACUAUUAUUCUGCGUAAGAGUUAAGCAAAGGAGGGAGUGGAGAAAAGGCAGCCAAGAUGGCCACCAAAGGUGGGUGGCCGCCCACCUACAGAGGGCGCCUGCCCUGUCCCCCCUUCCUCCUAUAAAUUGCCACCUCCUGCCUCCAUCUCCAUCACACAAGCCUCCCAGAAAGCCACGCAAGAUUCAGUUUCCAGAGAAGGAGCUCUUGUAGUGAAGUGAGAAGAGAGUAGAGAGGAAGAGAAGAGUAGAAGAGAGGUUGGUAGUCUUUGAGUGAGAGAGUGAGGUUUACCUAGUAAGUAGUGAUCCUGCUGUCCAAAGCGGAAGUAAAAAUUGUUUAGGGGGAGGUGCUGCCAAAAUAAAAACUUGUCUUGAACGACUAACCCCUAGACUACUGACAUUUCGGACAGCUAACCACUAACAUUUUUUCUCACAUUUUCCACUAGUUGUGUUUGUGUCAACUUUUGUUUGCAGGAUGUUCAAGAAGGUGAAGAGCGCUGGGAAGGCCCUCAAGAACAUAGGUACAAGGAGUUCAUCCCGACACUCCUCACACCCGUCAGAGAUGAGUGUCGACCCCACACCCCCGCAAGCUCCAUCAUCUUCGUCUGAUCCACAAGUCAAGGUCCUCCUCAAGAUAGGAGAACUUGGACUGAAGACCCGCAGGGAAAAGGGAGUUUACUAGCAGCUAAAGAAUAAGGAUUUCAUUCACACCCCCACUCUUGAUCCUAUCUUGCUACAAGAGACAUGUAUGGAUACUGAAUUCGAUUUGAUUUUCCAGAUGGUGGGAUGGACAAAUUUUUGGAACAUAACUGAGCUGGGUUCCCGUCUUCUCACCCUUGAAUUUCUUUGCACUUUACAUUAUUAUGAGGGGGGAAUUGCUUUUCGGAUGUUCAAACAGGACAUUAUGUUGUCUUGAAGAGAACUGAGCGACCAUCUCGGUUUCUCUUCAAGAUGCAUCCUGAACAUUGACUCCGACUUACCCAAUUUUGAGAGACACCAGUUCUGAAGAGAGAUAUCUAGAGAUGAGUUUUAUAGUCAAGCCCGAACAAGUGACAAGGAACACCCCACUCUUAGGAUGUUCCACAAAUGGCUUGGGUACAAUCUUUUCCAUCGUGAUGAUAUUAGAAAAGUAAGAGUAGAAGAUUUACAACUUCUAUAUGCUGCUAUAAAUAAAACCCACUUCACCUGUUACACUUUUGGUUUCUCAUUGGCUUAGUAUACCUAGUCUUCAGGGACCAGUAGGGUGUACUUCACUUAUCACUCGUCUAGCCUCUAAUUUUCAUUUGCUAGAAAACUCAUCAUUGGAAUUCAUAGAUGAGUUACAAAUUUAUCAUGGCUAUGACACAUUUAGGCAAGCUCAGAUGUUGAAAAAAGAGGGGAACAUAAUGUAUAUGUUAUACGAUAACAAAGGCAAGAUUCGGUUACCUAACCCGAACCUUGGCCUCUAUGUUGUUCAAAUUUUUUUUAUUGAGAUUGCAGUGACACCGGUAAACCAGAGAGCUCCACAACGAGUGGCAUCUGAAAGGAUGACCACCCAUCGAGAACGCACUUGGUAUGGAGCUGAUCCCAGGCCGGAAGAAGCAGUGCACCUACAUUAUUGUGACUACAACCCCCGAGUCCUUUGGGACCCAUGGGUUCGACAUGCUCAACCACAAGAGCCAACACAGGAGACAUGGCCGGAGAGCCAAGAUCACCAGUGGACAAACCCACCUUUCCGUACGGGCAGGUACUCCACUGAUCCAUAUGGAGCUUCAGGGUCUAGACCUCCGCCCCAAUUCGAUGCAGGACGAUACUCCGACGCCUCUUAUGCUUUCACGAACGACUACUACCAAGAGGCCGGCGCUUUCUUCACCCGUACCGACAACACCCUCCUCGACAUCCAGAAUAUGCAAGCAGAACAUGGAAGACUCCUGGAACAGCAACAAAAAUGGAACUAGGACCACGCCACUGCAGUACAAGAACUGAGACAAGACACCACGACAAUGAAUGACAACAUCACCACCAUGAUGAGGUUCUAGAACAUUGGGUAAGACCGACAACCACAUCUAGCUUGGGGGAGUUUCUCCCCAUUUUAUCAAGUAAGUUUUUAUUUGCUUUUCUUAUUUAUUCUUUUCUACUUUAGUAUUUUACCUUAAAGAGAAAAACUUAGAAAACCCAAUAAAUAUUUUCUUGCAUUAAAUUACUGCAUUUUAUAAACAUAAAAACAAAAUAAAAAGAGUGUGUAGAUAAGUGUGCUUUAUUUUUCCUGCUAAGUUUAAUCUCUAGAAAAAAAUAAAAGACCAAAAAAAUGCAUGAUGGAAAUGAUGAACAGUUGCUCUCUUUGCUUACUUUCAAGUACCUAACUUUCAUAUUAGAGUUCUUCCAGGAAUUAUUAAAACUGAAAAUUACUAUCUUUAGGAAGCAUAAAACUAAAGUCUAAGUAAGAAAAAGGCAUAAUAUAAAGUUUGAGCUACUGUUUAUCUUGUUCCUACUACACUAAGUUCUGGAGAUUUAUUUUGAAAACUUACAAAUCACAUGAUGAGUUCCUAGCAUGACAAAAUUCCUACCAGAGCCAUACUUGCUAUAACAUCCUUUCCUACUUAUAUUCACAUUGAGUUUGAUCGAGCUGUGUAGACCCUUAGGAGCUUUUCAUGUUGUUAAAUUAAGAUAUUCACUUGCACACAUCUACUACACCAUCCACUACCAUUCAUUAAAAUUGCUAAAAAUAUUAUCACUCACUUUCCCAAGUACUGUUAUUCUCUUUCUCCAAAAAGAUUCAAUGCAGAAGAGGCAUGGGUUAUGCAAAAACAUGCGAGGAAAUAAAAAGGGGCAAGUGCCCGAAACCUCGAGAAAGAAAGAAAAAGAGUGAGACGAGAGGUAAAAAUGGUCAAGUGUUCGGAGUAGAAUUAGGGGUACAAAGAUGCCCACUUGAGCGGAAAAAAAUAGACAAGUGUCCGAUAGUAGAAUUUGGGGUGUCUACUACCCACCUUAAAAAAAAGAGAAGAAAAGAGAUAGCCCAUGUUCUCUCAAAGCAAAAAUCAAAGAAGAGGAGAGAUAGCAAUAUGAGGAGCAAUGAGAAGUAAGCUUUAUCAUCACUUAUACAUUUUUACAAUCACUAUCAUUUACUUCACCACACAUGCACAUCUUGAUUUAAUUAUAUGCUGAGUUCCUUUGGAUCCAUGGUGUUGAUAUUUGGUAACGCAAAAAGGAAAUGAUCCGCAAGCGCACGGAUAUCGGUGAGCAUUUCACCCGAGAGGUUUUCCAAAGUAUCGUAUUUAUAUUUUUACCACUGGAAGAAAGGGUGCAUCUGACUAACCAAAUCUAUUGCUACUAUCCCUUUAGGCUACAAAGAAUGUUUCUUGAUGUGAGUGAUGUAUAGAGAAGACUGCAACCGUAGUCUCGUUCUAACCUUGGUAAGGAUGAUCUACUAUUCUAUUGGGGAAGCUUACGGAAUCUAGACACCACAAAGGAUGUUCGACCCGCACCUAUAAACCUACCCGUCCUGCUAACGAGAUGUGGGCUUCAAAGGUAACUCAGAAAUGUCACGUUCCUCGCUACUACCACGGUCCAGCUAGUCAGGGGAUAUCUAUGAGUACUCUAGCCUAAACACAACGUUUACGCUAGCAAUGAUUACUCUAAUACUCAACCGAAAGAGAUUAAAGUAAACUCAUAAACCAAACAACAAUAAAACAAGAACUUACUAGAAUUAGAAGUCGAAUUACUGAAGAAUCCUAGGAGCAAGCCUCGGGUUAGAAGACUUGAUCCCGCAGGUAUAACCUCGGAGUAGACACCGACAGGCCGGGCUUCCUCCGAUCUACACCUCCACUCUAUAUCUCUCAAUCUGGUAGAAACAAGAAGAUCUAAUUCUACUCACAUUGGAUGCUAAGCCUAAAAUAAAUAUUUAUUUAGAGGAGAGGUAUUCCUUCGAGGGCUCCUCUCAACUCUAUGAUGAACUUGUUCUCCUCCAGUUGCCAGGGGGUCUGCUUAUAUAGUCCCCUCCUUUUGUGCCUUUUUGGUUCAACAGGCGAUGUGGUACUAAACUUUCCACCAUAUCUCUUUAAAAUGCACAUAGGCCUUAAUGGACCAAAAUCUGAUUUGGGCCCAAUUAAUCCCGCAGCUCUUUUAUGUGGAGUCCUUCUUUUAUUAAUAUCUCUUGAUUCCGAACUCCAAAUAUAGCAAAUAAUAUAUGCAUUUCGAUCAGCUCGAUGAGAUCUUUGUAAUGGUGUACUCCAUUCUAUGAUUGGAGCUUGUACCAGGGCGGGCGCCCUGCCCCCGGGCCCGUUCGGUCUCCCGUUCGUUCCCGUGGCUUCUGGACUCUUCUAGAUGAUAGAAAAUUACGCGGCACGUUAAUAUCUCUAUGUAAACCCGACCUGUGGGCCUUUUUCCUUAUUUCCUGAUAACCCCCUGCAGAAAUAGACAAACACCAAAACUCGUGGAAUCUUGUUAGAUAAAACUCUAAGUCUAGGUGUUGGUUGCAUUUGGAUCCUUUUCUUUAUUUAUUUGAUGAUUAUAUUUGGUACUUAAGGACCGUCAACAACUCCCCAAAGCUUACCUCUUGCUCGUCCCUGAGCAAGGAUGGUCUCAAGAGUUUCUGCAGUGGUUUUAUGCCUUAAAAGUACACAUGCGUUCAAGCAAGAUCUCAUCUCUGAGUUAGAGUAAACUGUUAAGACUUAAAACUUACUCAUUUUACCUUUCACCAUGGGGCUUGUAACUGUCACUUGUGUCUUGAGCAGUUAAAAGAUAGAACAGUCUAGUCAAGUGCCAUGUCUCUUGUUCUUGAUCAGCUAUAGCUCUGGAGUUUUUGCAGAUUUUCAAAUAAAACUCAGAGAUUCCUUGUAUGACUCUCUCAAAUCUCUCUUUUGUGGUAUUUCUAGAUCCUUCCCAAGGCAGUAAUGGUAUAUGCCUUCUCUCAUAGUAUGUGGUAUUUUUGGUAUGAGGCAUAGUGAUAUUGCCUUCUCUCUCACCCUACUCUAAUAAGGUUUUGAUAUCUGGAGCUCAUAGGUGGGAGACAGAUAAUACAUACUUACAAGACAUUUAUUGCAUAGUCAAACUAUGGAUCAGAAGAACAAGUCAAUAAGUCAAAUCAAGAUGUGCAUGUGUGGCGAGUGAAUAGUGUAUGGUGAUGAUGGUGAUAAUAAUGGUGAAAGUCUAAUUCUACGUUUGCUCUUUUGAGGGGAUACAUACCUUUCUUGCACUUUAAAGCUUUUUGAGGGGAAUGAGAUGCUCUAUAUUUUUUCUUUUUCUCUCAGGUGGGUAUCUUGUACCCCUAAUUCUACUGUCGGACACUUGUCCAUUUUUACCUCUCGUCUCACUUUUUCUUUUCUUUAAGGUUCCGGGCAUUUGCCCCUUUUUAUUUCCUCGUAUUUUUCAUCUUUUUCUUCUUCUUUUUUUAGAGCACUCUUUUCCUAAAAUAAUAUAGCAAGUGGUAGUAACCAAGAUAACUCAAGCAUUUAUUUCACAGGAAAAAACAGAAAUGUUUUUGGCUAUUCUCUCCCGGAUUAGGAGUAGAAUACUUUUGGGUGAAUCUGGAUAUGAAAAUGAGUGGAUGUAUGUGAAUGCGUACUUCCGGAGUAGAAACAUGUAACACCCUAAAAUUUGCAAUUUUCCAAAAUAGGAUAAAUUGUUAAAUUGUGUAUUUUUGUGCCCAUAAAAUAUAGGAAAAAUAUAUUUUCUUUAAAUUAAAAUUUGCCAUAGGAGCUAGCAACUUGUUUGAGCAUGCAUGUCCUUGCAUUUGUUUUAUUGUAAUGAGUGAUUUUGACUAAGGUUCAAAAAUAUAUUUCAAACAGAUUUUAAAUUAAAUUUGAAAGAGGUUUUGAAUAAAAAAAAGAGAGAUUUAUUUUUCUCCUCCCUCUCCCUGGAAAUCGGCCCGAAGGCCCAGAACCCCCCCUUCUUUUUCUCUCUGGCCCAAGCGGCAGCCGCGGCCCACUCUUCCCCCCCUCGCUCGGCCCCAGCCCACCUGGACGCAACAGCCCAGCAGCUGUGCGCCACGCCUCUCCCCUCUCUUCUUCCACUGCCGAGUGGGUCCUGCGCCCUUGAGUCGCAGACAGGUGGGGCCCACCUGUCGGACUCGUCUCUACCUCGUGACGGAGCCGGACUCCAUCGUGAGUUGGAAACGGCCGCGCGUGACCCUCGCGGUUGGCUUGCCCCGCACGCCGAGGGGGCCUUAAAUAGCACCCCAGCUCCGCCAAUCCCCCUUGCCCAACUCUAGGUCGAGCAGCCGCCGCAGCCGAGCCAUAGAACGCCGCCGAGAUCCGCGCCGCGCUCGGAAUUCCGCAGCGCCGAAGCUUUGCCCCCGUAAGCUCCAUGCCGAGCUUCCUAUCGUCCUUGCGACUUCACCAAGCUUUCUUGCUCGCGUUUUCGUGCUCUCUGCGCCCUGUUUGACCUUGCCGAACCUUGCAGGGGCUCGCCGUCCGCCUUCCUUCGUCGCGAGCGCGCUCCGACCGCUCCUCGACUUCGUUUUGGCCCUAGGUAAGAUCGCAGUAAGCUACUCUAUCUCCCCGUGCCCUUGGUUCUUUGAAUCGUGGCCUAAAUCGACCAGACGCCGAACUCUGGCGAGGUCUGGCCAUGGCGCCGCCGCAGACACCUCCAACUCCGGCCGUCCAACACCCCAGUCCCCACUCCAAUCUAAUCUCAGCCGUCCAAGAGCAAUCCGACGGCCCAAAUCAGGAGAUACCCCUUCGUCCGCGCCUUUUGCAAAAGAGCCCCCUGGUUUUUUAAAGUCUUAACCCGCAGUCCAAGCGCCUUUCUCAAAAUACGUUUUCUCAAUAGGAUUACGUAUUUCUGAUCGGUUGAAUUCAAAAUACGUUUUCAGAAAAUUACAAGUUUGCCACUGGAUUUGUUUUACACAUAAAAUAUUCAUCUUAAUUCCGUUUUGACUCGUUCAAAUUGCGUUGGUUUUGUAUUCAAAAGAUCUACAUGUUAGUAACACUGUUUUCUUAGUUUGAAACUUUUUAAUUCCGUGACCCAAUUAAUUAAUUGUUUUUCUAAAGAAAAUCUUAGAAAAUUCAUAUAUUCUUCGUUUCAACUCCGUUUUGAUCCGUUCAAAUUUCGUUAGAUUCGUUUUUGCGUAAUCUAUAGAUUAGUAGCUCUGUUACACAUGCUUCCAACUUUUUAAAUCUGAACUUAGUUUUAAUCUAUUAUUUUAUUAAAGGAAAUUUUAGGAAAAUCAUAACUUCUUCGUUAUAGCUCCGAUUUUCGUGAUCUUUACGUCUGUGUGAUCGUAGUGCGAUGUAGAUUUGUUUUAUAAAGUUUUUAUCUUUAUUUUCUACUGUUGGUGUAUUGUUCUAAUUAUAGGUUUGCUUUGCUUUGUAUGAUUGCCUCUCGAUGAUUGUUGUUGAUGUGAUGAUUGAGUUUAGUCGGUGAGCUUUUACGUGGUGUUCAAGAAGCAGAUUGUGGAAGGUUUGGAACUAAAAGAAGGAUCUGAGUUUCAAGGCAAGUAUAGCAUGGGAUCAUCCUUGUUUCCUAACAACUUUAAUCACACAAUUCAUAUUGCAUGUGUCUCUUUGCUAAGGAUUUCCUAGAAUUGAUCUUAUACCUUGUCACCUAUGGUUUUGCAUUGGGUAGCUUAUGCUAGUGCUCCACUAAACCAUGAUCUUGUAAUUUGAAUUAAUGGAAUAUGCAAUAAACAUUAAAAGAGGACUUUUUAGCAACUUUGGAAAAGAGGGCUGGAGCAUUGGGCUAUCUUAUGGUGCUCUAGUUUCUCUCCAUAAGGACUUAUCUGUAUCUGACCAUCCGGGACAUACAGUACAACUGUGAGGGCUACAUGGCUCUGGCUUUAGCUCAGUAUGAGGACCUUUUCUAGCUUGUUAGUGGUUACCCUUGUGGCGCAAGUGGGGGAUAGCAGACUGUGGAUUCCUGCGGGUGAGUCACACGGACUGACUAACGAAACCAAGCGGCCCUAAUUUGUUAGACGAACCUUUGAAAGGCUUCAUAGUGAACCCUGCCGGCCUCCCUAGGAAGGGGGUUAAUAACACGCGACCUCAGGCGAAAGGGUAAAUCACGACUCACAGUGAAAGUGUACAACCUCUGCAGAGUGUAAAACUGAUAUAUCAGCCGUGCUCACGGUCACGAGCGGCCUUGGACCAAUACAGAAUAAAUGAUCACUAAUGGCAAAUUGUUAAAGUUAUUGUUGUUAAUAUGUUGUUUAUGCUAUUCUUUAUUCACUUUACCUGAUCAUGAGUUUAAUACAGGAUUUGACAACUUGAUGCUACUCAUAUGCUAAAAUUGAGACAACUAAAAGCUACAUGCAGUUAAACCAGUGUCUAGCCUUUGAGCCUCAUGAACCCCAUGUUAUUCUUGCUGAGUACGAGAUGUACUUACGCUUGCCUUUACAUUUUAUUUGGAUAAAAAUCCCGGAUGGGUACCAGAUUGCUAGUUUGGAGAAGAGUUUAGGCUUGUGCUCAACCAGUCAGUUGUCCCUGUGGAUUUGGAGCUUUCGCCUGAAGAAUGGAGUGUCUUUCCGCUGUUUGCUAUCUAAGGUUAUAUCUUUUAAACUAAGUUCGUUAUAUAUAAGCAUUGACUAUUGAUAUUACCCCUUAUUUGUGGCUAUAUGUGAGAUUUGACUUCCUGGGCUCACAUAUGGUGUGUAUCUGGUUUUGUUCUUAAAACCGGGUGCUACAAAACAGCAUGUGUGAGUGAACGUGCAAGUGAAUCUUGAUUUUAACCACAUGAUAAGCUCCUAAGGGUCUACCCAGCUUGACCACACUCAAUGCUCAUAAGCAGUAAAAAGUAAAUGUGUGGCUCAAAGUCUAAUAAGCAUGUAUAUAUGGCUGUGGUAGGAUUUUAAACUCUUAUCAUACAUGAACUCAUCAUGUGUUAUUUUAAAGAUUUUCAAAGAUAAAAUUCUCCAGAAUUCUAGCAUCUCUAGGAACAAAUAAACAACAGCUCAACCUUCCCAUAUCAUAUCCGUUAACAACUUAGACAAUAGAUCAAGUACUCUUCCCACAAGUUCAGGUUUAGAGCAAAUCUUAAUUCAUAACAGUCAUGCCUAAACUUGAGAAAGAUUUCAAUUUUUAGAACUAGUCAUGGCAGAGCAACUAUUCAUCAUUUCCAUGUGAGAGCUUAUCAUGAGGGUUCAUAGCAAACUUUAUUUAUUUAUUUAUUUAGCAAACUAAGCAAAGAUAUAUAUAUAAGCAUAGAAUUUUUAUUUGGGUUUUUUUAUGAUUAUGCAUCUUUUUAUUAUUUGAGUAAAGUAUAAAUAUGAGUAGAACACUUAGCUGGAUAAAUGGGGGUGCUCUCCCCCAAGCUGGAUUUUGACGUAAUUUCUUCUGAUGUAGCUAGCAAGUGGCAGAGGUGUAUUUGAAUGUCGGCAACACCUUGACAGCGAUUAGGAUGUCCUCCGUCUGCUAGUCUUCUUUGAUCCUUGAAUUCUGUGGAGCUCAAAUAGACAACAAAGCUUUGUGGAACUGGUUAAGUGUUAGCAUAAAAUCUCUUUGCCUUUAUCAUAUUGAGCUUCCUCCUAAUAAAUUUUAUUUAGCAGGACUAUGCACUUAUUAUUUAUAUUUUUAUUGUAAGAUGAAAACAUAUUUAUUUUAUGCCACCAUAGUGAAUGUACCUAUGGGUUUUAUGCCAUGAGCAUACUCGCAUGGGGCUUACUAUUUUUAACAUUUUUAUUUUCUUUUCAAGAUAGUAUGAACCUGAUUAACUAAGCAAACUAUUUUAAAUAGGAAAAAGGAUAACUACCAAGUUUACCUCUUGGCAAGGCGUUCGGUGUUUUUGAGUCCUCCGAACGGGACUCUCCGUUUUCUCAGUCGUCCUGGGAUUCGCUGGGUGGCGUAGUCGGUGGUUCCGGCGAUGCCUCCUCUUCGUGUAUAACUAUCUUCUCCCUCCACACCUGACUCGGUGCUAUGGUCUCCUCAGGAUAGUUCUGUUCAAGCCGUAUGUCUUCAGACCUUACCACUUUUCCUUUGUAGUCUGCCCAUCCGUCCUUGAUGAUUUGCCUCCUGUGGUUGCGUUGUCUUCUUCUUGUCCUGACCUGCUUAGAGUCUUCAACUAUAUAGUUAAGGUCAGUAAAAUAUCGGCAUACCUUCUUAGAGGGGAAGUGCAUGUGGACUUCUCCGGUUCCAAUAUAAAUGAUAACUUUGAUAGUGUUGAGGAACGGUCUUCCAAGGAUGAUGGGUGGAUCGUACUCGUUUUCUCCCAUGUCAAUGACCUGAAAAUCGUCUGGAGCUGAAUGUAUCUUGGUUGUAGGAGCAUGGUUCCAUGCAGGAGCUGAUAAGUGACUGCGGCCAUUAUGUUGUCGUCAGAUCCGGUGUCGUAGAGUGUCUUCUGAAAAGAGUAUCCAUUGAUUGUGCAUUCGAUGCUUGGAACACCUGGGUCAUCUUUCUUGAUCAGGAAAGGCGACAUGAGUCGACGAUCUUGACCCUCUCCGACAAGGAUCCAAUGUUUUAAGUCUUCUAGACAAGACUUCUCACCGUCUUCAUCCUUUAGGUGCAUCAUUUGAUUAGGUGUGGACCUUGACAUCUGCACCUCUUGAUACGGAGUCACCCAUGUUCUUUGUUUGCCUAGCAGUUUGAAGUGCAGUGUUGGCAAUAUCCUGCUCAGUGUGUUUGUGCUCGUAGAUCCAGGUCCUUCACUUGGUGGAGUCUUGGAGUUGUAAAACUCCUCCAUGUUUUGCUUGAAGUGUACCUGUUCAUAGAGACAAGGCAGAGAUCAAGUGCAUGGGCCCUGUUGGUGGAAAACACCAACAGAACCAAAAGUGUAUUUGUUCUUCUCUAAUCCUUAAGCAUAGUGAGCAAGACAAAGUUGAUGGAUCAUGAGUGUAGCAUUUGUCAGAUCAAAUGGCUCAACCUAAUGGAAAGAUAAUCUAUCUAUAUUUAUGUUUUGUUUAUAUCUUCCAAAGAUUGAAUGUGCAACAUUUGAACUUAUAUGAUUAGGAGCGUGGGAUCACGAAGGUAGUACUAAGAACAAAGAUUAAAGGACUAAACAUGUUGAAUUAAUUGGGUUGGUUAAUUUUGAGCUACAUAUCAUACAUGUUUGUCUCUUUAUUUUAUGUGAAUGCUAGAACCAAGGAGAAACUUAUAAAAGCGAUAGUCAAGUACCUUAAGAUGUUACCUUAAUUGAAGAGUGAUGGUAUAGUAUCACCUUGUGGAAGCUUUCCUUUCUUAGCGGUUGUGCAUCGUGUUUGUGGCACCCUCCAUAGAUCAUCUCUUUAUGAUAAAUGAGCUAUGUCCUUCUUGUGCAAAUUGUUAAACUUCAUGUGUCUCCUUUAUCUCCAAUGUAAGUUUGUAUCUCAGGACUUCCUAGGUUGAUAUUGAAAGUUUUCCUGCAGGGGUUAGUCCGACAAAAUAUACCAAUGCCUACUCAAGCAGUUUUUAGUUCAAUAACAAAACUAGACUCCAUGUCUAAUCAGAUUAAGGAAGGUUGUUUAACCUAAGCACCACGCUUAAUUUAAAAGCCAAUAGAAGUAUGUACAGUACUUCCAAACUAACACUUACUAGGAUACACAUAGGUAACAUGACGACUUUUAUAGAGAUCUACUUAAGUGGAGAUGAAGUAGUGUGAUUAGUAUUUAACAAAUUGAGCAUGUCUCAAAGGUAAGGACAACCAACAUAGCAACAUGGCAAAGGAUGUUUUUAUGUGAAGUACUCCCCCAAGCUUGAAUUUUGCAAAAUUCAAGUUUGGAUGAAUUUAAUUCAAUGUUGUGUAAUGGUUGGUUGGACAUACCUUGUGCUUGUCAUUCAUCCCAUCUUCUUGCUCCAAUCCUGGAAAGGUUAGUGGUAAGAAUACCCGAAGGAAUAUUUCUACAAUUAUCUUUAUAUGCUCAAUACACAAGGCAAUGUUGCAAAUAAUUAGAAGUUCAUGUUAUGAUCUGAUAAGUGCUUGUUUUAGGACACUAAGCUUGUCCUUGGGAAACCAUCAAUUAACUCAACGAGAUCUGCAAUAUUUAUUAUAGACAUAUGCAUCGACAAUCGCCCUUUUAAAGUUUUUAUAAAUAGAAAGAAAGAGGGGGUUGGAAAUCUCAAAUGUGGUAGGGUUGGAGAGACCAAUUGAUUGGGGAGAUGUUUUAUAUGAGCAAGCACUUGGUGAGGUAUUUAUGAAAUAACUUCCAUGCUCACUGUUGUUUCUCUCAUUCUCAAACUCCAAGGAUGAUUCUUCAUGAAUGCUUAAAAUUCCUCUAGGAUUGUCUCUCAAGUUUGUUUUAUCCAUCCAUUCAACAGUGAUAGCACAUGGAUUUUUAAUGCCCUCUAGCCAUUGAUGUUGCUCUUCUCGAUCCUCCUUGUGGUCUUGGUGACUCUUAUGCAUGGGAUGUCUAGAGAGAUUCGUAGGAUCAUCGGGAGGUUCAAGAGAAAGAGCAUAGUAGAAAUUAUUAAGCUCAAGGAUGGGUUGGAUAGCCGAAUCAUGGGAUUGGAAUGUUUGGAAAUCGGCUAUUGAAACUUCCUUUCCUUGUCUGGGAGAUGAUUCCUUCUCUAUCUCUAGGAAUUUUUAUGAAGACUAGUGCAAGAAGGAUGUCCACAAAUGAAGACAUACCUUCCUUUACUAAUAGAUAAAGAAAGAAGGACUCUACCAAAGGUUAUAUGAUUAAGACCAAUGUGAAAAUAUCUAGGAAAAACAUGGUCUUGUAGGGCUAGGAUUAAACCAGAAUUUAUAGAAAGAUUAACAGAUUCCCUAGGUGUAGCUAAAAGUUCAUUAUCUUCUUGAUUAAAAGAUAGGACCUCAGCUAUAGAAAAGGGUUGGUUUUGACCAAUUGCAAUCAACUCCGGACACAGAUCAUAAUUAGGGGCAGGACUUGUUGACUCCCAUGGUCUAUGGCUGGUCUCCGAAGGUGCAAAGAAUUCAGUAAUAGGUAUGGAAUUUGAGUUAUCCAUAAAGAUGAAAAAAAUAAAAAGAUAAAAGAAUAAAAGUAUAAAAGUAUAGUACAAGAUAAUAGCAAGACUAAAAGUUAUCUCAGCAAACCGUCUUUCUCCCCGGCAACGGCGCCAGAAAUGCUUGUUGAUAUUUGGUAACGCAAUAAGGAAAUGAUCCGCAAGCGCACGGAUAUUGGUGAGCAUUUCACCCGGGAGGUUUUCCAGAGUAUCGUAAUUAUAUUUUUACCACUGGGAGAAAGGGUGCAUCUGACUAACCAAAUCUAUUGCUACUAUCCCUUUAGGCUACAAAGAAUGUUUCUCGAUGUGAGUGAUGUAUAGAGAAGACUGCAACCGUAGUCUCGUUCUAACCUUGGUAAGGAUGAUCUACUGUUCUAUUGGGGAAGCUUACGGAAUCUAGACACCACAAAGGAUGUUCGACCCGCACCUAUAAACCUACCCGUCCUGCUAACGAGAUGUGGGCUUCAAAGGUAACUCGGAAAUGUCACGUUCCUCGCUACUACCACGGUCCAGCUAGCCAGGGGAUAUCUAUGAGUACCCUAGCCUAAACACCACGUUUAGGCUAGCAAUGAUUACUCUAAUACUCAACCAGAAGAGAUUAAAGUAAACUCAUAAACCAAACAACAAUAAAACAAGAACUUACUAGAAUUAGAAGUCGAAUUACUGAAGAAUCCUAGGAGCAAGCCUCGGGUUAGAAGACUUGAUCCCGCAAGGUACAACCUCGGAGUAGACACCGACAGGCCGGGCUUCCUCCGAUCUACACCUCCACUCUAUAUCUCUCAAUCUAGUAGAAACUAGAAGAUCUAAUUCUACUCACAUUGGAUGCUAAGCCUAAAAUAAAUAUUUAUUUAGAGGAGAGGUAUUCCUUCGAGGGCUCCUCUCAACUCUAUGAUGAACUUGUUCUCCUCCAGGGGCCAGGGGGUCUGCUUAUAUAGUCCUCUCCUUUUGUGCCUUUUUGGUUCAGCAGGCGAUGUGGUACUAAACUUUCCACCAUAUCUCAUUAAAAUGCACAUAGGCCUUAGUGGACCAAAAUCUGAUUUAGGCCCAAUUAAUCCCGCAGCUCUUUUAUGUGGAGUCCUUCUUUUAUUAAUAUCUCUUGAUUCCGAACUCCAAAUAUAGCAAAUAAUAUAUGCAUUUCGAUCAGCUCGACGAGAUCUUUGUAAUGGUGUACUCCAUUCUAUGAUUGGAGCUUGUAACAGGGCAGGCGUCCAAGGGGGGAGGGCGGGCGCCCUGCCCCCGGGCCCGUUCGGCCUCCCGUUCGUUCCCGUGGCUUCUGGACUCUUCUAGAUGAUAGAAAAUUGCGCGUCACGUUAAUAUCUCUAUGUAAACCCGACUUGUGGGCCUUUCUUCCUUAUUUCCUGAUAACCCCCUAUAGAAAUAGACAAACACCAAAACUCGUGGAAUCCUGUCACAUAAAACCCUAAGUCUAGGUGUUGGUUGCAUUUGGAUCCUUUUCUUUAUUUAUUUGAUGAUUAUAUUUGGUACUUAAGGACCGUCAACACAUGGCUCGAUUAAACAACAUAUGAAUGAGCUGUUUUUCACUCCUAUGAGCUCCACUUAAAUAUCCAUUAGCUAUAGGUAAGUGAUAUUUUGGUAAGGAUCUAUAAAUAUCACAUAUAGAGAGACUUGAGAGAAUCAUUGCUAGGAACUCUGAGUUUUAUUUUGAAAACUUAUGAAAAACUCUAGAACAAAGGUGAAGUAUAGACAGGAAGAAUAGUGCUUGACUUAAUUAUUUUGUCUUUCGAUUACUUAAGACUCAAGUGCAGGUACUAAGCUCUAUAACACUUCACUCUAAUCUGGAAGAAUUUUAUAUGAAAGCAUGUGUGCCUGUCAGGAAAGAAAACAUCGAAGCAACUCCUGAUCCGUCUAAGUUUAGCUGUUUGCUCAGGAACGAGCAAAGGGUAAGCUUGGGGGAGUUUGUUGACGGUCCUUAAGUACUAAAUUUAACCAUCAACUAAACAUGGAAAAGGAUCAAUAUGCACCAAACAUUUAGAAUUAGGGUUUUAUCUGAUAGAAUUCCACGAGCUUUGGUUUUUAUCUAUUUCUGCAGGAGGUUAUCAGAAAAUAUGGAGAGAAGGCCCACAUGUCAUAUUUACAACGAGAUAAUUACGUGCCGUGCAAUUUUCUUAACCUAGAAGAGGCCAGAAGCCACGGGAACGAACGGGAGACUGGACGAGCUCGGGGGCAGGGAGCCCGCCCUCCCCCCUUGGGCGCCCGCCCUGGCCUCGGGGCCAAUCAGAACCAAACUCUUGGAUCGUGCUCCACCGAUCUAAAGGAUCAUGGAAAACCGUGCGAUCAAUGUCGGUUUGAUUCGACGACCCAAACUCACUUGAAAGGACUAUAUAAUCAAGGCCUCUCCACCCCAGGAGGAUCGAGGAGAAAUCAUUAUCAGAGGUAGCCAUCAAAGUUAGGGUUUAGAGCUUCUCUCCCACGGAGAAUUAGAAUUAGCUACUCCCUAAUCCUUCAAGUUUAGAGGAUUGAUUAGAUAGAAUUAGAGAAGUAGAGCACUACGCUCUGGAUUCGGAUCUUCGUUAAUAAAGAUUGGUAUUAUUUCAUAUCUUUCUCUAAUACUUUGUUCUAAUUGCAUUAUGUCUCUAUUUGUUAUGUUCUUAGUUUGCUCUAGUUCUAUAUUUGAUAUAGUUAUGAUUGAUAAUGAGUUUAUGUAUAAGUUUGCAAAGCGCUUAGCUCUUGACACGUGGGAGUUAAGUGGUAGAUCACAUGUGGGCGUGGUGCUUAGAUGUUAUUUACCUGCAAAUGUAUCCUAUUGGCCGAGUUGUGUGGUAGUUCGCGAGAGUGACAGCUUCGUUGAUUUUUAUAUAGUCCACCCUCCGUUGAUAGGACUGGCAGAAUUUGUAUUGCGGAGUGAGUCUUGCGACGCUCUGAUUUACUUUAGCAAUGUUCCUUAUACAUGAAUGAAGAGUCUUUUAUACUAUAUAUGAUAUUGUAGAUAACUAGAGUAGAUUGUGAUUUAGUAGAUAGUAGAUAACUUAGAAUCCAUUCUCUAGCUAAUCCGACGUCACCUUAUAUAUAUGAGGAGUAGUCUAUUUUCUAAUCGCUGUGUUAUUUACCCAUGAGCUUAUAUUUCAUUAUCAUUAUUAUUAUGGCUUACCCCUUGUCAAAGUAAGUGACUGUGUGACGAGUUCCUCAUUAGUAAUCAUGUUCUUGCAAGUUUAUCUUUAGUCUAUGCCUUGAUAGAUUUUAUCCUUAUUUUAAUUUCACCCUUGUCCUCCUAAGCAAAAUUAUAAAUAACGAUACCUGGAGUACUUUUCCUGGUGAAAUGCUACAAUGAGGUGUUUUAUCUGUGCGCUUGCGGAUAGAAUAGAUUAUUUUCUAGAGAGCCUUUACAUUCAUAAAUACCUUUGUACACUCUGGCACCAUGCUGGGGAUGACAACCUAGUAUUCAAGUGGUGUUAGCUAGUGUCAACAGCCGCGUCCUAGGAGUGCGCUGGUGCGCAGUACAACUGCUUCAUAGGUUUUAAAAGUUUGUAUAUAUGUGAUGCUGGGAGGGAAGGAUCAUUUGCUGCACUGUUGGUGCUAUCACCCUCCUUCAGCACUCUAGAAUCAAUCUCCAAUUCAAUUCUUUAUCAAACGAAUUCAAUGAACACCAAUCACAUUCGAUGAAAGGGAAUCGAAUUCAGUAAUCUUUAUCGAAUUGGAUUUUCCUUCCUUAGAAAUCGAAUUUGGUUUAUGUUGACUGAAUUCGAUGAACGCCAAUCAAAUUCGACGACCGUGAUUCAAAUGCGGUACAGUUCUAUCGAAUUCGAUGAUAUGGCUUUCAAAAAAAGGAAAUAUACCCAAACAUUGCCAAAUGCAUGGUCAAAAGUGCGACAUGCCACAUUGCAAAUUACUUCAUUAAUCGUAAAAGAGACAUAUCCAACAAAGAGAAACAACCUAUUAGUGGUAAGUCUCAGAGGACCAGUGGAGAAUUGUUCGGUGUUGCUGGCGUGUCCUAGGAGUGCACUGGUACACAGUACAACAGCUUGAUAGGUUUUAAAAGUUUGUAUAUAUGUGAUGCUGGGAGGGAAGGAUCAUUUGCUGCACUGUUGGUGCUAUCACAUCAAUGAUUUCCCUUGGUCAGAUGUAGGCGUAGUUGUUAGUAGUGAUUUUUCUUUUGUAAUGUAAGUAAUCAUGGUACUCAGAAGUGAUGAACUGAUGUUAGCAAAAUGUAAUGUUGGUCCUGUGGUUAACUGGUGAACUUGAACUCUGUGGUUCUACCAAUGUCGAGCUUGAGUUUCAAAAAAGGAAAUAUACCCAAACAUUACCAAAUCCAUGGUCAAAAGUGCGACAUGCCACAUUGCAAAGUUACUCAUUAAUGGUAAAAGAGACAUAUCCAGCAAAGAGAAACAACCUAUUAGUGGUAAGUCAUAGAGGACCUAUACAAAUCAAAUCAAUUAGCCUAUGAUCAGAAAUUUGCCUAACUAUUCUAAAACAAUUUAGCAAGUUUAGGACAUUGUUCCCCAAUGAUUACUUUUGAGAUAUCUAAGUAGCCGAUGGAGUAAUGUUGCUUAACAUCUAGCAACUUAAUAACAUUAUUCCCCAAUGAUUACUUUUAAGAGAUCUAAUUAGUCAACAGAGUACUUUUCCCCUUAUCCCACAAGUUUUCAUACUUUUAAGACAUCUCAAAGAAGUAGUCGGUGAAGCCCAAGCCUAUCAAGCUAGAGUCACAGAGUACUUUUCCCUCUUAUCCAACUAGUUUCCUUGCUUUUAAGAGAUUUCAUAGAUGUAGCCAGUCAAGCCCAAACCUAUGAGGACAUAUUCAUCAUGUGUAGUUCGGGAACAGUUCAAUGUCCUUAACUUGUUAAGCAUCUCCAAUGGUUUGGUUAACCCACUUGCUAUCUUUCAUUAUUUGGCAAAACUAGAAAAAACACCCCUCCAAUGGUUUGGUAAAGCACUUGCCAAAAUUUGGCAACUUGCUAUUCUCUGGGUGAUCACGCGCAUAUAUGCGCGCGUAGUGCCUGCGCGCAUCCGUGCUCCUACAAGUGGAAGUGCUUAGAUUUAAUUUGAUUCCUCCUCGGGGUUCCCGAUGUAAGUUUUCAAGAGGUGGAAGGGCUAAAAAUAAUUUUGAUUUCUUUUCAGGGUUCCCGAUGUAAGUUAGAUCUGGAUUUGGCAAGUGAAUUAUGCCAAACCAUUGGAGAGGAACUCUUUUUUAACUUGCAUACAUUUUAGGGAGUUGCCAAAUUACAAGAUUUGCCAAGUGAAUUAUGGCAAACCAUUGGAGAUGCCCCGGUUGCCGCGGAACCGCAUGGUCAAUCUGAAAACUGCCUUAAUUGUUUUCGACGGCCGCGCCCACGCUCCACUUCCCACGACUGCCCCUCCAAUAGCCCAUGCGACGCUCCACUUCCCACGACUGAGUUUUUAAAAUCUGCUGAUGCGUAGUGUUUUAUCCUUCUAGUCGAUUAUUGGAACCGUCAGGCUCUUGGAAAUCUGCCGCAUGCAAUUAGUUUCGGGAAGUGUCCACGACUGCCUAGCCACCGCGCGUCGGGUGCAAGCGCAUCUCCGCCCACCCCAGCAGAACAUCUCCGCCCACCAGAAUGUACAAGUCCGAGCUGCACGCGCUCUGCUCGAAGAAGCAUUGUCCGAAGCCGGAGUUCGUGCAUACCUGUGAGGGGCCCGUACACUCGCCGGUGUUCACCGCCACCGUGACACUGAACGAGAAGAAGUUCUGCGCGGGCGAGGGCACGCCGUCGAAGAAGGAAGUGGACAAUCUCGCGGCCAGGGCUGCAUUGCUCAGUCUCGCGGACUCGUCAAAACCGUUCGGUGAGCGCCUGACUUCCUGUUGCCGACAUAAUUUUCAUGUUUUCUGGUGCCCAUGAGUUAGUCCAUAGUCUGUACAAAAAUAAGAAAAGGGGUGUGAUUCUAAAACUUGAUUAUGAAAAGGCUUAUGAUAGAGUAAGCUGCGAGUUUUUGUUUGAGAUCCUUGAAUCCAGAGGUUUCUCCCCCACCUGGAUAUGUUUAGCUAGCAUCCCAAUUUAUAUCUCGUCUUUGGAUGGUGUAAAUCUCAAAUGCACUUUUAUUUAGAAGGAUGGGAGAUGAAAUAUGAUGGAAAUUUGGGAUCAGGUGUACCAGAUAGCCUCUACCAUUAGUUAUAGUGAUGAGGAGGAUGCUCUAGUUUGGCAAUUCACCUCAAAUGGCAUUUAUUCUUCCCAAUCACUUUAUAGAAUCAUCAACUUCAGAGGCAUUAAGCCUAUUUUAGUGCCCUCAGUUUGGAAUCUUAAACUUCCACCCAGAGUUAAUUAUUUUCUUUGGUUAGUCUGUAGAAACAAAAUUCUAACUAGAGAUAAUUUAGGAAAAAGGAAGAAAAUAGAGGAUGACACAUGUUUGUUCUGUAAUGAAAAGGAAAGAGUUAAUCACCUGUUUUUCGAGUGUGUUGUUGCUAAACAAAUGUGGACUGUUCUUUCUAGCAUUUUUUAUGUCCAGCUAAGUGAUUACAUUGACUCUGUAGGGAAAUUCUGGCUUAGUAACAAAAGAAAUGGAAUUUUAAACAUGUGCACUUCAGCUAUUUGGAGUUUACCCUUAAUUUGAUUGAUGGGAUACUGUCUUAUUUGGGGGCACAUUUCAGUCAUCAAGCAGCAGGUCGACCAAAAUUGGCCAUCUAAUAAAACACCAAGUUUCAGUAGUAGGUUCCCUUCUUUGCACAUGUUUUUCCCCUUUAUCUAACUCAUGUUGUGUUUACGCAGAGAGCAAGACUGACUUCAAGACCCAACUUUCCGUGUAUGCUCAGAAGCUAGGCAAGGUGCCGCCUCUGUACAAACUCAUUCAGGAAGGUCCAGCUCAUGCACCUCGUUUCAAUGCUGAAGUAACCAUAGAUGGGCAGACAUUUGGGAGGCCAGAGUUAUUAUAUUAUAAAUUGAAGGAUGCUGAAGCUGCUGCUGCAGAAGUUGCUUUGGAUUUGUUACCCCCAAUCCCACCCCAGGAAUCUACGGUUAGUCCAUUUCUUUCUUUUCUUUUCUUUUCUUUUCUUUUCUUUUCUUUUCUUUUCAAUCUAUGGUAAUAUUUUCAUUUCAAUCUACGUUCAUUUCAAUCUGAUGAAAUUUCUCUCUUUUUUCAGAUUCCAUCAUUGUCUUACAAGAAUUUCAUACAAGAAAUCGCUCAAAAAGAAGGCAUAUUAUUGCCUGUUUACAAUACAGUUCCAACUAACAAAGAAUAUUCCACUGCAUAUAAAUCAAGCGUUCAAAUCAAAUGUGAAAUUUUUGAGGGAGAGCCCAGGACAAGCAAGAAACAAGCGGAGAUGAAUGCUGCCAAGAUUGCAUAUCACCAUCUCGCGCUUCUAGAACUCGAUGGAGAUGACAAUGAGCGACCUGAUCAUUAGAAGCAGCUGUGUGAACUUUCAUAAAAGUAAGAUAAUUACUUUAAACUUAGAAGACUCAGAAACUAGUAGAGUUACUGGUAUUUUUAAUUGCCCUGUUGUUCAUUUUCCUUUAAAGUACUUAGGAGUACCUCUACAUCUUGAGAAAUUAAAGAGGGAAGAUCUCCAACCCGUAGUAGAUAAAAUGUUAUAGAGGAUUGCUGGGUGGAGAGGGAAAAGAACAAGUUACUAACUAGGGACAAUCUUAGUAAGCCGAAAAAGGUGGAUGGUCCUUCUUGCUUGUUCUGUAAAGAACCAGAAACAAUCAACCACAUAUUCUUUGAAUGUGUUAUUGCUAAACAGACUUGGUCUAUUCUGUCAAAGAGUACUUAGAUUCAAUAGGAAAUUUUUGGCUUAGUAAUAAACGGAAUGGUGUUUUGAAUAUGUGUACUUCUGCAACACUUUGGAGUAUUUGGAAACUUAGAAAUGAUUUGUGUUUUCAGAUAAUCACAUGGAGGAGUAUGGGUAAAAAAGCUUCCUUACUGCUGAAGAAAGCAAUGAUAUUGGAGGUGACUUCUCAAGAAUUCUGGCUUCAUUGGAGAUAAACAAAGGCGUUGUUCCUUGGUGGGAAGUCAAGACCCUGGUGUUGAAGGUCUAAGUUUUGUUCGGGUUGUAAGCUGGUGGACGUCAGGUCCCUUCUCCUUUUACUUAGUAAGCUAGUGGCAACUGUGCUAAACCUGUUUUGGAGAUGGUGAGUACCAUCUAUUACGAUGUAAAUGUUACAUGGUCUAUUGACAUGGCUAAUAGACGGGGGCUCGUCCCUAAAAUUAAAAAAACUGAUUGUUGUUCUAAAUGAUCUUUAAAAUUCUAGUUGUGCUUCUGUUGAUGCAAUGUGCAGAAAUGACCAACUCUUUUGGGCUUGACCGACUACUUCUUUGAGAUGUCUUAAAAGUACGGAAACUAGUGGGAUAAGGGGAAAGUACUCUGUCAACUAAUUAGAUCUCUCAAAAGUAAUCACUAAGGAACAAUGUCCUUAACUUGCUAAAUGUAAGGUUGUUCAAUAAAUCCAAGUGGGAAAAGUACUCCAUCGACUACUUAUAUAUCUCAAAAGUAAUCAUUGGAGAACAAUGUCCUUAACUUGCUAAAUAUAUGGCAACAUUUUAAUAAUUCCCUUUUGAUCCAAAAGCUACUGGUGUUCCAGGCCAACACCUGUUGAUCAAACAAGCAAACCAACCAAUAAACCAGAGGUCAACGCCCGUGAUCAAACAAGAAACUAGCAAAUACAAGAUCAAACAAGCAAACUAGCCAAUAAGCAUCUCAUGUGAAAGCUCUACUUCAAGAUUUCUAGGCCAACGCCCGACUACGUAGACUACUAACACAAGAAAUUUCCCAACCAAAAAGUCAAGUCUUUCGUGCUAAUCGAAACAAGAGGCCAAGAACAACAUUUUCCACUCCAAGCGGACAUGGCAGGCCACAGCAAAAUCAAUCGACACCCUGUAUGCUACUAAUGCACAGAAAGCAGAGCAAGCGGUGAAACCAUUUUACGUGAGUUUACGGGUACCCAUUACGAUUUUAUGCGCUCCAAGACAGCAUCUAUACAAGCAGUUUUUUCAGACUGUUUUAGGAACCUAGUACAGACAUGCCAGGAGUAGCAGACUCACAACCAGCUAACAGGAUAAAGCCAUACGGGACACUACUCAGAGCAAAAGCUAGUACCACAAAAGAAGAGACCCUGGGAUCAAAGCCCAGACAGAGCUACGUAGCAGCCUAUUACACACAGAGCAAGGCCAAACAGAUGACCCAGGAGAAAAGCAGAAGCUAGAGUAUCAGUCUUCAGGUUCACCAGGAGAUCACUUCUACACUUCAUCAUCAGGCUCGGCAUUGUUCAAGCAGCCAGAGGCCACUGCCCACUAGAGACCAAAAGACAAUUAUGUACAAGACAUCAAAGUUUAUGAUUCACAUAUCACCAUCACAUGUUUUUGAUUUGCCUCUUCUUAGCUGGAGACUUUUAACUUGAUGCAUUCUCCAAAGCAACAUAGCUUUUCACUGCCUUGCCUUGGUUUUGAGCACCGUCAACCUCGAGGACCGGCGAGACGAAGCAAGAUUCGUCUUAGGAGCUUUCUUCCCAGCAGCUUUCUUCUCAGCAGGUUUCUUGGCUCCACCAGUUCCCAGUUAUUCCUGAUCAAGUUUCUCGGCAUCAGCUUUCUUUGUCUUGGUAGCUAUGGCAACUUCAGCAUCUUUGUUGGCACCACCACUUCCUAGUUCCGAUCCUCCUUCCUGACUAGGUUUCUUGGCUGCAGUUUUCUUUGUCUUGGCAGCUAUGGCAACUUCAGCAUCUUCUUCAGCAACUCCACUGAUUUCAGCUGUGCCUUGGCAGCUUACUUUGAGAUUGCCAAAAACUCUGUCAGAAAAGCUGCAGGAAGUCUCUUCUUCACCCAAGUUCUCAGCAGGCUUCUUGGCACCACCAGUUCCCAGUUCUUCCUGAUCAGGUUUCUCGACAGCAUCUUUCUUUGUCUUGGCAGCUAUGGCAACUUUAGCAUCUUCUUCAGCAACUCCACUGAUUUCAACUGUGCCUUGGCAGCUUCCUUUGGGAUUGCCAAAAACUUUGUCAGAAAAGCUGCAGGAAGUCUCUUCUCCACCCAAGGUUAGAGAUCCAACAAGUCCAGCUAACCAUGCAUGAAUUGCUUCAGAUUGAGCAGCAGAUGGUGGCACUGUAGAAAGGAGAUGAUGGAGAAGUGACACUAGCAUGUGCAUCUGCGUCUCAGGAGGCACUCCAGAAGUUACCACGGCAGACAUUGAAUGUUGAGAGUUAGCUGGGGACUGGAUGUAAUGUCUUGAUGAUUCGACAUAGCAGGUCUCCUCUAGAGCUUUCAACUGAAAUGGGAAAUUGAAGAGAAGAUGUAAGAUUUGGAGCCAAGUACGGCACUAAUGGAAACAAAAUAUUGAUAGCUCAUAUGCCAAACUUCAAAAUCAUGAUACAAGAUUUUAGCAUGAUUAUUAGCAAUGAUUAGCAGAAUAAUAAUAAUUAGUUCUCUGUGAACUUCUAUAAGGGAAAUUCCAAAUUAUUAGUAUUGAUUAACAAUGCAGAAUAAAUAAAAAUAUUUCAGGGUCCAGGAAAUUCUAGCAUCCUAAACUUUAGAUGGGUCAGUUUACAGUUCAAUAUCCCAAAUGGUAGGAGGGCCUGACAAGUGAACCACAUAAAAUGAAAUAUAAGCAUAUAAGGCAUAUUGUUUUCAGAGCACAUAGGACUCUUAGUCAUAUAGCUGAAUGCAUACUCACACCACAGAUUUCUUUAGACGGUUCAUCACUCAAAUUUUUUUAGAUUAGUUUGCAGCAUCAAACAUGCAGAGAUACUUGCUUUAGAACAAAGCAGGAGUGAAGCUGAUACAAUAAGAGUGAGAAAACUAUAUGCAUGGUAGAUGGUACUGAAGAGCAUGCAGCUUGACACACAAAAGGAACUAGCUAAAGUAACAACUACAAGGGUUACUACUUAUAGCAAAUUCUGGGUAACAUUGUAUAAUUUCAGAUAAAGAUAUGAUCAAUAUCUCAAAUUUGUCAAAGUUGACCCUGCCAUGGCAGCGCCUAGCUUUUCAAAUACUAUCCAUCAAAGUCCCAAUAGUAUACUGAUUGAUCCGAGGACACUUCUUAUCCUCAAUCUCCAGCAGCUUCAUGUUAUCAACAAUGUAUGCCUGCCAACCGAAUAUACAGUUAAACAUGGCUCUAUACACAAAAACAGAGAGCACUAGAAUGCUUACCAGAGGUAUUAUUAUGCAGCCGGGUAUAGUCACUGUCUUCUUCUUGUCAGAUUUCUUAACAAUGCUCAGCUGCCAAUCAUUGACAUACGACCUCAAAUUCUCAUAAACUAUUGUACACCAGUCAAAGUACUUGAUGUUAGCCAUGUCCUAUGUGUACAUUAUUGCAUUUACGUUUAUAUUCUAUGUAGUACUAGGCAUUAGAAAUUUUGAGAUGAGAAUGAGGAAAAACAUUUCACCCUCAAAUGUUUAUAGUCCUCUUUUGCCAUCAACGCCAAUAUAUUUUUAACUGACAACUUGAAAUCUCUGUCCAUGCCCAAAUCAUCUCGCAAUCUAGCAAAGUCUUUCUGUUGUUGGUUACUGUAUACAAGGCAGGCCUUAUCACCUCGGGCCAAUCUGAGAUGAUAGAUCUCCUCUUGUGUGAUGUAAAAAAUUACAUCUUGCCAUGUUUUCACUGCGAUCCUGUUCUCUUCAAGAGAAACUGAUUUCAGAAACCAACAGGUUUCCUGGCGCUCGCAGAUUGAUCCCAACUUCAGUUCUAGAAAAGUUGAAAACCCAAGGUCCUUGAUCUGCUCAACAUCGGCAUCAUCAAGAUAUCCCGCUGCCUUCAUAACUUCUUCGGCCUUGAAGCCAAAGUCAAGAGUGAAACUGCCUAAGUCCUCAUCUUCACCUUCUCGUGCGCCCAACUGGAAACUGGAAUUCUGAGUCUUCAUCUGGGGAGGACAGUUAAAUGCAUAAUCAUGAGCCAAGAGAAGAAUUUUAGUUUGUAAAAUGCAAAUAUUAGGAGGUAACAAAUUGCUUUCAACAUUUCAUCAUUUUUUGUUCAUCGAUCCAACAUUUGAUUGAACCAUCUUUUUCGACUAGGGGAGAAUACCAUUUCCAUUAGCAUAACCAAUGGAAAUACAAGCAGUACUGCGACUGUUUCAGAGGAACCAGAAGUUUAGACCUGAAAGCAGGAGUAGAAACAUGACACCCAACUGCCCUGUGAACAGCUAACUCAAAGAACCAAGUUUUCCCUACACUAAACCACCACAACGACAAAAGAGAUGCUAAACUCGACACUGAGUUAGCCAAUUUGAUUAAACCAUCUAAUUAACAUUUUGUAGAUCAUCAAUCCAACCAUUGAAUAAUACUGAAUCAUCUAAUUAACAUUUUUGAAGAUGUUAUCCCAACGCAGUUUUAAUGAGCACGAGUCUUUUACCUCACCACAUAUCAGACAUGUAUUCCAUUGUUAAAGGUUAUUUUGCUUAUUCCUUGCAGGUUAACAUUAAUUUCUCUGAUAUUUUGCUUAGAAUAUGUUGUAGACCGGCUAGGCACAGACAAUAAUUGAAGAUGUUUUCCCCUUUUGAACAACCAGUCUUUAUUUUAUGACUACAAGUAUUAUUUACAAAAUGUAAUACAUUUAUUGCAUUUUUACUGUUUUAAUGAGCAAAGUCAUAUGUUAUACCUCGUUAUCCCGCGCAACUACAUGGGGGUCCCUGCUAGUAGUAAAUAACUUCUUAAGUUGCAGGUUUCAACCAAUAUUUCAUUGAAACCAAUGAAUAAGGAUUUAUUGAUUUGCAUGUUUAUAAAGGCACAACCCAGUCAAAGGUCAACUUCGCAAUGAGGCAAAAGCACAAGCAAGAGGUGUUUGUAUUAUAAUUGACCAAUUCCACAAGAAGGUGAUAUUCCAAUUGCUUCUGACUUAGACAAGCAUAUCAUAAAGCCACUAACACCUACAACUUGGUCCUACACAAACUAGCCAAAUGCAUACAUGGGUCGAUGUUGCAUGCUACUUGAGUUUUGCCUUUAAACCUUACCCCAAAAAAAAGGUUCCAAAAAGUAUCACAUUUAUGGCAUACUACACGCCAGUUGCAUUGUAUUGCACAAUCAGAAUAUGGAACAAAAUUUCCACAUUAGUCUCGACUAACAUCUCACAAACCCUAAACCCUAACAUCAAGUCUCAGUGGAGUACGUACCCUAACCGAACAAACGAGUUUGGCAACAUUCAGCUAGGUGCUCUGGGUGUGUGCGUGUGUGUGUGUGGUGGUGGUGGGGGGGGGGGGGAGGGUAGGGGGGAGGGGGAGGUGGUGUGCAGUAUGUACCGGCUCUGUUCCGCUCGGUGCGCGAUUCCGUCGCCUGGCCUAGGGAGGUCGGCGGACCCCUAGGGUUGGCGCCGGUGGGGGUGGAGGAUCGUCCGGCGGAGGUCGCUGGUGGGGGAGGAGGAGCUGCGGCCGGAGGCGCUCGCCACGGGCUUGUGCGGGAUAGGUCUGAGGGAGAGGGAGAGGGCGAGGGAGAGUUGGGCCUUCAAAUGCUGGGGGUGGGGGCGGAGGCGCUCGCCCGAGUUUCUUUCUUUGAAUUUCAAAUACGAACGGCAGGAGGUAGCCGAAGAGCGGGUGUGCGGUGAGCCAGUGAGGCCACAUUCCUGGCCCAUGUAGUGCAGCAAACAAAAAAGGAUUAGUAUGUAGUCCCAAAUGCUUACGUUUUCUCUAAUAUCAAGUUUAUAGUAAACAUUGUUUGGGUAUCUUGUUGCUACCUGUCUAGUGCAUUUUCAAAAGGGAAUUUAUUGAAAUGUUGCCCUAUAUUUAGCAAGUUAAGAACAUUUUCCCCCAAUGAUUACUUUUGAAAUAUCCAAGUAGUCGACGGAGUACUUUUCCCUUUUAUCCCACUAGUUUCCUUGCUUUUAAGAGAUCUUACAGAUGUAGCUAGUCAAGCCCAAACCUAUCAGGCCAAAUUCAUCAUGUGUAGUUCGUCCAAGUCAUCUAAGAGUUACAUGUAGCGUAUAGUAAUUUUUUGACCCAUCUUGUUGCUACCUUGUCCAAUGCAUUUUCAAAAGGGAAUUAUUGAAAUGUUGCCCUAUAUUUAGCAAGUUGAGGGCAUUGUUCCCCAAUAAUUACUUUUGAGAUAUCUAAGUAGUCGAUGGAGUACUUUUCCCUCUGGGAAUUAUUGAAAUGUUGCCUUACAUUUAGCAAGUUAAGGACAUUGUUCCUCAAUGAUUACUUUUGAGAGAUCUAUUAGUCGAUGGAGUACUUUUCCCCUUAACCCACUAGUUUUCAAACUUUUAAGACAUCUCAAAGAAUUAGUCCGUCAAGCCCAAACCUAUCAAGCCAGAGUCAGCUUGUGUAGUUUGUCCUAGUCAUCUAAGAGUUACAUGUAGAGUAUAAGUACUUUUCCCUGUUAUCCCAUUAGUUUCCUUGCUUUUAAGAGAUCUCAUAGAUGUAGCCAGUCAAGCCCAAUCCUAUCAAGCUGGAUUCAUCAUGUGCAGUUUGUUUGAGUCAUCUAAGAGUUACAUGUAGAGUACUUUUAAGAGAUCUCGUAAAAGUAAGAUCGUGGUGCUCCGCUUGUGGUGGGCGCCGUCGCCCGUCACCAUCACGUCACCCUGGUGCCGAGAGGAGAUGGGGGGAAGAGUGGGGCAACCGGGUGUGUUUUUUAGCCUGGAAGUCGAGAACGAGAAUCAGAAGCUGCCUAUAUAUUUUUUGGGCUGGAUCUAGAGCACAAGCCAACAGAAGCUAUAGAGUUCGCGUACAAAACAUUGGAUAAAACCGGGUGGGAAGCUGCUUCGUGCCGAAUUUCCUACAGCGACAAGAAUCCACUCCAGCAAACGAUAACCGCCCAUUGCAAGAUCCAAUGGCUACCAUUAUUUUCAGGCGACGUGGCUCCACGCCCCUUGUAACAUCCCUGAUGUUACGGUUACUAAAAUUCGGAUCAUGGCAUCAUCAGCAUUGCACAGCAUAGUUGUUAAGCACACCUUGAUGCAUCAACUUAAAAUGAGUUUAAUUUGGUUGAAUGUGCUUAGGGAUUUAAAGUGUGUUUGUCUUGUAUAUUGAUGCUUGAGUUGGUUGCUAAAACCCUAGGGUAGAGGAUUUCCAAAAGAUUAGGGGGGGAAACCCUGAUUUUUGGACCCUAGAUUUGCCCCCUUUUGCACAAUUUAAAAACCAAGCAAAAUUUGAGGUUGAGUUCAAAAGGAAAGUUGUAGAUCUUGUCAAGAUGUACAACUUUCGUGUUUUGAGUUUUUGAAGUUUCAAUACAAAAUUCAAAGUAAUUUUGAAAAUACAGAUUUCCAGAAAGUGUCCCCUUUUCUAAUUUGAAUCUCCAAUUCAAAAUCUAUUUGUAAUUUUGAAAAGUGACCAACAUGAAAGUUGUAGAGCUCAAAAAGUUUAACAACUUUCAUGUUGGGAGUUUUUCAAGUUGUUUAGGAAAAACAAAAGUAAUUUUGGAAAUUCUGAUCUGCCCCAAUUCAAAAAUUUGAAUUUCCCCAAAUUGGAUUUUGAAUUUCAAACUGUUUGGUCAAAAUCACGAUGUUCCACUCAAAAUUAGCUCUGGUCACCAAAAUAUGAUUUGUAGCUUAUAAAAUUUUGCACAACUUUUGUUUUGGUGGAAUUUUGGCUUUAGUUCAAAUUUUGGCCGAAUUUCACAAAAAGACAGAAUGAGGGGAUAUGGCUUGCUACAGUACUGGGCAGGGGGGUGCUCUGCCGCCGGACCAGAGCCGCUGCGCCCGGCGCCGCCAUGCGCCUGGCCAUGCAGCUGCUUGCUGCUGUGCCUCGCGCGGACGUCCUCAUCCGCAACCCGCCCUCUGUCGCGUGGAUAAAGCCCCGGGUGGUCGGGGUAUUCCCUUUCUUCUCUUUGAACCUCACCGCCGGCAGCCAGCAAUCGACGCCGAAAUUCACCGUCGCCUUAGCUUCUCCAUCCCCGAGCCCUUGCUCUCAACUCCGCCACGAACUCAGCAAUCGAUUGCGCCCCUGAGCGCAAGCGUUAAUCCCUCCUAGCCUACAACCGAGCUGUUUCCUCUCCAACUCCGGCCGAAGCGCCGCCGUAGGCACUCCACCGUGGCCAGCGUCACUCCAAGCCUCUCCACCGCCGCUCUGCGUCUCGUUGAAGUCGCGGUGAGCCCCUGCAGCUUAUGCGCUUGUUGGUUCGCGCUCUACUCGCUCGUCAUGGCCGGCGUUCGCUCGGCCGAGGCGGCCGUCCGCCGCACCCGUGGCCAUGGGGGCUAGGAUAGGAGAGAGUGGGUGCGAAGGGUGUCUAUGGGUGCGCGGGAGAUUGGGGAAGCUGACGCGUCUCACCGCGGGGGCCGAGAGCUCGCUGACGGCGUGCUCGAGCUCGCCGAAGCCGCGGCGCAAGGAAGAAGAAGGAGCUGACGGGUGGGGUCUUCCCGUCAGCGUCCUGCAGAGAGAGCGCGUGAGAGGGGGGGCAGCGCGCGCAGCGUCCACGUGGGCUGGGCGGGAGCGGGCCGGCCUGCGGGCCGAUUUCCCGGCCGCUCGCCGCGCAGUGUUUUUCUUUUUGUUCAGUUUUUGCUUUAUGUUUGAAUUUGUGUAUUAAAUUGUGUGCUGAUUCAAAAAUCAUGAAAAUUUUUGUAUUGGUUCCAUAAAAUGAGUAGAACACAGGAAAAAUAUUAGAUUUUAUUUUCUAGUAGUUUGCAUGUGUAUAAAAAUUACCUCUUUUAUUUAAUGAAUAAAACUUCUAGGAAUUUUAAUAAUUUAUUGGUAUGCCCAAAAAUCACCAAACUUUGUGGGGAGUCUCUGAAUAUUAUUUCCAGGUUUCACACAAAAUUUAGUGACAUUUGGAUAAUGUUUGAAUAAAAUAUUAUUAAACCCUUAUUUAGUAAUUAAAUAAUAAUUCUAGAAUAAUUAGAUGAUAAUUAGUUAAAUUCUCAAAAUUAGGGUUUGGGUGACUUUGGGAUUAUGUGAUGACCUAAAGUCAUUAACCUUAAUGGCCUUUGGCAUUUAAUUAUUGUUUGGCCUUAAUGCUUAAUUAUUGUCAUUAAUAAUUAUUUAAGAGUUAAUUAAGGUAAAUAGGAUUAAUAAUUAGUUAAUUUAGGAUAAGUAUGAAUUAAGAAAAGUACUAAUUUACAGAUGCAACCUCUUGGGUAAAGACACUAAGAUGUUAAACAACUUUAAUUAUUGUUUAAUCUGUGUUGCACCGAGGAGGCCAGUUAUACUUAAUUUGGUCCUUCUGAUAUAUCUGUCAUACGCAUAUCAUGAGCAUCCAUCAUUUUGCGUAUAGUGCACGUGACCGAAGGAGCGACCGUUGAACCGAACCGCGAGGUGAGUGCUCCGUUCGAGGAAGUAGGAUCCGGGACUUGGGAAGUCUCCGAGGGUCCCUCUCUGCCCUGCAACCAAGGCAAGCCCCGGAUGCAUUAACCCCUCCUUGAAUGUUUUAAAUCUUUUAUCACUUAUGAAUUGAAAAUGAUGCAUUAGGUAGUCGAGAAUUGGGUUAACCUACUUGCUGCAUUUACCACCUUGAUAUUUGUUAUCUUGUCCUUGGCACCUGUUUUAUUUUAAAAACUGCGUAGUGAUGCUUAGCCCUGCUACUAGAUAGGUUUUCAAACAAGAAAGUUUGAAGGGUUGUUGUGGAAUACACUUAUGAUCAAUGAUGUUUCAACUUGAGACCGGUCGGUGGACUUGCUUUAAGAAUGGAGUCUUAAAGUAGUGUCUCCAACUGUGUCGGUUAAGGACCGGUCCGUUGAUGGCCCGCUGGGUUGAGAAUCUAUAGUACUAGCCACUUGCCCUCGGUAAGCCCGGUCCUGUGAUCCCUCGACGCGAACAGCUACUCGCGCACUGGGCGUGGAGCGAUGGCGAGAGUAGUGUGUACCCACCUUACGGAUCUGAGAUGACCGGAAAACAUCUAGAUCGGCUGUAGGAUGGUGGAGUACUAUGCUCUCGGGUGCCGCGAACCUGGUCAAAUUUGGGGAGAGCUUGAUUUGGGUUGACAUAUGCAAGAUCUGGUUCUACAUAUGUCGGGUGGUUAGGAACUCCAGCUGGAUUGCUAAGCGGUUCGAAUCGUCAUUGCUCCCCGAUUGGGAGACUCAAUCCAGUGACCCUCAUCGUAGUUAAAUAUGCAACUAAGUGGUAAAAUGAGAAAAGGGGGAAAUGUCUCAUGAGGUUCGGAUCCCAAUUCCGGGACUCAGAUUGACAUGAAGCUAUGGUCGUUGGAUAAAUAAUACUUUAAUUUAGGACUAGAAACUCACAGACUUGUCUGUGGGAGACAACUAGUUAGACUGCCCUCGAACUCCUCGGCCUCUUAAGGAGAGGAAUUUGCGGGUAAAACUUGAAAGUAAGGAUGCACUAUUAGUAAGCUUUUUAGCAAAACACUUUGGCUCCUUGCUCAGCCACUCCUUGUCUACCCUAAGCCUGCAUUCCUACUUUCUCCUCUUUUUCCACCGGGUAAGUCUUGUUGAGUACUCCCGUACUCAGGGUUUCAUAACCCCGGUUGCAGGUGAAGCUCAGGAGCCGACUUGUUUCGGACCCUGUUGUGUGACCGUCGUCGAGGUUGACGACGAAGAAGAGUGAGCGUGACCCAUGGGCAGGGUCUGUAAAUUUGUAAUCUGUAUACUAAAGUUUAAGUUGCUCCGCUGGACCUGGUUUGUAAUAACACUCUGCUAUUUGGAAGAACUCCUUUUGUAAAAUAAGUUAUGUAAUACUUCCGCUGUUUACUCUGAAAUAUUAUUUUGGUCUUAUGUCGUCUGUGAUACUACAAUGUCUUCGCAACGAGUGAUCCUGGUGUUAAGGUGGCCACUUGCUAUCAUGUAAGGGCGAGGAGAAGAAAUUUUCGGUAAUUGACCAUUGCUGGUGGUCAAGACGAGUUUAUUUGAAUCGCCCCAGGUAGCAGUGGAAUGAGCGUCCUGAGAUGCUCAUCGGACUUCUAGAGUGGGAGGAUCCCCGGCAUCACCGUCAGAGGUCCUUAGGACAAUGAGAGGUGUCGGUGGGCCCAAACACUUAGGAGGUUCUGCCACAGCUGGUAUCGGAGCAUUCGUUGCUAAGAUGACUGUUGUAUCCUUUGAAAAACUUCAAAAUCAUUUGGAUCUAAUGCUAUAAACUGGCCUACUUUGAGUCCAAGUGCUUUAGUCCUAACUUACCCCUGUCUGUAGGCCUUCUUAGAAUUUUUGAAGUGGUUGGGAGGAGCAACAUAAAGUAUUGCCCUAUGUUGUAAAAUUUUGAGUAUUAUCGUUGUGAAUCGUUAGUAGGAAUCGUAAGUUCGUGCAUGCAUCAUGAUGUAUUAAUUGGUUAAGUUCCUUCCUCCUUGUUUGGUUGGGUGAAUAGAAUCAAUCCUAUUCUUGCUAACCUUUAAGGUCUCUCUUACUAAUCCAAACUUACCCUCUACAGGAUGGCCCGUUGGAAACAUACCCCGCGCAAGAGGACUGGUCCAAAAAGGGUCCCCAGACAUCAGUUGGCCCCGCGAAGUGAUCAAGCAAGUAGUAACCGUUCACCGCCUCAGCAGGAGGUGGACAGGUUGUCCGCCGAGUUGACCGAAGUGAUGAGAGAAAGGAUGUACAACGUCAUGGAGAUCGGCGAACUUAAAGCUCAACUAGCCAAAGAAAAACAAGCUACCGAGAACUGUGAGGCCAUGCUGUCCCGUAUGGUGGAGGAGAGGAAUGCCGCUAUUGCCCGAGAAGAAGAGGCCAGGAGCGCACACAGGCACGAGCUGACUAGGAUGAAUGCGAAGCUGGGCAAGGCCAGGUACCUUAAAGAUCUGUACGUGAAGAUGGGGGCCACGGUCACCGCGCAGCGGAAUGUCGCGUGGCAGCGGGAGGACCAGCUCCAGUUGGAGAAGCUGGAGCUGGCACAUCAUUUAGAUACCAUCAAUGACUUGGCAAUGCAAUAUCGUGAUGUUGCAUUUGACCUAUAUCACCAGCUCCAUCCACCUCCAGGCGAAGGAGAGAUGGACACGGAUGGAGAGUUGGCUGACAAUGGGGAACCCGAUCAACGCCUCAGUGAUGAAGAGGAGUCCGACCCUGAUGACAACAACCCGGGGGGUAAUCAGGAUGAUGGCAAUGAUGACCCGGGCUACAGCUCUGGCCACACCGACUAGUUCGGUGAAGCCGCGGGCAACGUCGUUGUAGGAUUCCUAGUUUGCCGUAGUGGGGUCGGGUUUGUAGUAUAAAGUUUUCUUUCAGUUUAAGAAGUUGUACUCAUUUAUUUUCAGUGUGUUGAACUGAUGUUGGAUAAAUAAAUGGAAGUAUGUAAGAUAUGUUCUAAGUUAUGAAUUUUAUGUGGUAACAAGUAUAUAUGACUCUUGUAGCAGAUGCCGAUGCGUACACGCGGAUCUGAUGGAGCUGGGACAUCUCAGGGAGGGGAUGAUAUCCCCAACCCUCCACCUGCUCCACCUUCCCUGGCUGAUGCUAUCGCUGUUCUUUUGAGUGCCACUACCGAUAAUGCUCGCUUGCUACGCGAGUUAGCACAACGUCAACCACACCCCGCCCCAAACUUUAGAGCACCGCACAAUGGGGACGGAGAAGCUCGGUACGUGGACUUUACCGAGACAAGGCCCCCGGUAUUCACUAAGGCUGAUGAGCCGUUAGAAGCGGAUGACUGGCUCCGGACUAUGGAGCACAAGUUCAGUUUGAUUCAGUGUUUAGAAACUCAGAAGCCCCUGUUCGCAGCUCAGCAGCUUCGGGGAGCUGCAGGUGCCUGGUGGGAGAACAUCCUAGCUAUCCAAGCUCCGGGACACCGGGUCACCUGGACCAAGUUUAAGGACGCGUUCCGCGCCCAUUACAUCCCUGAAGGGCUCAUGGCCAUGAAGGCCGAAGAAUUUCUCGCCUUGCAGCAAGGCGAUAAAAGUGUCAUGGAGUACGUGGCAAAGUUUAAUCAUCUCUCUCAAUAUGCCACAGACCAUGUGAACACGACAGAAAGAAGAAAGCCUGCUUCAUGCGUGGUCUAAAUACUAAACUUCAGACCAUGAUGACCACCUGCCAAAAGGCUACCUUCUACGAGGCGGUAAAUAUUGCCAUCACCUCAGAAGAAAAGAAUAGAAAGCACAAAGAAGCCAAGAAAAGGCUGCUUCUUCCUCCUUCUCUGGUCGCGGUCAAAAGCGCCAGAGAAUCAUUUAUCAUCCGCAGGGCCACGGACGUUUUCAAGCACCGUCACCUUAUCGUGGUCCCUUUUCCCCACCACAAUAUAGACCAGGGCAGCAGGUAUAUCCUCGACCUACUGCCAUCGCCCUUGCACCACGCGAGCCGAACGCCCCAGGUGUUCGCCCCACUGCUCCGCCCAGCCACAAUUACCCUUGUUUCAAUUGUGGUAAGCCUGGGCAUUUUUCCAAAGAGUGCCCCUACCCCCGCCAAACCAACCCCACCUUCCAAAGGCCACCUAUGGGCCAACCCCAGCCAAGUCAAUUCAGGACUGGGGCUCAGAAAGGACAAAACGUGCAAAGGGGGAAACCAGCGAAGAAAGUGGGACAAGUCUUCCAUACAGAGGUGGAGACGAUCCCGGAGGGUGAACCAGUAAUGAUGGGUACGUUUCCUGUCGCGAAACAUCCUGCUUUAAUGCUUUUCGAUUCUGGUGCAUCUCAUACAUUCAUCAAUCGCACCUUUGUGUUAAAGCAUGGCAUACCCAUUGGGGAAACACAAGAUCAUUUUUAUAUACAGUCGCCAGGAGGACGGCUGAGUUCUAAAGAAAUGGCUCACCAGAUGCCCAUCGAAUUUGGUGGGCAUAGUUUUCCCACUAGCAUGAUUGUUCUUAAAGACCAGGAGAUUGAUGUCAUACUAGGCAUGAACUGGAUGGCACAACGAGGGGUUGUGCUAGAUACUUUGCAUCGAACCAUUAAAAUACCAUUGCCCAAUGAGAAUUCCUAUCUGCUAAUUCAUUUAGUUACUCCCAAGCGGACAAUUGGGCAAGUUCAUGCCACUAAUGUGUCUGCAGUCAAAGAUAUCUCGGUAGUUCGGGAUUUUACGGAUGUAUUUCCUGAAGACCUACCAGGUCUGCCACCGGAUCGGGAUGUACAAUUCAGUAUAGAAUUGAAACCAGGGACAACCCCGAUAUCUCGAAGGGCCUACAGAAUGGCACCGAAAGAACUGGCCCAAUUAAAAGCCCAACUACAAGAGCUAUUACAGAAUGGUUUUAUUCAGCCUAGUUCUUCUCCAUGGGGUUGCCCAGCCCUGUUUGUGAAAAAGAAAGAUCAAACGUUAAGCCUGUGCGUCGAUUAUCGUCCCCUAAAUGAGGUGACGAUUAAGAACAAGUACCCAUUGCCCCGUAUUGACUUAUUAUUUGACCAGCUAGCCGGGGCCAAAGUGUUCUCAAAAAUUAAUUUGAGAUCAGGGUACCAUCAAAUUAAAAUUAGGCCGGAAGAUGUACCCAAGACAGCUUUUACAACCCGUUACGGGUUGUAUGAAUACUUGGUAAUGUCUUUUGGGUUGACCAAUGCACCGGCCCAUUUCAUGUACUUAAUGAACUCUGUCUUCAUGCCAGAACUGGACAAAUUUGUGGUCGUCUUUAUUGAUGACAUCCUGAUCUAUUCCAAGACUAAGAAAGAACAUGCUGAGCAUCUGAGAAUUGUGUUGACCCGUCUUAGGGAGCAUCAACUAUAUGCCAAGUUCAGCAAAUGUGAGUUCUGGCUGGACAAAGUUCAUUUCCUGGGUCAUGUAUUAUUAGCGGAGGGAGUCGGACCCAGGCAAAAUAGAAGAAGUGUUGAAUUGGAAGCCCCCGACUACGGUACAUGAGGUCCGUAGUUUUUUGGGUAUGGUGGGAUAUUACCGUCGCUUUAUCCCGGACUUUUCCAGAGUCACGAAACCCAUCACGACCUUGCUCAAGAAUCAAACGAAAUUUGUUUGGUCACCGCAUUGUGAGCAAGCCUUUCAGACUCUGAAAAGGUUAUUGACAACUGCACCUGUCUUAGCCCAGCCAGAUAUUGAAAAGCCCUUUGAUGUGUAUUGUGACGCAUCAGGGAUAGGGAUAGGCUGUGUGCUAAUGCAGGAGUGUCGCGUAAUUGCAUAUGCUUCUAGACAGCUUAAACCACAUGAAGAGAAUUACCCGACCCAUGAUCUUGAACUAGCCGCCGUAGUAUAUGCAUUAAAAAUCUGGCGCCAUUAUCUGUUGGGGAGCACAUGUCAUCUAUACACAGAUCACAAAAGCUUGAAGUACAUCUUUACUCAAGCUGAACUUAAUAUGCGCCAGCGAAGGUGGCUAGAGUUAAUCAAAGAUUACGACCUUGAGGUGCAUUAUCACCCUGGCAAGGCAAAUGUAGUAGCUGAUGCCCUCAGUCGUAAGGCUCACUGUAAUUGCUUAACAGUGACGCCUAGAGAUGUAACUUUGUGCCAAGAGCUAGAAAACUUGGGGAUAGAAAUGAUUUCCCAAGGAAGCCUUGCCAAUCUAAAGAUUGAUUUCAAUCUUGAAGCUCAAAUCAUAGAGGCACAAAAGGAAGACAAAGGCCUGAAGCAUCUUAAAGAGAAAAUUUCUAGUAGAGCACCCACAGACUUUAAGGUGGAUGCUGCAGGAGUAAUCUGGUUCAAGAACCGGUUAGUGGUUCCAAAGGUACCUGAGCUACGUCAACAAAUCCUGGAUGAAGCUCAUACCACGAGGUAUUCCAUUCAUCCAGGAAGCAAUAAAAUGUAUCAGGACCUGAAGCAAAGGUUUUGGUGGACGAAAAUGAAGAUAGAAAUAGCCCGUUAUGUGGCCCAAUGCGACACCUGCCGAAAAGUCAAAGCUAUUCAUCUCAAAUCCACUGGAGAGUUGCAACCCUUGCCUAUUCCAGCAUGGAAAUGGGAUGAUAUUAGCAUGGACUUCAUAGUAGGAUUGCCCAAGACGGCCAAAGGCUUUGAUUCUAUUUGGGUCAUUGUGGAUCGUCUCACCAAAACAGCACACUUCUUACCUGUAAAGACAUCGUAUCAUACUUCCACCUAUGCUCAGAUCUAUUUUGAUCGUAUACUAAGUCUGCAUGGGGUGCCAAAGACAAUAGUGUCAGAUAGAGGCACACAAUUUGUCUCCCAGUUCUGGAAAUGCUUACAUGAAUCUUUGGGCACCAAACUUUUAUACAGCACCGCCUACCACCCUCAAACAGGUGGGCAAACUGAAAGGGUGAAUCAAACCCUAGAAGAUCUAUUAAGAUCUUGUGCCCUGAAUUUUCCAGAUAAGUGGGAUGACUGCUUGCCUCUAGCAGAAUUUUCUUACAACAAUAGCUACCAAGAGAGUAUCAAGAUGGCUCCCUUUGAGGCACUAUAUGGCCGUCGAUGUCGAACUCCGUUACACUGGUCGGAACCCGGGGAAAGGUGGUUCUUCGGGGUUGACUUAGUGAAAGAGACUGAGAACAAAGUUAGACAAAUCCAAAAUAACUUGAAAGUUGCUCAGUCCCGACAGAAAAGCUACGUCGAUAAAAGACGUCGACCGUUAAGAUUCGCCAAAGGUGAUCAUGUGUAUUUGAAAGUAUCCCCAAUGAAAGGAGUAAAUCGUUUUGGUGUUAAAGGCAAGUUAGCACCCCGUUACAUUGGUCCAUUUCCAAUCAUUGACCGAUGUGGACAGGUAGCUUACCGCCUUAAACUGCCCGAACGAUUAUCCGGGAUACAUAAUGUGUUCCAUGUGUCUCAAUUGAAAAAGUGUCUUCGAGUACUAGACCAAGUUCAAGAUAUUGAAGAUGUGGAACUUGAACCGGAUCUAACUUAUUCGGAGUAUCCUAUUCGAGUAUUGGACCAAAGAGAUAGAGUUACUCGAAGAACAACUACCAAGUGGUACAAGGUACAGUGGAGCCAGCACUGUGAAGAGGAAGCCACGUGGGAAUCUGAAGAUUAUCUGCUGGAGAAUUUUACUGAGUUCCACGCUUCUCUUCAGGACAACAUCUGAUAAAUAGGGAGUGUACUCUAGUGAAGGAAAAGAGUAGCCAAAGCCAUGUACUUUGUGUACAUAUAUGUUUAUAAUGGAGUGGUUUUUCCCAGCUUCUUGUUUUAUGAGAAAGUUGAAGAUAAAAGAGUUUUGACAAAUUUCCUUUUCCAUUACAUACCCUAAGGCUUUAAAUCUCGGGGACGAGAUUUCUUUAAGGGGGAAGGGCUGUAACAUUCCUGAUGUUACGGUUACUAAAAUUCGGAUCAUGGCAUCAUCAGCAUUGCACAACAUAGUUGUUAAGCACACCUUGAUGCAUCAACUUAAAAUGAGUUUAAUUUGGUUGAAUGUGCUUAGGGAUUUAAAGUGUGUUUAUCUUGUAUAUUGAUGCUUGAGUUGGUUGCUAAAACCCUAGGGUAGAGGAUUUCCGAAAGAUUAGGGGGGGAACCCUGAUUUUUGGACCCUAGAUUUGCCCCCUUUUGCACAAUUUUAAAACCAAGCAAAAUUUGAGGUUGAGUUCAAAAGCAAAGUUGUAGAUCUUGUCAAGAUGUAUAACUUUCGUGUUUUAAGUUUUUGAAGUUUCAAUACAAAAUUCAAAGUAAUUUUGAAAAUACAGAUUUCUAGAAAGUGUCCCCUUUUCUAAUUUGAAUCUCUAGUUCAAAAUAUAUUUGGAAUUUUGAAAAGUGACCAACAUGAAAGUUGUAGAGCUCAAAAAGUUGAACAACUUUCAUGUUGAGUGUUUUUCAAGUUGUUUAGGAAAAACAAAAGUAAUUUUGGAAAUUCUGAUCUGCCCCAAUUCAAAAAUUUGAAUUUCCCCAAAUUAGAUUUUGAAUUUCAAACUGUUUGGUCAAAAUCACCAUGUUUCACUCAAAAUUAGCUCUGGUCACCAAAAUAUGAUUUGCAGCUUAUAAAAUUUUGCACAACUUUUGUUUUGGUGGAAUUUUGGCUUUAGUUCAAAUUUUGGCCGAAUUUCACAAAAAGACAGAAUGAGGGGAUAUGGCUUGCUACAGUACUGGCAGGGGGGUGCUCUGCCGCCGGAGCAGAGCCGCUGCGCCCGGCGCCGCCACGCGCCUGGCCACGCAGCUGCUUGCUACUGUGCCUCGCGCGGACGUCCUCAUCUGCAACCCGCCCUCUGUCGCGUGGAUAAAGCCCCGGGUGGUCGGGGUAUUCCCUUUCUUCUCUUUGAGCCUCACCGCCGGCAGCCAGCAAUCGACGCCGAAAUUCACCGUCGCCUUAGCUUCUCCAUCCCCGAGCCCUUGCUCUCAACUCCGCCACGAACUCAGCAAUCGAUUGCGCCCCUGAGCGCAAGCGUUAAUCCCUCCUAGCCUACAACUGAGCUGUUUCCUCUCCAACUCCGGCCGAAGCGCCGCCGUAGGCACUCCACCGUGGCCAGCGUCACUCCGAGCCUCUCCACCGCCGCUCUGCGUCUCGUUGAAGUCGCGGUGAGCCCCUGCAGCUUAUGCGCUGGUUGGUUCGCGCUCUACUCGCUCGUCAUGGCCGGCGUUCGCUCGGCCGAGGCGGCCGUCCGCCGCACCCGUGGCCAUGGGGGCUAGGAUAGGAGAGAGUGGGUGCGAAGGGUGUCUAUGGGUGCGCGGGAGAUUGGGGAAGCUAACGCGUCUCACCGCGGGGGCCGAGAGCUCGCCGACGGCGUGCUCGAGCUCGUCGAAGCCGCGGCGCAAGGAAGAAGAAGGAGCUGACGGGUGGGGUCUUCCCGUCAGCGUCCUGCAGAGAGAGAAGGGGAAGGCGGGUCUGACGGGCGGGACCCGCCCGUCAGUGUCCGCGUGAGAGGGGGGGCAGCGUGCGCAGCGUCCACGUGGGCCGGGCGAGAGCGGGCCGAUUUCCCGGCCGCUCGCCGCGCAGUGUUUUUCUUUUUGUUCAGUUUUUGCUUUAAGUUUGAAUUUGUGUAUUAAAUUGUGUGCUGAUUCAAAAAUCAUGAAAAUUUUUGUAUUGGUUCCAUAAAAUGAGUAGAACACAGGAAAAAUAUUAGAUUUUAUUUUCUGGUAGUUAGCAUGUGUAUAAAAAUUACCUCUUUUAUUUAAUGAAUAAAACUUCUAGGAAUUUUAAUAAUUUAUUAGUAUGCCCAAAAAUCACCAAACUUUGUGGGGAGUCUCUGAAUAUUAUUUCCAGGUUUCACACAAAAUUUGGUGACAUUUGGAUAAUGUUUGAAUAAAAUAUUAUUAAACCCUUAUUUAGUAAUUAAAUAAUAAUUCUAGUAUAAUUAGAUGAUAAUUAGUUAAAUUCUCAAAAUUAGGGUUUGGGUGACUUUGGGCGGACCCUGUUGUGUGACCGUCGUCGAUGUUGACGACGAAGAAGAGUGAGCGUGACCCAUGGGCAGGGUCUGUAAAUUUGUAAUCUGUAUACUAAAGUUUAAGUUGCUCCGCUGGACCUGGUUUGUAAUAACACUCUGCUAUAUGGAAGAACUCCUUUUGUAAAAUAAGUUAUGUAAUACUUCCGCUGUUUACUCUGAAAUAUUAUUUUGGUCUUAUGUCGUCUGUGAUACUACAAUGUCUUCGCAACGAGUGAUCCUGGUGUUAAGGUGGCCACUUGCUAUCAUGUAAGGGCGAGGAGAAGAAAUUUUCGGUAAUUGACCAUUGCUGGUGGUCAAGACGGGUUUGUUUGAAUCGCCCCAGGUAGUAGUGGAAUGAGCGUCCUGAGAUGCUCAUCGGACUUCUAGAGUGGGAGGAUCCCCGGCAUCACCGUCAGAGGUCCUUAGGACAAUGACAGGUGCCGGUGGGCCCAAACACUUAGGAGGUUCUGCCACACCCCUGCUUCUCGGCCAUUUGGCAGAGCUCCAUGGAGCAGAUUCUCAGCGAGAGCUAAUUCUUUGCUGAUUCUGUGAAGUGAUUCUCUGAAAUGAACUAAGAGGCUGAGAGCUGAAAAAAGUAGCUUCACCUGAUUCUUAUCUAUAAUUAGCAUAUACUUUUCAAUAAAUUAAAGAGAUCUACAGUCUUGUACCUUAGCAUCCUGGAAGUAGUCAUCUCUUUUAAAGUUUCACCUGGUGACUUGUUGUUUGCUACCAUGUACCGUUUUAUUAGGAUGUUGCUCUGUACCGGACAAUGUUGCUUUUCUUAAAAAGUUGCUGUUUGCAGGUGAUGUUUGUUUUCACAUUGGUGUCACACUUUACACACAACUCUUUUUAAUCAAGUGUUUAACUGGAAUCCUAAAGUUACAAAGCUAGGCAAAAGGAAUUGCUACAGGUCAUAACUUAAGUUGCUAUACUUAACGUUGCCUUACAAGAUAAAAAGCACAUCAGUUGCUUUACAAUUUUUUAUCAGUUGCUUUACAAUGUUUCACCAUAUUGUUAGUGAGUAGCCUUUCUGCUACAGAGUCCAUUGCAGCUAUGUGGCCAACUAAAUCUUGAGUUGAGCAAUCUUCUGGUAUACCCUCACCAACUCGAGUAAGAUCAAGACAGGGGAAGGAAGCUCUCACUGAUCCUAGUGCUUGUGAAGCCAAAGUUCUAGCUGUUGUCUUAUUACUUGGAUCAGGCCAGGCACUUGUUCCAAGAUGGGCUUGGAAACUUCAUUCUCAGACGAUCUAGAGGCCACUUGGAGAAUUGAGGUGGCAGUCACCUUGAUUUCUUCUUUUUCUACUAUGGACUUCUCCAAGCGAGUACUCAGAUUCCGCAUCCGCUGUCUAUCAUCAUCUAGUUGAUUAUCAGCAUCCUGGCACAUCUUCCGCUCUGACUCUAAUUCUUCUUUGAGGGCCUUCACUCUCUGAAGAGCUUGGUCCAGCUGGUGCUGAGUGUCUUAGUGGAGAUUCUUUGAGUUGGUCAAUGCUUCCUUGAUUGUGGUCUCAACUUGAACACGCUCUGAAGUACAUAAGACUACAUCAGCAUCAUUUGGGAUGAGUAGAUCAUAACCUCGAAAUAAAGAAUUCUAACCUUUUAGAGAAGCCGAUAGCUCCUUGUUCUUCUCCUUUAGAGAGUCAAGUUGUUCCUGGAGGACAGCAACGGCAGCCUGAUGAUCUUUUUCUUGUUUUGCAUAGCGCUCUUGUUCCUCAACCGACUUUGCUUCAGCAGACUCUGCCUAGGCGAGUAGUUGUUGGCUGGGUUGUUUCAGAAGUGCCAAUUGCUGCUUUAUUAAUUGUUCAACAGAAGUCUGGCAUGCACCAAGACAAGUCAGCAAUAUAAGUAGAUGGCAGUACAGAUACAGUUUCUUAAAAUACAUUGAUACAUAUACUAACCAUAUCAUCAUUAUAUUUCUUCCCCAACUCCAUUGUCUGAGUCAGUGCUUCGUACUUUGUGGCCAUGGGAAGCGCUGCACGUGAGGAAGUAGUCAACAUGGGAAGAUCUUUGGGCAUCUUAUCUUCACUGGCUGAUACAUCGCCAGGUGGGAAAGUACUCGGCUCAGUGACUACAGAGGUAGUCAGAUGCUGUGGGGCUUCUACUGAGGAAGAUGACGCUGCACCAGUAAUCCGGGAUGUUGCUGCUCUUGAUACAGAUUUCCUAAGAGCAAACAUGUUAUCACUCAGUACAUUUGCAGAGAAAGGAAGAAUGCGGAUAUUGAAUUUAAGUACACUUACUGCUCAGAUUGCAACAACUCGAAGCAUGGGCGAGGAGGAGCAGGAACAACUUCUGCAGAUUGUCCUUGCGAGUCCUAGAGGGGGACCUCGAUCUGCAUCCCCUCUGACAGCAACAUGUCUAUGGCUCGUGGCUCUUUAGGAAUGGUGCUUGAAACUUUAGGUUCUGAUACUUUUGGUCUGGCAAGCUGGUCCUCAUGCGAAGAAUGGAGCCUCUUCUUUGAAGGAAUGUGACUAGGAGACAAAUCAAGGUCCCUCUUCCAUACUUCGUCUACUGCUUGUGCAGAUGCAGGCCCUAUAACAUGUGGUACUUUUGAUCCGGCAAGCUGGUCCUCGUGUGAAGAACAGAGCCUUGGAAUGUGACUAGGAGACAAAUCAAGGUCCCUCUUCCAUACUUCGUCUACUGCUUGUGCAGGUGCAGGCCCUACAACAUGUGGUACUUCGGAUCCGGCAAGCUCGUCCUCGUGCGAAGAACAGAGCCUCUUCACUGAAGGAAUGUGACUUGGAGACAAAUCAACGACUGCUUGUGCUUCCUCUACUGCGGCCUUUACUAUGAUAUCACUUGCGAGUUACACAUCUAUAUUUAGCUGGCUGCACCCAGAUGGCGACAGUCUGUUCAUAGAUUUGAAGCUACAAAUUACUUUAUCAAGUUCCAGGUCAGCACGAGCAUCAAAGAAACAAGAACGACCUUUUGCAUCUUGGACUAGCUCGGACCAUACUGAUUUACUCUUAGUGAGAGUUUUUUUCAUUUCCAAGAAUCCACAGGCAAUCCCUGUGGGGAAAACAAUUUAUUUAAAUAAAAGAUAUACUGGGAGAUAAAUUUUCAAAGGAUCCAAAGGCAGUUGCGAAAAGGAAAUAAUGUACUAUACCUUGCUCUUGUCAAGGCCACAUUAGCUCUCCCACAAGAAUCUAGAAAGCCUAUUUUCCCAAAUUUAUUGUUUCUAACUGUUGAAAGUAUUAUGAUAUCCUUCUCAUCACCUUGAAAUGAAUCAACAGUUUUAACUUCAACAGAAAGAAGCUCACCCAUCUGAAUCCUGCCAAUAUUUUCUUUCAAAGCAAUCACUUGGGAUGCAUAAAGAGAUAUAACACCAAUGGUGGCUUUCUUAUUCUAGUCGGUACAUGCUGCAGUUGUAGACCAAAUAUACAUAGAUGAGCCCUAAUCUAAUUGGAUUUAGUAAAACUCUUCAAUUUACAGACUAUACCUUUAGAAAGCUUGGAAACAAUAGUGGCUGCUACAGCAGCUUCAACCACAUUUUGUACACUCUGACCAGUCUGAUGUUCUAUAGCAUACUCAACAUUAAUGAAUGAAUAAUUGCCAAAAAUAUCACCAAUAAAAAUCUUGGCAGACGUCUUUUCAGUGGCAUCUAUAAUUGUUUCAUCAUAAAAAACUUUCAUUGGCAACCUGCUGAUGUCAGGGUGCAUUCUAUAUUGCACAUUUAACAAGUGCUUAUGCCAACCAAUUUCACACAAUCUCUCAAAGAGGCUUCGUCCAUACUUAGCCUCUUUAGCAAUCUAUACAAUUAGCAGCGAGGAGGAUGAGCAAUCUAGAAAUUAGGAAAUAAUCACUGAUUACAUAAGGAUACAUUCAAAUGGCAUUAUAAGGAAGACUUACCUGGCUCUUUACCACUGAUUGGAGCUGCAAGUCAUCCCCAAUAAGCACCAGAUGUUUUAUCCCAUUAAUUGAGAGAGGGACCAUUGACUCACAUUCUUUUAAAUAUGCUGCCUCAUCAAUAACCAAUAUAUCAUAUUGCUCAUUGUUCAACCUAGCCGACAUGAAUGGAGUGCAAAAUACAAGUUGUGAAGCUUGCAACAACAUUCUCUCUUGAUUUCUAUGAUUCAUAUCCCCAUUUGUAUCAAUAAGAUUCUUCAAAAAUAUUUUUGACAGGGUUUUAUCCGUCUUCUUCCAACAUGAUGAGAGCUUAUCGCUACCAAACAAAAUAAUGUUGCCAAGUAAAUGUUUGGUUUCAGUGGACUUGUCAACUAGAGAAAUAAGGCGAGAAGCCAAUUGCACGAGAGCUGUGUUUGUUGGAGCACAUACAAGAAUUCUAAGUUUGCUCGGAAUCAUUAGAAGCUUACACAGAAUCACUGAAACUGUUUUAGUUUUUCCUGUGCCAGGUGGGCCCCAAAUUAGACGUACAGAAGAUUCCCCAGAUUUAAUUGCUGAAAUGCAACUUGCUACUGCAUCACUCUGUGAUUCGUUUAGUCCAAAAUCAACACGGACAGCCUCAACAACUUUUGCUUUACCUUCAAAUAUUCCACAUUCUCCAUCAGCCUACAGCAUAUAUUAAAAAAUGUCAGUGCGCGAUGCAAAGCUUUUCUCAAAUUAAGAGAGAAAUGUCAGGACAUACUCCAUUCAUAUUUUUAGUCCAUCUGAGAUUGCAUAGUUCAGAGCUUUUUCUAGGACAUUUCAUGACUUCCCAACUACUUAAAUAUGUAUUCAGAUUAGCCAGGUGCAUAAUUUGGUAGUAACUUUUCUUCUUCAUUUUCCCAAAUUUCCACUGCGAUAGCCUGACAAUCAUGUCUGUAGUUGACACAUGUAAAACCACAAGGAUGGUGCAAAAGGAUCUGCUAUGUAUAAUUUGGUCUCUAGAUCCCAAUCCCUCUGCUGAUAAUAACAUGACAUCUUCCAUUUUUGGCGCAUUGCCUUCUUUUGUAUUGCCCUUGAUUCGGUACACAUUAGGAGUUUCUGAAUGCUUCUCAGAGCAAGGCACACAUUGGCAUCUAGAAAUGGUAUCCAUGCCUGAGUUUAUUUUAUCCCAAAUUUCCUGUAACAUUGGAAUGCGAAAUGCUUCUUUGUAGUCAUCCCAGGCUUUAAAUUCAUUUGGGAUCAUCUUCGGUAACUGUAACAACAUGGCAACCUUGAAAUGGAGAUGUUUUUUUAGGUUCAAAAUAAGGAAUGUUGCCGGUUGGGAGAGGCUCAUUACCUUAACAGGGUUGUCCUGAUUCAAUAUAUCCAUAAUAGGCCAUGACAACACUUCUAUGUAAAGAUCAUUAACAUCUCCAUGUAGCCCCACCAUUUUAAUGUCUGCGAAAGCUGCUAAGUAAACAAUUCAGAUAUUCAUGAAAUUGGAUUUGACUCUCAACAAUUAAGAAAUCAGGUGCAAGCUACCAAUGGCUACCCAUGUGCAAGCCGGCCAGAACAAGUACAAAUUACUGAAAUUGAUGAAAUAACUUGCAACGUUUCUUCGCUGCCCUGCUCGCCGGGUAGCUAUAGUGCUGCUGGGUGCUUGCUGCUCUACUCCACAACUCCGGAGAGUCCAGAGAGUCCACAGCCACUGCGCUCAGCGUCCCUGAAUCCGCCACUGGUCAGGGCUCGAUUGGAGCUUGGGGGAAAGAGAGAGGGUGGGGCUGGAUUAGGGCUGCAUUACGGACCUGGUCGCGCGCCGGUCGUCCACUCCGCCGUGUGAGUCCGCCGACUCCGAGUCCACCGCGUGAGUCCGCCGACUCCGAGUCCACCGCGUGAGUCCCAACAGAUUCAACUUCACCCCUGCCGAUCACCGUUCCUCGCUUGGGUGAUAACUAGCAAAAUUGCCCGUGCAUUGCAACGGGAUUAAAAAAUAUAUUAAUUUUAUUUUAGUAUGAAAAAAUAUGUUUUAUUUUUUUAAUUUAUUUUAUAUUAACCGUCACAUCUAUAAUAUAAGUUAAUGCUUACAAUAAAUUACAAGUUCCUAUUAAACAUGUAUCAAAUUAAAAUACACCUUGGCAUUUUUUUCUUCUAAUGCGUUGGUCCCACAGUCACAAAAGUUCCCGGUUCGGAGGUAUGGUGGACGCAGUACAUGGAUUAAUAAUAAUUUUAAGUUCCCGGUUCGUAGGGGGUUAUACCUCUUCGGGUACCCAAAGUUGCGGGUAGUGUUUUUUCAAGACUAACAUCGGGUAGCAGUUUUCAUUACCUGAACUUUGAAUACCCGACCCGAAAAAAUCGGGUAACCCGAACGCCCAGGCUGAGGUGCAUAGCCCUAGCCAGCCUUCCACAGUAACACUUGGUCAUGUUUGCUUCGGUCAUGUCCAUGAUUCCUUCUAUCCUUAGUGAAAAUAAGGAAUCUCGUGGGAAAUAGGAAAAAGUACUUCAUACCGAAAUGUAACCCUACAUAUAACUCUAUGAUGACUUGAACAAACUAUGCAUUAUGGAUGUGGCUUGAUAGGAUUUACCCCGGGCUGACUACUUAGAUCUAUUAAAAGUAAAGGAAACUAGUGGGAUAAGACAUAAAAGUACUCCGUACCUAUAUGAUAAGAGGAAAAAGUACUUUGUACUCUAUAUGUAACUCUUAUAUGACUUAGACAAACUACACACGAUGAAUUUGCCUUGCUAGGUUUAGCUUGACCGCCUACUUAGGGUUCGAGUGUUUAGGGUUUCUUCUAUGGGUUUUUUUGGAUUGAUACCACUGCAAUUUUACAAGUUUGGAGAAAUACCAUCACUAUUCGUCUAUUUGGAAACAUGUCAUUAUAAUUUUUGCAUAGCUUAUUCUCUUGACAUGCAAGGGGUCCACCUCAUCCCAUUAUUAUUUGUACAAAUCAUCCACUAACAUACAUUUAGUUGUACACAUCAACAUGACAUGCUAACAUUAAUUUAUAUAGCUUAAAAAAUAAUAUGAAUGGUUAAAUUAUAUUCAAAAUCAAUAGUCUCCAUGGCAACGCGCAGAGACUUCUCCUAGUUCUUUAGAUUUGAGAAGUAUAUAUGGCAGAACAUAAAAAUCCAACCAUUGAGACCGAGCAUGCUCUUUGUCUUCUUCUAGAUCUAGACGAGGUGGACACCAGCACCCAUGGCGCCAGCAACACUGCCAUGGAGCCCGUCACCAUGUCGCUGGCCUAUGAGCUCCAACGAGCAGGUGGGAGGGUGCAUACCCCCUAGCCAGCCUUCCACAGUAACACUUGGUCAUGUUUGCUUCGGUCAUGUCCAUGAUUCCUUCUAUCCUUGGUGAAAAAUAAGGAAUCUCGUGGGAAAUAGGGAAAAGUACUUCAUACCUAAAUGUAACCCUACAUAUAACUCUAUGAUGACUUGAACAAACUACACAUUAUGGAUGUGGCUUCAUAGGAUUCACCCAUGGCUGACUUCUUAAAUCUCUUAAAAGUAAAGGAAAUUAGUGGGAUAACACGUAAAAGUACUCCAUACCUAUAUGAUAAGAGGAAAAAGUACUUUGUAUUAUAUAUGUAACUCUUAUAUGACUCAGACAAACUACACAUGCAUUUAUGGAUGUGGCUUGAUAGGAUUUACCCCUAGCUGACUACUUAGAUCUAUUAAAAGUAAAGGAAACUAGUGCGAUAAGACAUAAAAGUACUCCGUACCUAUAUGAUAAGAGGAAAAAGUACUCUGUACUCUAUAUGUAACUCUUAUAUGACUCAGACAAACUACACACGAUGAAUUUGCCUUGCUAAGUUUAGCUUGACCGCCUACUUAGGGUUCGAGUGUUUAGAGUUUCUUCUAUGGGUUUUUUUGAUUGAUACCGCUGCAAUUUUACAAGUUUGGAGAAAUACCAUCACUAUUCUUCUAUUUGGAAACAUGCCAUUAUAAUUUUUGCAUAGCUUAUUCUCUUGACGUGCGAGGGGUCCACCUCAUCCCAUUAUUAUUUGUACAAAUCGUUCACUAACAUACAUUUAGUUGUACACAUCAACAUGACAUGCUAACAUUAACUUAUAUAGCUUAAUAAAAUUAUAUGAUGGUUAAAUUAUAUUCAAAAUCAAUAGUCUCCAUAGCAACGCGCGGGGACUUCUCCUAGUUCAAAUUAUAAGAGUUGAAAUUUGAAUGUGUCACCCUGCUCAACAUAAUAUUCAGUGACAGAUGCUCACUACUAGACACCACUACAUGGGUAGUGUUUGAACAAAUGCCCAGUAAGAGAAUGAAUUCAAAUUUUGUAUACCUACUUGAAAAUAUAAUAUAUUGUUACUGUUAUAACUUAAAUUUCAUAUUUGCAAUUGAAAUUGAACUUCAAAUUUGUGGAUUCUUGAACUUUAACUUGAACUUGGAUCUGGUCAAGUGGAAUAUUAUUUAUAUUUGUCUUGUGCUCUUGGCUGGCUGGUUCACUCUUUUUCCUCGAAUUCAGAGUUUUUAACACGAAUUUGGUAUUCACGAAUCGAAUUCAAUGUUCGUGAAAAUUUCGAGGUUUCAUUUUGGGUUGGUGUGCACUUCUUUUCAUGGAAGAAAUUUUGAAUUCACGGUAAAAGUACGAAUCGGAUAAAAAAAUAUGAAUUCAUGGAGAAGAAACAAUAAUCGAUGGAGAAAAACAUGAAUUCAUGUCUAAGAAAUGGGAAUCUAGUGAAAAAACACGAAACUCACAUAAUUUCAUUUGAUGAUUCAAGUUUUAAACUCAUGAUCCAAUCAUAAGCCACACAUAGGCACAUAGCAGCAGGAAUAAUAGUCAUCUUAUCCAUACUAACCAACAUCACCUACAAUCAAACUGGCCACCAUAACACUGAGUUUAGGCCAUUAAGGCAGCCAGACCAACAUUACAGACCAAGUUCAUCAAUUGACCAACAUUACAGACCAAGUUCAUCAGUUGACCAACAUUACAGACCAAGUUCAUCAGUUGACCAACAUUACAGGCCUAGUUCAUCAAUUGCAUAGUCUGAAACUAAUCACAUUCCAAACUUUCCCACAAAUUUUGGACCUUUUACCACAACGUUUGGAGACAUGAUCAACCAAGUUCAUCAGUUAACCAACAUUAUAGGCCAAGUUCAUCACUUGCAUAGUCUGAAAUUAAUCACGUUCCAUACUUUCCCACAAAUGUUGGACCUUUUUCCAGGACUUUUGGAGAGAUGAUGAUUCAUUCGCCUGAUGAAACAGAACAUAAUCCAGAACUGACAUCACAUAAUCAGUACACCAUGACUGCAAAGAGGAAUAACAGAGAGAGAUUAGACACAAGUUCAUGGCUGGCAAAAGGAGAAUCAAGCCAGAACAAACUAACCGUUUUAGUAAUAAUCUCCAUAAAGGAUGAACCACCGCCGUAGCUCUCAAUGAAGCUCAUUGCAAGCAGUAUGGCAUCGGCUGAGGUUUCCGGAACUUCAACACUUUGAGACUUCCAUUGACUAAAAUAUAGUUUACCUGAUACUAUGUUUUUGUUCAUGUUUUCUUCAACUAAUUCUGCCAUAGUUUCUGACCAAAAAUCCAUGGCAGCCUCAUGAGCAUUGCUACUCAACACUUCCGCAAUCCCUUGAGGCUUGUUCACACAAAAUAUGAUCCAUUUAUCAUCAUGAAGGAUUGGAAGAAAUAUCUGGAAAACAAGCAUAUCAAAAAGUUUUUGCAGUUAAGCAAUUCAGGGGAAUAAAAACCUGAUAUGUGCAAGUUAAAAUCAAAAUCUGAUGGAUGCAAGUGAAAUUCAAAGUCUUACAAGUGCAAGGUUUCGUGGGAAGGGUUUGGGUGUUGCUUCUCGGCAUAUCUUCAUAACUUCAUCUUUAUUCUCCUUAAAGAUGGACUGAUGUCAAGGCAAGAUAAACAUCAAAUUAAUUUCGUAAUAGAGAACGUCAAACUAGUUUCAAGUGGAAAACAUACCGAGGCCAUUGGUGGGAAAAAUAUCCUUUCUCUUCUUUUAUUUUCCUUGUCAUCAACCGUCAAGCAAUGUAUGAAUGCCUUGAGGAAUUCAAAGCUUGCCAUGGGAUCUCUCAAGAAGGAAUUUAAUUGAACUUUGGUAAUUGAGACACCAUUCAUAUUUACAAACAGCUCAUCCCUAUCAAAGUCGCAAUUCAAAAGAUGAGGAUUGAGUUAGAAGAUAAUUUCUUGAAGGACCAAAAUAAGUCUUUAGAGACUUACCCUUUGCACUUGGUUUUGUAGUUCAAAAUAGCCUCAUGUAACCAUCUAGACCUGCUUCCCGGUGGCUUUGUGUAUAGGGUAACUUUAGUGAUGUGCUCUUUCCAAUUUUUCAUGGGCCUGGCAUCAUUUGGUAUCUUUUGUUCUAAAGAAGGUGAGGUUUUUUGUUGUUUCUGAUGUCUCCUUGGGGGCCUACCAGAAGGUUUCUUUUGUUCCACAGGAGGUGAGGAAUCAGGUGCGAUGUCUGAAUCUAGAUGAGAGCUAGUUUGUUUCUGAUUUCUCCUUGGGGACCUACCAACAGGUUUCUUUUGUUCCACAGGAGGUGAGGGCUCAGGUUGAUUUCUCCUUGGGGGCCUACCAGCAGGUUUCUUUUGUCCCACAGGAGGUGAGGGCUCAGGUGCGAUGUCUGAAUCUAGAGGAGAAGUCAACACUUGGCCUCUGGGGCAAUCGAUCUUGGACGUCACAUGCUUCCCAUACAGUUUAUCCAUUUCAGUGCACAUUCAUUCACUUUAGUCAAGAAUGCUGAAAUUUUUGACUUAGCAGCAUCAUUUGGAGCGUAUGGAUAGACUUCAAGAAAGCAUCUAUUGCAAAUCUUGAAAAAUUGGGAAAUCCAUCUCUGCCACUGCAUCCGGUACUCCUUCGCUGUACUUCACAGUUGACAUCCUUUGAGACUGUAGGUAGUCCAUUUCCCUUGAGAACUUAUUACAACACAUUGAGGACUCAUCAUAACAUGUAUCCUCCCUUGCUUUCAACUGAAAAGGUAAAUUGAACAAACCUUAUAGAAAGAACUAAAUAUCUUGCCAUUAAGAGGUAUGAAAACCAUUUUUAAAAAGGUUUUGGGCAAUGACAUAGCCUCCAAAAGGGAUAUAUAAAUAGUAAGAUCAUGAUGUAUUAACGUUUCUAGAGAAAAUAUAAUUUCCACACUAUGUUUUGCCAUUUUUGUGCUAUCUACCUCCUAUGUCAAUGUUAAGAAUAAGAAAUGCGUGCUAGUACUGAACAUUUCCAAGUGAAACUGAGGAGGGUGCAAUGCAACUGUUUCAGAGUUUCAGAGGUGAUCCUAUGAAAACCAUACCUCUUCACACGAGUAAAACUUAGCAAGAUUCUUUGUACUUACGUGAAACUUGUCAAAUACAAUCUUGCCGCUUCUGCGCCGCCUAGCACUAGCAAUCAUUUUAUUCACAAGUUCUGUAUCAUAUUGAUUAAUUCUUUGACAGGUUUUGAUAUGCUUCUCCUCAUUCCCCCCAUUCUCGUCAGACAUUACAGGAAUCACCAUGUUGUCAACAAAGUAUAUCCGCCAACCAGAAUAUAUACUAUUCAUAAACAUGGCUUUAAUAAAUAAAUAAAAAAGAACCAAUGAAAAAAAAGUAGAGGUAGAUGCUUACCAGUAGCAUUAUAGUACAACUAGAGAUACACCUUGACUUCCUAUCCUUUAUCCCCAACUUCUUAAGGGCAAUAACUUUUCUUUCCACUCAGUGAUAGCAAGCCUAAAAUUUUCAUAAACAACAACAAACCAGUCGAAGUCAUUAAUUGUGGUCAUAUCCCUAGUGUACAUGACCGCAUUUAUAUUGAUCUUUGGGCUGGUGCUAGGCAGUAGAAAUUUGCUAAGUAGUAUAAGAAAAAACAUUUGAUCCUCAAAUGUUUCUCCUUAGAUUUCCUAAUUAUGUCCAUUAUUUUCUCAACUGACAAUGUAUCAUGCUUGUCCAUACCAAGCUCACAGCGCAACUUCCAGAAUUCUUUGUGUUGGCUGGAUGUGUACUUCAGCGGGCAAUUCUUGCCACGAGGAAGUCCCAAGAGCUGAAAUAUGACAUUAGGUGUGAUGUACAAAGUCAAACCUCGCCAUAUGUGUAUUGCUAUCCGGUCCUUUUCAAGAACUGCUACUCUGAGCAGCCAAUCUACAACUUGUCAUUUAGAAAUAUUUCCCACCGUCAGCUCCAAAAAGGUUCCGAAUCCAAGCCUCUUGACCUCCUGACGCUCAGCUUCAUCAAGUAGCGUCACCACUUCCUGCACCUCCUUAGGCUUACAACCAACAUCAAGAUUGAAAUCAUCACAACACUCAUCCUCAUCUUCUGAUGACCCCCCUUGGAAUUUGGAGUGUCCACCCUUUCUUCUGUGAGGUCCUUUGUCUCUAUUACCCUAUAAAAAACAAUGAUGAAACAGUGACCAGCAAAUAUAUGCACUAUUUUCAGCAUCAAUUAUUAUUGACUGACUAUCUAGUUACACUUAUUGAGCAUGAGUUCAUUAAGCAUACCUUAUAAAUUGAUUCAGAAGCGUGUGACGCCUCCGAUCCCCUUUGGAAUUUAGAGUGUCAUCUCUUUUUUCUAGGGGGUCCUUUGUCUCUAUUUCUCUAUAAAAACAAUGAUGAAACAGUGACCACACAGCAUUCUCCAAAUCACGCAUCAGCCUAGCAGGUACAAUUUGUACUAAACGCCUAUUGAAUUGAGGAUUUUAAAUUCCUUUCGUUUACUUUUUCAUGCAAUAAAUUAAGAAAGUGCUUCUCCAAGAUCACACAUACGUGUACAUGCAUAUAUGUAUAUAGAGAUGAUAGUUCAAUCACCAAUGAGGUAUUCAUGAAGAACCAUAUUCAAGAGCAAACAACCCAGAAGGAGGAAUUACACAAGCAAAAAAUGGCCAAACCUCAAGCUACUCGUGCAAGUGCAAGAAUUCAGGAUAAUGGACAAUCUAUUCUGGAAAAGGCUAUUGCCAGGAAAGCAGGUCUUGAUUCUAAAGGUACUAUCCCAACUAAUUCCAAAUCUCACUAUGCUAGUUCCAACCAUGUUGAUAUAGUUUCUAGAGCUUGUGGUAUUAAUAUGGUAAUGAUGAUAACAUCAGAACAGCCAAUAUUUCUUUAAUUCAAGCAAAAGAGGAAGCCUUAUUAGUAUUAUAGAAGGCAAAACAUACAAUAAAGUUGAGUUCUGAUAGAGAUAAGAAGGAUGACAAUGACCCUGAUGGUUUAGAGUUAUAUACAAUAGAGAGUUCUGAUAAUUGUUUAGAGAUAAAGACUGAGCCAGAGCAAGGAGUUCAUCACAUCUCAAAUGAUAUUAGGGCCCGUUUGGAUCUAUGGAAUUGAAUUCAUUUUUGGAAUCAUAAUUUAGAAGGAGAGAGCUAGACAGGUUUGCUGGUAGAAGGGAGAAGAAAUUUAUUAGUAGAGUUAGUCAACAGACAUGAGUUUGAUUGCAUUUAUUUACAAGAAACUAUAAAAUCAGAAUUUAGAAGGAGAGAGCUGGACAGGUUUGCUGGUAGAAAACAUAUGGAAUGGUCAUGGGUACCCUGUUCAGGUCAUUCUGGAGGUAUGCUAAUGGGAAUAGAUAAAUAGUUAGGCUGGAUUUCUGAGACUGACCAGGGAGAAUUCUUCCAAUGUGCCAAGAUUUCAUCCUACAUUGAGGAGUUUGACUGGAUGUUGAUUAACAUUUAUGGACCAGCACAUGAUGAGAGAAAAAGAGAUUUUUUAGAGGAGAUCCAAACAAAAAUGUCAAGUUUGGACUUGCCAAUAAUUGUUUGAGGAGAUUUCAAUUUGGUGAGGAAAAGAAAAGAGAAAUCUACUGGGAAUGUUGACAUUCAUCUGAUGGAUGCUUUCAACAAUAUGAUAAACAGUACUGCUCUCAAAGAAUUACAGAGGUCAGGAAGUAGAUACGCUUGGUCCAAUAAACAGACUCCACCUAUCCAAUGUGUGUUAGAGUUCUGGUAAAUAACUUGUGGGAUGAUAAAUUCAAUUUUGCUUCAGUAUCUACAGGCGAGAGAGUGGGAUCAGACCAUAAUCCUCUUUUUGUUAGCACUGAAGGAAUACAUACUCCAAAGCUAUUCUAUUUUCGGUUUAGUGCUCAUUGGCUUAAUCAAGAUGGAUUCUGUCAAUGGGUCAGAAAUAAAUAGCCAAACAGAUACAAAUUUGACCCUAUGGAUCAUUGGCAUGCUGUUUCUGGUAAACUCAGAAGAGCAAUAAAAGGAUGGGGACAAAACUUUGACAGUCAACAGAAGAGAUAUAAACAACAACUGCUGAAAAGAAUUGCGGAUCUAGAUGAUACUAGUGAAACUAGAGCUCUAGUACAUAUUGAAUGGAAAGAGAGGUAUGAUCUGGAAGUAGAGUUACAAUCAAUACUGAUAGAUGAUGAGAAACAACGGCAAAGAAAGGGUGGUGAGAGAUGGAUGCUGGAAGGAGAUUCAAAUACAAGCUAGUUUCAUAAAUGUGCUACAGGCAGAUUGAGGAAAAAAACAAAUAAACUUUCUUGAAGAUAAGAAUAUUAUGAUCACUGAUCCAAAGCAACUGAGAGAUCAUGUCACUGAAUACAACAAAAAAAUUAUUUGGACCAGCUGAAACUGCUGAUAUGCAUCUUGAAUCAGAUAUGUGGUCAGAGAAUGAGAGAUUAUUAGACUCAGAAAAUGAAUGGUUGACAAGACCUUUCACUUUAGAGGAGUUGGAUCACGCCCUAAAAGAAAUGAAGAACAACACAACACCAGGACCUGAUGGUUUCAGUGUAGAGUUUUUCAAAGCCUUUUGGCUAGAGAUUAGGGAAGACAUAAAGGAAUUGCUGGAUCAUUUGCAUGCAGAUCAGUUGAGUUUAUGGAGGCUAAAUUAUGGAGUUAUAAUCCUUCUCCCAAAAGUGAAACCAGCAACACACAUAAAGCAGUUCAGACCUAUUUGUUUGCUAAAUGUCAUAUAUAAAAUCAUUACCAAAGUGCUAACCAUCAGGCUUACUAGAGUUAUUGACAAAUUGAUCAGUCCCUUUCAAACAGCAUUUAUUCCUGGCAGAUAUAUUCUAGAGGGGAUUGUUAUAAUUCAAGAGGUACUACAUGAGCUCAAGUCAACAAAAGGAACUGGAGUUAUUCUGAAAUUAGACUUUGAGAAGGCUUAUGAUAAAGUAAGCUGGAGCUUUCUAAGAGAGGUCCUUAUUAAGAAAAGAUUUUAACCAGAAGUGGAUAAAUUGGAUUACACAAGUUGUCGAAGGGGGUAGAGUCUGCAUUGAUCUAAAUGGAGAGAGAGGUCCUUUUUUCAGAAGCUUCAAAGGUCUAACACCCUAUCCCCCCUACUUUUUAAUUUGGUAGCUGAUGCUCUCUCCAGAAUGCUGACUAAAGCCACAGAAGCUGGAAUUAUUAGAGGUCUAGUCCCAAAUCUUGUGGAAGGUGGUUUGACUCAUCUCCAAUAUGCAGAUGAUACGGUUAUCUUUCUGGAGUUUUCCACCGAAAAUUUACAGAACAUAAAACUGAUACUAUCUUGUUAUGAUGUUAUGUUAGGAAUGAAAAUAAAUUUUGAGAAGAGUGAAGUUUUUACUGUGGGACUAGAAGAAUCUGAUCAACAAGAGGUCAUUAACAUCCUCAAUUGCAAGAUUGGGACCUUUCCAAGGUAUGCCAGUCAGCACUCAAAAAAUUACCAAGGCACAGUUGAGAUAUGUGAAUGAAAAAAAGACAAAAGACUGAGCACCUGGCAGUGUGACUAUUUAACCUCAGGGGGCAAAUCAAUUCUUAUUGAUUCAUGCUUGUCCAGUAUACCAAUGUACACUAUGGGAGUAUAUCAACUGUACGAAGGCAAUUUUCAGAUGUUAGAUUCUGUUAGAGCUAGAUUAUUUUGGCAAGGUACAGGGAAAAAGAAGAAAUAUCAUAUUGUAAAAUGGGAAGCUAUGAGCAGACCAAAGGAAUUUGGUGGUUUAGGUUUUUUGGAUGUUAGAGCUGUGAACACUUGUCUUUUGGUAAAAUAGAUUGACAAGCUAGAACAUGAUGAUCCCAGUCUGUGCUGUUCGUUGCUAAAGAAGAAAUAUUUAGGGGACAAAAGCAUUUUUCAGAGGUGGCAAUGAUCAAGACCUGGCGGCCUUUGCUGAAGGAGAAGCUGAAGCCUACAGCAGAUGAAAUGUUGGAGUUGCUGGUGGCGGGACCGCACUAGCUCACUAGUUUAUGUUUGUCCUGUUCUCGUUCUAAAACACGAUGUUUGUUGUUUUACUUUUGCUGCGUGGAGAUGUUUCACUGUUUAGAGUUCAGGUGGUUAGAAUGUUGAUGUUGGAACUCUACUGUAAAACUGGUAUCCCCAGUCGCGACCUGUGGCAUUCAUUACGCUUUCUAAUAAAGUUGGGCGGACGCCUUUGGUCGAAAAAAUUUUAGUACUGAUCGGCUGGGAGGCCUGAUCGGACGAUUAAUCGCGAUUAGUGGACGAUUAAUCGGACGAUCAGGUUUCUGAUCGCUCUAGUCUGAUCGAAGGGCCUAAUCGAGUGCUAAGUACCGAUUAGGACGAUUAAUCACGAUUAAUCGGACGGUCAGAAAACAAUGUAGGGUCCUACAAGCAUCCAACAGAUAGGAUAUCCAAACCAAGCCAAAAAAAAAUAUGACAGCUAUUUGCAUUUUAAAAAUCUAAUGCUUGUUGACACCGUUUUUGGGCACGUGUCCAGGAUGGCAGGAUAAGACGGCAGUAUGUGGUUUACAGGAUGAGUUGCCGAUGAGGAUGGUUGCCGACAAAGGAGAGGUUGAACGUGGCUAAGUUUACGGGUGAUGAUGUGUCUGUGCCGAUGGCUAUGGUGAGGAAGUCUGCCGAUGACUAUGGCAGGGGAGUCUGCCGAUGAUACAAAGGGGGAGUCCGGAAGCUGCCGGUCGGUUUGUGGAAGAAUUCCAGUUCGUCACGAGGGAUAGCUUUGUUAUUUCCUUAUUUAUUUGAGUCGUUUUAUAUACGGAUUCUGUGUAAUUUGGAAUUCGAAUUCUAGUCGUGUCUGGUUGUAGUUCUUUAAGCAGGGUAUAAAUAUAAACCCUAAGACCUUGUAAUGAGACAUCUAUCAAUCAAUCAAACACACGUUUUUACUCAUAUUCCAGCAUCUACUUUUUCGGCGACUUCGUCAUACUUUUCCUUUUUAUUACGAGUUCUUAGGAAUUCGUCGACUUAAGCUCGGCGCGUUCUCAAGUUCCGCGUGAGUACCUCUUAGCCGUGACAUCCGGGCGCAUCGCUGUUGUCAGGACUAAAGUAUUCGAGUUAUCACCUUUGCCGAUAGUAAGGUCAAAUCGGCUGGCACGCCUUAACGAUUGAAUCGGCUAUUAGCCCUUUGUGUUUGCAGACCAGCUUUUGCACCAACACAUCUUUUGGCACGCCCGGUGGGACCAGAUUCAAGAUCAAGAUCAAAAUAUCGAUCUCUGACUUUGAUCAGGAGAACGUCAUCCCCGUGACGGAAGCCAAUCUCAAGGAUGAGCAGAAGCAAGCUAUUGCCCAAGCUAUGGAGGAAUACAAGCUGCAAUGCCUGAAGUCCUUCAGCAUAAACAGGAGUGGCGAGGUGAUCCAGAAGGAUGCGCUGCCGGUACCACGGCAGGUUACUUUCGAAGCCAAUCCGGGCAAGCUUCAAGAUAUGGUUGACAGUGCUAUCAACCGUGCUUUGAUCAACCAAGCUGGCGUACUGUCCAAUACGGUUUUCAAUGCCGUGGCAAGAACUUUCAAGGAAGGACAAAUCCCACCAGAUUAUGUGGGCCCCACUCAUCAUCAACCGACAGCACCAGAGGUUACGGCUCCAUCGGCUGCUAUGACCGCUGUGAGUGCGCAGUCUGCCGUCCCUCCAAGUACAUUGGGAGCUACUAGCGUACAAUCUGUGCCGAUGACAACCAACCCACAGACUUCAGGUGGACAGAAUAAAUUAGUUACAGAUAUGGUGGCAUCGGCAAUGUCAGGGUUGACUCCUCCUCCCAACUGGUGGGGUUACGGUAUGCCUCCAGAGUUGACACCGGAAACAUCACAGAUAACUGACAUGAGGGGCAAGACUCCUAUGGCAUCGGCGCCUCCCAAUGCGCCGUGGAACCAGAGUUCUCGGUAUACUACGACUACUACUGCAAGGCCUCACGCUGGGAAUCCUCAAGAUUCAAUGUUCCAGAUGCCUAAUGCAUCGGCGGAUUCAAUGCUGAUGCAACAGAGGUCUAUGGCCCAGUCGGGGUAUGUCAAUUCAAUGAUGGUACCCAAUUACCAAUCAUCGGCAGCGCCUAUGUCGAUGAACGCUAAUAAUGGAUGGCUUGGAUAGCAAGUCUUUCCACAAUCGCCCCAACAGAGUUACCAGGCUACAGGGUUCCAGCAAGGACAGAUCUAUCCCAGAUUCCAAAGUCAGGGGAUCUCCAGCCAGCCAAUGAAUAUUGGACAACAACUCGGGGGCAGCAAGUCGGUGGACAGCAGUUUGGUGGUCCGCAGAUUGGAGGCCAGAUGAUCAACCCAAUGUUCUGUGCAGAUCAUGCCCCAAACAGACACGUGGAAGCUCGUCACCAAGUGCCGGACCCGCAGCCGCCUCAUCGGCAGGAUGCCGAUGCAUAUUGGGCCGAUAAGAUCGCUGAAGUAAUGAGGGAUCAAAUUGGGAUAAAACCCAAAGUCAACACUUACUCUUAUCGGACACCGUAUCCUCCCGCAUAUGAUUUGAUCCCACUUCCGCAUCGGUAUAAGGUACCAGACUUUACUAAGUUUUUCGGGCAAGACGACACGUCAACCAUGGAGCAUGUCAACAGGUUCAUCAUUCAAUGCGGAGAAGCUGGUAACAGGGACGAAUUGAGGGUUCAUCUAUUUUCAUCGUCAUUGUCUGGAUCGGCCUUCACCUGGUUCAUAUCACUACCUCCUAACUCAGUGAUUACUUGGGCCGAUCUGGAGAAACAAUUCCACAAGUAUUUUUUUCCGGAGUUCAUGAGAAGAAGAUCAACGAUUUGGUCAAAUUGAGACAACGCAAUGAUGAAUCGGUUGAAGGUUUUGUGCAGAGGAUACGGGAAGUCAAAAAUAAAUGUUAUAGUCUGGUUCUGGAUGAUCGGCAGCUGGCCGAUUUGGCUUUCCAGGGUUUGUUGCCACAUAUUAGGGACAAGUAUGCUUCUCAGGAGUUCGAAAGUUUAAGUCAUUUGGUGCAGAGGAUUUCUGAUCAAGACAUCAAGCCUUUUGAGCCCAAAAGAGCAUGGAAUAAGAAAGUGUCAUUUGUUGAUGAAGCGACAAGCUCAGAUUCUGAUGAGGAACCAGUCAUCGGCUUGGCAGAGUGGGUGAAAAACAAGAAGCCGAUGUCUUGCCCUUUUGGGGAGAAGGAACUAGAGAAGUUCGCUUUUGACACCGCCAAGGCCGAUAGGAUAUUUGACUUUCUACUUCAGGAAGGUCAGAUCAAGCUGUCUCCUAAUCACGUGAUCCCGUCGGCUGAGGAGUUAAAGAGGAUGAAAUAUUGCAAGUGGCAUAAUGCAACUUCUCAUGACACCAACGAAUGCAAAGUUUUCAGACAGCAGCUGCAAUCGGCCAUAGAGUCUGGGAGAAUCAAAUUUGACACUUCCAAGACCCAGAAGCCGAUGAAGAUAGACCAACAUCCUUUCCCGACAAACAUGUUGGAUGCUAAGGGGAAGGCCAAGGUCUUAACAUCGGAAGCAGCUGAGAAAAGUGCAUCGGUAGACCCUCAGCAUCAAGUUACUACUGCCGAUGCAAGAGGUAAGGGCUUGGUCCAGGAAGGAACCAGUUCAGGUAGGCCCCCUCGGUCUGGCAUCAUUAUAACUCAUAGAAGGCCUCGAGAGAACUGGCAGCAAUGGGAAGAUCGGUAUCGGCGCCAGGAAGAAGAUUAUCGUCGGGAGGAAGAGAGACGCCGACAGGAGUGGAAUCGACAUAGAGAUCAUUGGAACUGUCCGUUCUUUAUCCAUUGUUGGGAGGAAAAUAUUAAGCUUCCCACUGUCAGAGACUGCCCUGAGUGCAACGGUUAUGAUCGGUACGAUAGGACUGAUCGGCGUUAUCAUGAUGACAAUCGGCGAUUUAAUGGGCCGAUCAGAGGAAGAGCAUCAGUUCAUGAUCGGCUGGGGGGCAGGCUCAGCGUGCACGAUAGGCUUGGCAAUCGUGUCCAAUAUUUUCCCAGAAACCAGGAAGAACUUGAGGAGAUGGCUAAUGCAUGAGUUCCCGAUGAGUUCAUAUUUUGCAGGGAUGCUAACACGCAUCAGAUGGAGUCAAGGGAGAAUCGACGCCCAGCAGCAAGGCAGAAGCCACUUCCUCCUUGGUGUCCAGAAGGGUUGACCAAGACACAGAAAAGGAGAUUGCAGCGUGAAAGGCAAGAGGAGCUAAACAAGGGCGAGAACUCUGGAAGUCAGCAGCCAUCAGACACCAAGAGGGAAGGACCAUCGGCAGGAGUUAACAUGGUCUUUAUGUUGCCGAUGGAGUUUCUUGCACCAUCCAGUGAUGAUGAGUUGGAAUUUUCUGAUCAGAUAGCUCAGCUGGCUCUGGAUCCGAUGACAGCUAUCUUUGAGAAACCUGCCGAUGACGAGAGACAGCAUCUCAAGGCUCUGUUCGUCAAAGGGAGGGUUGAUGGGCAGCCAAUGACCAAGAUCCUAGUUGAUGGUGGAGCUGCUAUUAAUAUUAUGCCGUAUGCAGUAUAUCGGAAGCUUGGGAAAGGGGAUCAGGAUUUGACCAAGACCGAUAUGAUGCUCAAAGACUUUGAAGGAAACGUGUCUCCAGUCAAAGGGGCAAUAUGUGUAGAGUUGACCAUCGGCAGCAAAACCUUGCCGACAACUUUCUUUGUGAUUAGUGGAAAGGGUGCUUACAACUUAUUAUUGGGAAGAGAUUGGAUUCAUGCCAAUUGUUGCAUCCCGUCUACAAUGCACCAAUGCUUGGUUCAGUGGGUAGGAGACAAGAUUGAGAUUGUCCCGGGGGAUUCUUCUUAUGUCAUUGCAUCGGCAGAGGCGGAUACUUAUGAGAGGACCAGAUGCAUUUCAGGAGAGGUCUGGGAGAAAGAUUUUCUCAAGGUUGCCGAUUACGAGAUUCCGCCGAUCCAAGCAGUCGAUUCUGACGAGGGUUUUUAAUGGAUAGGUUCGCCGAUGAUGGAAAGUUAGGCCAAGGAUUCACAUCGGCCGAUGAUUUGGUAGAAGUAGAUAUAGGUAGUGGCGAUAAGCCUAGACCUACUUUUAUUAGUGCUAAGUUAAAUCCUGAGUGUAAGCAGCAAUUAACCAAUUUGUUAAAGGAAUAUAAAAAUUGCUUUGCUUGGGAUUAUACCAAGAUGCCUGGUUUAGACCGAUCAAUCGUCGAACAUCGGUUACCUAUCAAGUCUGGAUUUCGGCCACAUCAGCAGCCAGCUCGCCGAUGUAAUCCUAAUAUUCUCCCUGAUAUUAAGGCCGAAAUCACUAAACUUAUUGAAGCUAAAUUUAUUCGGCAGUGUCGGUAUGCCGAAUGGAUUUCCAAUGUCGUUCCGGUCUACAAGAAAAACGGGAAGCUCCGGGUGUGCAUUGAUUUCAGGAAUCUCAAUAAAGCUACGCCGAUGGAUGGAUACCCAAUGCCUGUUGCCGAUCUGCUGGUUGACGCCGCGGCUGGUCAUCGGAUCAUUAGCUUUAUGGAUGGCAAUGCUGGAUACAAUCAAAUAUUCAUGGCAGAGGAUGAUAUUUCAAAAACCGCAUUUAGGUGUCCUGGCCAUGUUGGGUUAUUUGAAUGGAUAGUCAUGACCUUAGGCCUGAAGAAUGCUGGUGCUACUUAUCAAAGGGCCAUAAAUUUUAUAUUUCAUGAGUUCAUCGGCAAGCUGGUGGAGAUUUAUAUUGAUGAUGUGGUGGUUAAGUCUGGGGAUUUCUCAAAGCAUCUUGCCGAUCUACGAAAGGUGUUAGAGUGUACAAGAAAGCAUGGAUUGAAGAUGAAUCCCAACAAGUGUGCGUUUGGUGUGUCGGCAGGGCAGUUUCUGGGCUUUAUGGUGCAUCAAAGGGGGAUUGAAAUUAGUCGAAGAUCCAUUGAUGCCAUCAAUAAGAUAGUAGCCCCUACCAACAAGACUGAACUCCAGUCCUUGAUCGGCAAGGUAAAUUUUAUCAGGAGAUUUAUAUCUAAUUUGUCUGGUAAAAUUCGUGCUUUCAGUCCUCUUCUUAAGCUAAAAGCAGAUCAAGACUUUAUUUGGGGGAAAGAAUAGCAGUUGGCUCUGGAUGAAAUUAAGAGGUAUCUAGUGAAUCCUCCAGUUCUAAUUCAACCACGGCAAGGAAAGCCCUUCAGAUUGUAUCUGUCUACCGAUGGGAUGGUUAUCGGUUCGGCUUUGAUUCAAGAAUUUGAAGGGAAAGAGCGUGUAAUUUAUUACUUAAGCAGGAGAUUGAUUGAUGCUGAAACCAGGUAUUCGGCCAUUGAGAAGUUAUGCCUAUGUUUAUAUUUUUCGUGUAUUAAAUUGAGGCACUACUUAUUAUCGGCCGAAUGCACUGUUGUUUGCAAAGAUGAUGUGGUCCGAUACAUGCUAUCUAUGCCGAUUAUGAGUGGCAGGAUCGGUAAAUGGAUUUUGGCGCUGUCGGAAUUCGAUCUGCAUUAUGAAUCGGCUAAGGCAGUUAAAGGGCAAGUUAUGGCCGAUUUUGUGACCCAACAUUGCAGUACGGUGGAGGCUGUGGAAAUUGUGCCUUGGACGCUCUUCUUUGAUGGAUCUACAUGUGACCGGGGGGCAGGAAUCGGCAUAGUGUUAGUUUCCCCUAUGGGAAGGAAGUAUGAAUUUUCCUUGCCGAUUGUUGCUACAUCAACAAAUAAUCAGGCUGAGUAUCAAGCUUUGAUAAAAGGAUGAGAGUUGUUGAGGGAAGUUCGUGCUGACGCUGUCGAGGUCUUCGGGGAUUCUAUGUUGGUUAUAAAUCAAUUGGCCGGGAGCUAUGAAUAUGCCGAAGUGAAGUUCUCAUAACUUAUUACGAGAAGAGCAUGCAACUGUUAAAGGAAUUCAAAGAUUUCCGAUUAGAGCAUGUUCCUCGAUUGCAUAAUGAAGAGGCCAAUCGGUUAGCUCAGCAUGCCUCGGGAUAUCAGCCUAUGAUUAAUGCAAUAUCGGCAAUCGGUGCCGAUGAUUGGAGGAAAGAAAUUAUUGAUUAUUUGAAAGAUCCAUCUAAGAAAGUUGAAAGACGAGUUCGGUUUCAAGCAACCAAGUAUGUGCUCCUCGGAGAUGAAUUGUAUUAUCGAACUAUUGAUGGAAUUCUUCUCCGAUGCCUAGGUGAUGAUGAAGCUAGAAGUUUGAUGGGAGAAAUCCAUGAAGGGGUGUGUGGAGCACAUCAGUCGGCUUUUAAGAUGAAAUGGAUGAUUAGGAGAAAUGGAUAUUAUUGGCCGACUAUACUUGAGGAUUGCUUUAAGUAUUUCAAAGGAUGUCAAGGGUGUCAGAAGUUUGGUAAUAUUCAAAGGGCACUUGCAUCGGCUAUGAAUCCUAUCAUAAAGCCCUAGCCGUUCCGAGGGUGGGCUAUUGAUCUGAUCGGCCAGAUUUAUCCACCGUCUAGCAAAGGACAUAAGUUUAUUCUAGUUGCCACUGGUUAUUUCACUAAGUGGGUCAAAGCUAUUCCUUUGAAGAAAGUCACAUCGGCCAAUAUGAUUGAUUUUGUGAAGGAGCAUAUUAUUUACCGAUUUGGGAUUCCUCAAACAAUUACUACCGAUCAGGGCACUAUGUUUACAUUGGGGGAAUUUGAUAAAUUUGCAAUCGGUAUGGGGAUUAAAGUGUUGAAUUCUUCUCCUUAUUAUGCUCAAGCUAAUGGGCAGGCCGAGGCAUCUAACAAAGGGAUUAUCAAACUUAUCAAACGAAAGGUUGAGGAAAAUCCUAAGCGGUGGCAUAUAUUGUUGAAUGAAGCGUUGUGGUCCUAUCGGAUGGCUUGUCAUGGAUCAACCAAGGUAUCACCCUAUCAAUUGGUGUAUGGACAUGAUGCAGUGUUGCCUUGGGAGAUUAAGGCUGGAUCUAGGCGAUUAUCUUUUCAAGAUCAGUUAGCUGCCGAUGAUUAUACCACUCUGAUGACCGAUGAGUUAGAUGAUCUAGCAGGACAUCGGUUAAAAGCUUUGAUGAAUAUAGAAGAGAACAAGAAGAGGGUUGCUAGAUGGUACGAUAAGAAAGUGAAGGCUAAGGAGUUUGCCGAUGGGGAUCUGGUAUGGAAGUUAAUUUUACCGAUCGGGACUAAAAGUUCGAAGUUUGGAAAGUGGUCUCCUAAUUGGGAAGGUCCUUAUCGGAUAAGUCGAUCGGCUCCUGGUAACGCCUAUAUUCUAGAAACUCUCGAAGGAGUUGAAUUUCCCAGAGCAUUAAAUGACAAAUAUUUAAAGAAGUACUACCCCAACAUAUGGGUCGAUGCGUGAAAGUUUAAAUGCCGAUAACACUCCUAUCGGCUGGAUUAAAAUGUAUCUGGAGCCAGAUUUAAUGUUUCAAAAGAUGCCGAUAACAGUCCUAUCGGCUAGACUAAGACAUUAAAGAAACUGAAGUGCGGAGGAGCGAAGACGUGUUGUCGAUGAAAGCUUCAGAUGUUCAGCAGCGCCUGGAUUGCCGAUAUGGCGCGUAGCCGGAUUUGGUUGGCUGCUUCUAUCUCCUUAAUAUCAUCGUCGGCAGAACCUUCUAUCGGCUUCAGCUUCUUCUUCAGUUGAAGUGCCUUGCGACCAUGAACGUUUCACUCAUGCUCAAGAAGCUUGAUGGUCUCUGGCAGUUGGCUCUCUUCCUGUUGGGCUUGGGUUAAGGCGUCCUCCACCUCCUUAAGUUCCGCCAAUAGGGAUUCUCUUCUUGCCGAUAGGUCAGAUAUUUUCUGCUUCAGCGCGUCUCCUGAAGAUCUCAAGAUGCCGAUGUUCUUGUGCUUCUCAUCGGUCAGGAGCUUCUCUUUCCUCAUUUCAUCGGAGAGCUGAGCCUGAGCAGCUCUAUCGGCAAGACGCCGAGAAGCCCUCUGGUACUGCAGCUGGCGACUCUCCAAAUGAGCGGCUUGGAAAAGGAUUUCUUCGACAUCGGCUGGGAUUUGGCCUCUGAGAGUUCUGAACAGAGUCUUGGCGGGGUCGGAGUCGUCGACCAAUUGCGCCGUGUCCUGGUGAAGGAGAGCUGACAAUUCCUCCAGCCUGGCCCUAAUCUCUGCCGAUGUAAUGCCGACUGUCUGAGAGGAGCUUGCUUCUUCGCCUUCUUCUUCAGAGAGAUCGAUGGCGAAGGAGAAUAGGCUGUCGGGAGAGUCUUGUUCCUGGGAAGGAGAGCAAAGUUAGUUCAUACUCAGAAAAUCGGCAAGUAAUGCUGGUAAAGAUUGGGUGGCUUACUUGUUUUAAGGCUAUUUCCUGCCUUUGUCUGGAAGAUGCCGAUGGAACUGUAGGUUGAUCGGCUAAAGUUGCUGAUGGGACGACAUCGACUGAGAGAAGACAGGAAAAGUUAUGAGGUUGAAUGAGAAUAAGUUCAUCGGCGGCAGUAUUAUUAAAGCAUGUUACCCGGAGGAGGAACAGCGGUUGUCUGAAUCGGGAGAAUUGCCGAUGAUGUGAUUGGACCUGCUCGGCCAGUUGUUUGUUCACCCGCGUCAGCUGAUGUUCCUUCUGUUUGAGGUUCUUCCUGCUGGGGUUCUUCCAUCUGUGGUGCUUCCUGCAUUGGUUGAGGAGAUGGUGUUUGCUGCGUCUGGACUUCCGGAGAAGAAGGGGAAGACUCCACCGGAAUUGGAGACACCGGAGGAGGAGGGGGAGUUGCCACUUUCUGGCGUUUCGUUCCAGCCCUGGUACUCUUGGUGCCCUUCCUCUUUGGCUGGCUAGACUGGGGGGCAUCGGCACCUUGGCAUGUGACUUUUGCCGAUGCACUGGUUUGCUGCAGUGAUAAGGAAAAGUUUAUGAGUAUAAAUGCAGUCGAUAUAAAGGUGAUUGGUAUGAAUAAAAAGGGUUUGACAAAUUGCCUUGAAAACUUGUGCCAAAGUGGAAGCGGCUAUCGUUAAUGAUGUUUGAGUCCUCUUGGUGGUAACUUUCUUGAGGUGCACACACCGGUGCACGAUGGCAGCCAGAGUGGGAGCAUUGCGGCCGAUGGAGGAAACUGGACCUGAUGGAAACAGGUCAAUCGGCUUAUCGCUUCUGCUGACCGAUGGGGGGAUGUCGUCAACCUGCACAAGGGAUACAAAAGUGAAUUACCGAUGAGAAUAAAAAUGGAACAUCGGUUUGGAAUACUUACAGCGUCGUCGGGGACUUGGUACUCGAGAUCAAUCAUGCCGCAAUACGAAGAGGCUGAUUUGCAGAACAGAUGCUCCUUCCAUUCUGCCCACCAUAGUUUGUAUGCCUGGGUAAUGAAGGCGGCUGGAACCCACUCUGACAGAUCUGCAUCUGUAUCGGCAUUUGAUGGUAGUUGGGCUACUCGGAUCCACUCAAGAAAGUUGGCGAUGGGUUCCCUGGGUUUUAUCACAUCGGCAUAACAGAGUGCAAUCGGCAACUGGCCGAAGGCCAAUUGACGAGCUAAUGCCGAUGGAUUGUAAAAUUCAUAAGUUUGGGGGGAGGUUUUUGUGCUACCAAAGAAAUUCACUGGUAUGGCUCUAGGGGUCACAAUUGCCAUCAUCACCUCAUUAUCCCUGUCAAGAGCUUCAUCAAAUGGAUUGAAGGCCAGGGGGAGCAUACUGUCUGGGUUGUCGUAGGCCAACCAUGGUUCAUCUCUGGCCAAGCCCUCAUACAGAGUCUGGAAGAAUCGGCCGAUCUGAUCUGGAUUACCCCCUGAACCAGGCAGAACUAUGACAGCUUCGCCAAAGUUCAAGGGGGCGCGUGUUGCCGAUUCCUCUUCACCCAACACAUGAUUUUCAGCUAUAUCUCUUGGGAAACGCUGUGUGAACAGGUUGAAGUUGAGGCGCUUGUGCAGAUGCAGAUUAAGCCACAUGUUGAUAAACCACCAGGGGCCUCCCAAGUUGCUAGUGGAUUGACCGAGCAGGAGUUUCUGGGCUACUUGAUGAAGAAGGUGGUAGGCAGCGCCAAGCAAGUAUCGGCCGAGAGGGAAUCGGCCACCGUUAGCCAGUCUUUCUGCUGCCGAUAGAUAGACAGAAGUCGGCCCUGCCGAUCGACCAUAGAAUACAAACUUGUCCAGCCACAUGUUCAGAAAAGUGGUUUGUUCCUUUAUGGUGACAGGCCCCUUCCCACGAUACUUAUGAAUAUACCCUGACCAGCCGCCGAUAGAGCGAGUCUCCACUUUGGCACUAGGAGCGGUAUCAAAAAAGUGGGUGCUAUCGGCAAAAGAUAUAUCUAGACCGGUGAGCAUGGCUACAUCGGCAAGAGUGGGAGAAGCAGGGCCGUGGCCAAAGACAAAAGCAUUGAGGGUGUCUGACCAAAAGUAAGACGCAGCUAUCAACAGUGACUCGUUCCUGUGCAUAUCGGCAAUAGAUAACCUGAUGCAUUGAUCUAGCUUCCUCUCACCCCACUGGACCUCAUUAGAGUUGCUGACCCUCAAGAACCAGUCUUUCCACCCUAUGGUAGGGCUGGGCCAAGAGCGGAAGGUGUCUUUCCACAGAUCUAAAGAAAAAUUUUCGGCUCUGAAGGGGAUCCUGUUGGUUUCUGCGUUGAUAAGGUCAGUUGGAUCUGGGUCCCCUAGAGGGCCGAGGCAUUGAAGGUGUGGUUGAUCGGUGGGGAUGACAAUUUUGUUAGACAGCUCCUAGUGAUUUUGGGAAUAAAAGAAAUACAAAGAAAAGAGAAGAUAUUCAGUAAAAUGAAUUGCGGAUGAACAAGGAUGCGAAGGAAAAAUACAGAAGACGGGAUGGAGAUCUGACCUCAGGAACGACGAAGCCAAUGGCCAUCUUGCCGCGAAGAGAGCGUUUGAGGGCACCGGAGUUGAUGAGGAGGAGUGCUUGUCGGAGGUCUUGGAGAUUUUGAAUGGCGCCGCCGCUGGAAAAGUGAAAGUUGGGAUGGUGGAAUGAUGUGAUGGAGAAGGAGUACCCGAGAAGGAACUAUUUAUAGGAUAAAACGGGCAAGGGCAAAUCUGACUUAUCUCUUUGCCGCAUCCGAGAAACCCGAGGGUGCUCAGGUAGAUAUGGUAACUGUUCGCACGGUAAUCAAGGGAUUGUGCAGGUGAUUUGACGGGAAGCGGUCAUUACCUGGAGAUAUUUUACUGUGUGGGAUCUCCUGGUCGGUCCAUCGGCAGCAUACUGUAACGGUCAUAUUGCCGAUGGGCGGAUAGAGUAAAGGUAGCCAUUUGUACGAACGUCCUGAUUAGUCCAUCGGUAGAUCUUCGUAACGGUAAUAUUGCCGAUGUGCGGAUGAGAAGGAAGUGCCCGUUCAAGAAGUUGAGGAUUUCGAGGAAUCUGCAGGAGAAUAGGAUCGGGGUUGUUUGGAUUGAGGUUGUCGGUUACCAGAUUAGGAGCAUUAAUUGCGGGAAAAGGCAUCAUUUCUGCAGAAAAUUUCGGAGCAUUAAUAGUUUCAUACUCCGAAAUUGGGGGGCAUGUGUUGACACCGUUUUUGGGCACGUGUCCAGGAUGGCAGGAUAAGACGGCAGUAUGUGGUUUACAGGAUGAGUUGCCGAUGGGGAUGGUUGCCGACAAAGGAGAGGUUGAACGUGGCUAAGUUUACGGGUGAUGAUGUGUCUGUGCCGAUGGCUAUGGUGAGGAAGUCUGCCGAUGACUAUGGCAGGGGAGUCUGCCGAUGAUACAAAGGGGGAGUCCGGAAGCUGCCGGUCGGUUUGUGGAAGAAUUCCAGUUCGUCACGAGGGAUAGCUUUGUUAUUUCCUUAUUUAUUUGAGUCGUUUUAUAUACGGAUUCUGUGUAAUUUGGAAUUCGAAUUCUAGUCGUGUCUGGUUGUAGUUCUUUAAGCAGGGUAUAAAUAUAAACCCUAAGACCUUGUAAUGAGACAUCUAUCAAUCAAUCAAACACACGUUUUUACUCAUAUUCCAGCAUCUACUUUUUCGGCGACUUCGUCGUACUUUUCCUUUUUAUUACGAGUUCUUAGGAAUUCGUCGACUUAAGCUCGGCGCAUUCUCAAGUUCCGCGUGAGUACCUCUUAGCCGUGACAUCCGGACGCAUCGCUGUUGUCAGGACUAAAGUAUUCGAGUUAUCACCUUUGCCGAUAGUAAGGUCAAAUCGGCUGGCACGCCUUAACGAUUGAACCGGGUAUUAGCCCUUUGUGUUUGCAGACCAGCUUUUGCACCAACAAUGCUAAAACACUAAAAUGGAUGCGUUUUCAAUUUCAGCAACACAUGACCAUGAGUUCGUUAAGCAUACCUGACUAAGUGAUUCAGAAUCAUGUGACGUCUCCGAUUCAUCAUCUUCAAGUCCCAUCCUAUUUAAAAUCAAAAUCAAGUGUUGGCUCAAAUCCAAAUGAGAACCCUAACUUGGACGGGAAGUCUAGAGCGAACCUCGGUGUAUGCAAAAAAAAGUAGCGAACCUGGGGGAAGAGCUCGGGCGGCGACCCGGAGUGCGGCGGUGACCCGGAGUGACGACGGCACGGGUGACCUCGGCGCGCUGGGUUUGCAGCCAAGCACGGUGGGACAGGAAGGUCGCCAAGCGCGGGGUCUGGCUUAGGGUGGUGGCGACCUGAGAGCACGGCGGUGCUCCCGCCGAGUGGCGGCGGCUAGCGAAGAGGGCGGCGGGGCUCCCACCGGGAGUGCCGCCACCGUGGCAAGGGCGCGCGCGGUGCCGCUGUUCGUGUCACGAAAAUUUCUAGGCAUACCCAGUAAGGAAAUCGAGUAAUCCCUUUUCCUUUUCUAGAGAAUUCCCAGAAAAUUUGUAAAUAUGUAGGAUUCAUAUUUUUUUUCAUAGGAACAAGCUUUCACUAUUAUAAUAUAUCCAUGUCUUAGAUAUUUUGAAAGUUAAUUGCUUGUUGCUCGUCCUCUGCUGCUGAAUUAUCUUUAUCAUCCUUUAUUACCAUAUAAGGGGUCUAAUUAUCCGAUGAACUAGUUUUAAACAAGCUCUGAUUCAGCCGAAUUCGCACAUAACAAUCGAAUUCAACUCGUUAAGUCCAAUUCAGAUAAUCGAAUCCGGUUAAUGUUUGAAAACCAGGAGAACUCCCAUAAUUUGAGAGCAGUACAUCGAAUUCGUCAUAGUACAUUGAAUUGGUUUCAAUAUCGUCGAAUUCGAUGGUCGCACUGAUCCAGUAGAAUUGGUGUCAAUAUCACCGAAUUCAAUAUUUUCAUAGUACAUUGAAUUGGUUUCAAUACCGUCGAAUUCGAUGGUUGCACUGAUCCAGUAGAAUUGGUGUCAAUAGCACCGAAUUCAAUAUUAUAUACAGUACCUAAUUCAAUUGGAGUGAAGGUUACGAAUGAACUCUCUUGACACUGAUUCUUGUGUAUGCAGUUCCGUACUUGUAUGGGAACACAUUGGUUGUCAAAACAUUAGGAAUGAAAACAAUUAGUAGGCUAAUGGUAAUUGGAAGUGCAAUGCAACUUUUUUUAAACAUCAAUGCAACUUAAAAUGAAGAACUUCCUCCGUCCGGUAAAUUUUGCAAUUAUUUGACUUUCAAAUUUCGUGUUUGACCAUUCGUCUUAUUCAAAAAAUUUAUAUAAAUAUCAUCUAUCUUAUUAUGUCUUAUUUUUUUCGUUAGAGAUACUUUAAUAAUAAUAUUUUUAUUUUAUAAUAUAUGUAAAUUUUUAAAUAAGACGAAUGGUCAAACGUGAAAUUUGAAAGUCAAAGAAUUGAAAAAAUUACGGAUGGAGGGAGUAGUUACAUCCGCAAGAGGCCCAAUAAGGGUGCCGGCGAUACUCAUGCUAGGAAAACAAAGGAAUUUUAAGAGUCGUCAAAAAUUCGUCAAAACAAUUUUAAGAGUCGUCAAAAAUAAAGAGCUUGGUUGGGAUCCAAUAUUUGCCAAACCAAAAAUUAGUCGUUGCAUGCGGCUACUCACCUUCUUCCCUCAAAAAAGAGUCGUUGCAGGCGCGGCGUCCCACCGUCUAUAUAGUCUGGUUCUCACCUUGUUCAUCUUCUUCCCCAUCGCCAUCGCCGUCGACCUAGACCUAGAGCCCACCCCCACGCUUGGCGUCCCACCGUGCUCGGCUGCGCACGAGGUUGACGCACCCGCUUGCCUCGCCUUGUCUCGCCGCGACCUGAAGCUCUGCUUGGAUCCCUUGCCGCUGCCUGCCUUGCUUCUCGCUCCGGCAGCAUCAGGGCAUCGAUUCGGCGGCGGAGCCCGAGGUUCGCUCCUUUUUUUUCUGCAUACCCACUUUCCCAUACAAGUUAGGGUUUUAAUUUAAAUUUGAGUGAACACUUGAUUUUUAUUUUAAAAUAGGAUGCCACAUGGAUAUGAUGAAACCCGGUCACAAGAUUCUGAAUCAUUUGAUGAGGUAUGCUUAACGAACUCAUGCAUCUUAUUGGUUCCUUCUCUUGAACCAUCGUGCUGGAAGCAGCUAGGAUCCUUUGGUAGUCUUAUAGGAGUGUCUAGUCCCCAUGUGUUGAUGUAGAACAACACAUCAAGCUAAACAAAUACUGGGGCAUUGCGAUGCUGGCUCUUCGAUAUAUUUCUUUCGAAUUAACGGAGGCUUGCUCCAAUUCGAUAUAUUUCUCUUGAAUUAGGGGAGUUCUCCUGGUUUUUAAACUUUUUCUGGAUUCAAUUAACUUCAAUUGUAUUUGUUCAAUUAUAUUUGUUUUGUCAUAGCAAAAGUAAAGUAACCAGGCAUUCUUAGCUGCCCAGCUUUGGUGCUCUCUGUUUUUGUGUUACCUUGAGCUCUCAGUUUUGAUAUUUCCUAAUAUAAAGUCACGUAGUAGCCAACGAGUACACAACAGAAUUAAAUGUUCUUGUCUAUUCUAUAGCAGAGGACAUCAUUUAACCUCUAUUCUUGGUGAUUCUAUAUCGUGCAUGGGUCAUGUUAGGCAUGUCAUGAGUUUUUCCUUUGUUGUGUCUUGGUGUGUUUCAUAGAUCUCCAACGAAAAUAGAGACAAAGGUUCCCCCAAGAAGAGGAGUCGACGCCCCAAAUUCUAGGGGGGUUAUAGAUAUCAUAUGUUUCAUCAUCAUUUAAUGAGGUAUUCUUAACGAACUAUUCAACAAUAAUUGAUAGGAGUGUCCACUCCCCAUGUGUUGAUGUAGAACAACACAACAAGCUAAACAAAUACUGAGGCAUUGCGAUGCUGGCUCUUCGAUAUAUUUCUUUCGAAUUAAAGGAGGCUUGCUCCAAUUCGAUAUAUUUCUCUUGAAUUAGGGGAGUUCUCCUGGUUUUUAAACUUUUUCCGGAUUCAAUUAACUUCAAUUGUAUUUGUUCAAUUAUAUUUCUUUUGUCAUAGCAAAAGUAAAGUAACUGGGCAUUCUUAGCUGCCCAGCUUUGGUGCUCUCUGUUUAUGUGUUACAUUGAGCUCUCAGUUUUGAUAUUUCCUAAUAUGAAGUCACGUAGUAGCCAACGAGUACACAACAAAAUUAAAUGUUCUUGUCUAUUCUAUAGCAGAGGACAUCAUUUAACUUCUCUUCUUGGUGAUUCUAUAUCGUGCAUGGGUCAUGUUAGGCAUGUCAUGAGUUUUUCCUUUGUUGUGUCUUGGUGUGUUUCAUAGAUCUCCAACGAAAAUAGAGACAAAGGUUCCCCCAAGAAGAGGAGUCGACGCCCCAAAUUCUAGGGGGGUUAUAGAUAUCAUAUGUUUCAUCAUCAUUUAAUGAGGUAUUCUUAACGAACUAUUCAACAAUAAUUGAUAGGAGUGUCCAGUCCCCAUGUGUUGAUGUAGAACAACACAGCAAGCUAAACAAAUACUGGGGCAUUGCGAUGCUGGCUCUGUGAUAUAUUUCUUUCGAAUUAACGAAGGCUUGCUCCAAUUCGAUAUAUUUCUCUUGAAUUAGGGGAGUUCUCCUAGUUUUUAAACUUUUUCCGGAUUCAAUUAACUUCAAUUGUAUUUGUUCAAUUAUAUUUCUUUUGUCCUAGCAAAAGUAAAGUAACUGGGCAUUCUUAGCUGCCCAGCUUUGGUGCUCUCUGUUUAUGUGUUACCUUGAGCUCUCAGUUUUGAUAUUUCCUAAUAUGAAGUCACGUAGUAGCCAACAAGUACACAACAGAAUUAAAUGUUCUUGUCUAUUCUAUAGCAGAGGACAUCAUUUAACUUCUAUUCUUGGUGAUUCUAUAUCGUGCAUGGGUCAUGUUAGGCAUGUCAUGAGUUUUUCCUUUGUUGUGUAUUGGUGUGUUUCAUAGAUCUCCAACGGAAAUAGAGACAAAGGCUCCCCCAAGAAGAGGAGUCGACGCCCCAAAUUCCAGGGGGGUCACAGACAUCAUAUGUUUCAUCAUCAUUUAAUGAGGUAUUCUUAACGAACUAUUCAACAAUAAUUGAUGCUGGUGCAUGUAUUUGCUGAUGAUUUUAACCAUUGUUUUUUAUAGGGAAAUAGAGACAAAGAAUCACCCUGGAAGAAGAGCCGAUAGUCCAGUUUCCCUGUGGUCUCAUCAGAAGAUGAGGGUUCUAUUAGUCUUGAUUUGGGUUGCAAACCAGAAGAAGUGAUGGAUUUGGUGUAGUGGCUCGGUGACCAAGAUCGUGAAGAGUUAAAGAGCCUCGGUUUUGGGACAUUUUUAGACCUGACGGUGGGUAAAAUCUCCAGACGCAAAGAAACAUUUCAGAAUCUCAAAAGCAUAGUUUUUGAAAAGGAUCGGAUUGCAAUAUACAUAGGGGAUGUGAUAUUAUACAUAACUCCAGAAGUAAUAUUUGAACUUUUGAGACUACCACGUAGCAAGAAGAUGCACCCGCUGCACAUAACUCAAGCAAAUAAAGAUUUUGCUGAUCUGCGAAUGUAACAACCUAAAAUUUGCAAUUUUCCAAAAUAGGAUAAAUUGUUAAAUUGCGUAUUUUUGUGCCCAUAGAAUAUAGGAAAAAUAAUAUUUUUCUUUAAAUUAAAAUUUACUAUAGGGUUAGCAACUUGUUUGAGCAUGCAUGCCGUUGCAUUGGGUUUAUUGUGAUGAGUGGUUUUGACUAAAGUUUAAAAGGAAUUCAAAUUUGGUUUUGAAAUGUGUUUUGUUUUAAAAGAAAAAGGGAAACAGAAUUUAGAAAAUGGAAAAAGAAUUUCCUCUCUCCCUCCCUGUCUCGGGCUCGACCCAUUUCUCUUCCCCCCCCCCCCCCCCCCGCGGCCUGCUUCUCCCCUUCCCCCUUUCUUCUCGGUUUCGGCCCAAGCACCAGCGUCCGGCCCAGCAGCUGAGCGCCAGCGCCCUCCUCCCUUCUUCCACUGACAGAGCGGUCCCGUGCCCUGAGUCACCGACAGGUGGGGCCCACUGGUCAGGCCUUUCUCCUACCUCGUGACGGACCCGGAGUCUGCCGAGUUUGAGCAACGGCCGCGCGAAUCCUGCGUUUGGCUUGAUCCGCACGCCAAGGGGGGCUCUAAAUAGCGGCCUCCGCUGCCCCGCGACCCCCUACUCCAAUCCCCGAGCCUGUCGCAUAAGCUCUCGCCGAGAAAAACAUCGCCGAGAUCCACCCCGAAAGCUAUCCGCCGCCGCGACGCGUUUUUGAUCACCGUGAGUACCUUGCCGAGCCUCGUCUCUCGCUUGCGAAGUCGCCGAGACACUUUGCUCGCGAUUUCGUGUUCUCUGUGCACGACAAACCCUCGCCGAACCUGUGCCGAAGCUCGCCGUCCGCCUAUCUCCGUCGCGAGCACGCCCGAGUCUCUUCCCGACCUCGGUCUUGCCCUAGGUAAGUCCGCAUCAAGCUCCUCUACGUCCCAGCGCAAUCGGUUCGCGUUCUAGCGCCCUAAAACCCCCAAACCGCAAGCUCCGGCCAUCACCGGCCAUGGCGCCACCGUCGUCUUCCUGUGCGCUGGUGACCCCCUCCCCCCGAUCUAAUCUCAACCGUCCAAUUGCGAUCCAACGAUCUAAAACAAAGCAUACCCCUUCGGCCGCGCUUUUUGCAAAAGAAACCCCGUGCUUUUUAAAGUCUUAACCCGCAGUCCUUUACGGAUUUCCAGAAUACGCUUCCUAACUCCGAAAGCGUAUUCCCUUCUCCUCUGAUUCAGAAUACGUUUUCACAGUUUAAAAACGUACUCCGUGCUGGUUUAUUCAAAAUACGUUUUCAGGAAAUUACAAGUUUGCCACUGGAUUUGUUUUACACAUAAAAUAUUCAUCUUAAUUCCGUUUUGGCUCGUUCAAAUUGUGUUGGUUUUGUCUUUGAAAGAUCUACAUGUUAGUAAAACUGUUUUCUCAGUUUGAAACUUUUUAAUUCCGUGACCCAAAUUAAUUAAUUGUUUUUCUAAAGAAAAUCUUAGAAAAUUCAUAUAUUCUUCGUUUUAACUCCGUUUUGAUCCGUUCAAAUUUCGUUAGAUUCGUUUUCGCGUAACCUAUAGAUUAAUGUUACUGAAUUACAAGUUUUCAACUUUUAAAAUCUGAGUUUAGAUUUAAUCUAUUACUUUAUUAAAGGAAAUCUUAGGAAAAUCAUAACUUCUUCGUUAUAGCUCCGAUUUUCGUGAUCUUUACGUCGGUGUGAUCGUAGAGCGAUGCAGAUUUGUUUUAUAAACUUUUUAUCUUUAUUUUCUACUGUUGGUGUAUUGUUCUAAUUAUAGGUUUGUUUGCUUUGUAUGAUUGCCUCUGGCUGAUUGAUGUUGAUGUGAUGACUAAGUUUAGUCGGUGAGCUUUUACGUGGUGAUCAAGAAGCAGUUUGUGGAAGGUUUGGAACUAAAAGAAGAAUUGAGUUUCAAGGCAAGUAUAGCAUAGGAUCAUCCUUGUUUCCUAAUAACUUUAAUCACUUAAUUCAUAUUGCAUGUGUCUCCUUGAUAAGGAUUUCCUAGUAUUGAUCUUAUACCUUGUCACCUAUGGUUUUGCAUUGGGUAGCUUAUGCUAGUGCUCCACUAAACCAUGAUCUUGUAAUUUGAUUAAAGGAUUAUGCAAUAAACAUUAAAAGAUGACUUUUUAGCAACUUUGGAAAAGAGGGCUGGAGCAUUGGGGUAUCUUAUGGUGCUCUAGUUUCUCUCCAUAAGGACUUAUCUGUAUCUGACCAUUCGGGACAUACAGUACAACUGUGAGGGCUACAUGGCUCUGGCUUUAGCUCAGUAUGAGGACCUUUUCUAGCUUGUUAGUGGUUACCCUUGUGGCGCAAGUGGGGGAUAGCAGACCGUGGAUUCCUGCGGGUGAGUCACACGGACUGACUAACGAAACCUAGCGGCCCUAACUUGUUAGACGAACCUUUGAAAGGCUUCAUAGUGAACCCUGCCGGUCUUCCUUGGUAGUGGGCUAAGAGGUCAACGGGCCUCGAGCGAAAGGGUAAAUCACGACUCACAGUGAAAGUGCACAACCUCUGCAGAGUGUAAAACUGAUAUAUCAGCCGUGCUCACGGUCACGAGCGGCCUUGGACUAAUACAGAAUAAAUGAUCACUAAUGGCAAAUCAUUAAUGUUAUUAUUGUUAAUAUGUUGUUUAUGCUAUUCUUUAUUCACUUUACUUGAUCAUGAGUUUACUAUGGGACUUGACAACUUGAUGCUACUCAUAUGCUAAAAUUGUGACAACUAAAAGCUACAUGUAGUUAAACCAGUGUCUAGCCUUUGAGCCUCAUGAACCCUAUGUUAUUCUUGCUGAAUACGAGAUGUACUUACGCUUGCCUUUACAUUUUAUUUGGAUAAAAAUCCCGGAUGGGUACCAGAUUGCAAGCUUGGAAAAGAGUUUAGGCUUGUGCUCAACCAGUCAGUUGUCCCUGUGGAUUUGGAGCUUUCGCCUGAAGAACGGAGUGUCUUUCCGCUGUUUGCUAUCUAAGGUUAUAUCUUUUAUACUAAGUUCGUUAUAUAUAAGCAUUGACUAUUGAUAUUACCCCUAUUUAUGGCUAUAUGUGUGAUUUGACUUCCUGGGCUCACAUAUGGUGUGUAUCUGGUUUUGUUCUUAAAACCGGGUGCUACAAAGUGGUAUCAGAGCAAUGCUGACUGUAGGACGCAAGCCUACAUAGUAACGGCCAUGUUAGUCAUCUUUGUUUCACUACAUUCAUGUUUACUAUCUCACCCUUGCUAUUUGCUAAAAUUCUUAUGCUUCCAUCAUCUAAUUCUAUUCUAAAAGUAUUGCUUCUAUUCUAACUCCCUCUUGGUCUAAUUCCAUAGAUGGUUCGUAACGAGAAGAUUGCUCGCAGCAACUCUGGAAGACCAUGCUUAACUCGGGGUAUUUAUGGCUUAACGAAACCAGAAUAUGAGGAAGCUCGCCCUGUCCCAUCAAGACAUAUUGGUUGGAGAAAGGAGUACUUUACCACAUCCUUUAGUGGGGAAGAUUUCUUUCACCCUCGGCUUGUGCGUAUACUACAAGACCAUUAUCCUGAACAGCAAGCCAAGGUGGAGUAUAAGUGCACUAAGUGGACUCAUCCUAAGUAUGAGAGCCACUGGAGCACAGAAGCACACAUCACAAGGUGGAAUGAGUUUACUGGUUCACGCAUGGUGGAAUCCAUUCAUUCGUCUCUCAGUGACCGUUUCAGUAAGCAUGCUAGCAUAUCUGAUGCUGCCCAUCAAGCUCUUCUGGCAUAUCAUGGAAAGCACUACGAAGAGAGGAAGAAUGACAAACAAAAGUAUCUACCUUGUCGUCCACCAGGCAAUUUGCAAUGUGUGAUGGCUGACCCCUACCUGGAGCAGAAUGAACAACUAAAGGAGAUGGCUUUGACUAUCCAAGUCAUGCAUCAAAAGCUAGAAGAUAGUCAACUGGAAUUGGCAGAAGUAAGGCAACACUAUGAGAAAGCCCUUGAUGAGAUUGAUGAGUGGAGAAGUCGUGGUGGAUUACCUAAGAUCAAUGAGGUGGAGGACAUACCUCGCUUAACUCCACGCAAGAGAUGCUACCCUGGAUGCCGCUGCAGUCACACCGUGUUUAAGAAGUAGGAAGUCCCCCUUUGUAAUAAACGUUAGUAAGAAAAGGUUGAGUCUAGUCUAUAUGUGUGCUUUGUGAAUCUUUAAUGUUUGGUUGUUUUGUCUUAGUGCUUAUGAUUGAGUUGGAUUUUUGUAAUGAGUGCAAUGAUCUUGUGGGUUUCUCCACAAUUUCAUCUAGUUUACAGGCCUAAGGUAUAUGGGUUAAUGAAAUAAAUAGUUGGGUUUUAGUUUCUCUUGUUUCUCUGUCCUAUCUUUUGGGAGCAACCUAUCUUCUUCAGUUCAAAUCCCUAAUCUUGGAGGACCAUAAAAUCGUGUGAAAAUUCUGGGUGAUAGUAGACUUCAAGAUCCUUCUCUGACCGCAAGAAUCACCCCCAUAGCUGUUGUGGUUUGGGAAUUACGGAAAUCACAAGUUGGCACCAUUGAGCUGUCAAAGAUCUGGACCAGUUUAGUUGCCUACUGUUUUGGACAAAUGUAACUCCGGAAUUUGGGAAAAGGUUCUAUAAGAAAGUUUUAGGUCUUUUGAUAAGCUUUCCAAUGAUGUAAGCUGCAACUUUAUCGGAUUAAUAGAACUGGGGUUAUGACAUCUACAAGUUGCUGUUGCUGCACAGUUCAAAAUCUGGACAGUUCUAGUUAGCUCCUACUUUUCAGCCAACUUAGCUUCAGAAUCUGGAAAAGUGGGAUAUACAGAAGUUGUGGAGGACUUCAUAAGCUUUUUAACCAUGUAAGACUCGUCCCCAUAUGAUCUAAGUAACUCGAGAUAUGACUUCUGCAAGUUGCUGCACCGAUGCUGAGACAUUGUCGGGAUGGAUAUCAUGUAUGGCUGUUUUACCUAGGCUUAAUGACAGAAACUAAGGAAGCCUUCUAUAUGAAAGGUGUAGGGACUUUGAUAAGGUUUCUAACAGUAUAAGCUAAGACCUUGUUGGAUUAACAGAAAAGGAGUUAUGCCUAUUUUACUGCGCUGGUGUUUUCAUAUCGUGAGGAAUUUCAGAUUACUUGUGCAUAUUAGUACACAUGAGUUUCUCUUCGGUAUUAGAAGAUCUGAGGAUACAAAACCCACUUGAAAGGUGGACUAAACUACCCAUUUAAUCCCCUUGUUUACCUUUUCUAAGGGGGGUAGUCCUAUCAAAGGAGUUACAAGGAAAAGUAUGGGUUAAUGAUGGACCAUCGAUAAGGACCUCAAGUGUUUGGUAAAUUUGGUUUUGAUGCAAGAAAUAGUACCAUUGAAGUGUGUUAAUAUGGAUGGAGAUAUACGUCAUUGCUGGUACCCAUAGCUUGGAAGUGGUGCUUGUGAGAGUCAGGUAACACCAAAGUCUACCAAGUUAUACAUGGGAUGUAAGAGCGAAGCAAUUCAACUCUGACAGAGGUACCAAUAUUUGGAACUUAGUGAUGAAACCAACUCUAGGUCAUGAGACUUGGUACAGUGAUUUUAAAAGACUAUGUGAUGUGUAGCAUCUAAAUAGAAUAUGAGAGCUAGUCCAUACUGUCCCCUACCUAUCUCAUUUUAAGGGGGGUAGUACCUUGACAUUAUUGGUUAAGGCCCCUUUCAAUUUAUCAUGAAGUGAGAAAGUGUCUCUGGAGAUAUCCCAUGGUUAUAAUCAUCUAUUCCGGCUCAAGUUAGUGAAAUUGGUCACAUGACAACUUAGGAAGUGAAUAUGCUACAUCUACUAUUGAUUCUACUAAGAUUCAAAAGGCUUUAUUACUAAAGGGAGCAUGACCAGUAUGUUCUAGUUGAUGGAAGUUCUCAUCUAGGAGGUGUCAUCUUUAAUUAUGGACUUAAGAAAGUUAAAGAUGCAAGAGUUGGAAACCACCAAAGGAAGAUAAAUGAGACUUGGAGUUUUAUAGAUAUGGCAAGAAGCUAUCAUAGGUUUGCUGGGGCCAAUGUGAUCUUGACAUAAGAGUAAAUAAUAAAUUGACUUGGAAUGAUAAGAUUCUAUCAGUGGUUCACGGAAGGUGUUAUAAAGAUGAACAAAUAGAGUUCUGUUAUCCCAGCAAGACUUUAAAUGUGCUUUAUAAAAUAAAAGUAGUGGCCUGUGCAUAAGUUGACUAAGUAACUUGGACCGCCCAACACAUGAUGGGGAGGUGUCCAUAGUGCAUCAUGGAGAGACUAUCUUCUUGGAUGUAAGAGUGAUAUCUACGUGGAAUGAAAGAAUCUAAAGGGCAUCUUUAGGAAGUUGGAUUCGAGCUAGUCACAUUGUCGAUGGAUUCGAGUGAAUCAAGAGUUAUGACUAGGAGAAAUGCUAUCACUUGUAGGAGAAAAAGCCUUUGCGUCAGAGCAUAAAGAGUGUGCUAGAGGAGUUCAAAUAACACCAAGGUUUGAGGAGUUGAUGUGUUGAACUGGAGUGAUGUCACUAGCACUGCCAAAUGAGCUCUACAAAUUACUCAUUUGGGAACCACAGGAAUUGAAAAGAUUACUUAGGAGAUAUGUUGUGAGCUUGUGUAUUGCAGUAUGGUACAAAGAGGUCAUCGUAUGCGAAGUUUUCUUAGAACAACAGUUAGUAGAAGAGCCUUCAGUGGGAGCCUUUUGAAAGUGUAUAUGGAUGUAAGUGUAGAACCCUGUUGAUUUGGAAUCAAACGGGAGAACACAAGUGUUUGGGCUAGAAGUUCUAAGAGAAGUAUGUGGAGGUUUAAUAAGAAAGGAAAAGUUAGCACCAAGAUAUGUCGGGCCUUUCAAGAUGUAGGAGAUAUGGAACAAAGUGGCUUACCAAAUAGAGCUACCUGAAAGUUCAGAAUGAGUGAAUGAUGUCUUCCAUGUGCCUCAACUUAAGAAGUACUUGUGUGUGUCAUAAGAGCAGAUAUCGUUAGAGGAAUUGAUUGUUAAAUCGGAUUUCACAUACAAGAGUACCUAGUAAGAAUUUUGGAAACAACAGAAAGGGUUACCAGGAGUUGGAUUUUCAGGAUGUACAAAGUCUAGUGGAAUCAGUGCACCAAAGCGGAGGCUAUUUAUAAAAGAGAAGAGGAUCUAAGAAAAGCAUACCCGCAGUUGUUGGGGUAAGCAUCAACCGAAUCUCGAGGACGAGAUUCAUCUUAAGGGGGGUAGAAUUUGUAACACCCCAAAAUUUGCAAUUUUCCAAAAUAGGAUAAAUUGUUAAAUUGCGUAUUUUUGUGCCCAUGGAAUAUAGGAAAAAUAAUAUUUUUCUUUGAAUUAAAAUUUACUAUAGGGUUAGCAACUUGUUUGAGCAUGCAUGCCGUUGCAUUGGGUUUAUUGUGAUGAGUGGUUUUGACUAAAGUUUAAAAGGAAUUCAAAUUUGGUUUUGAAAUGUGUUUUGUUUUAAAAGAAAAAGGGAAACAGAAUUUAGAAAAUGGAAAAAGAAUUUCCUCUCUCCCUCCCUGUCUCGGGCUCGGCCCAUUUCUCUUUCCCCCCCCCCCCGCGGCCUGCUUCUCCCCUUCCCCCUUUCUUCUCGGUUUCGGCCCAAGCACCAGCGUCCGGCCCAGCAGCUGAGUGCCAGCGCCCUCCUCCCUUCUUCCACUGAUAGAGCGGUCCCGCGCCCUGAGUCACCGACAGGUGGGGCCCACUGGUCAGGCCUUUCUCCUACCUCGUGACGGAGCCGGAGUCUGCCGAGUUUGAGCAACGGCCGCGCGAAUCCUGCGUUUGGCUUGAUCCGCACGCCAAGGGGGCUUUAAAUAGCGGCCUCCGUUUCCCCGCGACCCCCUACUCCAAUCCCCGAGCCUGUCGCAUAAGCUCUCGCCGAGAAAAACAUCGCCGAGAUCCACCCCGAAAGCUAUCCGCCGCCGCGACGCGUUUUUGAUCACCGUGAGUACCUUGCCGAGCCUCGUCUCUCGCUUGCGAAGUCGCCGAGACACUUUGCUCGCGAUUUCGUGUUCUCUGUGCGCGACAAACCCUAGCUGAACCUGUGCUGAAGCUCGCCGUCCGCCUAUCUCUGUCGCGAGCACGCCCGAGUCUCUUCCCGACCUUGGUCUUGCCCUAGGUAAGUCCACAUCAAGCUCCUCUACGCCCCAGCGCAAUCGGUUCACGUUCUACCGCCCUAAAACCCCCAAACCGCAAGCUCCGGCCAUCACCGGCAAUGGCGCCACCGUCGUCUUCCUGUGUGCCGGUGACCCGCUCCCCCCGAUCUAAUCUCAACCGUCCAAUUGAGAUCCAACGAUCUAAAACAAAGCAUACCCCUUCGGCCGCGCUUUUUGCAAAAGAAACCCCGUGCUUUUUAAAGUCUUAACCCGCAGUCCUUUACGGAUUUCCAGAAUACGCUUCCUAACUCCGAAAGCGUAUUCCCUUCUGCUCUGAUUCAGAAUACGUUUUCACAGUUUAAAAACGUACUCCGUGCUGGUUUAUUCAAAAUACGUUUUCAGAAAAUUACAAGUUUGCCACUGGAUUUGUUUUACACAUAAAAUAUUCAUCUUAAUUCCGUUUUGGCUCGUUCAAAUUGUGUUGGUUUUGUCUUUGAAAGAUCUACAUGUUAGUAAAACUGUUUUCUCAGUUUGAAACUUUUUAAUUCCGUGACCCAAAUUAAUUAAUUGUUUUUCUAAAGAAAAUCUUAGAAAAUUCAUAUAUUCUUCGUUUUAACUCCGUUUUGAUCCGUUCAAAUUUCGUUAGAUUCGUUUUCGCGUAACCUAUAGAUUAAUGUUACUGAAUUACAAGUUUUCAACUUUUAAAAUCUGAGUUUAGAUUUAAUCUUAUACCUUGUCACCUAUGGUUUUGCAUUGGGUAGCUUAUGCUAGUGCUCCACUAAACCAUGAUCUUGUAAUUUGAUUAAAGGAUUAUGCAAUAAACAUUAAAAGAUGACUUUUUAGCAACUUUGGAAAAGAGGGCUGGAGCAUUGGGCUAUCUUAUGGUGCUCUAGUUUCUCUCCAUAAGGACUUAUCUGUAUCUGACCAUCCGGGACAUACAGUACAACUGUGAGGGCUACAUGGCUCUGGCUUUAGCUCAGUAUGAGGACCUUUUCUAGCUUGUUAGUGGUUACCCUUGUGGCGCAAGUGGGGGACAGCAGACCGUGGAUUCCUGCGGGUGAGUCAUACGGACUGACUAACGAAACCUAGCGGCCCUAACUUGUUAGACGAAACUUUGAAAGGCUUCAUAGUGAACCUGCCGGUCUUCCUUGGUAGUGGGCUAAGAGGUCGACGGGCCUCGGGCAAAAUGGUAAAUCACGACUCACAGUGAAAGUGUACAACCUCUGCAGAGUGUAAAACUGAUAUAUCAGCCGUGCUCACGGUCACGAGCGGCCUUGGACCAAUACAGAAUAAAUGAUCACUAAUGGCAAAUCAUUAAUGUUAUUAUUGUUAAUAUGUUGUUUAUGCUAUUCUUUAUUCACUUUACUUGAUCAUGAGUUUACUAUGGGACUUGACAACUUGAUGCUACUCAUAUGCUAAAAUUGUGACAAAUAAAAGCUACAUGCAGUUAAACCAGUGUCUAGCCUUUGAGCCUCAUGAACCCUAUGUUAUUCUUGCUGAGUACGAGAUAUACUUACGCUUGCCUUUACAUUUUAUUUGGAUAAAAAUCCCGGAUGGGUACCAGAUUGCAAGCUUGGAAAAGAGUUUAGGCUUGUGCUCAACCAGUCAGUUGUCCCUGUGGAUUUGGAGCUUUCGCCUGAAGAACGAAGUGUCUUUCCGCUGUUUGCUAUCUAAGGUUAUAUCUUUUAUACUAAGUUCGUUAUAUAUAAGCAUUGACUACUGAUAUUACCCCUAUUUGUGGCUAUAUGUGAGAUUUGACUUCCUGGGCUCACAUAUGGUGUGUAUCUGGUUUUGUUCUUCAAACCGGGUGCUACAGCGAACUGAGCUUGGUAUUGAAGCAGGCACAAAUUUGACAGUUGGUAAGAUAGAGAAGGUCAUGAAAAAAAUAGAACAAACAUUUGAGGCUCAAAUGUUUUUUUCUUGUACUAAUCUCCAAAUUUCUGAUGCCUGCAACUAUCCAAUUUAUCAAUAUAAACGCAGUCAAGUACACAAAGGACAUGAAUGUCAUUGGGGACUUCGACUGGUGCACAGUUGUUUAUGAACAGUUUAGGACAUCUGUCAGUACACUAGUACAGACGCAUACCAUACAGGCGGCUGAAAACCCAUUCAUACUGGCGUUUUUCAGCACCGCCUGCGCUGGAGGCCAAUAGAAAUGGGACAUUUCUACAGGCGGUAACUAAGAACCGCCUGUGGAAAUGCAUUUCUACAGGCGGUUCAGUUAUGCCAACCUCCUGUAGAAAUCUUUUUCCAGAAAAUAGGAAAUCGGUUUUUAAAAAUAGGAAAAACAAAUUUUAAUACAGGGAAGGCUCAUCAGCUAUUCGCCCGCCCGUCUCCGUCGAAGUCGCAAGUCAAGCUUUUUUUGCGUAAAAUCGCGUGCUUCGCGGCCGGUGGGAUUCGAUGGUUGCACUGAUCCAGUAGAAUUGGUGUCAAUAGCACCGAAUUCAAUAUUAUAUACAGUACCUAAUUCAAUUGGAGUGAAGGUUACGAAUGAACUCUCUAGACACUGAUUCUUGUGUAUGCAGUUCCGUACUUGUAUUGGAACACGUUGGUUGUCAAAAUAUUAUGAAUGAAAACAAUUAGUAGGCUAAUGGUAAUUUGAAGUGCAAUGCAACUUUUUUUAAACAUCAAUGCAACUUAAAAUGAAGUACUUCAUCCGUCCGGUAAAUUUUGCAAUUAUUUGACUUUCAAAUUUCGUGUUCGGCCAUUCGUCUUAUUCAAAAAAUUUAUAUAAAUAUCAGCUAUCUUAUUAUGUCUUAUUUUUUCAUUAGAGAUACUCUAAUAAUAAUAUUUUUAUUUUAUAAUAUAUAUAAAUUUUUAAAUAAGACGAAUGGUUAAACGUGAAAUUUGAAAGUCAAAGAAUUGAAAAAAAUACGGAUGGAGGGAGUAGUUACAUCCGCAAGAGGCCCAACAAGGGUGCCGGCGAUACUCAUGUUAGGAAAACAAAGGAAUUUUAAGAGUCAUCAAAAAUUCGUCAAAACAAUUUUAAGAGACGCCAAAAAUAAAGAGCUUGGUUGGGAUCCAAUAUUUGCCAAACCAAAAAUUAGUCGUUGCAGGCGGCUACUCACCUUCUUCCCCUCAAAAAAGAGUCGUUGCAGGCGCGGUGUCCCACCGUCUAUAUAGUCUGGUUCUCACCUUGUUCAUCUUCUUCGCCAUCGCCAUCGCCAUCGCCGUCGACCUAGACCUAGAGCCCACCCCCACGCUUGGCGUCCCACCGUGCUCGGCUGCGCACGAGCUUGACGCACCCGCUUGCCUCGCCUUGUCUCGCCGCGACCUGAAGCUCUACUUGGAUCCCUUGCCGCUGCCUGCCUUGCUUCUCGCUCCGGCAGCAUCGGGGCAUCGAUUCGGCGGCGGAGCCUGAGGUUCGCUCCUUUUUUUUCUGCAUACCCACUUUCCCGUACAAGUUAGGGUUUUAAUUUAAAUUUGAGUGAACACUUGAUUUUGAUUUUAAAAUAGGAUGCCAAAUGGAGAUGAUGAAACCAGGUCACAAGAUUCUGAAUCAUUUGAUGAGGUAUGCUUAAGGAACUCGUGCAUCUUAUUAGUUCCUUCUCUUGAACCAUCAUGCUGCAAGCAGCUAGGAUCCUUUGGUAGUCUUAUAGGAGUGUCCAGUCCCCAUGUGUUGAUGUAGAACAACACAGCAAGCUAAACAAAUACUGGGCAUUGCGAUGCUGGAUCUUCGAUAUAUUUCUUUCGAAUUAACGGAGGCUUGCUCCAAUUCGAUAUAUUUCUCUUGAAUUAGGGGAGUUCUCCUGGUUUUUAAACUUUUUCCAGAUUCAAUUAACUUCAAUUGUAUUUGUUCAAUUAUAUUUCUUUUUUCAUAGCAAAACUAAAGUAACUGGGCAUUCUUAGCUGCCCAGCUUUGGUGCUCUCUGUUUAUGUGUUACCUUGAGCUCUCAGUUUUGAUAUUUCAUAAUAUGAAGUCACGUAGUAGCCAACGAGUACACAACAAAAUUAAAUGUUCUUGUCUAUUCUAUAGCAGAGGACAUCAUUUAACUUCUAUUCUUGGUGAUUCUAUAUGGUGCAUGGGUCAUGUUAGGCAUGUCAUGAGUUUUUCCUUAGUUGUGUAUUGGUGUGUUUCAUAGAUCUCCAACGGAAAUAGAGACAAUGGCUUCCCCAAGAAGAGGAGUCCACGCCCCAAAUUCCAGGGGGGUCACAGAUAUCAUAUGUUUCAUCAUCAUUUAAUGAGGUAUUCUUAACGAACUAUUCAACAAUAAUUGAUAGGAGUGUCCAGUCCCUAUGUGUUGAUGUAGAACAACACAACAAGCUAAACAAAUACUGGGGCAUUGUGAUGCUGGCGCUUUGAUAUAUUUCUUUCGAAUUAACGGAGGCUUGCUCCAAUUCGAUAUAUUUCUCUUGAAUUAGGGGAGUUCUCUUGGUUUUUAAACUUUUUCCGGAUUCAAUUAACAUCAAUUGUAUUUGUUCAAUUAUAUUUCUUUUGUCAUAGCAAAAGUAAAGUAACUGGGCAAUCUUAGCUGCCCAGCUUUGGUGCUCUCUCUUUAUGUGUUACCUUGAGCUCUCAGUUUUGAUAUUUCCUAAUAUGAAGUCACGUAGUAGCCAACGAGUACACAAUAGAAUUAAAUGUUCUUGUCUAUUCUAUAGCAGAGGACAUCAUUUAACUUCUAUUAUUGGUGAUUCUAUAUCGUGCAUGGAUCAUGUUAGGCAUGUCAUGAGUUUUUCCUUUGUUGUGUAUUGGUGUGUUUCAUAGAUCUCCAACGGAAAUAGAGACAAAGGCUCCCCCAAGAAGAGGAGUCGACGCCCCAAAUUCCAGGGCGGGUCACAGACAUCAUAUGUUUCAUCAUCAUUUAAUGAGGUAUUCUUAACGAACUAUUCAUCAAUAAUUGAUGCUGGUGCAUACAUUUACUGGUCACUUUAACCAUUGUUUUUUUAUAGGGAAAUAGAGACAAAGAAUCACCCCAAAAGAAGAGCCAACAGUCCAGUUUCCCUGUGGUCUCAUCGGAAGAUGAGGGUUCUAUUAGUCUUGAUUUGGGUUGCAAACGAGAAGAAGUGAUGGAUUUGGUGUAGUGGCUCGGUGACCAAGAUCGUGAAGAGUUAAAGAGACUCGGUUUUGGGACAUUUUUAGACCUGACGGUGGGUAAAACCUCCAGACGCAAAGAAACUUUUCAGAUUCUCAAAAGCAUAGUUUUCUGAAAAGGAUCGGAUUGCAAUAUACAUAGGGGAUGUGAUAUUAUACAUAACUCCAGAAGUAAUAUUUGAACUUUUGAGACUACCACGUAGCAAGAAGAUGCAGCCGCUGCACAUAACUCAAGCAAAUAAAGAUUUUACUGAUCUGUGAACUGAGCUUGGUAUUGAAGCAGGCACAAAUUUUACAGUUGGUAAGAUAGAGAAGGUCAUGAAAAAAAGAGAACAAACAUUUGAGGCUCAAAUGUUUUUUUCUUGUACUAAUCUCCAAAUUUCUGAUGCCUACAACUACCAAAUUUAUCAAUAUAAACGCAGUCAAGUACAUAAAGGACAUGAAUGUCAUUGGAGACUUCGACUGGUGCACAGUUGUUUAUGAACAGUUUAGGACCUCUGUCAGUACACUAGUACAGAGGCAUACUGUACAGGCGGCUGAAAACCUAUUUCUACUGGCGUUUUUCAGCACCGCCUGCGCUGGAGGCCAGUAGAAAUAGGACAUAUCUACAGGCGGUAACUAAGAACUGCCUGUGGAAAUGCAUUUCUACAGGCGGUUCAGUUAUGCCAACCGCCUGUAGAAAUCUUUUUCUAGAAAAUAGGAAAUCGGUUUUUAAAAAUAGGAAAAAAAGAUUUUAAUACAUAGAAGGCCCAUCGGCUAUUCGCCCACCCGUCUCCGUCUAAGUCGCAAGUCGCGCUUUUUUUCGCGUAAAAUCGUGUGCUUCGCGGCCGGUGGGAUUCGAUGGUUGCACUGAUCCAGUAGAAUUGGUGUCAAUAACACCGAAUUCAAUAUUAUAUACAGUACCUAAUUCAAUUGGAGUGAAGGUUAGGAAUGAACUCUCUUGACACUGAUUCUUGUGUAUGCAGUUCCGUACUUGUAUUGGAACACGUUGGUUGUCAAAACAUUAUGAAUGAAAACAAUUAGUAGGCUAAUGAUAAUUGUAAGUGCAAUGCAACUUUUUUUAAACAUCAAUGCAACUUAAAAUGAAGUACUUCCUCCGUCCGGUAAAUUUUGCAAUUAUUUGACUUUCAAAUUUCGUGUUUGACCAUUCGUCUUAUUCAAAAAAUUUAUAUAACUAUCAUCUAUCUUAUUAUGUCUUACUUUUUCAUUAGAGAUACUUUAAUAAUAAUAUUUUAUUUUAUAAUAUAUAUAAAUUUUUAAAUAAGACGUAUGGUCAAACGUGAAAUUUGAAAGUCAAAGAAUUGAAAAAAUUACGGAUGGAGGGAGUAGUUACAUCCGCAAGAGGCCCAACAAGGGUGCCGGCGAUACUCAUGUUAGGAAAGCAAAAGAAUUUUAAGAGUCGUCAAAAAUUCGUCAAAACAAUUUUAAGAGUCAUCAAAAAUAAAGAGCUUGGUUGGGAUCCAAUAUUUGCCAAACCAAAAAUUAGUCGUUGCAGGCGGCUACUCACCUUCUUCCCCUCAAAAAAGAGUCGUUGCAGGCGCGGCGUCCCACCGUCUAUAUAGUCUGGUUCUCACCUUGUUCAUCUUCUUCGCCAUCGCCAUCGACCUAGACCUAGAGCCCAGACCCACGCUCUGCGUCCCACCGUGCUCGGUUGCGCACGAGCUUGACGCACCAGCUUGCCUCGCCUUGUCUUGCCGCGACCUGAAGCUCUGCUUGGAUCCCUUGCCGCUGCCUGCCUUGCUUCUCGCUCCGGCAGCAUCGGGGCAUCGAUUCGGCGGCGGAGCCCGAGGUUCACUCCUUUUUUUCUGCAUACCCACUUUCCCAUACAAGUUAGGGUUUUAAUUUAAAUUUUAGUGAACACUUGAUUUUGAUUUUAAAAUAGGAUGCCACAUGGAGAUGAUGAAACUUGGUCACAAGAUUCUGAAUCAUUUAAUGAGGUAUGCUUAACGAACUCGUGCAUCUUAUUGGUUCCUUCUCUUGAACCAUCAUGCAGCAAGCAGCUAGGAUCCUUUGGUAGUCUUAUAGGAGUGUCCAGUCCCCAUGUGUUGAUGUAGAACAACACAGCAAGCUAAACAAAUACUGGGGCAUUACGAUGUUGGCUCUUCGAUAUAUUUCUUUCGAAUUAACGGAGGCUUGCUCCAAUUCGAUAUAUUUCUCUUGAAUUAGGGGAGUUCUCCUGGUUUUUAAACUUUUUCGGAUUAAAUUAACUUCAAUUGUAUUUGUUCAAUUAUAUUUCUUUUGUCAUAGCAAAAGCAAGGUCACUGGGCAUUCUAUGCGGCCCAGCUUUGGUGCUCUCUGUUUUUGUGUUACCUUGAGCUCUUAGUUUUGAUAUUUCUUAAUAUGAAGUCACGUAGUAGCCAAUGAGUACACAACAGAAUUAAAUGUUCUUGUCUAUUCUAUAGCAGAGGACAUCGUUUAACUUCUAUUCUUGGUGAUUCUAUAUCGUGCAUGGGUCAUGUUAGGCAUGUCAUGAGUUUUUCCUUUGUUGUGUAUCGGUGUGUUUCAUAGAUCUCCAACGGAAAUAGAGACAAAGGCUCCCCCAAGAAGAGGAGUCGACGCCCCAAAUUCCAGGGGGGGUCACAGACAUCAUAUGUUUCAUCAUCAUUUAAUGAGGUAUUCUUAACGAACUAUUCAACAAUAAUUGAUGCUGGUGCAUAUAUUUGCUGGUCACUUUAACCAUUGUUUUUUAUAGGGAAAUAGAGACAAAGAAUCACCCCGGAAGAAGAGCCGACAGUCCAGUUUCCCUGUGGUCUCAUCAUAAGAUGAGGGUUCUAUUAGUCUUGAUUUGGGUUGCAAACCAAAAGAAGUGAUGGAUUUGGUGUAGUGGCUUGGUGACCAAGAUCGUGAAGAGUUAAAGAGACUCGAUUUUGGGACAUUUUUAGACCUGACGGUGGGUAAAAUCUCCAGACGCAAAGAAACAUUUCAGAUUCUCAAAAGCAUAGUUUUUGAGAAGGAUCGGCUUGCAAUAUACAUAGGGGAUGUGAUAUUAUACAUAAGUCCAGAAGUAAUAUUUGAACUUUUGAGACUACCACGUAGCAAGGAGAUGCAGCCGCUGCACAUAACUCAAGCAAAUAAAGAUUUUGCUGAUCUGCGAACUGAGCUUGGUAUUGAAGCAGGCACAAAUUUGACAGUUGGCAAGAUAGAGAAGGUCAUGAAAAAAAGAGAACAAACAUUUGAGGCUCAAAUGUUUUUUUCAUGUACUAAUCUCCAAAUUUCUGAUGCCUACAACUACCCAAUUUAUCAAUAUAAACGCAGUCAAGUACACAAAGGACAUGAAUGUCAUUGGGGACUUCGACUUGUGCACAGUUGUUAAUGAACAGUUUAGGACCUCUGUCAGUACACUAGUACAGACGCAUACUUUACAGGCGGCUGAAAACCCAUUUCUACUGGCGUUUUUGAGCACCGCCUGCGCUGGAGGCCAGUAGAAAUGGGACAUUUCUACAGGCGGUAACUAAGAACCGCCAGUGGAAAUCUAUUUCUACAGGCGGUUCAGUUAUUCCAACCACCUGUAGAAAUCUUUUUCCAGAAAAUAGGAAAUUGGUUUUUAAAAAUAGGAAAAAAAGAUUUUAAUACAGGGAAGGCCCAUCGGCUAUUCGCCCGCCCGUCUCCGUCGAAGUCGCAAGUCGCGCUUUUUUCGCGUAAAAUCGCGUGCUUCGCGGCCGGUGGGAUUCGAUGGUUGCACUGAUCCAGUAGAAUUGGUGUCAAUAGCACCGAAAAUUCAAUAUUAUAUAUAGUACCUAAUUCAAUUGGAGUGAAGGUUAGGAAUGAACUCUCUUGACACUAAUUCUUGUGUAUGCAGUUCCGUACUUGUAUUGGAACACGUUGGUUGUCGAAACAUUAUGAAUGAAAACAAUUAGUAGGCUAAUGGUAAUUGGAAGUGCAAUGCAACUUUUUUUAAACAUCAAUGCAACUUAAAAUGAAGAACUUCCUCCGUCCGGUAAAUUUUGCAAUUAUUUGACUUUCAAAUUUCGUGUUUGACCAUUCGUCUUAUUCAAAAAAUUUAUAUAAAUAUCAUCUAUCUUAUUAUGUCUUAUUUUUUCGUUAGAGAUACUUUAAUAAUAAUAUUUUUAUUUUAUAAUAUAUGUAAAUUUUUAAAUAUGACGAAUGGUCAAACGUGAAAUUUGAAAGUCAAAGAAUUGAAAAAAUUACGGAUGGAGGGAGUAGUUACAUCCGCAAGAGGCCCAAUAAGGGUGCCGGCGAUACUCAUGCUAGGAAAACAAAGGAAUUUUAAGAGUCGUCAAAAAUUCGUCAAAACAAUUUUAAGAGUCGUCAAAAAUAAAGAGCUUGGUUGGGAUCCAAUAUUUGCCAAACCAAAAAUUAGUCGUUGCAUGCGGCUACUCACCUUCUUCCCUCAAAAAAGAGUCGUUGCAGGCGCGGCGUCCCACCGUCUAUAUAGUCUGGUUCUCACCUUGUUCAUCUUCUUCCCCAUCGCCAUCGCCGUCGACCUAGACCUAGAGCCCACCCCCACGCUUGGCGUCCCACCGUGCUCGGCUGCGCACGAGGUUGACGCACCCGCUUGCCUCGCCUUGUCUCGCCGCGACCUGAAGCUCUGCUUGGAUCCCUUGCCGCUGCCUGCCUUGCUUCUCGCUCCGGCAGCAUCAGGGCAUCGAUUCGGCGGCGGAGCCCGAGGUUCGCUCCUUUUUUUUCUGCAUACCCACUUUCCCAUACAAGUUAGGGUUUUAAUUUAAAUUUGAGUGAACACUUGAUUUUGAUUUAAAAUAGGAUGCCACAUGGAGAUGAUGAAACCGGGUCACAAGAUUCUGAAUCAUUUGAUGAGGUAUGCUUAACAAACUCGUGCAUCUUAUUGGUUCCUUCUCUUGAACCAUCGUGCUGCAAGCAGCUAGGAUCCUUUGGUAGUCUUAUAGGAGUGUCCAGUCCCCAUGUGUUGAUGUAGAACAACACAGCAAGCUAAACAAAUACAGGGGCAUUGCGAUGCUGGCUCUUCGAUGUAUUUUUUUCGACUUAACGGAGGCUUCCUCCAAUUCGAUAUAUUUCUCUUGAAUUAGGGGAGUUCUCCUGGUUUUUAAACUUUUUCCGGAUUCAAUUAACUUCAAUUGUAUUUGUUCAAUUAUAUUUCUUUUGUCAUAGCAAAAGUAAAGUAACUGGGCAUUCUUAGCUGCCCAGCUUUGGUGCUCUCUGUUUAUGUGUUACCUUGAGCUCUCAGGUUUGAUAUUUCAUAAUAUGAAUUCACGUAGUAGCCAACGAGUACACAACAAAAUUAAAUGUUCUUGUCUAUUCCAUAGCAGAGGACAUCAUUUAACUUCUAUUCUUGGUGAUUCUAUAUCGUGCAUGGGUCAUGUUAGGCAUGUCAUGAGUUUUUCCUUUGUUGUGUAUUGGUGUGUUUCAUAGAUCUUCAACGGAAAUAGAGACAAAGGCUCCCCCAAGAAGAGGAGUCGACGCCCCAAAUUCUAGGGGGGUCACAGAUAUCAUAUGUUUCAUCAUCAUUUAAUGAGGUAUUCUUAACAAACUAUUCAACAAUAAUUGAUAGGAGUGUCCAGUCCCCAUGUGUUGAUGUAGAACAACACAGCAAGCUAAACAAAUACUGGGGCACUGCGAUGCUGGCUCUUUGAUAUAUUUCUUUCGAAUUAACGGAGGCUUGCUCUAAUUCGAUAUAUUUCUCUUGAAUUAGGGGAGUUCUCCUGGUUUUUAAACUUUUUCCGCAUUCAAUUAACUUCAAUUGUAUUUGUUCAAUUAUAUUUCUUUUGUCAUAGAAAAAGUAAAGUAACUGGGCAUUCUUAGCUGCCUAGCUUUGGUGCUCUCUGUUUAUGUGUUACCUUGAGCUCUCAGUUUUGAUAUUUCCUAAUAUGAAGUCACGUAGUAGCCAACGAGUACACAACAGAAUUAAAUGUUCUUGUCUAUUCUAUAGCAGAGGACAUCAUUUAACUUCUAUUCUUGGUGAUUCUAUAUCGUGCAUGGGUCAUGUUAGGCAUGUCAUGAGUUUUUCCUUUGUUGUGUAUUGGUGUGUUUCAUAGAUCUCCAACGGAAAUAGAGACAAAGGCUCCCCCAAGAAGAGGAGUCGACGCCCGAAAUUCCAGGGGGGGUCACAGACAUAUUAUGUUUCAUCAUCAUUUAAUGAGGUAUUCUUAACGAACUAUUCAACAAUAAUUGAUGCUGGUGCAUAUAUUUGCUGGUCACUUUAACCAUUGUUUUUUAUAGGGAAAUAGAGACAAAGAAUCACCCCGGAAGAGGAGCCGACAGUCCAGUUUCCCUGUGGUCUCAUCAGAAGAAGAGGGUUCUAUUAGUCUUGAUUUGGGUUGCAAACCAGAAGAAGUGAUGGAUUUGGUGUAGUGGCUUGGUGACCAAGAUCGUGAAGAGUUAAAGAGACUCGGCUUUGGGACAUUUUUAGACCCGACGGUGGGUAAAAUCUCCAGACGUAAAGAAACAUUUCAGAUUCUCAAAAGCAUAGUUUUUGAAAAGGAUCAGAUUGCAAUAUACAUAGGGGAUGUGAUAUUAUACAUAACUCCAGAAGUAAUAUUUGAACUUUUGAGACUACCACGUAGCAAGAAGAUGCAGCCGCUGCACAUAACUCAAGCAAAUAAAGAUUUUGCUGAUCUGCGAAUUGAGCUUGGUAUUGAAGCAGGCACAAAUUUGACAGUUGGUAAGAUAGAAAAGGUCAUGAAAAAAAAGAGAACAAACAUUUGAGGCUCAAAUGUUUUUUUCUUGUACUAAUCUCCAAAUUUCUGAUGCCUACAACUACCCAAUUUAUCAAUAUAAACGCAGUCAAGUACACAAAGGACAUGAAUGUCAUUCGGGACUUCGACUGGUGCACAUUUGUUUAUGAACAGUUUAGGACCUCUGUCAGUACACUAGUACAAACGCAUACUGUACAGGCGGCUGAAAACUCAUUUCUACUGGCGUUUUUCAGCACCGCCUGCGCUGGAGGCCAGUAGAAAUGGGACAUUUCUACAGGCGGUAACUGAGAACCGCCCGUGGAAAUGCAUUUCUACAGGCGGUUCAGUUAUGCCAACCGCCUGUAGAAAUCUUUUUCUAGAAAAUAGGAAAUCGGUUUUUAAAAAUAGGAAAAAAAAGAUUUUAUUACAGGGAAGGCCCAUCGGCUAUUCGCCCGUCCGUCUCCGUCGAAGUCGCAAGUCGCGCUUUUUUCGCGUAAAAUCGCAUGCUUCGCGGCCGGUGGGAUUCGAUGGUUGCACUGAUCCAGUAGAAUUGGUGUCAAUAGCACCGAAUUCAAUAUUAUAUACAGUACCUAAUUCAAUUGGAGUGAAGGUUACGAAUGAACUCUCUUGACACUGAUUCUUGUGUAUGCAGUUCCGUACUUGUAUUGGAACACGUUGGUUGUCAAAACAUUAUGAAUGAAAACAAUUAGUAGGCUAAUGGUAAUUGGAAGUGCAAUGCAACUUUUUUUAAACAUCAAUGCAACUUAAAAUGAAGUACUUCCUCCGUCCGGUAAAUUUUGCAGUUAUUUGACUUUCAAAAUUUCGUGUUUGACCAUUCGUCUUAUUCAAAAAAUUUAUAUAAAUAUCAUCUAUCUUAUUAUGUCUUAUUUUUUCAUUAGAGGUACUUUAAUAAUAAUAUUUUUAUUUUAUAAUAUAUAUAAAUUUUUAAAUAAGAUGAUUGGUCAAACGUGAAAUUUGAAAGUCAAAGAAUUGAAAAAAUUACGGAUGGAGGGAGUAGUUACAUCCGCAAGAGGCCCAACAAGGGUGCCGGCGAUACUCAUGUUAGGAAAACAAAGAAAUUUUAAGAGCCGUCAAAAAUUCGUCAAAACAAUUUUAAGAGUCGUCAAAAAUAAAGAGCUUGGUUGGGAUCCAAUAUUUGCCAAACCAAAAAUUAGUCGUUGCAGGCGGCUACUCACCUUCUUCCCCUCAAAAAAUAGUCGUUGCAGGCGCGGCGUCCCACCGUCUAUAUAGUCUGGUUCUCACCUUGUUCAUCUUCUUCGACAUCGCCAUCGCCGUCGACCUAGACCUAGAGCCCACCCCCACGCUUGGCGUCCCACCGUGCUCGGCUACACAUGAGCUUCACGCACCCGCUUGCCUCGCCUUGUCUCGCCGCGACCUGAAGCUCUGCUUGGAUCCCUUGCCGCUGCCUGCCUUGCUUCUCGCUCCGGCAGCAUCGGGGCAUCGAUUCGGCGGCGGAGCCCGAGGUUCGCUCCUUUUUUUCUGCAUACCCACUUUCCCAUACAAGUUAGGGUUUUAAUUUAAAUUUGAGUGAACACUUGAUUUUGAUUUUAAAAUAGGAUGCCACAUGGAGAUGAUGAAACCGGGUCACAAGAUUCUGAAUCAUUUGAUGAGGUAUGCUUAACGGACUCGUGCAUCUUAUUGGUUCCUUCUCUUGAACCAUCGUGCUGCAAGCAGCUAGGAUCCUUUGGUAGUCUUAUAGGAGUGUCCAGUCCCCAUGUGUUGAUGUAGAACAACACAGCAAGCUAAACAAAUACUGGGGCAUUGCGAUGCUGGCUCUUCGAUAUAUUUCUUUCGAAUUAACAGAGGCUUGCUCCAAUUCGAUAUAUUUCCCUUGAAUUAGGGGAGUUCUCCUGGUUUUUAAACUUUUUGUGGAUUCAAUUAACUUCAAUUGUAUUUGUUCAAUUAUAUUUCUUUUGUCAUAGCAAAAGUAAAGUAACUGGGCAUUCUUAGCUGCCCAGCUUUGGUGCUCUCUGUUUAUGUGUUACCUUGAGCUCUCAGUUUUGAUAUUUCCUAAAAUGAAGUCACGUAGUAGCCAACGAGUACACAAUAGAAUUAAAUGUUCUUGUCUAUUCUAUAGCAGAGGACAUCAUUUAACUUCUAUUCUUGGUGAUUCUAUAUCGUGCAUGGGUCAUGUUAGGCAUGUCAUGAGUUUUUCCUUUGUUGUGUAUUGGUGUGUUUCAUAGAUCUCCAACGGAAAUAGAGACAAAGGCUCCCCCAAGAAGAGGAGUCGACGCCCCAAAUUCCAGGGGGGUCACAGACAUCAUAUGUUUCAUCAUCAUUUAAUGAGGUAUUCUUAACGAACUAUUCAACAAUAAUUGAUGCUGGUGCAUAUAUUUGCUGGUCACUUUAACCAUUGUUUUUUAUAGGGAAAUAGAGACAAAGAAUCAACCCGGAAGAAGAGCCGACAGUCCAGUUUCCCUGUGGUCUCAUCUGAAGAUGAGGGUUCUAUUAGUCUUGAUUUGGGUUGCAAACCAGAAGAAGUGAUGGAUUUGGUGUAGUGGCUUGGUGACCAAGAUCGUGAAGAGUUAAAGAGACUCGGUUUUGGGACAUUUUUAGACCCGACGGUGGGUAAAAUCUCCAGACGCAAAGAAACAUUUCAGAUUCUCAAAAGCAUAGUUUUUGAAACGGAUCAGAUUGCAAUAUACAUAGGGGAUGUGAUAUUAUACAUAACUCCAGAAGUAAUAUUUGAACUUUUGAGACUACCACGUAGCAAGAAGAUGCAGCCGCUGCACAUAACUCAAGCAAAUAAAGAUUUUGCUGAUCUGCGAACUGAGCUUGGUAUUAAAGCACGCACAAAUUUGACAGUUGGUAAGAUAGAGAAGGUCAUGAAAAAAAAGAGAACAAACAUUUGAGACUCAAAUGUUUUUUUCUUGUACUAAUCUCCAAAUUUCUGAUGCCUACAACUACCCAAUUUAUCAAUAUAAACGCAGUCAAGUACACAAAGGACAUGAAUGUCAUUGGAGACUUCGACUGGUGCACAGUUGUUUAUGAACAGUUUAGGACCUCUGUCAGUACACUAGUACAGACGCAUACUGUACAGGCGGCUGAAAACCCAUUUCUACUGGCGUUUUUCAGCACCGCCUGCGCUGGAGGCCAGUAGAAAUGGGACAUUUCUACAGGCGGUAACUGAGAACCGCCUGUGCAAAUGCAUUUCUACAGGCGGUUCAGUUAUGCCAAUCGCCUGUAGAAAUAUUUUUCCAGAAAAUAGGAAAUCGGUUUUUAAAAAUAGAAAAAAAAAGAUUUUAAUACAGGGAAGGCCCAUCGGCUAUUCGCCCGCCCGUCUCCGUCGAAGUCGCAAGUCGCGCUUUUUUUCGCGUAAAAUCGCGUGCUUCGCGGCCGGUGGGAUUCGAUGGUUGCACUGAUCCAGUAGAAUUGGUGUCAAUAGCACCGAAUUCAAUAUUAUAUACAGUACCUAAUUCAAUUGGAGUGAAGGUUACGAAUGAUCUCUCUUUGACACUGAUUCUUGUGUAUGCAGUUCCGUACUUGUAUUGGAACACGUUGGUUGUCAAAACAUUAUGAAUGAAAACAAUUAGUAGGCUAAUGGUAAUUGGAAGUGCAAUGCAACUUUUUUUAAACAUCAAUGCAACUUAAAAUGAAGUACUUCCUCCGUCCGGUAAAUUUUGCAGUUAUUUGACUUUCAAAAUUUCGUGUUUGACCAUUCGUCUUAUUCAAAAAAUUUAUAUAAAUAUCAUCUAUCUUAUUAUGUCUUAUUUUUUCAUUAGAGAUACCUUAAUAAUAAUAUUUUUAUUUUAUAAUAUAUAUAAAUUUUUAAAUAAGACGAAUGGUCAAACGUAAAAUUUGAAAGUCAAAGAAUUGAAAAAAUUACGGAUGGAGGGAGUAGUUACAUCCGCAAGAGGCCCAACAAGGGUGCCGGCGAUACUCAUGUUAGGAAAACAAAGGAAUUUUAAGAGUCUCAAAAAUUCGUCAAAACAAUUUUAAGAGUCGUCAAAAAUAAAGAGCUUGGUUGGGAUCAAUAUUUGCCAAACCAAAAAUUAGUCGUUGCAGGCGGCUACUCACCUUCUUCCCCUCAAAAAAGAGUCGUUGCAGGCGCGGCGUCCCACCGUCUAUAUAGUCUGGUUCUCACCUUGUUCAUCUUCUUCGCCAUCGCCAUCGCCGUCGACCUAGACCUAGAGCCCACCCCCACGCUUGGCGUCCCACUGUGCUCGGCUGCGCACGAGCUUGACGCACCCGCUUGCCUCGCCUUGUCUCGCCGCGACCUGAAGCUCUCCUUGGAUCCCUUGCCGCUGCCUGCCUUGCUACUCGCUCCGGCAGCAUCGGGGCAUCCGGCGGCGGAGCCCGAGGUUCGCUCCUUUUUUUCUGCAUACCCACUUUCCCAUACAAGUUAGGGUUUUAAUUUAAAUUUGAGUGAACACUUGAUUUUGAUUUUAAAAUAGGAUGCCACAUGGAGAUGAUGAAACCGGGUCACAAGAUUCUGACUCAUUUGAUGAGGUAUGCUUAACGAACUCGUGCAUCUUAUUGGUUCCUUCUCUUGAACCAUCGUGCUGCAAGCAGCUAGGAUCCUUUGGUAGUCUUAUAGGAGUGUCCAGUCCCCAUGUGUUGAUGUAGAACAACACAGCAAGCUAAACAAAUACUGGGGUAUUGUGAUGCUGGCUCUUCGAUAUAUUUCUUUCGAAUUAACAGAGGCUUGCUCCAAUUUGAUAUAUUUCCCUUGAAUUAGGGGAGUUCUCCUGGUUUUUAAACUUUGUCUAGAUUCAAUUAACUUCAAUUGUAUUUGUUCAAUUAUAUUUCUUUUGUCAUAGCAAAAGUAAAGUAACUGGGCAUUCUUAGCUGCCCAGCUUUGGUGCUCUCUGUUUAUGUGUUACCUUGAGCUCUCAGUUUUGAUAUUUCCUAAAAUGAAGUCACGUAGUAGCCAACGAGUACACCAUAGAAUUAAAUGUUCUUGUCUAUUCUAUAGCAGAGGACAUCAUUUAACUUCUAUUCUUGGUGAUUCUAUAUCGUGCAUGGGUCAUGUUAGGCAUGUCAUGAGUUUUUCCUUUGUUGUGUAUUGGUGUGUUUCAUAGAUCUCCAACGGAAAUAGAGACAAAGGCUCCCCCAAGAAGAGGAGUCGACGCCCCAAAUUCCAGGGGGUCACAGACAUCAUAUGUUUCAUCAUCAUUUAAUGAGGUAUUCUUAAGGAACUAUUCAACAAUAAUUGAUGCUGGUGCAUAUAUUUUCUGGUCACUUUAACCAUUGUUUUUUUAUAGAGAAAUAGAGACAAAGAAUCACCCCGGAAGAAGAGCCGACAGUCUAGUUUCCCUGUGGUCUCAUCAGAAGAUGAGGGUUCUAUUAGUCUUGAUUUGGGUUGCAAACCAGAAGAAGUGAUGGAUUUGGUGUAGUGGCUUGGUGACCAAGAUCGUGAAGAGUUAAAGAGACUCGGUUUUGGGACAUUUUUAGACUUGACGGUGGGUAAAAUCUCCAGACUCAAAGAAACAUUUCAGAUUCUCAAAAGCAUAGUUUUUGAAAAGGAUCGGAUUGCAAUAUACAUAGGGGAUGUGAUAUUAUAGAUAACUCCCAGAAGUAAUAUUUGAACUUUUGAGACUACCACGUAGCAAGAAGAUGCAGCCGCUGCACAUAACUCAAGCAAAUAAAGAUUUUGCUGAUCUGCGAACUGAGCUUGGUAUUGAAGCAGGCACAAAUUUGACAGUUGGUAAGAUAGAGAAGGUCAUGAAAAAAAAAGAGAACAAACAUUUGAGGCUCAAAUGUUUUUUUCUUGUACUAAUCUCCAAAUUUCUGAUGCCUACAACUACCCAAUUUAUCAAUAUAAACGCAGUCAAGUACACAAAGGACAUGAAUGUCAUUGGGGACUUCGAUUGUUGCACAGUUGUUUAUGAACAGUUUAGGACCUCUGUCAGCACACUAGUACAGACGCAUACUGUACAGGCGGCUGAAAACUCAUUUCUACUGGCGUUUUUCAGCACCGCCUGCGCUGGAGGCCAGUAGAAAUGGGACAUUUCUACAGGCGGUAACUGAGAACCGCCUGUGGAAAUGCAUUUCUACAGGCAGUUCAGUUAUGCCAACCUCCUGUAGAAAUCUUUUUCCAGAAAAUAGGAAAUCGGUUUUUAAAAAUGCGAAAAAAAAGAUUUUAAUACAAGGAAGGCCCAUCGGCUAUUCGCCCGCCCGUCUCCGUCGAAGUCGCAAGUCGCGCUUUUUUCGCGUAAAAUCGCGUGCUUCGCGGCCGGUGGGAUUCGAUGGUUGCACUGAUCGAGUAGAAUUGGUGUCAAUAGCACCAAAUUCAAUAUUAUAUACAGUACCUAAUUCAAUUGGAGUGAAGGUUACGAAUGAACUCUCUUGACACUGAUUCUUAUGUACGCAGUUGCGUACUUGUAUUGGAACACGUUGGUUGUCAAAACAUUAUGAAUGAAAAUAAUUAGUAGGCUAAUGGUAAUUGGAAGUGCAAUGCAACUUUUUUUAAACAUCAAUGCAAGUCGCGCUUUUUUCGCGUAAAAUCGCGUGCUUCGCGGCCGGUGGGAUUCGAUCCUGAGACCUUACCCUUGCACAUUGCCUCCUCUACCACACCACCUAUCACUCACUUGUGUCUAUAUUAGAGUUUAGUUCCCCACAUAUUAUCACAAACCGAGCAUAUAUUGAUUAUUUGAGACCCUAAACGGAUUCCAAUGGAAAAGUUGUCAACUACAAAGUUUCAUAACUUUUUAAGAUCUACAACUUUGAUAUUGGAAGUUUUUCCAUCCGAGGUCAUUUACAAAAUUUGAAUUUCAAAUUUAAGAAAUUCAAACAUAGUUUUCGACGACAAGAUGAUGUCAAAUGAAAAAAUUAUCAACUACAAAGUUUCAUAACUUUUCGAGGUCUACAACUUUUAUUUUGACAGUUUUUUCAAACAAGGUCAUUUGAAAAACUCAAAAAAUUAAAUUUCAAUUUAUUUUUACAGGCGGUUUUCUUAACAAACUGCCUGUACAGGCGGUUUCUUAGGAGAACCGCCUGUAGAAAUACAUGAUUUCUACAGGCGGUUUUGUUAGGAAAACCGCCUGUAGAAAUAUGAUUUCCAGUGGCGGUUCCUUAGGACAACCGCCUGUACAAAUGCAUGAUUUCUACAGGCGGUUCAGUUAGGAAAACCACCUGUGAAAAUGCAUCUUCACAGGCGGUUCGUAAUUCUGACACCGCCCUUUUUACACCACAGGCGCGUGAUAACUACAACCGCCUGUAGUAUAAAAAAGGGGCGUCAGUGUUGUACUCUUUUCUACUAGUGGUAAAUGGCAAAAAUCAGUGGUGCAGUUGCCAGCAGGCGUAAAAAAAUCAAGGACUAUGCCUGGCUGUGCACUAAUGAUCCUGGUAAGCUAACUUGUAUUUACCUUCAUUUAUUGGGUUUGUUAAAUAUCUGAAUGGUGUUGAACAACCCUAUUGUGGAUUAAAAAGAAACAUGUUGAAAGCUUUACUUGUUUUUUAAGUACUAAAGAAUAGAGCCAUGUUUAACUGUAUAUUCUGGUUGGCAGACAUAUAUUGUUGACAAUAUGGAGCUGCCUGAGAUUCAGAAGGAUAAGGAAGCCAAAAAAUGUCCUAGAAUAAAUCAGUACAAUACUGACUUUUUGAUGGAUAAGAUUGGUGAAGCAGCUAAGCGCCGCAGGUUUAAGGUAUUGAUCAUCUCUUUGUCUGAAACUAUACCAUUUUUUUUGCUUUCUUUCACUGCAAACACAACAAAUCAUAUGUAUGUAUAUCAUAUUGAUAUCACCAUGAACACAAGUAGCACCAUUUAUAUCACAAUUCCAUCAAUUUUAUCACCACCGGCAAAGGAUUUAUCACAAUAGCACAUAUAUCUCAUAAUAGCAUCACUUAUUCGGCGAUAAAGUCCAUACAACGACUUGAUUCUAAUGAAGUUCGACACAACAAGUCCAAGUCCAUGACAUGAAGUUCCACACAACAAGUCCAAGUCCAUGACACGAAGAGAAGGAAUACAUGACAACUUCUUCGACAACGUUACUCACUGAGGCGGCGGUGGAGGUGCGUACUCGGGCCACCCAUUUGAUGGCGGCGACGGUCUCCCAUGCUUGUUCGCCACUUGGUUCGAACCCGCCGACUGAGGCUACACACAAGAGCAGCGAUUGCAUGAGACAAAGUUAAAUAGCUAAAUAACAUGCAUGUGUGAUAUAUAUUACUCACCGGAGUAGUGUGGAGAGCAACGAAGGGAGGAACGACGGGAGGAGGCUGAGGUGGACCCAUCAAGUUGGGUGGCAAAGUAACACCCAAAGAACUCUGCAGAAACGCCAGCACAUCUGACAUCCUCUGGUCACUUGCCAGCCGCGCCGCCCGCUCUGAAGCCACAACCGCCUCCAGCUCGUCAGCCCUCUUGUUCGAAGUUUCCACCUGGGCCUAUACAUUGUUGCAAAGGUAAUGUUAGUGAAGCGAGAAGAAAAUCCUUAAUGCAUGAUAGUAAACAAAAACUAACCUGUAGUGCCUCAACCCGGGCCUGUGCAUAGGCCGGCCGCUCGCGUAUCGGCGGGAGUCCGGAGCCGCUCGUGGUCUGUGCUCGGAUAUGGGAGAGAGUGGGAGUAGUGGUGCUGUCGAUCACGCUGUUCACCAUCUAGUAGCGCCCAUGUUGCUUUCCCUUUCCAAGACACAUGACGAGGCGUGCAUCGAUGUUGUCAUUCGUUGGAUCAUAAUCCAACCCAUGCAUCGCCCUCGCCGCCUAGUGGUACUCGGUGACUUUCUUGUAGGCGCUCUCACUUGUGUCCGCCUCGGGCGGGUCCUCUGGGUUGAAGGAGACGUCGGACGUCGCCUUGCCCUUGUGUGACAUGGUAUAUGCCGCGAAGUAGGAGCAUUGCUGGCCACCGUGUGCCGCCGACUGCGAGAACGAAAAGAAGUUUGUUAAUAGUCUUUGCCUAGUUAAAUUAAAGCAUGGAAACAGUUACAAACAUGAUGACGUACCCAAGCUCGGGCGAAGCCGCCGACGUUGCGGUUGCCUUGAUGGUGAGGCACACCUGACAUGGCCAAACGGUGAGCCCGGAAAGUCGCGUGCUGCUGCCGCCACUCCUCGCUCAACCAACGGUCCACGAUUUGCCCCCACGCCUCAGGGGACUUUUCGCACCACCAAGGAAUGACCUACAUGUCAUGAAGUAAGCGACAUGUUAGGCAAUCAAGUUCAUAGCACUUAAUGUUGAAAGGAACUUAAUUUAAAGUUGCUCAGUUACCUGCAUGAACUGCUCUUUGGUCAGAGAGAGGCUCCGCUCUCGAAUUUGUUUCUUGUUGACGCUCUCGCCAAACUGCUUCCCAUAGUAGUCUCUGAUGGCCUGGAUUCUCGCCUCGUGGUACAUGUCCGUGACGCGCUUCCUGCAAGCUUUCCUAGCCACGGCGUUCGCAUUGCCCUCGUAGCUCUCGUCGAGCUUGAAGUAUGUCUGCAUAUGAAGACACAAUGUAUGCAUUAGUUAUUUCAAGUAGGAUCCAAUGAAUGCGUUGCAUUGAGGCAUGUAGUGCGAGGAAAGCUUACCCAGAACUCCUGAAGGAUGAGCGCUGCCAUGUUGCCUGCGGUGGCAUGGUGGGCGGACUCGUAGUGGGCCCACGUGUAGGCAGGCUCGUCCUUCCCGGCAUGCGUUACAAUGCCAGGGAAGUAGUGCCUGACCAGGGCACCUAGGACGCCAUUCACAUGGCGUGAAUCCCCUUCCGACACAACCCUCCAGGUCCUGCACAAGUGAUAAUGUAGACAUAUUAGUAUAUAUUUAGAUUUUGAACAAAGGAUACAAAUUAAUAGUGAUAACAUGUAGAGGUGUCUUACGCUUGCCCCUCUGGGACAAUCGAAACGCGUCGCCUCGGUUUGUCAGGGAGAGACGUGGGACCUCGGAAGUAGACACUGCCCGUUGUAGUGGAAGAUGACGUCCUAGCAGAGCCCUCAGCCCCGCCACCGCCGAGGUCCCCGUCGUCAUCCCCCUCGUCCUCCUCGUCCUGCUGCACCACAACCUGCUACUCCUCGUCCUCAUCCUGCACCACCUGCUGCUCCUCAUCCUCCUCCUGCUGCGGCUGCUCCUCGUCCUCCUCCUCCUAAGGCUCAGGCUGGACCACGUAAGUCAUCCUCCUCGUCGGCCUCCUCGUCGUCCUCCUCGCCAUCUUGCGGCGUCUCGUCCCCACUGCAGUGGGCUCUGGCACGUCGUCUGCACCCCCUCUACUACCAGAGCCCUGGUAGAAGUGGCUCAGGCUCCUCUGACGGCCUCCUGGCAUUGUUGCUCAAUCACCUACAAUUAAGAAGGAAUAUACAUAAUUAGAAAUAGAUAUAAAAUAAACAAAACUAAAUUACAAAAUCUGAAAGUAUUACAUGUAUGUUACAAAUAUUCUUCAUGAUCGGGAUUAGCUAGACCAUAAGUCUCAUCAUCACUAUCAACCAGGUCAAAAUAAUCAACAACAUCUGGCGGAGGAAUGUUGUCUUCAUCAUUAUUGCCUAGACGCAACCGCUCAAGCAUUUGCAAGUCAUUUGGAUCUCGCACCUCAUCUUCGUCAUCAUCAUCAAUGACCAUUACAUUGUGUACAUCCAUUCCUAUCUCACAGGUUAAGUCUCUUCUUGGUAAAACUCUCCAUCAUACGUGGUUGGGUUGAAGUGGUAGUCUUCAUCAUUUGGGAGAGGUGCUCCGCCGUGUGGCGACACCUUGUGCACAACACACCAACCACUGAGAUCCAGUCUAGCCUUGCAAGCAUACGGCAUAUAAUAAACUUGUGUGGCCUGUUGUGCCACAAUAUACACAUCGUCUCUUGGAUAGACAGAAUCAUGUCGAAUUUCAACAAGACCAAGAUUCGGGGUCUUCCUUGUUACUUCCGGAUCAAACCAAUGGCAUUUGAAUAUGACAGGACGAGCUUUGGUGCUACCAGGGAAUGUGAUUUCGUAUAUUUCUUCAACUCUUCCAUAGUAGUCCUUGCCAUCAGUGCCAGGCGUAAAAACCCCACUAUUUGUGGUCUUUCGAUUUGGCUGCACACGCUCGUAGCUUGUUGUGUGAAACCGAAAUCCAUUCACAUCGUAAGCGGACAAUGACUUGACUCGGCGGUCACACCCAUUGGCAACACAUCUCAGGUCAGCACCGAUAGAAGGACAUGAGAGAUGUCUAGGUUUCUAACUAACUUCCAUGACAACAUGCACGAAACUUUACCAAAUUUUUACCAUAGCAUCCACAUGUGCUCCAAAGACGUGUCGCUAAGUUAUGUAAUUUUUCGAGUUCAUUUGCAUUUUAUAUAAUUUAAUAGCACUUCACGCGCAACUUGGUCGCCGUGUUCCGUGCGCGAGAUGUUCGAUAUUUCAUGUGUGCUCCUGGAUAUGGCCUUAACAUACGCUACGUAAAGCGAAUAUCAAUUUUUGGACCGUCGAAUUCGGAAUUUCGAUACACCUGCAGUUCAAACCCGCGUUUAUCGUAGAAAUUCAAUUAAACCAAAUUAACUAAUGAUAUAUAAUAAAAAGAUUUUAAAAACUACCAAAACUAAAACAUAUACUAUUAAAUAAUGUGUAAUACAAAACAAAAAAGUUUGAAAACAAAUAUCAAAAAAAAAUAUUUGCCGAGCGCCAAAAGUCAGCGCUAGGCAAAGAGAUGCCUUUGCCGAGCGCCAAAAUUCAGCGCUAGGCAAAGAGAUGCCUUUGCCGAGCGCCAAACGUCAGUGCUAGGCAAAGAGAUGCCUUUGCCAAGCGCCUAACGGAGGGCGCUCGGCAAAGGGUGACGGCAGGUACCCCAUGUUACAUGUGUUAUCUCUUUGCCGAGUGCAAGCCUUUGCCGAGCGCUUGGCGCUUGGGAAAGAUGUUCUUUGCCAAGAGCGGGCCUUUGCCGAGCGUCUGGUGCUUGGCAAAGACGUUCUGUUGACACCGUUUUUGGGCACGUGUCUAGGAUAGCAGGAUAAGGUGGCAGUACGAUGUUUACAAGGUGAGUUGCCGUUGAGGAUGGUUGCCGAUGAAGGAGAAGUUGAACGUGACUAAGUUUACAGGCAGUGAUAUGACUGUGCCGAUGGCUGGAUAAGAAAGUCUGCCGAUGACUAUGGCAAAGGGUCUGCCGAUGAUGCAAAGAGGGAGUCCGGGAGCUGCCGGUCGUUGUGUGAAGGAGUUUCAGUUUGUCACGGGGGAUAGUUUUGUUAUUUCCCUAAUUAUUUACAUCGUUUUGUAUACGGAUUCCGUGUAGUUUGGAAUUCGAAUUCUAAUCGUGUCUGGUUGUAGCUCUUUGAGCAGGGUAUAAAUGUAGACCCUAGGGCCUUGUAAUGAGAUAUCUAUCAAUCAAUCAAACAUACGUUUUUACUCAUAUUCCAGCAUCUACUUUUUCGACGACUUCGUCAUACUUUUUCCUUUUUACUACGAGUUCUUAGGAAUUCGUCGACUUAAGCUCGGCGUGUUCUCAAGUUCCGCGUGAGUACCUCUUAGCCGUGACAUCCGGGCGCAUCGCUGUUGUCAGGACUAAAGUAUUCGAGUUAUCACCUUUGCCGAUAGUAAGAUCAAAUCGGCUGGCACGCCUUAACGUUUGAAUCGGGUAUUAGCCCUUUGUGUUUGCAGAUCAGUUUUGCAUCAACACAUCUUUUGGCACGCCUGGUGGGACAGAUUCAAGAUCAAAAUCAACAUGUCGAUCUCUGACCUCGAUCAAGAGGACGUCAUCCCCGUGACGGAGGCCAAUCUCAAGGAUGAGCAGAAGCAAGCUAUUGCCCAAGCUAUGGAAGAGUUCAAACAGCAAUGCCUGUGGUCUUUCAGUAUAAACAGGAGCGGCAAAGUGGUCCAGAAAGACGCACUGCCGGCACCACGGCAGGUUACCUUCGACGCCAAUCCUGGCAAGCUUCAAGAUAUGGUUGACAAUGCUAUUAACCAAGCUUUGAUCAACCAAGCUGGUGUACUGUCUAAUACGGUUUUCAAUGCCGUGGCAAGAACUUUCAAGGAAGGACAAAUCCCACCAGAUUAUGUGGGCCCCUCUCAUCAUCAGCCAACGGCACCAGAGGUCACGGCUCCAUCGGAUGCUUUGACGGCUGCAAGUGCACAAUCUGCCGUCCCUCCAAGUACAUCGGGAGCUACUGGUGCACUAUCUAUGCCGAUGACAACCAACCCACAGACUUCAAUUGGGCAGCAUAAACUGACAACAGAUAUGUUGGCAUCAGCAAUGUCAGGGUUGACUCCUCCUCCCAACUGGUGGGGUUACGGUAUGCCUCCAGAGUUGACACCAGGAACAUCACAAAUAACUGACAUGAGGGGCAAGACUCCUAUGACAUCGGCGCCUCCCAAUGCGCCGGUGAACCAGAGUCCUCGGUAUACCACAACUACCACCGCAAGGCCUCACACUGGAAAUCCUCAAGAUUCAAUGUUCCAAAUACCUAAUGCAUCGGCAGAUUCAAUGCUGAUGCAACAGAGGUCUAUGGCACAGUCGGGGUAUGUCAAUUCAAUGAUGAUACCCAAUUACCAAUCAUCGGCAGCACCUAUACCGAUGAACCCUAAUAAUGGAUGGCUUGGACAGCAAGUCUUUCCACAAUCGCCCCAGCAGAGUUAUUAGACUACAGGGUUCCAGCAAGGACAGGUCUAUCCCGGGUUCCAAGGUCAGGGGAUUCCCAACCAGCCAAUGAAUUUCGGACAGCAACUCGGGGGACAGCAAAUCGGUGGACAGCAGUUUGGUGGUCCGCAGAUUGGAGGGCCGGUGAUCAAUCCAAUGUUCCGUGCAGAUCACGUCCCGAACAGACACGUGGAGGUUCGCCAUCAAGUACCAGAUCCGCAGCCACCUCAUCGGCAGGAUGCCGAUGCAUAUUGGGCCGAUAAGAUCGCUGAAGUAAUGAGGGAACAAUUUGGGAUAAAACCCAAAGUCAACACUUAUUCUUAUCGGACACCGUAUCCUCCCGCGUAUGAUUUGAUCCCGCUUCCACAUCAGUACAAGGUACCGGAUUUUACCAAGUUUUCCGAGCAGGACGACACGUCAACCAUGGAGCAUGUCAACCGGUUCAUCAUUCAAUGUGGAGAGGCUGGUAACAGGGACGAGUUGAGGGUUCGUCUAUUUUCAUCAUCAUUGUCUGGAUCGGCCUUUACUUGGUUCAUAUCAUUACCUCCCAACUCAGUAAUUACUUGGGCCGAUCUGGAGAAACAAUUCCACAAAUACUUCUUUUCGGGGGUUCAUGAGAAGAAGAUCACCGACUUGGUCAAGUUGAGGCAACGUAAUGAUGAGUCGGUUGAGGGUUUUGUGCAGAGGAUACGAGAGGUCAAGAAUAAAUGCUAUAGCUUGGUUCUGGAUGAUCGGCAGCUAGCCGAUUUGGCUUUCCAGGGUUUGUUGCCACAUAUCAGGGAUAAGUAUGCCUCUCAGGAGUUCGAAAGUUUAAGUCAUUUGGUGCAGAGGAUUUCUGAUCAAGACAUUAAGCCUUUCGAGCCCAAAAGAGCAUGGAAUAAGAAAGUGUCAUUUGUCGAUGAAGCAACAAGCUCAGAUUCUGAUGAAGAACCAGUAAUCGGCUUGGCAGAGUGGGUAAAAAACAAGAAGCCGAUGUCUUGUCCUUUUGGGCAGAAGGAACCAGAGAAGUUUGCUUUUGACACCGCUAAGGCCGAUAGGAUAUUUGACUUUCUACUUCAGGAAGGCCAGAUCAAAGUGUCACCUAAUCAUGUGAUCCCGUCGGCAGAAGAGUUGAAGAGGAUGAGAUAUUGCAAGUGGCAUAAUGCAACUUCCCAUGACACCAAUGAGUGCAAGGUAUUCAGACAGCAGCUACAAUCGGCUAUAGAGUCUGGGAGAAUCAAGUUUGACAGUUCCAAGGCUCAGAAGCCAAUGAAGAUAGACCAACAUCCUUUCCCGACAAACAUGUUGGAUGCCAAGGGGAAGGCUAAGGUCUUAACAUCGGAGACAGCUGAGAAGAGUGCAUCGGUAGAUCCUCAGCAUCAAGUUACUACUGCCGAUGCAAGAAGUAAGGGCUUGGUCCAGGAAGGAACUAGCUCAGGGAGGCCUCCUCGGUCUGGUAUUGUCAUAACUCAUAGAAGGCCUCGAGAAAAUUGGCAACAACGGGAGGAUCGGUAUCGGCGCCAGCAAGAAGAUUAUCAACGGGAAGAAGAAAGACGCCGACAGGAGUGGAAUCGGCACAGAGAUCAUUGGAAUUGUCCGUUCUUCAUCCAUUGUUGGGAGGAAAAUAUCAAGCUACCUACUGUCAGAGACUGCCCUGAGUGCAACGGUUAUGAUCGGUACGAUAGGACCGAUCGGCGUUAUCAUGAUGAUGAUCGGCGAUUUAAUGGGCCAAUCAGAGGAAGGGCGUCAGUUCAUGAUCGGCUUGGGGGCAGGCUUAGCGUGCACGAUAGGCUUGGUGACCGUGUCCAGUAUUUUCCCAGGAACCAGGAAGAGCUCGAGGACAUGGCUAAUGCGCGGGUUCCCGAUGAGUUCAUAUUUUGCAGAGAUGCUAACACGCAUCGUAUGGAGUCAAGGGAGAACCGACGCCCGGCAGCAAGGCAAAAGCCACUUCCCCCAUGGUGUCCUGAAGGAUUAACCAAGACACAGAAAAGGAGAUUGCAGCGUGAAAGGCAAGAGGAGCUAAGCAAGGGCGAGAACUCUGGAAGUCAGCAGCCAUCAGACGCUAAGAGGGAAGGUCCAUCGGCAGGGGUCAACAUGGUCUUUAUGUUGCCGAUGGAGUUUCUUGCACCAUCCAGUGAUGAUGAGUUGGAAUUUUCUGAUCAGAUAGCUCAGCUGGCUCUGGAUCCGAUGACGGCUAUCUUUGAGAAACCUGCCGAUGACGAAAGACAGCAUCUCAAAGCUCUGUUUGUCAAAGGGAGGGUUGAUGGGCAGCCAAUGACCAAGAUCCUAGUUGAUGGAGGAGCUGCUAUUAAUAUCAUGCCGUAUGCAGUAUAUCGGAAGCUUGGGAAAGGGGAUCAGGAUUUGACCAAGACCGAUAUGAUGCUCAAAGACUUUGAAGGAAACGUGUCUCCGGUUAAGGGGGCAAUAUGUGUGGAGUUGACCAUCGGCAGCAAAACCUUGCCGACAACUUUCUUCGUGAUCGGUGGAAAGGGUGCUUACAAUUUAUUGUUGGGAAGAGAUUGGAUUCAUGCCAAUUGUUGCAUCCCAUCUACAAUGCACCAAUGCUUGGUUCAGUGGGUAGGUGACAAGAUUGAGAUUGUCCCAGGAGAUUCUUCUUAUGUUAUCGCAUCGGCAGAGGCGGACACCUAUGAAAGGACUAGGUGCAUUUCAGGGGAAGCUUGGGAGAAAGAUUUUCUCAAAGUUGCCGAUUACGAGAUUCUACCGAUCCAAGCAGUCGGUUCUGACGACGGUUUUUAAUGGAUAGAUUCGCCGAUGAUGGAAAAUUAGGCCAGGGAUUCACAUCGGCCGAUGAUUUGGUAGAAGUAGAUAUAGGUAGUGGUGAUAAGCCUAGGCCUACUUUUAUUAGUGCUAAAUUAGAUCCUGAGUGUAAGCAACAAUUGACUAGUUUGUUAAAGGAAUAUAAAGAUUGCUUUGCUUGGGAUUAUACUGAAAUGCCUGGUUUGGACCGAUCAAUUGUUGAACAUCGGUUACCCAUCAAGUCUGGAUUUCGGCCACAUCAGCAACCAGCUCGCCGAUGUAAUCCUAACAUUCUACCUGAUAUUAAGGCCGAAAUCACCAAACUUAUUGAAGCUAAGUUUAUUCGGCAGUGUCGGUAUGCCGAGUGGAUUUCCAAUGUUGUUCCGGUAUACAAGAAGAACGGGAAGCUUCGAGUGUGCAUUGAUUUCAGGAAUCUCAAUAAAGCCACGCCGAUGGAUGGAUACCCAAUGCCUGUCGCCGAUCUGCUGGUUGAUGCUGCGGCUGGUCAUCGGGUCAUUAGCUUUAUGGAUGGUAAUGCAGGAUACAAUCAAAUAUUCAUGGCAGAGGAGGAUAUUCCAAAAACCGCAUUCAGGUGUCCUGGUCACGUGGGGUUAUUUGAAUGGAUAGUCAUGACCUUUGGGUUGAAGAAUGCUGGUGCUACUUAUCAAAGGGCUAUGAAUUUUAUAUUUCAUGAGUUCAUCGGCAAGCUCGUAGAGAUUUAUAUUGAUGAUGUGGUGGUCAUGUCUGGAGAUUUCUCAAAGCAUCUUGCCGAUUUACAGAAAGUGUUAGAGUGCACAAGGAAGCAUGGAUUGAAGAUGAAUCCCAAUAAGUGUGCAUUUGGUGUAUCGGCAGGGCAGUUUCUUGGUUUCAUGGUACAUCAAAGGGGUAUUGAAAUUAGUCGAAGAUCCAUUGAUGCCAUCAAUAGAAUAGUGGCCCCUACCAACAAGACCGAACUCCAGUCCUUGAUCGGCAAGGUAAAUUUUAUCAGGAGAUUUAUAUCUAAUCUGUCUGGUAAGAUUCGUGCUUUCAGCCCUCUUCUUAAAUUGAAAGCCGAUCAAGAGUUUAUUUGGGGAGAAGAACAGCAGUUGGCUUUGGAUGAGAUCAAGAAGUAUCUAGUAAAUCCUCCAGUUCUAGUUCCACCUCAACAAGGAAAGCCCUUCAGAUUGUAUUUGUCUACCGAUGGAUCGGUUAUCGGUUCAGCUUUAGUCCAAGAAUUUGAAGGGAAAGAAAGGGUAAUUUAUUACUUGAAUAGGAGGUUGAUUGAUGCUGAAACCAGGUAUUCGGCCAUUGAGAAACUAUGCCUGUGCUUAUAUUUUUCAUGUAUCAAGCUGAGACAUUACCUGUUAUCGGCCGAAUGCACUGUUGUUUGCAAAGAUGACGUGGUCCGGUACAUGCUAUCUAUGCCGAUUAUGAGUGGUAGGAUCGGUAAAUGGAUUUUAGCGCUGUCGGAGUUCGAUUUGCGUUACGAAUCGGCUAAGGCAGUCAAAGGGCAGAUUAUGGCCGAUUUUGUGACUCAGCAUUGCGGUAUAGUGGAAACCUUGGAAAUUGUACCCUGGACGCUCUUCUUUGAUGGAUCUACCUGUGACCGGGGGGCAGGAAUCGGCAUUGUAUUAGUUUCCCCUAAGGGGAGGAAGUAUGAGUUUUCCUUGCCGAUUGUUGCCACAUCAACAAAUAAUCAGGCUGAGUAUCAGGCUCUGAUCAAGGGAUUGGAGUUGUUAAGAGAAGUUCGUGCUGAUGCUGUUGAAAUAUUCGGGGAUUCUAUGUUGGUUAUAAAUCAAUUGGCCGGGAGCUAUGAAUGCCGAAGUGAAGUUCUCAUAACUUAUUUCGAGAGAAGUAUGCAACUGUUAAAGGAAUUCAAGAAUUUCCGAUUAGAGCAUGUUCCCCGAUUGCAUAAUGAAGACGCCAAUCGGUUAGCUCAGCAUGCCUCGGGAUAUCAGCCAAUGAUUAAUGCAAUAUCGGCAGUCGGUACCGAUGAUUGGAGGAAAGAAAUUAUUGAUUAUCUAAAAGAUCCAUCCAAAAAGGUUGAAAGACGGGUUCGAUUUCAAGCAACCAAGUAUGUGCUCCUUGAAAAUGAAUUGUAUUAUCGAACUAUCGACGGAAUUCUUCUCCGAUGCUUGGGUGAUGAUGAAGCUAGAAGUUUGAUGGGGGAAAUCCAUGAAGGAGUGUGUGGAGCGCAUCAGUCGGCUUUUAAAAUGAAAUGGAUGAUUCGAAGGAAUGGAUAUUUUUGGCCGACCAUACUUGAGGAUUGUUUUAAAUAUUUCAAGGGAUGUCAAGAUUGUCAAAGGUUUGGUAAUAUUCAGAGAGCACCCGCAUCGGCUAUGAAUCCUAUAAUAAAGCCUUGGCCGUUCCGGGGAUGGGCUAUCGAUCUGAUCGGCCAGAUUUAUCCACCAUCUAGCAAAGGGCAUAAGUUCAUUCUAGUUGCCACUGAUUAUUUCACUAAGUGGGUUGAAGCUAUUCCUUUGAAGAAAGUCACAUCGGCCAAUAUGAUUGAUUUUGUGAAGGAACAUAUUAUUUACCGAUUUGGGAUCCCUCAAACAAUUACUACCGAUCAGGGCACUAUGUUCACAUCGGGGGAGUUCGAUGAAUUCGCAAUCGGUAUGGGGAUUAAAGUGUUGAAUUCUUCUCCUUAUUAUGCUCAAGCCAAUGGGCAGGCCGAAGCAUCUAACAAAGGAAUUAUCAAGCUUAUUAAACAAAAGAUUGAAGAAAAUCCUAAGCGAUGGCAUACAUUAUUAAAUGAAGCAUUGUGGUCUUAUCGGAUGGCUUGUCAUGGAUCAACCAAGGUGUCACCCUAUCAAUUGGUGUAUGGACAUGAUGCGGUGUUGCCUUGGGAAAUUAGGGCUGGAUCUAGGCGAUUAUCUUUUCAAGAUCAAUUAACUGCCGACGAUUAUGCCACUUUGAUGACCGAUGAAUUGGAUGAUCUAGCAGGGCAUCGGUUAAAAGCUUUAAUGAGUAUAGAAGAAAAUAAGAAGAGAGUUGCUAGAUGGUAUGAUAAGAAAGUGAAGGCUAAAGAGUUUGUCGAUGGGGAUUUGGUAUGGAAAUUAAUUUUACCAAUUGGGACUAAAAGUUUGAAGUUUGGAAAGUGGUCUCCUAAUUGGGAGGGUCCUUAUCGGAUAAGUCGAUCGGCUCCUGGUAAUGCCUACAUUCUAGAAACCCUCGAAGGAGUUGAAUUUCCCAGAGCAUUAAACAGCAAAUAUUUAAAGAAGUACUACCCCAGUAUAUGGGUCGAUGCAUAGAAGUUUAGAUGCCGAUAACACUCCUAUCGGCUGGAUCCAAAUGUUUGGGGACAAGACUUGGUGUUUCAAAAGUUUAGGUGCCGAUAACAGUCCUAUCGACUAGACUAAAAGCUGAGGAAGCAGGAAAGCGCAGAUAUAAUGCCGAUGGAAACUCUAUGUGUUAAGCAGCGUCUGGAUUGCCGAUAUAGCGCGUAGCCGAAUUUGGUUGGCCGCUUCUAUCUCCUUGAUGUCAUCAUCGGCAGAACCUUCUAUCGGCUUCAGCUUCUUCUUCAGUUGAAGUGCCUUGCGACCAUGAGCAUUUCGCUCGUGCUCAAGAAGCCUGAUGGUCUCUGGCAAUUGGCUCUCUUCCUGUUGGGCUUGGGAUAGGGCGUUCUCCACUUCCUUGAGCUCUGCCAACAGGGAUUCUCUUCUUGCCGAUAGAUCGGAUAUCUUCUGCUUCAGCGCAUCUCCAGAAGAUCUCAGAAUACCGAUGUUUUUGUGCUUCUCAUCGGUCAAAAGCUUCUCUUUCCUCAUUUCAUCGGAGAGUUGAGUCUGAGCGGCUCUGUCGGUAAGACGCCGAGUAGCUCUUUGGUACUGCAGCUGGCGACUCUCCAAAUGAGCGGCUUGGAACAGGAUUUCUUCAACGUCGGCUGAGAUUUGGCCUCUGAGAGUUCUAAACAGGGUCUUGGUAGAGUCGGAGUCAUCAACCAAUUGCGCUGUGUCCUGGUGAAGGAGAGCUGACAAUUCUUCCAGUCUGACCCUGAUCUCUGCCGAUGUAAUACCAACUGUCUGAGAAGAGCUUGCUUCUUCGCCUUCUUCUUCAGAGAGAUCGAUGGCAAAGGAGAACAGGCUAUCGGGAGAAUCUUGUUCCUGGGAAGGAAAGCAAAGUUAGCUCAUAUUCAGAAAAUCGGCAAAUAAUGCUGACGGUAAACGGUGACUUACUUGCUUCAAGGCGAUCUCUUGCCUUUGACUGGGAGGUGCUGACGGAGCUACAGGCCGAUCGGCCAAAGGUGUCGAUGGAUCUACAGGUUGAUCGGCUGAGGUUGCCGAUGGAACGAUAUCAACUGAAAGAAGACAGGAGGAGUUAUGAGACUAAGUGAGAAUAAGUUCAUCGGCAACGGUAUUGUUAAAGUAAGUUACCUGGAGGAGGAACAACGGUUGUCUGAAUCGGGAGAACCGCCGAUGGUAUAAUUGGGCCCACCGGGCCAGUUGUUUCUUCACCCACAUCAGCUGAUGUACCUUCUGUUUGAGGCUCUUCCUGCUGGGGUCCUUCUAUCUGUGGUGCUUCCUGCAUAGGUGGGGGAGAUGGUGCUUGCUGUGGCUGGGCUUCUGGAGAAGAAGGAGAAGACUCCACCGGAAUUGGAGACACCGGAGGAGGAGGGGGAGUUGCUACCUUCUGGCGCUUUGUUCCAGUCUUAGCGCCUGUGGUGCCCUUUCUCUUUGGUUGGCUAGACUGGGGGGCAUCGGCACUUUCACGCUUGGCUUUUGCCGAUGCACCGGUUUGCUGCAAUAACGAACAAGAGUUUAUAAGCAUAAAUAUAACCGAUAUAAAGAUAGUCAGCAUAAAAGAAAAAGAUUUGACAAAUUGCCUUGAAAACCCGCGCCAGAGUGGGAGCAGCUACCGUUGGUGAUGUUUGGGUUCUCCUGGUGGUGACUUUCCUGAGGCGUACACCCCGAUGCACGAUGGAAGCUAGAGUGGGAGCAUUGUGGCCGAUUGAGGAAAUCGGGCCUGAUGGAAACAAGUCGAUCGGCCUGCCACUCCUGCUAACCAAAGGAGGGAUGUUGUCAACCUGCAAAAGGAAUGCAAGGGUAAGCUGCCGAUGGAAGUAAUAUUGAGAAAAUGAAACAUCGGUUUGAGUUACUUACAGUGUCAUCGGGAACUUCGUAUUCGGAGUCGAUCAUGCCGCGGUAUGAAAGGGCCGAUCUGCAGAAUAGAUGCUCUUUCCAUUCUGCCCACCAUAACUUGUAUGCCUGAGUGAUAAAAGCAGCCGGAACCCAUUCUGACAGAUCUACAUCUGUAUCGGCGUUUGGUGGUAGUUGGGCUACUCGAAUCCACUCAAGAAGGUUGUUGAUGGUUUCUCUGGGUUUUAUUACAUCGGCAUAAGGAAGUGCAAUCGGCAACUGGCCGAAAGCUAACUGGCGAGCUAAUGCCGAUGGAUUGUAAAAUUCAUAAGUCUGAGGAGAGGUUUUUGUGCUACCAAAGAAAUUCACUGGAAUGAUUCUGGGAGUCACAAUUGCCAUCAUCGCCUCAUUGUCCCUGUCGAGAGCUUCAUCAAAUGGAUUGAAGGUCAGAGGGAACAUGCUAUCUGGGUCAUCAUAAGCCAACCAUGGUCGUUCGUCUUUGGCCAAACCCUCAUACAGAGUCUGGAAGAAUCGGCCGAUUUGAUCCGAAUUACUCCCUGAACCAGGUAGAACUAUGACAGCUUCGCCAAAGUUCAAGGGGGCACGCGUUGCCGAUUCCUCUUCACCCAACACAUGGUUUUCGGCUAUAUCUCUUAGGAAGUGCUGUGUGAACAAGUUGAAAUCAAGGCGCUUAUGCAGGUGCAGAUUGAGCCACAUAUUAAUAAACCACCAAGGGCCUCCCAAGUUGCCGAUGGACUGGCCAAGCAGGAGUUUCUGGGCUACCUGAUGGAGAAGGUGGUAAACAGCGCCAAGCAAGUAUCGGCCGAGAGGAAAUUGACCACCGUUAGCCAGUCUCUCUACUGCCGAUAGAUAGACAGAAGUCGGUCCUGCCGAUCGACCACAGAACACAAACUUGUCCAGCCACAUGUUCAGAAAGGUGGUUUGUUCCUUUAUGGUGACAGAUCCUUUCCCACGGUACUUCUGAAUGUACCCUGACCAACCGCCGAUAGCGCGAGUCUCCACUUUGGCACUAGGGGCAGUAUCAAAAAAGUGGGUGCUAUCGGCAGAAGAUAUAUCUAGACCAGUAAGCAUGGCUACAUCGGCAAGGGUAGGAGAAGCAGGGCCGUGGCCAAAGGCAAAAGCAUUGAGGGUGUCUGACCAAAAGUAGGAUGAAGCUAUCAGCAGUGACUCGUUCCUAUGCAUAUCGGCAAUGGAAAACCUAAUGCAUUGGGCUAGUUUCCUUUCGCCCCACUGGACUUCAUAAGAAUUGCUGACUCUCAAGAACCAGUCUUUCCACCCUACGGUAGGGCUAGGCCAAGAGCGGAAGGUAUCUUUCCACAGAUCUAAAGAAAAAUUUUCAGUUCUGAAGGGGAUCCUGUUGGUUUCUGCAUUAAUAAGGUCGGUUGGAUCUGGAUCUCCUAGAGGGCCGAGACAUUGGAGGUGUGGUUGAUCAGUGGGGAUGGCAAUUUUAUCGGACAAUUCCUAGUGAUUUUUGGGAAUAAAAUGAAAUCCAAAGAGAAAAGAAAAGGAAGAUAUUCAGUAAAAUGAAUUGCGAAUGAAUAGGGAUAUGAAGAAAAAUACAGGAGACGGGGUGGAGAUUUAACCUCAGGGACGACGAAACCAACGGCCAUCUUGCUGCGAAGAAAGCGUUUGGGGGCGCCGGAGUUGAUGAGGAGGAGUACUUGUUGGAGAUUUUGGGAGUUUUAGAUGGCGCUGCCGCUGGAAAAGUAAAGUUGGGUAGUAGAAUGAUGUGAUGGGGAAGGAGUACCCGAGAAGGGACUAUUUAUAGGACAAAAUGGGCAAGGGCAAAUCUGACUUAUCUCUUUGCCGCAUCCGAGAAAUCCGAGGGUACUCAGGUGGAUAUGGUAACUGUUCGCACGAUAAUCCAGGGAUUGUGCAGGUGAUUGUUGACACUUCUUAACGCAACCACCGGAUAUCGGCGACGGCGCCAGAAGUGCCCUGGUAGGGUAACUCUAUUUACUAUUGGAUAAUUCCGCAAGCGCACAGAAUGUACCGCUGUAGCACUUCACCAAGGAGUAUUCCAAGGUAUCGUAAUUUAUAUUUUCCCAAGGGAAAGCGGCUAAGUGUGUUUAACAAAAAGGGGAAUGAGAUUCCUUGAGUUAUCUAGUAUCAACUAGUGAAUAAGGGUGGUAAAUAACGAAUAGGAAGGGUAGUGGUGAAUCCAAGGUCCUAUGCUAAAGGUAAAUGGUAGAGUUAGCUAGGUGGGAGGACAACGAGUGAGUAAAGGACUCCUAUGUAUCUAACUUGACUUCUGUGACUUACUUUAAUAGAUAAUUGUCUUAACUACGCUAGAGCCUUACUAACUGUGUGCGAGGGAUAGCCGAGCUGGUAAGACGCUUAGAAGGUUUUUCACCUAACCCCUUACCGAAAGCGACUAUUGGGCUUAUGGACGCCUUACCUUUUAAGAACUAGCCUGUACGUGAGGAGAACCUAAUGCCGCCCACGAUCUGUCACCUACUAGGGAGUGCGCUCCUACUUUCCGUUCAAGCCAGCGGUAAUCAAAGGUAAUCUUAAGUAUGAGCACCACGCUCACACUUAAUCCUACAACGCUAACUAGUUGCAGCUAGCUAGAGCUCCUAUACAAGAUAGGACGAUGAUGCACACACAGGAGUGGUUACAGGUCACUAACUUCACUAAGACAACUAUAUUACUAAAGUAAAUGCACAACAAGACUAAAAGACUUGCACUAAGUAAGAACUCAGUAAAGUAAAGUAAGAAUAAUAUAUUAAUAAAAGGAAAGUCUUACAAAAGUAGAAAGGUACAAGAGCUAUACCAGACUCUCCAGAAGACGACUCCGGAGACCCCGAGCUUCGCUCGACUCGACUCUAACUCCCACUCUAGACUAACUACUACUCUACUUGUAUGCUUGGAACUUGUAAUGCACUUGGCCUUGGAAUUGCACACUUGAAAUGAAGGAUGGAGGCUGCCUUUUAUAGAGGGAGAUGGAGUAGGGGUUACUCCAUCGCCACGUCAUCGAUCCGCGUGACAUCUUCUCUCCACCCUUGGAUCAAACCGACCUCACAACCGCCAUUUGAUCAACGGCAGGGGCAAAUCAACAUGUGGGACAUGUGGGGAAGGUCGGUGGGAGGCCACCGACCCUGGAACCGCCUUUGAUGUGGGGUCGGGCGACCCCACUUCUGGGCCUCUGGGCCCACCAGCAGUGUCCACAGGGGUCCCUUAUGUCGGUGGACUAGGUGGCACACCUGGGUCCCACCAAAGAGGGGUCGGGCGACCCCCUCCCUGUGGGCCCAGGGUGCCACCUGUUGUCCCCUCGAUCUCCUCUUGAUGAUUCUGAUGUUGGCUUUGUCAAAUAAUGUCUUGAAUUUGUUGUUCCUGCAUAAACAAGCUAAGAGUACAAGUGGAACUAGUUAUGGAUAAAAUAUGUUCAUGUCAUGUCGUUUCCCCUUGCAACCGAGGCAUGUUGACGGUGUUUUGUAUGUGGAUUUCUAUGGUAUAUCCACCGUCAACAAGAUCCCCCAAGCUUAACCUUUGCUCGUCCCGAGCAAACAAUCAAACUUAGCCUCGGUGGAUCAGGUAUUGUUACUAUGUUCACAUUUCAAGAGUACCAUGUGUACAACAAAGUUCUUCUCUUUGCAUGAAAAAUUUAGCUAUGUAAACUUACCCCUAUUACCUUAGUCCCUUAUGGGGCUUAUGGCUUUUCCUUUGUCUUAGGUGGUUGAGAGACAGAACAGUUUGACUUGAGCACUAACUUUCUCAUUCUUAGCAAGUUUCAUAUCAGAGGUUUUGUGAUAUUUUCAAAAGAAAGCUUAAAUGUUCCUCUUAUGGUUCUCUCAUGUCACUCAAAUGGUGUAUGAUUCCUCACCAAGGCAUAUGGUAAGAGUUGCCUUCUCUAUUUCAUCCUAUUUCUAAAAGGCUUAUGUGGAGUUCAAGGUAGGGAUGAAAGGAGAUAGCAUACUUACUUUGCAUGUAUUGCGAAGUCAAAGCUCGGAUCCUUGAAGAGAAGUGUCAUACUCCCAGAUCAAGAUGUGCAAGUGUGAUAUAUGGUGGACUAGGUUGUUCCUUUAUUUGAUAGACUCUCUAUGUAUUGAGACAUGGCUAGCAUUUUUUUCUUCUUUUUUUUUGUUUAUAUAUGAGCUUUCAUGUGCUCAAUUUUCUUUUUCUGUGGACUUGCACAUGUCCAUCUUUUUAUUUCAUUUUGCCUAGCCUUUUGAUGUCUCAUUUACCAAAUAAUGCUUAGAGAGAUGUUCUAACAUUUAGAGUAUGGAGCAACCUAUUUAGUGGAUGCGAAAUACAUGUGGUUGCGUACUUCCAGUGUAGAAGCAGCAUAUAUAUAUGUGGUGUGUACGUGAUCUUGAUCUUAGGAGCAUGAAAAGUCUCUUAACAAGGGUCAACAAGACUUGACGACACUCAACACAAAGCAAAUAGCUUAUGUGGAAAGGUUGCAAUUAUGUAAAGUAGAUAUGGCUGUGGUAGGAAUUCAUCACCAUUGAGGAACAAUUAAGGUUUUGAUCAUUUUAAGAAUAAAUCUCUGAUAAUCAUGCAUGCUUAGAAAAAUAUUAUAGUAGCUCUUGUCUUACUAUCUCAUGUCCCACAACAACUUAGACUUAGUUCUAGCACUUGCAACCCACAAAGUUUUUAGGUUCAUGGCAGUUUAAGUGAGCUAAGUGAUCCAUACUUAGAGAAAUACUAAGUUGUAUACUAGGCACUAGAGAAACAUUAACAAGCAACUAGUCAUAAUUUCCAUGAGGGAUAUAAACAUGCAUGAAGCAUAUAUGCUAAAGGGAAAUGCUAAUAAAUAUUUAUUUUUUUUUUAAGUAAGAAUGAUAAAAUGCAUGAAAAUAAAUAGGAUAGAAUACUUACCUUAGUGGGGGAGAGGAUCUCCCCCAAGCUAGAUCUUCGCUCACUAUGGUGGCGGGAAAUUUUGGUACCAUCCAGCCCAGCGUUGUGCGUCUUCCUCUCGCACACGUCGGAUAUGUUGGCCGUUUUGUAACGCCAGUUGCAAUGUUGCUUCUUGCCCAAUCUGCAAUUCGCCCAUGUCAUUAAUGAGACUGUCCAUACCUGUGGGCUGGUGACGCCUAGCCCUGUCCCUUGGGCGUGGAGUGCGUUGUGGAGGUAGACCCAUGGAGUCUGAAGCAUCCACUGACAUCGCUUCAUCGCCCUCUUCAACGUCAUGGUGCGAGGAUCCUCCUUGCUCCAUCUGGGCGGCUUGCAUCAUCCUUCUUGUCACCCUGCGUGUCCCUGCAACAUCUGGACUUGCCACUCGGGCUAGUCUAAUGGUAAGUGUGCGGACCCCAUACAACCGGCGCCUCGCACAUGGGAGAGGAAUUUCGGUUGUAUAGCCCGGAUAAAUCAUUUUAAGUUCACCAUUUGGAUCUCUUAUGAGCAUGUUAGCAUUGAUAAAGAAGUUCUCAUCUACCACUCCUCUAACAUAGCCAAUGUCUUCAAAAUAAUGUGAUUCAAGUAAUCCAAAAGUAUCGGCUAUUCGAGUAAUAAAGGAUGUGAAAUAGAUGGGCUUCCCAUACUCAAUAGAGUUAAGCCAAUAGUUCACUAGCAGUUUCACAGGGGAGACCUUGAUUUUACUAACCAUGGCAUAGAGAAUUUUAAGUUCAUCAUCAAUUAAAGUAUCAGUUCCCAUGCCAGGAUAUAGAGUGCACAUGAUCCAGAAGUGAAGAAAGCGCAAGGUUGGAUUAUGGAUUUCAAUGGGAGUAGGAUUUGAACAAUCAUUAGAGCCAGAAAUUGCUUUCCAGAAUCUAAAUUUAUCGAACAUUCUAGUGGCAUGAUCUAGAUCAAGUUCACAUUCAUGUUCACACCCUAAAGCAGUGUUUAGCAAACUCCAAUUUAAUUGAUGUUCUUGCUCACACAUGCGAAAAGAUAUUCCAUUAUUUGUGAGUUUUAGGGUGCAUAGAAAUUCCUUAGCAAGCAAUUCUUUUCCAAAUUCAGGCACUUGCCAAAAACUACUCCAACCAAUUGCUCUAAACACCUUAUCGAAUUCAACAUCCAUACCUCUGCGGGCCAAAAGGUCCGGAUCGAUGAUGCUAGUGUGUAGGAAGAGACCCUCUCGGAUGAUGUAGUACCUUUGCAACUCUUCUUGGCUUAACAUGAGGCCGCUCUCGGGCUCUCUCAUCCUUGAUGGAGGCUCGUAGGGUACCAUCCCAUGGUAACCUUCUUCUUCCUCCCUUCCAUGAGCAUGGUGAGAGCCUUGAGAAGAGCUCUCACCCUUUGCUUUCUUGAACUUGCCAAAGAUAUGCUUCUUCAUCCUCCUACACAAGUGAGGCAAACCAAGCUCCUACUACUACUACUAUGCAAGGGGAAUCUUUUUGGGUUUUUGUUUUGAUGACUAUUUCUAAACUAAACUUGAGAAAUGGCUUGUAACAAAGAGAGAAGAGAAAGGAUUGUGAGCUCGAAAUGGUUCUGGUGGUUUUGGGUGUGGAGUUGAGCUCACAAUGCUGUGGUAUUUAUAGGGGGAGAAGGGCAAGUAGUGGACCCACAAUAUAGGGGUCGGCCGCCCCCCCUAGAAGCACUUUGAAUUUGAGUUUAGCUUUAUACAGGGAACCAUUCUGCAUGCUUUCAAGAUUUUGCAGAGAUGGUCCAAAAUGGGGGUCGGCCGACCCCCAUCCUAGCCCCUCCUCCACUUUAAACAUUGUGUCAUUGAUUGUCCGGAAAAGUAAAGGCUAGGUGUGGACCAAAAGUUUUCAAAUUGUUUAUGAGAUUCCCUGUUUUAGUGCUUUGUGAAAGGUAAAAGAUGAAUGGCAAAAGUGGAGACAUGUCUAAAGUGAUUCCUAUGGACCAUGGGAGCACUCAAGCAUGCCUAGGUGACCACUUUGCAGAAUUUAAGCUAGUGGAGUGGUCCCAAAAGAAUCAAAGAUGAAAGGAGCAUCUUAUGACUAAAGUAAAGGAUCAAGGGACCACUCUUUUUCAAACUUUAGCUAGUGUUACAAGCAUAGGACUCCAUUGUGAUUCAAAUGGUGGCCAGCAGGAGGCAAGUGGGGCCAAUAUGGGGGUCGGCCGACCCCCACAUUGGAGCUCCCAGAGCAUCCAAGUGCUGGGUUGGAACCUCUAUGACUAGCAAGGUUGAAAUGCGGUGAAGUGGGCCCCAAGGUGGGGUCGGGCGACCCCCCUUUGGGAGCUCCAGCAGCUCAAAUUUUUAUGACAAGUUAUUCUCAAGAUUUUAUUUAUUAUGGCUAAACAUUUUGUCGAAAUAAGAUAUGCAAAAUUCAAAGUAAGAAUGCAAUUGAAAAGUGAAUAGUAGAAAUUGAAAUGCAGAAAAAUAAAUAUGGGAUAACUACUGAUUUACCUUAUCAGCAAGGGCUCCAUGUUUUAGGUCCGUAGAGCAGGACCUCUCCAUCUUGUUCAUCCUUCGGGUGCAUCAGAUGGUCCCGGAGAAGUGGACCUUGAUUGCACCUCUUUCUCCCGCCAUACUUGCUUGGUAUUGAUUUUUGGUUCAGCGGGUUCCUCUUCUUUCUUUUCGGCCCUUUUGGCCGACUUACCUCUCUUGUCCCUUCGGCGUCGGAUGUGGCGAGGCUUAGUCGGAGGUUCUUUGUCCUUCACCUGCAUGUUAGCUUUAUAACCAUUGAAUGGACAUUUUACCUUCCAUCCUGGGAAUUGGAGGUGAAUCUGGCCGGACCCCACAUAGAUGACUGCAUUGACCGUGUUGAGGAAUGGCCUUCCCAAGAUGAUCGAGACAUCAUUAUUGGAUCCCAUAUCUAGAAUGAUGAAGUCGGCAGGGACGUAGUCGUCUUGAACCUUUACCAGUAUGUCCCUUGCCAACCCCUCAGGGAACCUGAUCGUCUGAUCUGCCAUCUGCAAACGAACAAAUGUGGGGUGCAAAGGCCCCCCUAGCAAAUUAUCAUAAGUUACCUUGGCCAUGAUGUUGACACCCGAUCCAAGGUCGCAGAAGGCGUUGUGGAAGAUUUGCGGUCCGAUCUCACAGGUGAUGGUCGGCAGGCCUGGGUCGUCCUUCUUGGUGAUGAAGGGCGAAUCCAGAAGAUAGCUCCAGUUGGAUUGUACCGGAGGCUUACCGAACCUCGUAGUAACUAGUUUAACUCCUUCAAUUGGGUCCUCAGGUUUCCCUGGGAUCUUACCUUGCUCGAAGGAUGGGACAGCUGCUGCUAAUUGAGCUAAUUGUGUUUCUAGCAUUUUGUUAAAGCUCAACUAAUUUUUCAUAGCAGAGUUAAAGCUAUCCAACUUUUCACUUAAGUUUUCAAGGAUCUUAUCAUUAGCCAUCAUUUUCUUGUUAAUGCUAUCAUUGAUUUUAGAUUGGCCUAAGACAAGAUCUCUAAGAGAAGGUUGGUUACCAAAAGAAUUAUUGAAAUUUUGAUUGUAACCAUUACCUUGAUUACCUUGGUAGAAGGGGCGCGAGUUCCAUUGCUGUUGUUGGGGCCGGUACCCAUUGUUGUUGUUGUUGAUGAAGCUCACUUCCUCCUUUGUUUCGGGACAAUUGUUUCCCGAAUGAUCAUCUCCUCCGCACACUUCGCACCAUGAAUCAGAUUCAAUGGCCCGUGCAGUGGCGUAAGGUUGAAUGGUCUCUUGCUUGGAACUUUCUUCCAUCUUCUUCAUUAAGAGGUCCAUCUUAGCAGAGAGCAUGUCCACCUCAUUCAAGGCAUGGACACCUCUUCUCUUGGGUUGGAGGCGUUCCUCAUUCCAUCCUUGGUUUAUAACCAUCUUUUCAAUGAGGUCCUUGGCAUCCUUGACAUUGUGUUGCAAGAAUGCUCCUCCAGCGGCAGCAUCAAGGUGACUACGGGCCAAACCGGUCAGGCCAUGGUAGAAACCUUGGAUUAGGAGCCACUCCUCUAUCCCAUGAUGAGGACAGGCGCGAAUGUACUCCUCCAGACGUUCCCAUGCUUCGGGAAUCGUCUCAUCUGCUUGCUAUUGGAAGCUGGAAAUCUUUCCACGAAGGGCGCUGGUCUUGCCCAUCGGAAAGAACUUCUUGAGAAAUGCAUUGGCGCACCUCUCCCACGUGGUCACUUCACCCUUGUUGGCGUAGAACCAUUGCUUCGCCUUCCCCAAUAACGAGAAUGGGAAGAGGCGAAGACGGAUGGCGUCUGCGGCGACAUUCUUGAUGGUGAAGGUGCCGCACACCUCCAAGAAGUGUUGGAGAUGGGCAUUGGCAUCCUCGUGUGGCUUUCCACAUAAGGGAUUAGCUUGCACCAUAUUGAUAAGCGCAGGCUUCAACUCAAAAGUCGCAUCCCCCAAGUUAAGCUGCGGACCCGUGGCGACAUUGUCAGCCGACGGCGCAGAGUACUCAGAGAUGGUCUUCUGGGCCAUAGCUUCUUUGAUAACCGGUGCAAAAACUCCUUCCUCUAACGGAUUCAGGUUCGAGAUGAACCUUUGAGGUGGAACUUGACGACGUCUAGUUCUCCUCAACAGUUGCUCAGGAUCUUCAACGAAGUUUGACGGCAAUUGGAAACCGCUCAUACACUGUCAGGCUUCACAAUAAAGGAAGACAAGACAAGUGAUGGGUUAUCCCUAUCACAACUUGAUAACUAGCAAACUCUGGAUUCUCUUUUUGUUAAAACUCUUAGACAGACGCUUUCCCCGGCAACGGCGCCAGAAAUGCUUGUUGACACUUCUUAACGCAACCACCGGAUAUCGGCGACGGCGCCAGAAGUGCCCUGGUAGGGUAACUCUAUUUACUAUUGGAUAAUUCCGCAAGCGCACAGAAUGUACCGCUGUAGCACUUCACCAAGGAGUAUUCCAAGGUAUCGUAAUUUAUAUUUUCCCAAGGGAAAGCGGCUAAGUGUGUUUAACAAAAAGGGGAAUGAGAUUCCUUGAGUUAUCUAGUAUCAACUAGUGAAUAAGGGUGGUAAAUAACGAAUAGGAAGGGUAGUGGUGAAUCCAAGGUCCUAUGCUAAAGGUAAAUGGUAGAGUUAGCUAGGUGGGAGGACAACGAGUGAGUAAAGGACUCCUAUGUAUCUAACUUGACUUCUGUGACUUACUUUAAUAGAUAAUUGUCUUAACUACGCUAGAGCCUUACUAACUGUGUGCGAGGGAUAGCCGAGCUGGUAAGACGCUUAGAAGGUUUUUCACCUAACCCCUUACCGAAAGCGACUAUUGGGCUUAUGGACGCCUUACCUUUUAAGAACUAGCCUGUACGUGAGGAGAACCUAAUGCCGCCCACGAUCUGUCACCUACUAGGGAGUGCGCUCCUACUUUCCGUUCAAGCCAGCGGUAAUCAAAGGUAAUCUUAAGUAUGAGCACCAAGCUCACACUUAAUCCUACAACGCUAACUAGUUGCAGCUAGCUAGAGCUCCUAUACAAGAUAGGACGAUGAUGCACACACAGGAGUGGUUACAGGUCACUAACUUCACUAAGACAACUAUAUUACUAAAGUAAAUGCACAACAAGACUAAAAGACUUGCACUAAGUAAGAACUCAGUAAAGUAAAGUAAGAAUAAUAUAUUAAUAAAAGGAAAGUCUUACAAAAGUAGAAAGGUACAAGAGCUAUACCAGACUCUCCAGAAGACGACUCCGGAGACCCCGAGCUUCGCUCGACUCGACUCUAACUCCCACUCUAGACUAACUACUACUCUACUUGUAUGCUUGGAACUUGUAAUGCACUUGGCCUUGGAAUUGCACACUUGAAAUGAAGGAUGGAGGCUGCCUUUUAUAGAGGGAGAUGGAGUAGGGGUUACUCCAUCGCCACGUCAUCGAUCCGCGUGACAUCUUCUCUCCACCCUUGGAUCAAACCGACCUCACAACCGCCAUUUGAUCAACGGCAGGGGCAAAUCAACAUGUGGGACAUGUGGGGAAGGUCGGUGGGAGGCCACCGACCCUGGAACCGCCUUUGAUGUGGGGUCGGGCGACCCCACUUCUGGGCCUCUGGGCCCACCAGCAGUGUCCACAGGGGUCCCUUAUGUCGGUGGACUAGGUGGCACACCUGGGUCCCACCAAAGAGGGGUCGGGCGACCCCCUCCCUGUGGGCCCAGGGUGUCACCUGUUGUCCCCUCGAUCUCCUCUUGAUGAUUCUGAUGUUGGCUUUGUCAAAUAAUGUCUUGAAUUUGUUGUUCCUGCAUAAACAAGCUAACAGUACAAGUGGAACUAGUUAUGGAUAAAAUAUGUUCAUGUCAUGUCGUUUCCCCUUGCAACCGAGGCAUGUUGACGGUGUUUUGUAUGUGGAUUUCUAUGGUAUAUCCACCGUCAACAGUGAUUUGAUGGGAAGCGAUCAUUAUCUGAAGAUAUUUUACUGUGCAGGAUCUCCUGGUCGGUCCAUCGGCAGCGUUCUAUAACGGUCAUAUUGCCGAUGGGCGGAUAGAGGGGAAGUAACCGUUUGUGCGAAUAUCCUGGUCAGAACAUCGGUAGAUCUUUGUAACGGUAUUAUUGCCGAUGUACGGUUGAGAAGAAAUGCUCGUUUAGGAAGUUGGGGAUUUCGAGGAAUUCGCGGAGGAAUAGGAUCAGAGUUGUUCAGAUUGAGGUUGUCGGUUACCAGAUUAGGAGCAUUAAUUGCGGGAGAAGGCAUCAUUACUGCAGAGAAUUUCGGAGCAUUAAUAGUUUUAUACUCCGAAACUGGGGGGCAUGUGUUGACACCGUUUUUGGGCACGUGUCUAGGAUAGCAGGAUAAGGUGGCAGUACGAUGUUUACAAGGUGAGUUGCCGAUGAGGAUGGUUGCCGAUGAAGGAGAAGUUGAACGUGACUAAGUCUACAGGCAGUGAUAUGACUGUGCCGAUGGCUGGAUAAGAAAGUCUGCCGAUGACUAUGGCAAAGGGUCUGCCGAUAAUGCAAACAGGGAGUUCGGGAGCUGCCGGUCGUUGUGUGAAGGAGUUUCAGUUUGUCACGGGGGAUAGUUUUGUUAUUUCCCUAAUUAUUUACAUCGUUUUGUAUAUGGAUUCCGUGUAGUUUGGAAUUCGAAUUCUAAUCGUGUCUGGUUGUAGCUCUUUGAGCAGGGUAUAAAUGUAGACCCUAGGGCCUUGUAAUGAGAUAUCUAUCAAUCAAUCAAACAUACGUUUUUACUCAUAUUCCAGCAUCUACUUUUUCGACGACUUCGUCAUACUUUUUCCUUUUUACUACGAGUUCUUAGGAAUUCGUCGACUUAAGCUCGGCGUGUUCUCAAGUUCCGCGUGAGUACCUCUUAGCCGUGACAUCCGGGCGCAUCGCUGUUGUCAGGACUAAAGUAUUCGAGUUAUCACCUUUGCCGAUAGUAAGAUCAAAUCGGCUGGCACGCCUUAACGUUUGAAUCGGGUAUUAGCCCUUUGUGUUUGCAGAUCAGUUUUGCAUCAACACGUUCUUUGCUGAGCGUCUCCAUUUGCCGAGGGCACUACCCUCGGCAAAGAAAUCUUUGCCGAGCGCUGUCUUUGCCGAGGGCCUUGCGCUAGGCAAAGGUGGCCUUUGCCGAGCGCCCGAUGAAUAGCGCUCGGCAAAUAACCAGGCGCUAGGCAAAGGCGCUGUCUGCCGUAGUGUACAAUCACCAAAUUUAUAAAUGUUAAUUUGAUUAAUGAUCUAUGAUCAAUGUUAAAAUGAUUAUUUUUAGCAACACAGAUAUAAAAGGGGUUGGAGCAUUGGGCCUUCUUGGGUGCUCUAGACUGCCCUAUAUAAGAACUGAAUAUUAAAAUAGUAACCCAUGACUUACAGUACGACCGUGAGUAUUGGUAUUAAUUAACUCAUCACUUGUUCUAGUAUCCACCUAUCAAUUACCUACACCUCUAGCAUUACACUAGGUUGUCAUCCCCAAUGAUAAAGCCAAAAGUGUUUGUUGGUAUUAUAUAGCAUUACUACAAGAAUAAUACUAAGUAGAUCUCUAUCAUUUUAUGUGACUAGAAAGAAUAUAAAGAUAUAUACAUGAAAAGGAUCCACAAGCGCAUGGAUAAUUAUACCAUUGUAGCAUUUUACCUAGAGUAUUACCAAGUUAUCGAUUUAUAUUUUACCACUGGGAAGGCCUGGCUAGAUAUAUAUUGGUAACUUAUACUAUUAAUGGAAGAAGAAAACCAUAACCACAAUCCUAGUCACAACAGGGGUGAAAGCCCUAGUUUGGUUUUGGAUAAUUGAUGAAACCCUAGUACUAACCUCUAUACUAAGUGUGUGUAGACUUAAUGAGGUUGGUACAUGCCAAGUGAUGGAGCAAGAGAUGAUCAUGGUGAUGAUGGUGAUGACCACAAGAUGAUCAAGUGCUCAACUUGGAAAAGAAGAAAGAGAAAAACAAAACCCUAUGGAGAUCAAGGCAAAGGUAUUGCUUGGGGUUUUGGUUUUGGUGAUCAAGACACCAUAGAGGGUGCGAUCACAUUUAGGAUAGAUAGCCAUACUAUAAAGAGGGGAAUUCUUUGGCUAAGCGGUUAUCAAGUGCCACUAGGUGUCAUUGUUCAUGUGCAUGCAUUUAGAACCUAGUGAGCUAACUUAACUCCUUCAAAGAAAAUGAUUAUGAAAAUGCUAACACACGUGCACUUGUUGGUACACACUUGGUGGUGUUGGCACACUUUGAGAAGGAGGUGGAGGUUGAAGAGUAGAGUGGAGUUUAGGUUCCUCUCUCCCUCCUGCCGAGCUUGCUCGGCAGGAUUCGACGCUUUUUGAGAAAAUGAAAUGUAUAUUUUCUAUUGCGCCGGUGGGAAGUUUGGAGAAGUUAAACACUCACCGGACGCUGACUGCGGAGGCACCGGACACUAAGCCUGCAUGUCCGGUGUGCUGUCAGUGCCUGGCUCUGUUAGGGUUAGGCACCGGACGCUGAGCACCGGAUGCAGGGUAACUCCUGUUCAUGCGUUCGGUGCUUCCUGACUUCUUCGGGUGUUUCUGACUGAGAGCACCAGACGCUCAGGGUCUAUCCGGUGGUGCGCGUCUGGUGUCCUUGCGCAUUUGCAGUGCUCUCUGGGUAAGGGCCGGACGCUUAGGGCGUGUCCGGUGGUGUGAGUCCGGUGACCUUGCGUGUUUGUAGAACUCUCUGCGUACAUGACCGGUGUACACCGGACGCGUCCGGUGCUAACUUGAGCGCGUCCGGUGGAUCAUAUUUGACCAUUAGAGAUCAACGCGCCUGGUUCAAAGGUUGACACGUGGCUUCUUUUGGUGCACCGAACGCACGGGCUGUGCGUCCAGUGAUCACUAGCUGUGCGUCCGAUGGCCCCAUGUUUUGCCCAGUGAAGGAGCCAACAGCUGUAUUUGUUUGAGGGGCUUAUAAAUAGUUGUUGCCUGGCUUGAGGCUCACUCUCUUAGCAUUCUAGCAAACUUGACAUCCUUGUGAGCCUAAGCAAACACCUCCCACUCAUUUCUUUCAUAGACUAUCCAUCUUUGUGAGAUUGGGAGUGAUUCCAAGUGCAUUUGCUUGAGUGAUUGCAUCUAGUGGCACUUGGGGAUCAAUUUGGCUGCGGUUUUCUUAUUAGUCUUGGUGGUUGCCGCCACCUAGACAGCUUGGAGCAGUGGAGGAGCAUUGGCAGGAGUUGGUGAUUGUUCGUGGUCAUCUCCCGGUGAUUAUGAGGGGUCUUGUGCCUUCCCCGGUGGAGAGCCGAAAGGUAACUCUAGUGGAUUUCUCGUGUCAUUGAGUUACCUCACUUGUGGGUCGGUUCUUUCGGUGUCCUAGUGAGGACGAGGUUCGUGCUACACCUCUUAGCCGCCGAACCACCAAGUGUUGGUCGACACAAUGGGGAUGUAGCAUGCCGGUAAGCACGUGAACCUCGGGAGAAAAUUGUGUGUCUCCAUUGUGAUUGUUCAUUGUAUUUCUCCCGGUGAUUGGACUUCAUAUUAUUGUGAUUGGUUCAGCCCCUCUACGCGGCGGUAUAAAGAUCAAACCCUCUCUCUUACAUUCUCGCAAACUAGAGUAAAUUACUUACUUGUAUAGAAACUUUAGGUAGCUCUCUAGUGUAAGUAGAGACUUACUUCUUGUGUGCCUAGUGAUCAUAGAAACUAGAAUUGUUGGUUAGGUGGCUUGCAAACACCUCAUUAGAGCUAGAGCAAAAAGCUUCACUUUGUUAUUUACUAACCUCUUGCUCUAGUGAGUUUGUAGAAUUUUUAAAUAGGCUUUUCACCCCCCUCUAGCCAUAUUAGGAUCUUUCAAGGGGUAAGUCAUAAGAUAAAAUAUGUACAUAUAUAUAAUAAGCAUUGAUCAAGCGUUAUGAUAAAUAAGUGAUUCACUUAGAGCACUCUAAAAAUGGCAAUAGCAUUAGUCCAAUUAGAAUAUUAGAGGAAUAAUUCCUAAGUCAUUCUAUAACUAAAAGUCAAAGCAUACCUCAAUUAGUGCAAUUGCAUCUAGUAAUCAUUGUUAAUAUUACUAUUACAUCCACGCAUAAGGGGCAUAAAUGAUAGGAAGUUUGGAAAUACAGUUCGCACAACCAUUGCAACAUAGGCCCUACUUGUUCUACAUAAGGGAGAAGACUAUAGAGGAAUCAAUAGGUCUGUCAUACCUAUGAACUACCUCAGAACCUGAUACAUAGGGUGCAUCCAUAGAUAUACAAUAUCUAAGCACCACGCUUACAUAGUGCAUACCCCCAUGGCACCUAAAUAUUAGGGUUAGCCCUAUACGAUCUUAUGCAUAAAAUCAUAGUAAACUAACUAUACAAGAUAUAUAAUCAAAGUAAACUAUGAACAUUGCAAUCAAGAAUAUAAUAAAGAUGAAGAUUAAUGUUGCCAUAAACAUUAUUGUAGCAAGCACACAAAUACAAUGGAGAAUACAAUGAGAGGGGGGUACAAAGAAUUAUACCUAAAAGAAAGCCACACUCUUGACAAUGUCAAGCCCUCUAGACCUAAUCUAAUUAGAUAAACUCUAUAACUAAAAAAACUCUGAGGAAUUAGGGUUUCUAGCUCUAGAUGACUUGAUCUCCAAUGAUUUAUUGCCUUUAGGGAGGCUAGGGUUUGAUUAUAUAGCCCGGAGGGAUCAAUGUGAGCCCUUAGAUCAAACCAACCUUGAAACACGGUGGAGAUGCAUCCAAGGAGGCGGUGGAGGAAGGUUCUAGAAGCCAGAGGCAAAUGUGGUCCACGGGAUGUCGAGUGGCACAGGCCUAGGGCUAGCUGGUCCCCCAUGUGGGCUUUUCAGGGCCCUCUUUGGUGUGGUGUCUUCAUGAUCCUUCUAGAGUCUUCUCUCAUAUUUUUUGUGGAACAAGUUGAUUGUUUUAUUUGACGAAUAGAUCUUUCUUUAUUGUUUUCUAGAAUAAUCCUUUAGAAAAUAAUAAUUCACCAAAGCUCGUGGAAUUUGUCAGUUUAAACCCUAUACUUAUGUAUAUUCUCUCAUUUGUACCAUUUCUCAUGUUUAUUCAACUAUAAAUGUUGACAUUAACCACCGUCAACGGCGAGAACUAGAUGACUCUAGUCUUAGCCUAGUAUCUUGAUCUAUUCUAGUUCAUCAAUAGCUUACCGAAAGGGCAAUAAGGGGGUGCCAUGAUGGGCAUGGUCCUUGUCCUAUCAAGUGUGUGCUAGGCUACAAUCACAAUGUGCCACUAAUGGAUGAGUCUUUCAUGACACUUGCCAUCGAAACCUUAGUGGCCACUACUUAUUAAACAACUAGUGAUAAGCUUUAUACGAUCCUUACCAACUUACCUUGGAAGCGAGUCAAGAGGUUGGCCACCUCAGCCAAAGGGCAAUCAUGAUUCAUGGGUAAAGAUGUACAAAAUCUUAGAGUUACUUUGAACUGUUACAGUAGUCAUGCUCUCAAACAUGAGUGGCCUGGAUCCUUUUCGAGAUAGAUGGUUCAAUGGAUGGUUUGGAUGAUAAUUAAUCUUUAUGUUAAUUAUUCUUUCACCUUGGGAGCUUAAGCAUAACCUAGAAACUUAGGUUUAAUAAAUAAAAUAUGACCAACUAAAAGUGCUUACUGCAGUCAGCUCUGUCUUGCUUUUUAGUCUUACAUACCCUUAUGUUAUUUUUGCUAAGUAUGGUGCACUCACACUUGCUUUACAAUCAACAAAAUCCUAGAUGGUUACCAGGUCGUGUUCCAAGUGACAAGUUCCCUAAGGAGUUUUGUUAACCAUCCCUAUGGAGUAUGGAGUCCCAAAGAAAAGAUUAAGAAUAUUUUCCACUAUGCUUUGUAAUAGAUGUAGGUCAUGUUGUAAACAUGCAUGUUUCAAUACAUAAUAACACAUUUGUCUUCCAUAUUUGUCACUAUAUGCAUUGUGUGGACAUCCUAGGCAUGCAUAUAGUUAUUGUUUGGUAUUCUUCAAAAAACCGGGUAUGGCACGUGUGAGCACCAUAGGUUUUGAUGGUCACUGAAGAAUAAGCAUUGGAGAAAUGGUCUUAACCCUUCUUUCCGGUGGACACCUAAGAGCUGUCACCAGAGUUUUCUGAUAGUCACAAAGAAUAGCACCUGAGUUUUCCACUGCUCAACUUUUAGCAUGACACUUUGUAUUUGGCAUAACUUUUUACUCUGAACUCUAAUUUUAAUGAUCUUAAAAAUUUUGGAAAGAUAAUGAAGAGCUCUACAUCUUUGAGCUGAUAUCAUAUCAAUUUGUGAAAAAUUCAAAAUCAUAAGACAAGACCAAUUCAUCUGUCUCUUCUUCCUAGCUUCAUGGCUUCCAUUUCUUUUGUGUCUUCAUGUCCAGGCUUCUACUUCUUGGUGUUUUGUACUUCUGGCAUGUACUAGGUAGCAUGCCCGUGCGUUGCUAUGGGACAAUAAAACUUUUGUACUAAAAGCACAGAAAUCGCACGAUAAGAUAACACGAAGCCGCUUGCCACCGCACUAGCGUCAUAGCCACCCCGACCCCACAGUGAGCCCCCGCGCCUACCUUGCUUGCCGGUAUGCACUCGCCAUGGAUGUCGUCAUGGUUUCUCCACCUAAGAGGCCCAAGGUCCCGCUUUUUCUCUAUCACGAUACACAGCACGCACACACGAACACAAGUACGUCCUUGCCAAGCCCAUAGCGCUUGGAAACGUCGGUGCCAACGAACUGUCCCAAACGCUCGCCAUGGCCAGAGCACCGCCAUGCAUGACAAGCUUUGUACCGGCCAUCACAAGCCGGUAGAGACCCUAAAGCCCCCACAGUGAGUUAUAUUUCAACUAAAAUAGGGGGCCUUUUUUAAAUAAUCAAAUUUACACACAUUAAUGAGUAGCAUAAACAUCGCCUAUUGUGUAAAAACUGGCAUUUAUGCCUUCUAUAGAGGACAGAAGGUCGCUGAUCUAAUUUGGUGGCUUCCCAAGUGGUGCCUUCUUCUAUACAGUAAAACCAAUGCAUCAUUAGCUACUGCAUAGUGCAUACUGUAGAAAUAUGAAAUGGAGGACCUCUCUGGUGGAAAAUGAAAAUACUACUACCAGUUAAGUGGGCCUUUCUUAAAGAAAAGAAUGGACUCACAUCAACAAUAUCGAUAAGCAAUUAACCAUGGUGAUGUCCCCCUUCAGUUCUAAAAAAAAUUAAAUAAUUUGAGCCUGAACCCAACCAAGCUUUACUCAGAAUCAUUCAUAUGGAAUGAGUUUAGUAGCAAAAUGAUGUACAGAUUUCAAGAAUUAAAAAAACAGUAUACCACAUAUGGACAGUUAGAACUGAAUCACCCAUACUGAGCAACAAUUUCAAAAUUCCACAGAGAGAUAACAACCAAAUAAUCCAAGGAUGCCUAACAUAUGAUCAAGAGCAAAAAAGAAACAAAUAUAAUAAGAAAAGAGAGAGAGGCUCAACAACAGCUAAGACAAUAUAAUUAUAAUGCACAAUUCAGAUACCUCAGUGGACUGCGUGGUACAGAAACAGAAAAAUAUGUAGGUCUGAAAUCUUGAUUCCACAAUAUGCAAAUUUAACAUGGACAAAUGAUGAAUAAAAAUAAAUAAAUAAAUUGCAAAUAAAUAGAUGGUAUUUUUUAUUGUUGAACUGAACCACUUGUAUCCGUAGAUAUGCUUCACUGGGAUAUUUUGUGAUGCAAAACUGAACCACUUGUAAACUGAGUGCGGAGUUGAGGCACGGCGAUGAAGGGAAGCCCUAGACUGGUGUUCACAUUACUUACCUGAUAUUCUGUGACUCUCAGAUUGAUAAAUUUCAGAUUACUUAUCUGAAAUUAAUUCAUAGUCAUGGCUGAACCAUGUGUCAUGAUACUGAUCUGAUACUCAUAGCAAUAGCAUUAGUUACCCAUGCCUCUCCUGAACAUGCCUCGAUGACUGGAUUUAUAAAUUAAAUAAAAAAUCAUAAGUUGACAGAUUGGUAGAGUGACCAUGACGAAAAACACAAACCGGAAAAUAUGAGAAUAGUGAAAGCAAUUGAUUUGAGAUCCUGCUGUUCUGUCAUUUGUAGGGACCAUGAUGUGUUGAUGAAUUGGUUUGCAUAUUAUCUUUGAGAAAACAACCAUAUCAAUAAUAUGUCAUUGUGUUCCUAUUAUUUAUUAAAUAUAAAUAGGCAGUUUUGAUAUCUUUGAACUAUAACAAAUAUACUUCAUAAAAAAUUCAAUUCAAUUAUUCUUGAUUGCCUACUUAGAUUUCCAAAUAAGACAAUUUUAAGUAUCUAAAACAUAAUAACCUUUUAGAGGCAUUCUGUUUAACAUGUGGUGGGCAGGUUAAAAGUAAAAAAAAUUAUCCAUCUUGUCAAUUUCACAAACAAAUAGUAUCCAUUGUGCGGAUCAAACAAAGAGUAUUAAAUAGAACUGAUGGGCAGGAGCACCUACCGACGUCACUGAAGACAGGGCAGUGCAAAUGACUGGGCUUGCACCACUGCUCCAUGAGCCAGCAAGGUGUAUACCAUCAUCAUAAUCAAAUCCGACCCCUCGAAAUUGGAAUUAACUGGAGUUGAGGGUGGAGUGGUUGUUCUGAUCUGAUCUUGCCUAGCCCAAGGUUCUAGACAUUUUGAGCAGCAGAGCAUACUAACCUACCUGACCCUUUGUGCGUGUCCUAUGCCUCCUCUGUGCGUCCCACGUGGUGGCGGCCGCUGGCCUCAGCCUGCCAUUGACCCGCCCGUUCCCAGCCCUCACCACCUUCCUAGGCUUUGCCACCAUGCUCCCUUUGCCAUGUGGAGCAGAAGCUGAGAGGAGGGUCAGGGAUCAAUUGCCAGGAGUUGGAAUUAACCAAUUAAGGUAUUGAUUAAAAGGCACACUACAAUUUUCAAUACAUAUCUAGCAAGGUAGCACACGACAAGCAUGGAUAAAUUAGGUUACAUGGUGAUAUGAAGUGAACACAAGCAGAAACCUUUUGUCAGCGGCUGCCAUCCUGAGCAGUUCAUCAAAAUCUUUCGAUAUAAGGUGUUGAACACCUUCUGAAUGAAGCACCACCUCCUUCAGAUGCUUUAUGCUAGGCUCCGAUAGAGAACGCAUCAUGUUAAAGCAUUUAGCUAUAGUAUUUUCUACCUCAAAAGCCAGCUUGGCUAUUUUGUUUCCCUUUGCUGCAGAACUUGACACAAAACCACUGCUAGAAUUUCAACCUGUUAUGCUACUACCGAGUGUGUCUAGAACCUCCACUGUCUUGUCAAGCCCAACAGUGCUAUCUCUAUUUAAAAUUGAGCUCACUUCUGAAACCUGUUGAACACAGGAAAAGAACCAAUAUGAAUGAUAGAGAUGCCUAACUAAAAAUCUCCAACAUAAACAUAGCACUAACCUAGACUUUGAGGUAUAUAAAAAAUGAUAAUUGAAGCACAUGUAGCUGUCAAAAUGCAAAAGCUAAUUGCGCUUGUGCAUGAUAGACCAUUUAAUUUUUUAACUAUAUACGAUGUCUUAGAGAACGUUAACAACUAAAUUUUCUUUUGCCAGGAUGCCAAUAAGCAGUAAAUACAGAUAAAACAAUGAGUAAAUUUCUUGAACUAUUCCAGUCAAAUGGUAAAGAAGGCUAUAGAUAUCAACAAACAAUGAGUGCUGUCCCCAAUAUAAAACAGUAUCAUGAUUAGAAUUAUUUAGUUUUUAUAUACUAUAGGGACACUGUAUAUUGCUGCAAUCUAACAAAUGAUUGAGAAUCACUCAAAACAACUGCUACAAAACAAAACAUGUUAUAUUGUGGUCUAAUUAAACAUAGAUAAAACAAAAGGACCAAACUUAAAUGUGAUAAGAAUCCAUCAAACUAUUAGCAGCACUCGCAGCCUGUAACAACUCAAACAUUGGGCGACAAGGAUCUAACAACACGGGAGGAACACGUAUGAAGACAACUGGAAACUAAGAGCAGAACCUCGAAUUGGUUUCAGGAACCAGAAGUCCAAGAGAUCUUUUUUUUAUCGCACAAUCUAGAAAAGACAGCGUAAUCAAACGCGCAAAGAACCAAUCCAAUCCAUCCCAUUCCCAUCGAAUAGCUGUGAGUAGUCCUCAGUCCUCACCUGCAGGAAACUAGCCGAUUCACCUCGCUAAUCCAAGAACACGAGGGACGGGCAGCCACGUAGUAGCAAUCCCAAUUAACCACCAAUUGGGUUCAGCUCCAACCAACCCUGUUGGGAUUACACCAUGAGGUGAAAGCCUGGCUGGGACAGCCGUUCAGGUUACAGGAAGAAAUAAAAAGAAGGGAAAAAAGGAGCUGAAAAAAAUUACCACCACCGGACUCCAAGAAUAGCAAAGGCAAAUUGCAUGUGGAGAAAAAAAAAUAAAUCGGAGAGAAAUCUGUAGACCAAUCGGAGAUAAACCUCAGAGGAGGGACGGAUUAAUCAGGCAGUUACGAAGCGAUCGGGACGCCACUGAUGCUGGAGUUUGAGGGGGCCUUGCAAGUGUUUUGGGUGCAGGGGGAUCAGGAUGUUGUUUACUUCAGUUCUUUCCUCCACGCGACGUAUGGGGAGAGAGGAGUAGAGAGGACCUUGUCACACAAGAGGCCUCAACUGCGCUAUUAGGUUUUGCCUUGUGGAGCGCGCAUCACGAACCGGUGCCGGUGAGGGCGGAGCAGCGGUGGCUUCGUAGCAUCGGCGGUGCUGUGGGUCGCAUCGACGGCGGCACUGCCUCUGGGGUAGGGGGCAGCGGCGAUGGAGUGCCAUGGCAUGGGGAGCAUGUUGUUGGAGUGGCGGUGCAAGGGCAGUGAGAUUGAGGGAAGUGUCAGGUGCAGGAUCUCGUGACGUCGGGGUGGAUGUGGAGGUGCGAGUGGGGUCCCACCUGCCGGCCACGGUAUGCGCGGGGGAGUCCCGAUCGUAGGAUAGGCAGACGGACGACCGAAACUAUAUCACACGAAAAAAUGUUCACGUUUUGUUCUUUUUAGUUGUAGGAGAUUGUAGGUCUUUAACAUAGAUUCUAAUGUCUUGCUUGAGGUUUUGAUCACUCUAAUCUUUUCAUUUCCUAAGUCCAAGCCAACCUUGCAUCCACUUGAAUAUCCUUCUAUACUAGUAGACGCCACUAGUCCAAAUAGUCAUGUUGUUCAUCAAACAUCAAAAUCAUAUAAUGGACAAUGCAAGGUAAAAUUUUUCCUUGCAGUAUCAAAACGCCAGCUUCCAACUUGGUCACGCUUGAACCCAAGUACAAUAGUGUUUUUGCUUCCUUUCUCAUUUCCUCCAAGUUUUUCAGAUUUCUUGCCUCAAGGAACUAUGGCUCCUAACCACUUACCCUCUGGUCUAGACCAUCUACCACAACAUCAUUAGCUAAAGUUUCAUGGUCAAUUUCAUUGAUGAUUUCUAGGCGGUUUCAUUUAUAGUUUUCUAGCUGGUUUCAUUUUCCUUGAUGGUUUCAUGGAUGGUACCACGCAUGGGUGCUCGAUGUUCUGACACUACUUUUGAUUUUUGUAAUCAACACACUGGCAUUGUAUAUAUAUCCAUAACCCCUAGAUUAUUUUCCAUGUACCUUAUGGCGGUCUUCAAAAAAUAUUUAGUGCCUUCCACGAACUUGGCAAAUAUGUGAUCUGAGUACAUCCAUCUGUGAUCCAUCUAUGUAUAACAAAAUGGGUAUCACAUAGGCCAUACUAAUAUAUAUGCCAUUCAGUUUGAUAUGUGGGCAUUUAAGGUGCCAUAAGAAAUUUGUUACAAUUUUUUUACCUAAUAAUAAAGAAAAUAAAUGUUAUAUUUUUUUGAAAGAAUGAUUGUCCUAAUAUCUAUAGUCAAAAAAAUUUUCACCAUAAAAACAUGAUUUAGCAUACAUGAUAGGGGAAGAUUGAUUUUUCAUCACACAAGCAUCAUAAUUUGGUAACAUAAUGUAAUUUUCUAGUUUUAACGGCAUAAGAAUAUUAUCAUAGGAGGUCAAAUGUGUUAUUAUGCACUAAAAAUCAUAAUAUAUAACUCACAAACAAGGACUUAUCUAAUAGGUAACAAAGCGUACUAGCUUGAUAGUACAAGUAUUUAUGAUUUGAAGUUAGUUUUAGGUGUCUAUUAUUAAUUUUGCCAAAAUAUUUUGGCUAUCAUUAAUUUCAUUAUUUCUAGGGGCUAUUUAUAUAAGUCUUAAAUUUCUUCAUCUGCCUUGUUUCCUUUUGUCCACCUUUACAUGACAAGUGGCUUUCAUUCACAGCCAAAUGACACGUGGUGAACAUGCAAAGAUUCAUUAAGACACGUGUUUUGUUUUGUCUAUCUUCUCAUGACAAGUGGCUUGCUUCCAUUCAUAACCAAAUGACACAUGGCAGACAUGCAAAGAUUUCUUAAGACAUGUGUAACUUCUCAUUCCAUAGGAUGACUAUAUAUAAACUUCUUCUGUUUAUGAGUAGAACAAUAGUGAUAGUCGCAGAUGGAAUUCAGGCCAACAAUUAUUGCCAUGGUGAAGGAGGUAUGGUUUUCCUAUCUAUGUAUCUUACGAUGAAUAUGGGUGCUAGAGGUUAAGGGUUCUCAAUCUAAACGGUUGAUUGUUGUGAGAGCAAGAUCGAUGGAAGUAGCACAAUUAACAAAAUAAUGAGUUUGAUUUGAGAAUCUCACAAGAUUAUUGUUGGAACAUGAUUAUGGCUGCACAUAGAUCAUAGGUUCAGUUAAGUUUUUAAUGUUAGUACAUUUGAUUUUUUUUUUCUUUAUUUUAGUCCUAACAACCAUAGGAAGUAAGCCGAACUGCAUAGAUAUGAUUAGCCAUGGAUUACAAGCAACCUUUACUUAGCAGAACUAGAAGCAAGGUUGGCUAUCAGUAGAGUCACACAUGAUGAAUUAGAGAGUUGUGGACAGUUCAUUAUGUGAGUUAGAGCGCUUAAAUAUUUGAUUUUUAGUUAAGCUUCCCUUCAUCCCUUUUUGUAUUAUGUAGAAAAUUGAAGUUACAUAUUGACGUAUAUCGUACAUGUCUUCUACGUGGAACAAUUUUUUUGGAAGACCUUGGGGACAUUGCUUGACCGUUAAUAAUAGUUUUGUUUGAAGCUUUUCUUCUGAUCAGUGAGCUACUUCAUAUUUGGUCAACAUUAGUUACACAUUUUCCAUAUAAAAUCAGCAUGCAGAAAUAGAAGCAUCUGAUGCACACACCGUCCCAACAAAACAAGCAUCCUUGUGCACAUCAUGCGGGCAUGCGGCUCGCCAUGCCAACCAGCUCAAACAUGAUGCACAAUCCACCCAACAAGCAUCCUCAUGCACAUCAUGUGGGCAUGUGGCUCAUCCUCAUUCAAUUCUCACCCAACUAGCAAUUGCAUCUUCUAUACUAAACACUUGCAUCUAUUCAUGACUAUUACACAUUAUGGUCUUAGUGGCUUUGCAUUCCAUUCUAUGUUGCUUUGGACUACUAGAGAAACAAAUAUCACACUACUAAUUCUAAUGAGUUCUAUGUCACACUUCAAACCUCUAAUCUGGAUGGGAGCAAAUAGCUCAAAGAUGAUCACCGACAAAAGCCAUGGAUCCCAUGAAAAGGUACCUCGCUUCGCUUGGACAGCUAUAGAGAACAUAGGAGGGCAAAGAUCCACUUUUUGUCUUCAUUUAUAGCCUUGGAUUUUCUGACUAUGGUAGCUCUAAUAGAGUUCCUAGGUCACUAUCAUCAAUCCGAGGCCACUAUCAUCCCAUGCAACUAGAAUUUAAUGGUGUAUAUUUCUAGUGCUGACGGAAGUGAUCCUAGUAGUCAAGGUGCCAUCAUGGUCUAUCGGCACGUGACAUGUGCCCUUGGAAUUAUGGUACUAGUGUAGGGACUCGAUCAGAGGUUGUACAUAGUCAGCUAAUGCAAGGCUUCUAAUACCGAGGAUACUAGAUCAUCGCCUCAAUAGUCAAAUGUCAGUCUUGCAUGGAAACCACAAACAACUCCGCAUGAUGGAUGUGCACUAGUCCAUGUCCUCCAGAGGGCUGCUGGUGAUCCUAGAAUUUUUUGGCAGAGAUUAAUGCAUGAUGCACAUCAUGGUCGCCUUUUAGGAUAAUAUAUUCUUCAUCAAGUGCACUUCUUUUCUAGCAUAUUGUACUACUAAAUGUUUAUGAGUAUGAUAAUUACCAUGUAUGAAUAUCUCUCAACUCGAAUGGUACAAAAAAUAUUGAAACAAAUGCACUAUCAACAAUCUAGCAAUGUGCUUCAAUGGUCUUUCCAAAAGCAGCUUAUUUUGUGUUGACGACUUAUAACAUAUUAUGAUUUUUUUAUUUUCUCUUCUAGAAAAUCUACCUUUUAGGUGACAUGCAUUAAUUUCAUCCUAAUUAAAUUCUCACCCAACUUGCCAACUACAUCUUCUUUACUUCACAAUUGCAUCUACUCAGGACUAUUACAACACUACUACCUAAAUGACCCGCCUCAAAAAAGGUCGAGGCCCAAAUAGACCUAGGCGAGCCCACCAGCGUGAACUGAGUAUAAAUACUCUCCCUCACCUCUCCCACUUCCUCUCCCUUAGUUGCCCCUCAUAAGCACAGCCUCACCCCGACCCCUCCCUUCCCUCUUGACAGCACAUGCUCCACCCCUCCCCUCUCCUUCCCUCAUAGCGACCCUUGCUUGUAUGUCUAGUGGCUUAAGCGAGGCCAGAUCCGGUGGCCUAGGUGAGCGGCCACUCUGAUGGGUGGAGGAUCCACCUAGGAGUGCCCCCUCCAGCGAGUGCAGGGGGUGGUGUGGUAGGAUACGGAGGUGGCGAAUGCGAUGCAGUGUCCUCUCUAGCAGUAACAACACGGCUCUACUCUCGCUCACCAACAGCAUGAGGACAACAUGGGGGAAACACCAACUAAGGAGCAUAGGGUGAGCAGCCACCACCAGAUCCAGCGAGGAGAAGGCUAGAUGUAGCAAGAAGGAGGCUAGAUACGACAAUGAGGAGCCUAGAUCUAGUGAAAUCCUCCAAGUGGAGUGGUGGUGUGUUGAUGGGCUUGGCAGGCCCAUGGAUUGGCUUGUUGGGCUUAUCCAUGGAUUUUCUUAUUUUAUUUUUAUUUGAUUUACCAAGGUAAGCAUUUGAGUCCACUCAGCAAGGGUCAAUUUACUAUGGCCUUUGGUCCAAGGUAGUUGUGAUGCCCACCUUAGUAAAUCAAAAAUGCCUGUCUCUAGUAAGUUUUUCUGUAGUACUACAAACUGUGGUCUUACUGGCUUUGUAUUCCAUUAUACCUUACUUUUGACUAUCAAAGAAAUAAAGAUCACACAUACAACUAAUUCUAAUGAGUUCUAUAUCAAACUUCAAAUCUCUUAUGUAGAUGGGAGCAGAAAACUCAAAGACGUUCACCAGCAAAAGCCAUGGAGCCGAUGACAAGGUACCUUCACUUGGUCAGCCAUAGAGAAAUGUAUAAUGUCAAACAUAUGCUUUUUUCAUCAUUUGUAGCCUUGGAUUUUUUUUACUAUGGAAACUCAGAUAGAGUUCCUAGGUCACUAUCAUCAAUCUGAGGCCACCAUGCCAUGCAGCUAGCAUUCAAUGGUGUGUAUGUGCAGUGCUGGUUGAAGUGAUCCCAGCAGUGGAGGUGGCAUCAUAGUUUGCCGACCAAGUGACAUGUGUCCUUAGAAUUAUCGUACUGGCAUAGGUACUCGAUCAGAGGCUACACAUAGUUAGUGAAUCCAAGGCUACUAAUGCCAAAAAUACUAGUUCAUCACCUACAACAGUCAAGCGCCAGUCUCACAUGGUGACUAUAAAGAACUCCGCAUGAUGCACGUGCGCUAGUCCAUGUCCUCCAUCAGGUUGUUGGUGAUCCUAGAGUUUUCUAGCAGAGAUUGGUGCAUGAUGCAUGUCACGGUGGCCUUUUAGGAAUGUGUAUUCUUCAUCAGGUUAGCUUCUUUGCUAUCAUAUUGUACUAUUAAAAUUUAUGAGUAUGAUCAUUACCAUGUAUGAAUAUCUCUCAACUAGAAUUGUGCAAAAAAAUGUUGAAGCAAAUAUGUUGUAAAAAUUAGGCUAAGUGCUUUGAUUGUCUUUCCAAAAUUAUCUUAUUUUGUGUUGAGGACUUAUAACAUAUUAUGAUUUUUUAUUCUAUUUUUCUAGAAAAUCUACCUUUUAGGUGACAUGAAUUAGUUGCAUCCUAAUUUAAUUCUCGCACGACUUGCCAACUACAUCUUCUUUACUUCACAGUUGCAUCUACUCAUGACUAUUACAACACUACUACCUAAAUGACCCGUCUCAAAAAAGGCCAAGGCCCAAAUAGGCCUAGGCAUGCCCACUAGCAUGACCUGAGCAUAUAUACUCUCCCUCAUCUCUCCCUCUUCCACACCUCUCCCACUUCCUCUCCCUUUGUAGCCCCUCAUAAGCAUAGCCUCCACCCCUCCACUCCCCUCCUACCCACCUCUCCCCUCCCCUUCUCUCCCAGCGACCCUUGCUUGCAGAUCUAAUGGCUUAGGCGAGGCUAGAUCAGGUGGCCUAGGUGAGUGGCCCCUCUAAUGGGUGCAGGAUCCACCUAGGGAGUUCCCCCUCUAGAUGGUGUAGGGGAUGCUAUGGCCGGAUAUAGAGGUGGUGAAUACAGCAUGGUGUCCUCUCUAGUAGUAGCGACAUUGCUCUACUCUUCCUCACAAACGGCACGAGGACAACAAGGGGCCAAAAAAAACUAAGGAGCAUAGGAUGAUUGGUCACCACUAGAUCUAGCAAGGAGAAGGUCAGAUGCAACAAGAUUGAGGCUAGAUACGGUGAGGAGGAGCCCAGAUCUAGUGAAAUCUUGUGGCAACAAGGCUUGGUGGUGGCCUAGAUCCUGCAAGUGGAGUGGUGGUGUGUUGAUGGGCUUGACAGGCCCAUGGAUUGGCUCAUUGGGCUUGUCCAUGGGUUUUCUUAUUUGAUUUUUAUUUGAUUUACCAAGGUAAGCAUUUGAAUCCAAUGAGCAAGUGUCAAUUUACUAUGGCCUUUGGUCCAAGGUAGUUGUGAUGCCCACCUCAGUAAAUCAAAAAAGCCUGCCUCUAGUAAGUUUUCUAUAGUACUACAAACUAUGGUCUUAGUGGCUUUGUAUUCCAUUCUACCUUACUUUUAAUUAUCAGAGAAAUAAAGAUCACACAUACAACUAAUUCUAAUGAGUUCUAUAUCAAACUUCAAAUCUCUUAUGUAGAUGGGAGCAGAUAACUCAAAGACGUUCACCAGCAAAAUCCAUGGAGCCGAUGAAAAGGUACCUUCACUUGGUCAGCCAUAGAGAAAUGUAUGAUGUCAAACAUUUGCUUUUGUCAUCAUUUGUAGCCUUGGAUUUGUUGACUAUGGAAGCUCUGAUACAGUUUCUAGGACACUAUCAUCAAUCUAAGGCCACCAUGCCAUGCAACUAGCUUUCAAUGGUGUGUAUGUGCAUUGUUGGCUGAAGUGAUCCUAGCACUGGGGGUGUCAUCAUAGUUUGCCGACCAAGUGACAUGUGCCCUUAGAAUUAUGGUACUGGCGUAGGUACUCGGUCAGAGGCUAUACAUAGUUAGUGAAUCCAAGGCUAUGAAUGCCGAAAAUACUAGUUCAUCACCUGCAAUAGUCAAGCGCCAGUCUCACAUGGUGACUAUAAAGAACUCCGCAUGAUGCAGAUGCGUUAGUCCAUGUCCUCCAUCAGGUUGCUGGUGAUCCUAGAGUUUUCUAGCAGAGAUUGGUGCAUGAUCAUUACCAUGUAUGAAUAUCUCUCAACUAGAAUUGUGCAAAAAAAUGAUGAAGCAAAUAUGUUGUUAAAAUCAGGCUAAGUGCUUUGAUUGUCUUUCCAAAAUUAUCUUAUUAUGUGUUGAGGACUUAUAACAUAUUAUGAUUUUUUAUUUUCUCUUCUAGAAAAUCUGCCUUUUAGGUGACAUAAAUUAGUUUCAUCCUAAUUUAAUUCUCACUCGACUUGCCAACUACAUCGUCUUUACUUCACAGCUACAUCUACUCAUGACUAUUACAACACUACUACCUAAAUGACCCGCCUCAAAAAAGGCCAAGGCCCAAAUAGGCCUAGGCAAGCCCACUAGCAUGACCUGAGCAUAUAUACUCUCUCUCAUCUCUCCCUCUUCCUCACCUUUCCCACUUCCUCUCCCUUUGUAGCCCCUCAUAAGCAAAGCCUCCACCCCUCCACUCCCCUCCUACCCACCUCUCCCCUCUCCUUCCCACCUAGCCACCCUUGCUUGUAGAUCUAGUGGCUUAGGCGAGGCUAGAUCAGGUAGCCUAGGUGAGUGGCCCCUCUGAUGGGUGCGGGAUCCACCUAGGGAUUUCCCCCUCUAGAUGGUGUAGGGGAUGCUGUGGCGGGAUACAGAGCUGGUGAAUAUAGCAUGGUGUCCUCUCUAGUAGUAGGGCACAACUCUACUCUUCCUCACCAACGACAUGAGGACAACGUGGGGCCAAGAAAAACUAAGGAGCAUAGGAUGAGUGGCCACCACUAGAUCCAGCAAGGAGAAGGCUGGAUGCAACAAGAUUGAGGCUAGAUACGGUGAGGAGGAGCCUAGAUCUAGUGAAAUCUUCUGGCAACAAGGCUUGGUGGUGGCCUAUAUAAUGCAAGUGGAGCAGUGGUGUGUUGAUGGGCUUGGUGGGCCCAUGGAUUGGCUCAUUGGGCCUGUCCAUGGGUUUUCUUAUUUUCUUUUUAUUUGAUUUACCAAGGUAAGCAUUUGAAUCCACUCAACAAGGGUCAAUUUACUAUGGCCUUUGGUCCAAGGUAGUUGUGAUGUCCACCUCAGUAAAUCAAAAAUGCCAGCCUCUAGUAAGUUUUCUACUGUACUACAAACUAUAGUCUUAGUGGCUUUGUAUUCCAUUCUACCUUAUUUUUGACUAUUAGAGAAACAAAGAUCACACAUACAACUAAUUCUAAUGAGUUCUGUAUCGAACUUCAAAUCUCUUAUGUAGAUGGGAGCAGAUAACUCAAAGACAUUCACCAGCAAAAGCCAUGGAGCUGAUGAAAAGGUACCUUCACUUGGUCAGAUAUAGAGAAAUGUAUAAUGUCAAACAUAUGCUUUUUUCAUCAUUUGUAGCCUUGGAUUUUUUGACUAUGGAAGCUCUGAUAGAGUUCCUAGGUCACUAUCAUCAAUCUGAGGCCACCAUGCCAUGCAGCUAGCAUUCAAUGGUGUGUAUGUGCAGUGCUGGUUGAAGUGAUCCCAGCAGUGGAGGUGCCAUCAUAGUUUGCCGGCCAAGUGACAUGUGCCCUUAGAAUUAUGGUACUGGCGUAGGUACUCGGUCAGAGGCUAUACAUAGUUAGUGAAUCCAAGGCUACUAAUGCCGAAAAUACUAGUUCAUCACCUGCAAUAGUCGAGCGCCAGUCUCACAUGGUGACUACAAAGAACUCCGCAUGAUGCAGAUGCGCUAGUCCAUGUCCUCCAUCAUGUUGCUGUUGAUCCUAGAGUUUUCUAGCAGAUAUUGGUGCAUGAUGCAUGUCACGGUGGCCUUUUAGGAAUGUGUAUUCUUCAUCAGGUUAGCUUGUUUGCUAUCAUAUUGUACUAUUAUAAGUUUAUGAGUAUGAUCAUUACCAUGUUUGAAUAUAUCUCAAAUAGAAUAGUGCAAAAAAUGUUGAAGCAAAUUGUUUUAAAAAUCAAGCUAAGUGCUUUGAUUGUCUGUCCAAAAUUAUAUUAUUAUGUGUUGAGCACUUAUAACAUAAUAGGAUUUUUUAUUUUCUCUUCUAGAAAAUCUACCUUGUAGGUGACAUGAAUUAGUUUCAUACUAAUUUAAUUUUCGCUCGACUUGCCAACAUCUUCUUUACUUCACACUUGCAUCUACUCAUGACUAUUACAACACUACUACCUAAAUGACCCGCCUCAAAAAAGAGCCCAUAUCUAGUGAAAUCUUGUGGCAACAAGGCUUGGUGGUGGCAUAGAUCCUGCAAGUGGAGCAAUGGUGUAUUGAUGGGCUUGGUGGGCCCAUGGACUGGCUCACUAGGCUUAUCUAUGGGUUUUCUUGUUUCAUUUUAUUUGAUUUACCAAGGUAGGCAUUUAAACCAACUCAGCAACGGCCAAUUUACUGUGGCCUUUGGUCAAAGGUAGUUGUGAUGUCCACCUCGGUAAAUAAAAAAUACCUGCCUUUAGUAAGUUUUCUAUAGUAGUGCAAAUUAUGGUCUUAUGUAUUACAUUCUACCUUACUUUUGAUUAUCAGAGAAACAAAGAUCACACAUACAUCGAAUUCUAAUGAGUUCUAUAUCAAACUUCAAAUCUCUUAUGUAGAUGGGAGCAGAUAACUCAAAGGCGUUCACCGGCAAAUGCCAUGAAGCCCAUGAAAAGGUACCUUCACUUGGUCAGCCGUGGAGAAAUGUAUGAUAUCAGGAUCUUCUUUUUGUCAUCAUUUGUAGCCUUGGAUUUGUUGACUAUGGAAGCUCUGAUAGAGUUCCUAGGUCACUAUCAUUAAUCUAAGGCCACCAUGCCAUGCUGCUAGCAUUUAGUGGUGUGUAUUUCUAGUGCUGGCUGAAGUGAUCCUAGCAGUAGAGGUGCCAUCAUGGUUUGCUGGCCAAGUGACAUGUGCCCCUAGAAUUAUGGUACUGGCAUAGGUACUCGGUCAGAGGUUAUACAUUGUUAGUGAAUCCAAGGCUACUAAUGCCGAGGAUACUAGUUCAUCACCUGCAAUAGUCAAGCACCAGUCUCACAUGGCGACUACAAAGAACUCCGCAUGAUGCACAUGCACUUGUCUAUGUCCUCCUUCAGGUUGCUGCUGAUCCUAGGGUUUUCUGGUAGAAAUUGGCGCAUGUUGCAUGUCACUGUGGCCUUUUAGGAACGUGUAUUCUUCAUCAGGUUAGCUUCUUUGCUAUCAUAUUGUAAUAUUAAAAGUUUAUGAGUAUGAUAAUUACCAUGUAUGAAUAUCUCUCAACUAGAAUAGUAUAAAAAAAAUGUUGAAGCAAAUACGUUGUCAACAAUCUGGUUAUGUGCUUUGAUGGUCUUUGCAAAAUCAUCUUAUUCUAUGUUGAGGACUUAUAACAUAUUAUGAUUUUUAUUUUCUCUUCUAGAAAAUCUUCCUUUUAGGUGAUAUGAACUAAUUUCAUCCUAAUUUAAUUCUUGCUUGAAUUUCCAGCUACAUCUUCUUCACAUAACAGCUACACCUAUUCAUGACUAUUACAACAAUACUACCUAAACGAUCCACUACAAAAAAGUUUGAGGCCUAAAUAAUACCAGGUGAGCCCACCAGCAUGACCUAAAUACAUAUAUGGUGACAACUUAUUAGGGUUUGACUCAUUCGAUCCUCUCUCUCUCUCACCUCUCACAUUACCUCUCCCUUGGUUGCCCCUCAUAAGAACAACGCCCCACCCCUUUCCUCCCACUCCACAUGUCCCCUCCCCUCCCAUCCCGAUGGCACAUGCGCCACCCCUCCCCUCUCUGCAGCAUGUGCCCCACCCAUCCCCUUUCCUCUCGGUGACCCUUGCUUAUAGAUCUAGUGGCUUAAGUGAGGCAAGAUCUAGUAGCCUAGGUGAGUAGCCCCUCUAACGAACGCAAGAUCUGCAUAGGGGAGUGGCUCCUCUAGUGGGUGCAGAGGGUGGCAUGGUGGGAUAUGGGGGUGGCAAAUGUGGCAUUCUGGUAGCAGUGGUUAGCUCUACUCUCUCUCACCAGUGGCAUGAGGCCGACAUGGGGCCAAUCAUGACCAAGGAGCAGAGGGUGAGUGGUGACCACUAGAUCUAGUGAGGAGGAGGUCUGAUCUGGUGAGGAGGAGCCCAAAUCUAGUGGGCUCAUGCCACAGUGGGGCUUGGUGGUGGCGUAGAUCCAGCGAGUGGAGUGGUAAUGCGUUGAUGGCCUUGGUGGGCCCAUGGAUUGGCUCACUAGGAUUGUCCAUGGUAUUCUUAUUUUAAUUUUUAUUUAAUUUACUGAGGUGGCAUUUCAACCACCUCGGCAAAGGUAAAUUUACCAUGACCUUUUUCCAUGGUAGUUGUGAUAUUUGCCUUGGUAAAUAAAAAAUGCCUAGCUCUAGUAAGUUUUCUAUAGUAGUGAAAAUUAUGGUCUUAGUGGGUUUGUAUUCAAUUCUAUCUUACUUUUAUUACCCAAGAAACAAAAAUCACACAUACUACUAACUCUUAUGAGUUCUAUAUUAAACUUCAAACCUCUUGUGUAGAUGGGAGCAGAUACUCAAAGACGUUGACCAGCGAAAGCCAUGGAGCCCAUGAAAAGGUACAUCACUCGGUCAGCCACAGAGAAACAUAUGAUGACAAAGAUCCACUUUUUGUCAUCAUUUGUGGCCUUGUAUUUGUUGACUAUGGAAGCUUUGAUAGAGUUCCUAGGUCACUAUCAUCAAUCUGAGGCCACCAUGCCAUGUAACUAGCAUUCGGUGGUGUGUAUUUUCAGUGCUAGCCGAAGUGAUCCUAGCAGUGAAGGUGCCAUCAUGGUGUGCCAGCAAGUGACAUGUGCCCUUGGAAUUAAGGUACUGGCAAAGGUACUCGAUUAGAGGUUGUACAUAGUUAGUGAAUCCAAGGCUACCAAUGCCCAAGCAUACUAGUUCAUCGCCUACAAUAGUCAAGUGCCAGUCCUGCAUGGCGAUUACAAGGAACUACACAUGAUGCACAUGCGCUAGUCCAUGUCCUCUUUCAUGUUUCUAGUGAUCCUAGAGUUUUCUGGCAGAGAUUGGCACAUGAUGCAUGUCAUGGUGGCCUUUUAGGAUUAUGUAUUCUUGAUCAAGUGUGCUUCUUUGCUAGCAUAUUGUACUAUUAAAAGUUUAUGAGUAUGAUAAUUACCAUGUAUGAAUUCUUUUGGUUCUAAUAGUACAAAAAAUGUUGAAACAAAUGCACUAUCAACAAUCUGGCUAUGUGCUUCGAUGGUCUUUCCAAAAGCAUCUUAUUCUGUGUUGAGGACUAGCAUAUUAUGAUUUUUAAUUUUCAUUUGUAGAAAAUCUACCUUCUAGGUGACAUGUAUUAAUUUCAUCCUAAUUCAAUUCUCACCUAACUUGCCAAUUGCAUCUUCUUUACUUAACAGUUUCAUCUAUUCAUGACUAUUACAAAUCAUGAUCCUAGUGGCUUUGCGUUCCAUCCUACCUUACUUUUGAAUCAUAGAGAAACAAAGAUCACUGAUGAUUUCAAUGUGAAACUUCAAACUUCUAAUCUAGAUGGGAGCAGUUAACUCAAAGAUGAUCACUAGCGAAACUCUGUCGGCCACGAAGAACUGUAUGAUGGCAAAGAUUCGCUUUUUAUCAUCAUCUGCAGCCUUGGAUUUGUUUACUGUGUACGCAUUGAUAGAGUUCCCAGGUCAUUAUCACCAAUAAAAGGCCACCAUGCCAUACAGCUAGCAUUCGAACGUGUGUAUUUCCAACUCUGGCUGAAGUGAUCCCAUUAGUGGAGGUCCAUCAGGGUCUAUCGGCCACAUGACAUGUACCCUUGGAAUUAUGGUAUUGGUGUAGGUACUCAGUCAAAGGGUGUACAUGGUCAACUAAUCCAAGGCUGCUAAUACCGAGGAUACUAGUUCAUCGCCCUACAGUAGUUAAGUGGUAGUGUGGCAUCGCAAUUGCAAUGAACUCCACAUGAUGCACGUGUGCCGGUCCAUGUCCUCCAUGUUGCUGGUGAUCCUAUAGUUUUCUGGUAGAGAUUGGUGCAUUAUGCACAUUAUGGUGGCCUUUUAGGAUCAUUUAUUCUUCAUUAGGAGUGCUUCUUUGCUAGCAUAUUGUUUAUGAGUAUGACAAUCAAGUAUGAACAUCUCUUAACUCGAAUUGUACAAAAAAUGUUCAAACAAAUGCACUAUCAAUAAUCUAGCUAUGUGCUUCUAUAGUCUUUCCAAAAGCAUCUUGUCCGGUGUUGAAGACUUAACAUAUUAUGUUUUUUAUUUUGACUUCUAGAAAAUCUUCAUUUUAGUGACAUGCAUUAAUUUUGUCAUGAUUAUAUUCUCGCCCGACUUUGCCAACUACAUCUUCUUUGCUUAACAGUUGCAUCUAUUCAUGACAAUUACAAAUCAUGGUCUUAGUGGCUUUACAUUCUAGUCUACCUUGCUUUUGACUACUAUAGAAACAAAGAUCACACUACUAAUUCUGAUGAGUUCCAUAUCAAACGUCAAACCUCUAAUCCAGAUGGGAGCUGUGUUGUUAACUCGAAGACAAUCUCAUCGGUGAAAGCCAUGGAGACCAUGAAAAGUUACCUCACUCAGUCAGCCAUGGAGAAACAUAGGAGGGCAAGGAUCUGGUUUUGCCAUCAUUUGAAACCUUAGAUUUGUUGAUUAUGGUAGCUUUGAUAGAGUUCCUAGGUAACUAUCAUUAAUUCGAGGCCACCAUGCCUUGCGCCCAGCAUUUAGUGGUGUGUAUUUCCAACGCUAGAUGAUGUGAUCAUAGUAGUAGAGGUGCCAUCAUAGUCUACCAGCCACAUGACUAGUGCCCUUUGAAUUAUGGUACUGGCAUAAGUACUCAGUGAGAGGCUGCACAUAUUUGACUCGUUAGAGGUUGCUAAUGUUGCGGAUACUAGGUCAUCGCCUGGAAUAGUCAAGCACCAAUCUCGCAUGGCAAUCACGAGGAACUCCACUCGAUGCAAGUGUGAUGGUCCAUGUCCUUAAUCACGUUGCUCAUUAUGAUCUUAGAGUUUUCUAGUAGAGACUGGGGCAUGACGCAUAUCACUAUGGCCUUUUAGGAUCUUGUAUUCUUCAUUACAUGCUUUUCUUUGCUAGCAUAUUGUACUACUAAAAGUUUAUGAAUAUGAUAAUUACCAAGUAUGGAUACCUCUCUACUGGAGUUGUACAAAAAAAAAUUUGUAAUGAAUGCACUAUCAAUAAUCUGGCUACGUGGUUCAAUGGCAUUUCCAAAAUAACCUUAUUCUAUGUUGAAGACUUAUAACAUAUUACAAAUUUCUUAUUUUGACUUCAAGAAAAUCUACCUUUUGGUGACAUGCAUUAAUUUCAACCUGAUUCAAUUCUUGCUCAACUUGUCAGCUACAUCUUCUUUACUUAACAGUUGUUCUAUUCAUGACUAUUACAAAUCAUGGUCUUACUAGCUUUCCUUCCAUUCUACCUUGCUUUUGACUACUAGAGAAAUGAAGAUCAAACUACUAAUUCUGAUGAGUUCCAUAUAAAACUUCAAACCUCUAAUCUAGAUGGCAGCAGAAAACUAUGAAGACGAUAACUGGCGAAAGCCAUAGAGCUAAUCAAAAGUUACCUUGCUCGGUCAGCCACAGAGAAAGGUUGGAGGGCAAAGAUCCAUUUUUCCAUCAUUUGCAGCCAUGGAUUUGUUGACUAUUGUAGCUCUAUGAAGACGAUAACUGGCGAAAACCAUAGAGCUAAUCAAAAGUUACCUUGCUUGGUCAGCCACAGAGAAAGGUUGGAGGGCAAAGAUCCAUUUUUUUGUCAUUUCCAGCCAUGGAUUUGUUGACUAUUGUAGCUCUGAUAGAAUUCCUAGGUCACUAUUAUAAAUUUGAGACCACCAUGUAUUUGGAGCACCGUGUGAAGUGAUCCUAGUAGUGGAGGUGCCAUCAUAGUCGUCUGCUGGUCACAUGACAUGUGCCCUCAGAAUUAUGGUGCUAUUGUAGGUACUUGGUCAAACGUUGUGCAUAGUUAGCCAAUCCAGGGCUGCUAAUGCCAAGGAUACUUGGUCAUCACCUGCAGUAAUCAAGCACCGAUCUCUCAUGGCGACCGCUGUUGACACCUCGGGUGGCACACAUAAUUAACCGCAAGCGUACGACAGUCAGUUGUAGCUUUUUACCAAAGGAGUAUUCCUAGGGUUAUCGAAUCCAUGAGGAACGUGAAGAGAUCUAUAGGCUAGAGGGAAGAAUGACUAUGGGGAUAGAAGUAUAGGGGCUAACUACUAGGGUUGGUCCGCUACCGUCACUACACUAAGGGAUUAUAUAUUCUUGACUUAUGCACUGUGAGCGUACGCAUCCUAAACUCACCCAAGAGGGUUGAUUAGUCAUGACGCACAACUAGCUCUACGUUUAAAUAACUAGGCGCAACAUGGUGGAAUACAUAGGCAAACAGGGCUGUCACCACCUACCGCUACCACAGCUAUCCGGAGGCCUAGCCGUAUUCAAGGGUAAGCUAUAGCCUAAGCACCGCGCUUAAUCUAUGCACUUACUACUCUAAUCCGGAUCCUGGAACUAGAGCACUCUCACCAAGCAAUGAAACAAGCACACAAAUAGGAAUAAAUAAGUACUUAGAAAUAAUAAAGGUUUAUAGGAUUACCAAAGAAGAAGCACAGAGUAGAGGGAAGCAGAGGUCGCUGACAAGCCUUGCUCCUCUCCUGACUUCUCGUCUUCUCCUCCCUAACUCCUCUUCCAAGGGAGGCAACUAGCUAGCUACUCACUAACUCUAGUAGACUAACUAUCAAAUGAACCUGCCUGCCUUCAAAGUGACCCGAGGGGGGUGGUUUAUAUAGGCUGGAGGUGACGGGGGCACUACAAAAGGUGAGUGGAGUGGCGGGCGCCACUGUGGAGUGGCGGGCGCCACUCCAUGCAACCGCUUUUCGAUCCUACGGCUCCUGCUUGCUCCUGGCUGUGGUUCCCCAAGUAAAUAAAUGAUAUCUAUCAAACCUUAUCAACACAUUGGCAUAGAAGUAUAUAAACAAUUUAACAUCAAAUUGCAAUGUGAAGGCAGAAAAGUAAAGAGGAUCGGGCAAUGACAUACCUGGAUUUGGGGGAGGCACUUCCCCAGGCUGGCCUUUUGCUCGGAGUUGAAAUCUUCUUUUCGAACGGGUCUCUUUCUUCUUUAUUUAUUUAUUUAAUACUACUAUUAAGACACAUGACUACUAUCAUGCAAGACUAUUAUUAUUAUUAUUAUUAUUAUUAUUAUUAUUAUUAUUAUUAUUAUUAUUAUUAUUAUUAUUAUUAUUAUUAUUAUUAUUAUUAUUAUUAUUAUUAUUAUUAUUAUUAUUAUUAUUAUUAUUAUUAUUAUUAUUAUUUGUUUUGUUUUUUAACCUAUUUUAAAUGCAUGGUACUUCUAUGAGCACUUUUAUUGAAAUGAAAAGAUGCAACCUAUCAACUGAAAAUGUAAAUUUGGAAAGGGAAAUUUGCAGGUGUAACCUAUACUAAGUAGACUAAAGCAAUGAAACUUACCUCCUUGCAGUGUCGUGGGUUGCAGUCUUCAUGGUUGCUUGGACAGAGGUUGGGUUGCCCAAUGCACACGCCAGUUCUUUCAUUACCUGUGCUUACUUGAAGACAUAGAAAGUGAAAGCAACAAGGUUCUACUAGUACAAACGUACUAGUGAACCAAAACCUUAUUCCUCUCAAAGCAAACCGAGGCGCAUAGCAUGAACAACAUUUAUCAUGAUAAAGGGAAGAUCAAGGCAAAGGAGAAAGACACUUAUGUCAUGCAUGUUAUAGGAUUUUAGUAAACAUGACAAGAAGUUGCAUAGGAGAGGUUUCCUGUUUGAGCAUUUGAUUUAGAGAUGAGAAUGUAAAUACAAAAGAUGGUCAUUUAAACUGAACAUCUCAAUCUCCACUCUUCCUACAUUUGUUUAAGACAAAACAAGAUAGAAGAACAUAUGCACAAGAAUUCGAGUUGUUUCUAGUUAAUGCUAGGUCAGGUGACUUAUACAUGCAUCUAACAUAUAUACCAGCAGUUUUAGUUCAAUAACCAAACUAGACACCAUGUCAAAUUAUGCUAAGGAAGGCUAUUUAACCUAAGCAUCAUGCUUAAUUUAAAAGCCUUUGAAAUUAUGUAUAUCAAUACUUCCAAACUAAAACAAAUUAGCACAAAUGGAAAGAACCAUGAAAGGCACAAAACUUUUGGCACAUUUUUAUUACUCAAGGUGACAAGGAAUUAAAAGCAUAGGCCAUGAUUAUGAAUAGAAAGAAAGCAUGACUGAAAAUCUAAGCAUUACCAUAUUAGCAAAACUUAAACAAGUUCAAUCAAUUAUUCAUAUAUUCAUGAUCAUAAGACCAAGGGUAAUAUUGAAACAUUAAGCACAUACCUUAGCAAUAUUACCUUUGUCACGUGAAGCGUGAGGAUGACCUUGGAUGGAUCAGGAUCGAUUUAAAGCUUCUUAUUCUCACUAUUGAAUUGCACAUUUGCAUCUUGUCUUUGUUUUGAAUUCCUUCUUAUUGAUGUCGCCCAUGGCUCGCUUGCUAAGUCUUGAGUCAUAAUUUUGAAAUCUGCUACAAACACUAGUGCAAGGUGAUACUACAAACCCGACCGGUGUGAGAGCACAUCGGCCGGUGCAACAAUCAAGCUUAAUUUAGGUUGGCACCAUUUUAUUCAAAAGGGAAAACACUACUACUACUAUGAUGGACACUAAACUACUAUUACAAUGGACACUAAAUGAACUAAAAAAGCAAAUAAAUGGGUUAUCUCCUAGUAGUGCAUUGUUUUAACUCAUAAGCUCGACCCUUGCAGUUGGACUGCAAAAACUUGUGCCUAGGAAAUUACGAGCUUUGGAAUGCUUAUGGUAAACAAAAGCAUCCGUAACCAUCCUUUCAAAUGAUUGAUGAAGGAGAGACAUAGGAUGGUUGCAACUCUCGUAAAUGCUAGCAAAAGUAGGAAGGAAAGAUUCUAGCAAUUUCUCAUAAAAUUGUGGAUCAGGUGGCUCUUCCAAAAAUAUAACUUAUAUGCUCAUCCACCUAAUUCUCCUUAUUGAACUCCAAAGUUGAUUCCCCAAGAAUGUCAAUAAACCAAAUAUCUUUGUGCAUCAUCUCCUGCCUAUGAAACUCUAUGAAUGGAUUUUCAUCCUCAUCCUCCAUUAAGAUGGGGAUCUAUUCCACCAGUGACUCUCCUUCCAUUUCGACAUCAACCGGAAGAUUUGGAUUGUAUCCUUGGUUUGAAUGGUCAAAUAGAUAAGGAGGGUCAUAUGGAGGAUCAAGAUCUCGGUCGCUAAAAUCUCUAACAUGUUGUCGGUUGCUCAAAGUUGGACCAUCAAAUGGUCCAUUGCUAAAUAUGAUGACCAUCGUUGUAUGCAUACAACGACGGUUUCAUUAGCAACUGGGGGGUCUGUUGCUAUAAGUUUUAGCAACGGACUGUCCAUCGUUAUCACUCCUUUUAGCAACUUCAAGUUAGUCGUUGUUUAAAGGUUGUGGCGUAGUGGGUGUGGCCCAUGUCAAGCUAUGAGGGUAGGGUUUAUACCCCCACAUAAAGGCUAACUCAUGUCUCCAACCUUUCUCAUGCUAGGGUAAGAAACCUAAUGAACCCCUCGCACUAAGACGCACCAAAUCCAUAGUGUGAAUCAGUACAACAUGGUACUCAACAACUUAAUAUUCCAUGAGUAGACAUGUGGUUUGCAUGGAAACUAGAACAUCAGGCACCUUUGGGCGCCUGUAACACCCAAAAAUUUGAUUUCCAUUAAUAGGAAUUAAUUUGAUUUAAUUAAGUAUUUUUGUGAGUAUUUAAAUUUAGCACUUAAAUAUUUUUUGUGGAAAAUAAAAUUUAUCAUAGGUUUAAUAAACAUGUUGGUGCAUUUCAUGCUGGAGCAUAUUUAAUUCUGUGUUGUUGGCUUUUUGGUUUGAAUUUAUUUGAUUCAAAUUCUAUUUGGAAAAUGCUUUAGAAAAAGAAAAAAAGAAAGGGAAGGGCAAACCACCCCCAGCGAUUUUUUUUUAUUUUUAGCCCAAAUUCGAAACAUAUUUCAAAUUUGACCCGGUUUGAAUUUUUUUUAAAAAAACUAACCCGUUUGGCCCCGCCACCAUGCAUGGCGGGGCAAAUGCACUGUACUCCGCCAUGCAUGGCGGCGGGGUACAGCCUCCACGUGACGUGCAUGGCGACGAGGCUGCUGAUGUGUACCCUGUCAUGGACCACGGCGGGUUAGGGUACCCCGCCAUGGAUCAUGGCGGGGUACGUACCAGCUGUAUACACAGAGGAGGCAGAGAGCUGGCCUUGUUUAGUUCCAAAAAUUUUGGAAAAAUCGAUACUAUAGCACUUUCGUUUGUAUUUGACAAAUAUUGUCCAAUCAUGAACUAACUAGGGUCAAAAGAUUCGUCUCAUCAAUUUCGACUAAACUGUAUAAUUAGUUUUUAUUUUUAUCUAUAUUUAAUACUCUAUGCAUACGUCUAAGUUUCAAUGUGACGUGGAAUCUGAAAAAUUUUGUAAAACUUUUUGAAAACUAAACAAAGGCUGACAACCCGCGAGUGGUCUGGUCACGUACACCACAUCAUGGAGUCUAGGGUAGUCUGGGUUCUUGUUUAAUUGCGAAAAUAUUUUGGUUUCGGUACUGUAGCACUUUCAUUUUUAUUUGACAAACAUUGUCCAAUCAUGAAGUAAUUAGGCUUAAAAUAUUCGUCUCGUGAUUUACAGAUGAACUGUGCAAUUAGUUUUUGUUUUUAUUUAUAUUUAAUGUACUAUGUAAGAUUCGAUAUGACGAAAAAUCUUAAAAUUUUGGGAACUAAACAAGGCCUGAACAGUUGGCGCAGCUUUGUGGACAUGACGACACAGCUGCUGCUAGAGCUAGGCUUUAUUUAGUUCACACCAAAACUCAAAAAAUUUUCAAGAUUUCUUAUCAUAUUAAAUUUUGCGGCACAUGAAUGAAACAUUAAAUAGAUAAAAACAAAAACUAAUUACACAGUUUGCCUGUAAAUCACGAGACGAAUCUUUUAAGUCUAGUUACUCCAUGAUUGAACAACGUUUGUCAAAUAAAAACGAAAAUGGUACAAUACCGAAACCAAAAUAUUUUCGCAAUUAAACAAGACCCUAGACUACUGAUGUGACCCUAGACUCCAUGAUGUGGUCGGUACGUGACCAGACCACUUGCUGGACAAACAUGUCUUGUCAGCCUUGUUUAGUUUCCAAAAAGUUUUACAAAAUUUUUCAGAUUCCACGCCACAUUGAAUCUUAAACGUAUGCAUAGAGUAUUAAAUAUAGAUAAAAAUAAAAACUGAUUGUACAGUUUAGUCAAAAUUGAUGAGACGAAUCUUUUGACCCUAGUUAGUUCAUGAUUGGACAAUAUUUGUCAAAUACAAACAAAAGUGCUACAGUAUCGAUUUUUCCAAAAUUUUUGGAACUAAACAAGGCCAACUCUCGGCCUCCUCUGUGUAUACAGCUGCUACGUAACCCGCCAUGAUCUAUGGCGGGGUACCUUAACCCGCCAUGGUCCAUGGCGGGGUACACGUCAGCAGCCUCGUCGCCAUGCACGCCACGUGGAGGCUGUACCCCACCGCCAUGCAUGGCGGGGUACAGUGCAUUUGCCCCGCCAUGCAUGGUGGCGGGCCAAACGGGUUAGUUUUAAAAAAAAAAUUCAAACCGGGUCAAAUUUGAAGUAUGUUUCGAAUUUGGACUAAAAAUAAAAAAAAUUCCCCCCAGCUCGGCCCAGCACCCCCUCCCCUUCUCUCCUCCCGCCUCGGCCCGUUAGCGCGGCCCACCAAGCGGCCAGGCAGGCCCGCGCGCGCCUCCCCCUCUCUCUCUGGCUGGUGAGCAGACCCCACCCCUUCUUUCACCGCUAGCCGGGUCCCACGCGUCAGUCUCUUCUCUCACCUUUCCUUCUUCCUCACGACCGAGACCGACUCAAGUCCAUCGAGCCGGCCGAAUCAAUCCCGAAAACCGCGGGAUUUUCCUUGCCUAUCGCGUCAACCGAGCGCUAUAAAGCUUCUCCCCCACCCCGCGGCUCCAUCUUUGCAUCUAAUUAGCGAGACCGAGCCCUAGCCAUCCCAAACCUCGAGCUUUUGGAUCUCACCGUGGCCGCGCCCUAUCUCCACCGCGGCGAGCACCUCCUCGUUCUUCUCAGCGCGAACCGAGCGUCUUGGUGAGUCCGCAGUGAGCUUCUCGACCCUCUGGCGUUUUCCUUUUGAAGAAUGGUGCACCGAGUCGUGUUUUUGACGAACUCCGGUGAACUCCCCUAUGGCGCCGCCGCGGGGAAGGCUCUAUUCCGGCCAGCUCGCCGUCGGCGUCCUCCUGUCUCUCCCGGAGCGAUCUGAGCCCUCCAAUUCGUGAUCGACGCACAGGAUUAGAACUUACCCCUUCGGGGUAAAUCUUGUUAAAGAGACCCUAGAAAAGUUAUGAUUUAACCCGCCGUCCAAAGCGUUUUCUUCGUUUUACGCUUUCUGAAUGGGAACACGUAUUCUUUACAGGUUUGAAUUAGAAUACGCUUUCUGCUAUUUACAAGUUUGCCACUGAAACUAUUUUGCUCAUAAAAUACUCAUUUUAACUCUGUUUUUGUCCAUUCAAAUUUCAUUAGAUUCGUAUUUACGAGCUCUACAUGUUAGGAAAUCUUCGCAGUAGCAUUUAAUUAAUUAUUUAUCUAUAGGAAAUCUUGGAAAAUUCAUAUCUUCUACGUGUUAAUUCCGAUUUUCGUGACCUUUACGUUUGUAUGAUCGUAGCGCUUCGUAGAAUAUUUUCAUAAACUUUUAUCUUCGAUUUCUCACUGUUGGUGUAUUGUUCUAAUUAUAGCUUGUUUGCUUUGUGUAUGAUUGUCUACAUUGGAAUGCGUGUUGUUGAUUGAUGUUUGGGAAUAGACGGUGAGCCGUACGUUGGUGAUCAAGACCAAGCCUUUGAAGACCAGCAGGCUCAGGAGAGCUUUGAUCAAGGCAAGUAUAACUUGGGAUCAUUCUUGUUACCUAUUCACUUAUAAACACACAGAUAUAUCAUAUGCAUGAUUUCACCUUGUCGACCUUAGCAAAAUCAUAGAUGAUUGUUACCUGGAUUCCUUGCUACCUACUUGAUAUGCAUUUGGUGUAGAUGUGCUAGUGCUUGAUAUAAUCCAUGAUCUUGUAAGAUGAUUAAUAGCUAUGCAAUGAACGUUAAAGGAUGAUAAAUAACUAUAUGAGAUCUUGUGUGUAAGUGAUCACCGGGACAACAGUGCAACCAUGAGGGCUAUAAUGGCUCUGGCUUUAGCUCAGUAUGAUGACCUUUUCUAGCUUGUUAGAGGUUACCCAGAAGGGCGCUAGAGGGGCUCAACCGUUUUGGGUAUAGUGCGAGCCCCUAUCCUUAUGUGUAUAGGCUGCACGUCAUUGUGCCAUUUGGAAGGGGGCAUCUAUAUCUGCGCGCCAGGGAAACCUUGUGGCCCUAACAUGUUAGACGAACUUUUGAAAGGCUUCAUAGUGAUCCCUGCCGACCUCUCUUGGAAGGGGGUUAAGAGACUAGCUACCUCGGGCGAAAGGGUAAAUCAUGACUCAUGGGUAAAGAUGUACAACCUCUGUAGAGUGUUAAAAACUGGUAUACUAGCCAUGCUCACGGUUAAGAGCGGCCUUGGGGGUUCUUACACCAACGAUGAUGAGCUUGUUAAGUUGUUAUGUUCAUUUGAUUAUCGUUUAUGCAAUGGGUUAAUUAUGCUUACAUUUGAUCAUAUGAUUAUCGGAUUAUUCAUGCUACCUUGAAAUUUGCUAUUGAAUUAUGAACAUGCUAUCCACUAUUAAAAGCUAAAUGCAGUCAAACCAGUGUCAGCUAUUUGAGCCUCAUGAACUCCUGGUUAUACUUGUUGAGUAUGAUAUGUGCUCGCUCUUGCAAUUUCCCAACACCCCAGGUUAUGCAAAUGAUGAAGCUUGGAAUGAGGACUACCGUUAUGAGUAUUAGGCUUGAAGUCAACCAGUCAACACUGUCCCUGUGUGGUGCUUCCGUCGGGAGUAUCUUUAUUUGUUUGAGAUUAUGUAAUAAUUAUUAUCCCGCUAUGUAAUAAACACUGCAAUGGUACAUUUGAGAUUUGUCUACUUAUGUGUGCGACUGUUUCUGGGGCACAUAUGAGUCUUUUAUGCAUCCUAUUUUGUUCUUAAAAUAUGGGUGUGAUAAAUUGGUAUCAGAGCUUUGUUGACUGUCGGAUGCAAGUCUAGUUAGAUAUUGGCCGUCUUAAGAUUUUGAAAUUGCUACAAAAUCCUUGUUCUAUAAACCUUGAUAUUUUCCUCUGCACUAUAUCCUUUUCAUUGCUAUUCAUCAUCACCUUGUUGCUUAAUUUAAAGACUUGUUCUCAUCCUCACUCCUUGCUUGAUAUGCUUUUAGAACCUUCUCUUACCACCUUCCGGCGUCUUUGAAAUGGGAGUUUUAGGAUCUUUACCCCUAAUAGGAAGAGAACGAUAGCACCGCAAGUUGAGUCAAUGCUUAAAGUGUGAACCUUUGAUGCUUGGUUUGGUUUGUCAUUAUGCUUAUGUUUGAUUUAGAUCUUUCUAAUGAGUGUAAUGAUCUUGUAGAUUUUCUCUACAAUUUCAUUUAGUUUAUAGGCCUAAGGCAUAAGGAUUAAUGAACUAGAUAGUUGGGUAUGGUAAAAAUUAUGUUUCUGUCUCUUGCUGAUUUCUGGAGCAGUCUGCAAUAAAUCUGGUACAUCUUCAAAUUUGUUCGUGCAAAGUUCAUCAAUUUUUUCUGGAAACACGAAGACUUUCAUAUAUUUCCAAUGUCGUAAGAAUGACAAUAUUAUCUGUUAUGAGCUGUGAGAUAUGACUGUUCAAAGUUGAGGUUUAUGCGCAGUCUGGAAUUCUGGAACAGUUUUAGUUAUGACCAGUUUUGACUAAUUUAACGACAGAAUCUGUUGAUAUGGUUUGAAUGAAAGUUGUAGAUAAUUCCUUUAUCUUUCCAACGGUGUAUAGAUUGUAUCCUUUUGAAUUCCAGAAGUCGAGAUAUGACUGAUUUUCUGAUCUGCUGAUGCUGGAUGUUACCCAGAAAAUUUCAGAUUCCAUUAUCUCUUGUAAUUGUCAUGUUGGACGUUAGUAAGACAUGUUUCUAUACCUUGGAAUGCAGAUGGCAGCAAGGGGAAGAGGCAGAGGCAGAGGCCGUGGCAUGGGUGGCAAUGUCCCAAUUACUGUGGAAGAGCUCAUGCAAACCCAGAAUGAGAUGAUGCAUGUCUUCAUGCAGCACCUACAGCAGCAACCUCCUGCACCACCACCACCUGUCCAUGUGAGGGACAAGCGUGGGGAGUUUAUGAAGGGAAGAUCUCCGGCAUUUACACACUCAGCUGAUCCCAUGGAGGCAGAUGAUUGGUUACGUGCUGUGGAGAGGCAACUGAAUAUAGCACAGUGCAAUGACUUGGAGAAGGUAUUGUCUGCUUCUGGACAGCUUCAGGGAGCAGCUCAGACAUGGUGGGAGUCGUAUCAAGCUACUCGUCCCAACAAUGCUCCUACUGUCACAUUGUUGGAAUUUUGUAGAGACUUCAAAGCUCAACAUAUAAAUGAGGGAAUGAUGGAGCUCAAGCAAGAAGAAUUCAGAUCUCUCAGGAUGGGCUCUAUGACUGUGGCAGAAUAUCAUGACACAUUUGAACAGUUGGCUCGCUAUGCUCCAAAUGAUGUCAGAGAAGAUGCUGAUAAGCAGCGCUUGUUCAUGAAAGGCCUAUACUAUGAACACUGGUUGCAACUGGCUGGAAACACUUAUCCUACCUUCCAAGCUCUGGUGAAUCGUGCUAUAGUGCUGGACAACAUGCGCAAGGGGCAGGAUAAGAAGAGAAGGAUGCUGGCACAAGGCUCUGGGAGCUACAACCGUCAGCGUUUCAGUUCUUAGCAAGGCUAUCAGCAGAGGUUCCAAGGACCAGUUAGUCAGUGGAACCGCAACCAGCAACCUCAGCGUUUCCAAAAUCAAUCCCAAAGUGGGAACCAACGUCCUCCAUUCUAGCAGCGUAAUCAUAACCAACAGUAGAAUGGUCAGCAGACACCCUGCUCAGGGAACUCAAAUGCCACCUCCAUGAAAAGAAGUGCUUCUAACACUCCUACAAGGUGUUUCCGUUGUGGGAAGGAAGGACAUAUGUCAUAUGAUUGCCCGGAGAAUCUCAACAAGCAGAACAACAACCAGAAGUCUACUGCUUAUGCGGCAACAGUGAACAAUGUGGCUACAGAAACAGUUCAGGAGGGACCAGAAAUCAUGAUGAGUACGUUCAGCAUCAACUCUAUCCCUGCUACAGUUCUAUUUGAUUCUGGAGCUUCGCAUACAUUCAUUUCACAAGCAUUUGUUAGAGUUCAUAGCAUUCCACUAGUUGCCAUGAAAACCCCUAUGCUAAUAAAUUCACCGGGUGGGACUAUACCAGUUUCUUAUUGUUGCCCCUCAGCAAGUCUUUCUUUAAGGGGGGUAGAUUUUCCUAUUAGUCCCAUGGUUAUGAGAACUUUAGGCAUAGAUAUGAUCUUGGGUUUGGAUUGGAUGAAGUAAUAUGAGACAGAUAUUAAGUGCAAAGAGAGAGUAGUGGCUCUGACAACACCAAAGGGAGAACGAAUCAGUGUUGAUGUAACAGUGCAAGCACCACUCACAGCUAAAGUGAACCAACUGAAUGAUGAUGUUGAUCCUCAGAAUCUGGUAGUGGAUGAGUUUCCGGAUGUCUUUCCAGAUGAAUUGCCAGGUAUGCCACCUGACCGAGACAUUGAAUUUAUUAUUGAAUUGCUACCUGGUACUGCACCAAUAGCUAAAAGACCAUAUAGAAUGGGGGUUAAUGAACUAGAAGAACUUAAGAAACAAAUUAAGGAAUUGCAAGAUAAAGGGUUCAUUCGUCAUAGUUCAUCACCAUGGGGUGCACCAGUUAUCUUUGUUGAUAAGAAGGAUGGUAGUUAGAGGAUGUGUGUUGAUUAUCGGUCACUUAAUGAGGUCACUAUCAAGAAUAAAUACCCACUACCUAGGAUUGAUGACUUAUUUGAUCAGUUAAGAGGUGCUUGUGUGUUCUCUAAGAUUGAUUUGCGUUUUGGUUAUCAUCAAUUGAAGAUUCGGAAUUCGGAUAUACCAAAGACAGCCUUCACAACAAGGUAUGGGUUGUAUGAGUAUACAGUUAUGUCUUUUGGUUUGACCAAUGCACCAGCUUACUUUAUGUACAUGAUGAAUAAAGUAUUUAUGGAACUUGAUAAGUUUGUGGUGGUCUUUAUUGAUGAUAUUCUGGUAUUCUCUAAAACCAAGGAAGAACAUGCUGAACAUCUAAGAUUGGUCUUACAGAAACUUAGAGAACAUAAGUUGUAUGCUAAGCGUAGUAAAUGUGAGUUUUGGUUGGAAGAAGUUUCUUUUCUUGGUCAUGUUGUCUCUAAUGGUGGGAUUGCAGUGGAUCCUAGUAAGGUGAAAGAUGUGCUGAAUUGGAAACCACCUACAGAUGUAAGUGAAAUUCGCAGUUUUCUUGGUUUAGCUGGUUACUAUCGUAGAUUCAUUGAAGGGUUCUCAAAACUGGCAAAGCCUAUGACUGCUCUGUUGGAGAAGAAUGCUAAGUUUGUAUGGUCUGAUAAGUGUCAAGCUAGUUUUGAGGAGUUUAAGAAGAGAUUGACUACUGCACUUGUGUUGGUAUUGCCAGAUCUGAGUAAGAGUUUCUCUAUCUAUUGUGAUCCUUCUCGUCUGGGUUUGGGUUGUGUUCUUAUGCAAGAAGGUAGAGUUGUUGCUUAUGUAUCUAGACAGUUGAGGAAACAUGAACUGAAUUAUCCUACUCAUGAUCUAGAAUUAGCAGUUGUGGUCCAUCCAUUGAAGAUUUGAAGACACUAUUUGAUUGGGCAUAAGAGUGACAUAUACACUGAUCAUAAGAGUUUGAAGUAUAUCUUCACCCAGACAGAUCUGAACUUGACGCAAUGAAGAUGGUUGGAGCUGAGAAAGGAUUAUGAUUUGGAAGUGCAUUAUCAUCCUGGGAAGGCGAACGUCGUGGCUGAUGCACUUAGCAGAAAGAAAUAUGCUAAUGAGCUUCGGACGACACCUGAAUCCAAGGAGUUGUGUGCUGAAUUUGCAUAUUUGAACUUGGGGAUUGUAGUAAAUGCUAUGGAAAUUGAGGUCACUCCUACUCUAGAGGAAGAGAUAUUGAAAGGACAGUUGAAAGAUGAGAAAUUAAAGGAGAUAGCACAGAAUGUGGUACUAGGCAAAGCACCAGGAUUCAGAAUAGAUGACAAUGGUGUACUGUGGUUUGGAAAAAGGAUAUGUGUUCCUAGGCUAUUCGCGAUAUGAUUCUGAGAGAGGCUCAUGAGUCAGCAUAUUCCAUUCAUCCUGGUAGCACUAAGAUGUAUCUAGAUCUAAAACAGAAGUACUGGAGGUAUGGAUUAAAGAGGGAUGUGGCUGAAUAUGUUGCUAUAUGUGAUACUUGCCAGCGGGUGAAAGCUGAACAUCAAAGGCCUGCUAGACUAUUGCAGCCAAUGAAGAUUUCGGAAUGAAAGUGGGAAGAAGUAGGUAUGGAUUUUAUAGUGGGUUUACCACGUACGCAAAGAGGGUAUGACUCAAUAUGGGUGAUAGUGGAUCGUUUAACUAAAGUUGCUCAUUUCAUACCUGUCAAAACUUCAUAUAGUCGAGACCGACUGGUAGAGUUAUACAUGGAAAGAAUUGUUUGUUUGCAUGGGGUACCUAAGAAGAUUGUGUCAGAUAGGGGUACUCAAUUCACAUCUCACUUUUGGAAAACAGUGCAUGAUUCAUUGGGAACAAAGUUGAAUUUUAGUACAGUGUAUCAUCCACAGACAGAUGGAUAGACUGAGAGGAUCAACCAGAUACUGGAGGAUAUGUUGAGAGCUUGUGCUUUGCAGUAUGGGACUAGCUGGGACAAAAGUUUGCCAUAUGCAGAAUUCUCCUACAACAACAGCUACCAGCAAAGUCUUAGGAUGGUACCGUUCGAGGCACUGUAUGGUCGUAAGUGCAGGACGCCUUUGUUUUGGAAUCAGACAGGAGAAACCUAGGUGUUUGGUACAGAUGUGCUUAGGCAUGCAGAGCAACACGUGCGGACUAUCCGGGAUAGCUUGAGAGUUGCUCAGUCUCGUCAGAAAAGCUAUGCAGAUACGCGUAGGAGAGAACUGGUUUUUGCAGUGGGUGAUUAUGUCUACCUAAAAGUAUCACCAAUGAGGAGUGUGAAGAGGUUUAGUAUGAAGGGAAAGCUAGCUCCAAGGUAUGUUGGUCCGUUUAAAGUAUUAGAAAGGCGUGUAGAAGUAGCAUAUCAGUUAGAAUUGCCUGAAAGUUUAUCUGGUGUGCAUGAUGUGUUCCUUGUGUCACAACUUAAGAAGUGUUUACGUUUACCUGAGGAGCAAAUACCAUUGGAAGAGCUCUGUGUUAAAGGUGAUCUCACUUAUGAAGAGUAUCCGGUCAGAAUAUUGGAGACAGCUGAGAGAGUCACUAGAGGUCGGGUUAUUAGAAUGUGCAAAGUGCAGUGGAAUCGGUAUUCCGAAGCAGAGGCAACUUGGGAAAGAGAGGAUGAUCUAAGGAAAUCAUAUUCAUAUCUGUUUGAGUAAGCACCGUUCAAUCUCGAGGACGAGAUUCUUUUAAGGGGGUAGAGUUUGUAACACCCAAAAAUUUGAUUUCCAUUAAUAGGAAUUAAUUUGAUUUAAUUAAGUAUUUUUUUGAGCAUUUAAAUUUAGCACUUAAAUAAUUUUUGUGGAAAAUAAAAUUUAUCAUAGGUUUAAUAAACAUGUUGGUGCAUUUCAUGCUGAAGCAUAUUUAAUUCUGUGUUGUUGGCUUUUUGGUUUGAAUUUAUUUGAUUCAAAUUCCAUUUGGAAAAUGCUUUAGAAAUAUAAAAAAAUAAAGGGAAGAGCAAACCACCCCCAGCUUGGCCCAGCACCCCCCCUUCUCUCCUCCCGCCUCGGCCCGUUAGCGCGGCCCACCAAGCGGCCAGGCAGGCCCGCGCGCGCCUCCCCCUCUCUGUGGCUAGUGAGCAGGCCCCACCCCUUCUUUCACCGCCAGCCGGGUCCCACGCGUCAGUCUCUUCUCUCACCUUUCCUUCUUCCUCACGACCGAGACCGACUCAAGUCCAUCGAGCCGGCAGAAUCAAUCCUGAAAACCGCGGGAUUUAACUUGCCUAUCGCGUCAACCGAGCACUAUAAAGCUUCUCCCCCACCCCGCGGCUCCCUCUUUGCAUCUAAUUAGUGAGACCGAGCCCUAGCCAUCCCAAACCUCGAGCUUUUGGAUCUCACCGUGGCCGCGCCCUAUCUCCACCACGGCGAGCACCUCCUCGUUCUUCUCAGCGCGAACCGAGCGUCUUGGUGAGUCCGCGGUGAGCUUCUCGACCCUCUGGCAUUUUCCUUUUGAAGAAUGGUGCACCGAGUCGUGUUUUUGACGAACUCUGGUGAACUCCCCUAUGGCGCCGCCGCGGGGAAGGCUCUGUUCUGGCCAGCUCGCCGUCGGCGUCAUCCUGUCUCUCUCGGAGCGAUCUGAGCCGUCCAAUUCGCGAUCGACGCACAGGAUUAGAACUUACCCCUUCGGGGUAAAUCUUGUUAAAGAGACCUUGGAAAAGUUAUUUACGCUUUCUGAAUGGGAACACGUAUUCUUUACCGGUUUGAAUUAGAAUACGCUUUCUGCUAUUUACAAGUUUGCCACUGAAACUAUUUUGCUCAUAAAAUACUCAUUUUAACUUCGUUUUUUGUCCAUUCAAAUUUUGUUAGAUUCGUAUUUACGAGCUAUACAUGUUAGAAGUAUUUAUUCUCUGUUUUGAAACUUUUUCUUUUUGCAGUAGCAUUUAAUUAAUUAUUUAUCUAUAGGAAAUCUUGGAAAAUUCAUAUCUUCUACGUGUUAAUUCCGAUUUUCGUGAACUUUACGUUUGUAUGAUCAUUAAUAUUUGCAUAAACUUUUAUCUUUGAUUUCUCACUGUUGGUGUCAUGUUCUAAUUAUAGCUUGUUUGCUUUGUGUAUGAUUGUCUACAUUGGAAUGCGUGUUGUUGAUUGAUGUUUGGGAAUAGACGGUGAGCCGUACAUUGGUGAUCAAGACCAAGCCUUUGAAGAGCAGCAGGCUCAGGAGAGCUUUGAUCAAGGCAAGUAUAACUUGGGAUCAUCCUUGUUACCUAUUUACUUAUAAACACAUAUAUAUCAUAUGCAUGCUUUCACCUUGUCGACCUUAGCAAAAUCAUUGAUGAUUGUUACCUGGAUUCCUUGCUACCUACUUGAUAUGCAUUUGGUGUAGAUGUGCUAGUGCUUGAUAUAAUCCAUGAUCUUGUAAGAUGAUUAAUAGCUAUGCAAUGAACGUUAAAGCUAUAUGAGAUCUUGUCUGUAAGUGAUCACCGGGACAACAGUGCAACCAUGAGGGCUAUAAUGGCUCUGGUUUUAGCUCAGUAUGAAGACCUUUUCUAGCUUGUUAGAGGUUACCCGGAAGGGCGCUACAGGGGCUCAACCGUUUUGGGUAUAGUGCGAGCCCCUGUCCUUAUGUGUAUGGGCUGCGCGUCAUUGUGCCAUUUGGAAGGGGGGCAUCUAUAUCUGCGCGCCAGGGAAACCUUGCGGCCCUAACAUGUUAGACGAACUUUUGAAAGGCUUCAUAGUGAUCCCUGCCGACCUCCCUUGGAAGGGGGUUAAGAGACUAGUUACCUCGGGCGAAAGGGUAAAUCAUGACUCAUGGGUAAAGAUGUACAAUCUCUGCAGAGUGUUAAAAACUGGUAUACUAGCCGUGCUCACGGUUAAGAACGGCCUUGGGGGUUCUUACACCAACGAUGAUGAGUUUGUUAAGUUGUUAUGUUCAUUUGAUUAUCGUCUAUGCAAUGGGUUAAUUAUGCUUAUAUUUGAUCAUGUGAUUAUCGGAUUAUUUAUGCUACCUUGACAUUUGAUAUUUAAUUAUGAACAUGUUAUCCACUCUUAAAAGCUAAAUGCAGUCAAACCAGUGUCAGCUAUUUGAGCCUCAUGAACCCCUGGUUAUACUUGUUGAGUACGAUAUGUGCUCGCUCUUGCAAUUUCCCAACACCCCAUGUUAUACAAAUGAUGAAGCUUGGAAUGAGGACUACCAUUAUAAGUAUUAGGCUUAAAGUCAACCAGUCAAUAGUGUCCCUGUGUGGUGCUUCCGUCCGGAGUAUCUUUAUUUGUUUGAGAUUAUGUAAUAAUUAUUAUCCCGCUAUGUAAUAAACACUGCAAUGGUACAUUUGAGAUUUGUCUACUUAUGUGUGCGACUGUUUCUGGGGCACAUAUGAAUCUUUUAUGCAUCCUACUUUGUUCUUAAAAUAUGGAUGUGACAUCGCCCUACAAUGAAUUAAAGAAAACAAACCGUUAUCCACACUUUUAUAUGAUUGUGAUAGCUAAAAUCCAAAGACAUUUAUAUAUAGACAUAAAUAUUACCAAAGGAUCUGUCUAGCCAACAACCGGUUGAUUUAGUCCUUCCCAUCAGCUGAAUUUUUCUAUGCACUUACAUUGUUUUAUAGCUAUAUUUACACUCUUUUAUUACUAUAUUUACAAUAAUUUCUUCAGUAUAACUUAUUUAAAAGAGUGAUGUAAUUUAUGAAUAACACAAAUAUAUGUCAAAUUUUCAAACAGAAUUACAAAUUAUUUUUAUGGAUUCCAGACAUCAGAGAAAUAUAUAUCAAAUUAUUCAUAAAUUCUUCACAAAAUUUUAAAGAUACAAAAUUCAAACAAAACUGUUGCAACCGCAAGGGGCACCCUUGCCGAAGACGCCCGCGCACACGCGUCCCCAGGCAAAAGGAAACAGCGUCGACCUCUCUCAGCACGGCCCCCACGAGCAACUCCCUCUCCUUUGCUCAAAUACACGCUGCACCACGCAACUAGGGCCUUGUUUAGUUCACCCCAAAAAGCAAAAAGUUUUCAAAAUUCUCCGUCACAUCGAAUCUUGUGGCACAUGCAUGAAGCAUUAAAUAUAGACGAAAGUAAAAACUAAUUACUCAAUUGAGCUGGAAAUCGCGAGACGAAUCUUUUGAUCCUAGUUAGUCCAUAAUUAGAUAAUAUUUGUCACAAACAAACAAAAGUGCUACAGUACGGAAUUGCAAAAUCUUUUCGGAACUAAACAACACCCUGGCAAGCAGGCCGCCUACGGAUGGGACGCCAUCCGGCAGAAAAAAAACGGUUGAGAGAUGAUCCUAUAGCAAUACUGUUACCAAAAUAGUGCAACCACAUAUCCUGCAUGUCCUAAUUUUCAAAGGAAAUGAAAAAUCCCAUCAUUUAAAUAGCUCACCGAAGAAUCUGGUUGACUAAGUACAGUAAUAAGUUUUUUCAAUGCCAAACAGAGAUGGUGAGCAAUAGGUGAUUUGACAUAUUACAAAAGGAAUGUUGAGAAAUAUAUGAAAUAUGGAUAACUAAGCAUCAUGUAACUUAAACACACUAAUUGGAAAAUCUCAACAACCGACCAAAGCGACAUCCUAGAACACAUUUCAGGGUGUUGACCAUUGCAUGGCGGGGAGAAUUUGUACUGAUGCCAGCAUCUAGCAAUGGCCUGCGAUGAAGCAUGGUAAAAAAAUAUUACUAUUAUGCUUCAAACACUCAAAGACUGAAGCAAAUUAUAAAAUCCCAGCAUAACAAUAACACUUAAAUGAGAAGCAAGAGUUUCAUUUUUUGAAAACAUCUUAAGGUAAAUAUAUUGUGCAAUGCUUAAACCUGAUCAGGUAGGAAAAGAUAGAAUAUUAGCGCACCAAGAGCUUCAUUAAUGGUGUAUAAAAACGCAAGCCUCCACACAAUCAGUAGUCUAGAGUAGUAGUAAACUCGGUCAAUGAUGAUCUUGGUGAUGUGUUUUGCACCACAUGUUAUACUCUUAGCAACCUAUAUAUUCAUCAAUAAGGUAUUGAACAAACAACACACAGUAGGAUAAUUAAAGAGAUCAUAAUCGAUCAUAAUCUGGUGUGAGUAGAAGUAAUUUUAGUCAAUGCUCCAGGCAAUAUGUUUUGCACCAUAAGCUAUACAUUUGGCAACCUAGAUAUUCAGUGAUAAACUAACAAACAAUACGCCUAUGUAAAAGUACUCUUUGUUGCCCCUGAACAAAAUCCGUAGCCGCAAAACUUUCAAGCCAUAAAUGUGUGUUCGAAGCCUUUAAGAACAUGCGAAACUUAGGCCAUAAAUUUAUGUCUAGGAAGCAUUCAAGAACAUGCACGGUGCACAUAUCUUCCAGAGACAUCUAAACUAUAGCAUAAAAACACUUGGCUGUGGAUAUUGGCAAAUAUAAAUUGCAGCGUGAAUGCGUGAUGAAUGCUCAGUCAUGGAAGUUGGAGAACUUCUUGAUCUAGAACUUUACCUAAUUUUUUGUACCAAUCGGAGACAUUCCAAGAUAAUUUAUUCCUGGGGAGCUGCAGCAACCACCUUGAAUGCAGUUCUUCUAAAAACAAUAGCUCUUCAACUCUUGUGCAUCUCAGAGCAACCUGUUUAUAAUGAGAUAUAAUAUAAUGGAUGUCUUUAUUUGCUCAGAAAAAAACAGACGGUUAAUUAAAUCUCAAACAAAUAAAAACACUUUGGAUGGGAUCAGAAAAUUGAGAUGUAGCAUCUUGUUCCAGGCCAUCACAAAAACAGAGGCAAAUCUGCGCAGCACAAAGAACUGCAGGAUCGAGUUUGUUCUAGCCAACCUCAACCAAAGACGACACUCUUCUGGCCCCUUUGCUUCAAUUAUUUACAUCUGAAAUUGAUCAGAAACACUGAUUAAAAGAGAACGAGCAAAUCCAAAACCCACUUAUAAAGAAACACCCAAAGAUGAACACAUAUUGUCAUGCGGAUCUUAUGAGAUGAAUGUCGCGGCGCCACUGUCGGAUUAGCAGCCGAAGACAACAUCAGCGCACCUUUCCCACUUGGGAUCGCUCUUGGCGGAGGAGUCAUGCACCAGUCGCCGCAGCGGAGGUCUCGGACAUUCUGUCGAUGGGGGAUGCGGGCGACUAAACAGAGGAGGAAAGUUACAACUAAUCAGAGCUUCCACCUCUCCCUCCACCAGAUCUCGCAUGCUGCCGGACCUGCGCGCCGCCAGAUCCCGCACGGCUCCACAUACUCCCUCGUGCUACAUAGAGUCCAAGCAUGGAACAGAGGGCACGGAGGGGCUCACGCUUCUGCCUACGCGGGAAGGGGAAGGAGAUGGAAGAGAGGGGCAGAGGUGGGGCAGCGGGGAGAGGAGAGAAAGGAGAGAGAGAGCAUGAGGUCUGGCCAUCGCGGAGGGUUGCCAGCGUGGGACAGGAGCGGGGGUGUUUCUAACAGACUGCGAUGGGCUUCUCAAAACAACGACCUGUUUUCCUUCUUCGCAUCAAAAUAAAAUUGAACUCAGGGGUUUAAUCGAAACAUAUUAGAACACGUUUACUGUUUUUGACUGAGGAGUUGGACCGCGGGUUGACUCUAUGAAUUUAGAGGGCCUUUUUUGCGAAACGAACAAACCAUGUGUCCGCGCUCGCAGAAGCCACCGAUGCCCCCAAUUUCUAAGGUGCAAGCAGAAUGGAGUGGGUUUUAACAUCUUCUGAUGUGCUUAAAUAUCAAAGCAGUGACUUAACGGUUCUUAGGGCGUCCUUAAUGGUUGAUAAAUAGCUAGUAUAAGAAGAAUUCUAUUGGCUAUCAAGGAGAGAUCAAAUAGCUAGCAACUCCUAAAUAACUAGUUCAACUCUCUCACAGCUCACAUAACUCACCAUUAAAAUGUUUAUUUUUAUUAUUAUUUGUCAUUGUGAACGCCCUUAGUUAACCAAAACGAGCCUAUGCCAUUUGGUACCACCGCUAACAUUCACAAAUCCGGUGCAAUGUUGUUAUUGCAAAACAAACAAAAUUAUGGAAUGAUAAAAAUUAUUUGUCACAAUGGCAAAUGCAACUAAUCUUCAAGCGAUAGAGUUGUCAACAACAAUGAUAGAGAAAAGGGCCAGGUUAUCCUGCGACUGGUGACAUUUUCCCUUCUUGCUCGUCUAUGAUAGUCGCAUGCUACCACCGUAGCCCACCGAUGGGACAUUUCUCCCUCAGAGUUCACUAGAGAUCCAUCCCCAUCCCCCACACCUUGAACCGAACCUAUCCCGACAUGCAAUAGAUCACGUGAUAUAGUUUUUUUGGGGAGGGGUGCGAAAGCAUUGGUGAAAUGCACUUGCUACACAUGGAUCAACACAGUUCUAAAGUAAACAAUAUAGCAACAAGAUAAAAUCAAACACCCACGCUGUGAGGGAAGAAGAAAAUGUAAGAGGUACCUCCAAUCCUGCAGAUCAACACCCAACCGUAGGCACCUCGCCUAAUUGACGGAUUGGAAGGUGAAAGAGAGUGGCGACAGAGUGGUGACAACGACAAAAUAGUGAUAGGCUGAGAGUGAGACGGAUGAAACCCCUAGCUACACUGUGGUGGUGAGUGGAGACGAUAGGGCCAUAAGGGAGUGAUGCUAUAAGGGCGACCGGUGGAUGUGGGCUCAUGGCAGCCGCUUUAGGCCCAAAAGCACUUUCUAGUAGGUUAGGCUCUCUCAGGACUUUUUCUCUAUAGACUUUGUUGGAGCUUCUUGGCUGACUUAACAAAAAAUCUUAUUAAAUAUGUACGUAUGAGAAUGACUUUCAAGGCUAUAUAUAAUAACAAAACCAAAAAUAGUAAAACCAAAGCCACCAAAACAUAUUUUCCCCUGAUUUGAGCAUUUUUGAGAAGCCCAAACUUCCUUAUUUUACUAAAGUCCAGGAGUAUUAACGUUCACUGUUUUUUCAUUCAGGGCCCGUUCGUUUCUAGGCUGAAAUGACUUGGAACUGUUUCAGGCCUAAAAUCAUUCGAUAUUUCGGACUGUUCUAGGCCGAAAAUGUCUAACUGAAACAGAACCUAAGAGUGUAAUCCCCACACCCCUUUCAGAGAAUUACAUAAUGCAAAAGUUAGUUCACUUCCACUCCCAAUAAGGCCUUGUUUAGUUCCCAAAAAAUUUUAUAAAAUUUUUCAGAUUCUCUGUCAUAUCGAAUCUUUAGACGUAUGCAUGGAGUAUUAAAUAUAAACGAAAAUAAAAACUAAUUGCACAGUUUAGUCGAAAUUGACGAGAUGAAUCUUUUAAGCCUACUUAGCCCAUGAUUCGACAAUAUUUGUCAAAUACAAACGAAAGUGCUACAGUAUCGAUUUUCUAAAAUUUUUUGGAACUAAACAGGGCCUAAAUAAAAAAAAAAUCUUGACUCCUUUCGAUUGCCCACAAUCGGGGAAAAAAAAUUUCUAAACAUCUUUCAGUUACCGCUAAUAAAAAGCCAGGCAUGGCGGCGUUGCCACGCGCUUGUUGGAGGGAACCAACCUGUGAAUCCAAGUUGUUCAAUGUGUUGUUGAUUUUUAACCGCCUUUCUUUUGCUAGUCAGGCUAUAUGCCUAUAUAUAUGGCUGGUUCAUUUCGAAACCAUCCUAAUGACUAUUCUAAGCUUACCUUCUUGUUGAUAAGGUUUAAAAACUUCUGAUGCUCCUUUGAAGAUGGAGUGGAAGUAGAGCACGAUGUCAUCGAGGGUGUGCUCGUAUUCCGCAAUAUGGAUGCGGACGAGUGAUCAGAUCCGUGUGCCUCCUGCAUGCGAAGCACAGAUGAAAUGGUGACAAAGGUCACAGAAUUAUGUUGCCGUUGCAAGAGCAGGGCCUUGUUUAGUUCCGAAAAGUGAAAAGUUUUUGGUACUGUAGUACUUUCGUUUAUUUGUGAUAAAUAUUAUCCAAUCAUAGACUAAUUAUGAUCAAAAGAUUCGUCUAGACUAAUUAUGAUCAAAAGAUUCGUCUCGUGAUUUACAGCUAAACUGUAUAAUUAGUUUUUGUUUUCGUCUAUAUUUAAUGUUUCAUACAUGUGUCACAAGAUUCGAUGUGACAGAGAAUCUUGAAAACUUUUUAGUUUUCGGAGCUAAACAAGACCGAGAUAUAUAUUGUCAUAGUCUACAGGACAAAUUGCAUGCGGUCAGUGGACAUGCAUGGCCACGUCGUCCGUAUAGCCUGUCGGCCUUCGGAUAUGACCCACUCAACGCGGAUGCAUUGUUCAGGUCUCUGGCCUGCUAAGUCCUGAAUGAACUGGGCGCGCGCGAACAGUCGCGAACUAGCUCAUCAGACCACUUCCCCUGUGCGCGUUCUGCCUUGCGAAACACCGAGCCGGCACGGCCCACUCGCCUGUGCCCUUGGUCCCAUGCUUUCCCUCCGGCUUGGCAAGCCCCGAGUCGAGGGCAGCAGCUAGACACUACUCCCUCAAUCCCAAAUUAUCAUUCCAAAAAUUUUAUAGAGUCAAAGUAUUUUCAUAUUUGACCAAAAUUAUAGAAAAAAAUACUAAGAUUUGUAACGUAAAGUAAGUAUACUAUGAAAAUAUAAUUAAGGAAGAAUCUAAUAAUACUUAGUUAGUAUCAUAAUAAUAAUUUUAUCUUAUAAAUUAGGUCAAACUUAGAAAAGUUUGACUCUUCAAGAUUUUUGGAAUGACUUAUAGUUUGGGAUGGAGGGAGUACUACAGAACAGACCUUUGGUCACUUGCCCAAAAUAAACAAUAAUCUCGACCCAAUCAGCGUCCGGGACAAAAACAUCUUUAGUCCCGGUUGGUGAGACCAACCAAAACUAAAAGUCCCCUGCCCAACGGCUAUGGUGUUAAAGAUCGGCAGAAGAGACCUUUAGUCCCGGUUGGUCUCUCGAACCGGGACUAAAGCCCAGCCUUUAGUCUCGUUGGUGUUACCAACCGGGAUUAAAAGCUGUUGUCCCGGUCCGUCUCACCAGCCGGAACAAAAUGUUGGACUUUAGUUCCGGUUGGUAAUUAUAACCGGGAUUAAAUGUCCUUCUCCAUAUUUGAACUUUUCUUCUUCCCCUAGCCGAGUCCAAUCUUUACUCUUUUGUUGUGUUCUUCACAUUUGUUCUUGCUUGUUCUCUGGCUAUUGAUUCAUUUCAUUAUUUCUACGCCGUCAUCGACUUGUUAAGAGGUCACUAGCUUCAUCUUCUCAACAUUAGCAGUGACAUAUGUCAUUUCCUAGUGUUAUAUAUGUUUUUUUUUUGUUUUAUGAAUUCUACGCUAUUUUAAACUCCAAUCACUUGAUCGUUUGAAUAUUUGAAUGAUAGCAACUACAAUUAGUUCUCUAAAAAUUAACAUUUCAUUACUAUUAUGUCUACCACAUUUAAUGGUUUAGCUAGAGAAAUAGUGAUACUAUAGUUUUUUAUUUUAAUUAGUUUAGAAAAAAAUUAAAAACUUAUAAUACUUUCAUUUGCAAUUUGUGACCGAGUUAAUUAGUUAAUUAUAACUAGUAUGCAUACCAUAUUUUAUGAUUAGCUGGAAAAAUAGAGAACUUUUGUGCUUUUUUAAUUUUGCUUGUUUAGAAAAAUUAGAAAUAGAGAAUUUUAGGUUUUUGAUGAAAAACUGUGAAGCUUUGCUUCCCAGUGCUUUAAUUAAAAGAACCGAAAAGAAAACAGUUACAAAGUUACAGUUACAAAGUUAUCUUUGUUACUUUAAUUUCUAUAUAAAAAAUUAGAAACUUAUAAUACUUUAAUUUGCAAUUUAUGACAAGGUUAAUUAGUUAAUUAUAACUAGUAUGCAUGCAGAUUAGUUAGAAAAAUAGAAAACUUUUUAUGUCUUUUUAACUUUCCUUGUUUAGAAAAAUUAGAAAUAGAGAAUUUUAGGUUAUUUGUUACUUUAAUUUCUGUAUAAAAAUUAGAAACUUAUAAUACUUUACGUUGUAAUUUGUGACAAGGUUAUUUAGUUAAUUAUAACUAGUAUGCAUGCCAUAUUUCAUGAUUAGUUAGAAAAAUAGAGAACUUUUAUGUCUUUUUAAUUUUGCUUGUUUAGAAAAAUUAAAAAUAGAGAAUUUUAGGUUAUUUGUUACUUUAAUUUUUAUAUAAAAAAUUAGAAACUUAUAAUACUUUACGUUGCAAUUUGUGACAAGGUUAUUUAGUUAAUUAUAACUAGUAUGCAUGCCAUAUUUCAUGAUUAGUUAGAAAAAUAGAGAACUUUUAUGUCUUUUUAAUUUUGCUUGUUUAGAAAAAUUAGAAAUAGAGAAUUUUAGGUUAUUUGUUACUUUAAUUUCUGUAUAAAAAAUUAGAAACUUAUAAUACUUUACGUUGCAAUUUGUGACAAGGUUAUUUAGUUAAUUAUAACUAGUAUGCAUGCUAUAUUUCAUGAUUAGUUAGAAAAAUAGAUAACUUUUAUGUCUUUUUAAUUUUGCUUGUUUAGAAAAAUUAGAAAUAGAGAAUUUUAGGUUAUUUGUUACUCUAAUUUCUGUAUAAAAAAUAGAAACUUAUAAUACUUUGCGUUGCAAUGUAGACAAGGUUAUUUAGUUAAUUAUAACUAGUAUGCAUGCCACAUUUCAUGAUUAGUUAGAAAAAUAGAGAACUUUUAUGUCUUUUUAUUUUUGCUUGUUUAGAAAAAUUAGAAAUAGAGAAUUUUAGGUUCUUUGUUACUUUAAUUUAUGUAUAAAAAAUUAGAAACUUAUAAUACUUUACGUUGUAAUGCAGACAAUGACAUGUUCUUGGAUGUACAGUGCCGAUCGCCGCUCCAAAGAAUUCAUUCAUUGUGUGCAUUAUUUCUUAAGAGUGGCUGAGGAAAAUGGAUUCAUAUGUUGCCCGUGUGUCUUGUGAUAGAAUUUGAUGGAAUAUUCUAGCUCUAGAAAUAUUCACUCACAUUUGUUGAAGUCGGGUUUUAUACCAAACUAUAUUUGUUGGACCAACCAUGGAGAAACCGAGAUAAUGAUGGAAGAAGGUGAAGAAGAACAGUUGGAGCCUGACGACAUUAUUGCUCAAUACGGUGACUUCGGUGAUACGGCAAUGGGAGAAGCUGAAGAUGAGGCAGGUGCAUAAGGCACACCUGUUGAAGAUGAUGCUCUUGGUGAUGUCAUUCGUGAUGCAUAGAAAAAUUGUGAAAGUGAAAAAGAGAAGGCAAAGUUUGACCACAUGUUAGAAGAUCGCAAGAAAUUACUAUACCCAUCUACCCAAGAUGGGCAAAAAAUUGGCUACAACACUGAAGUUGUUAAAAUAGAAGACACAGAAUGGUGUAUCCGAUAAGGCAUUUGGGCAAUUACUGAAGAUCCAAAAAAGAUGCUUCCGAAGCCUAAUGAACUGCCCACUACUACAUACGAAGCAAAACAGGUCGUCUGUCCUUUAGGAUUAGAAAUCAAGAAGAUACAUGUAUGUCCUAACGACUGCAUCCUAUACCGUGGCAAGGACUACGAGAAUUUAGAUGAAUGCCCCAUAUGUAAAGCAUCACGGUAUAAGAUCAGGCGAGAUGACCCUAGCGAUGUUGAGGGGGAAGAACGUCCCAGAAAGAAAAUCCCUACAAAGGUUAUGUGGUAUACUCCUAUAAUACCACGUCUGAAACGUCUUUUUAGAAAUAAGGACCAUACAAAAUUGUUGCGAUGGCACAAAGAAGACCAUAAGGUAGACAACAUGUUGAGACACCCUGCUGAUGGGUCCCAGUGGAGAGCGAUAGACAGGGAAUUUCCAGAGUUUGCAAAAGACGCAAGAAACUUAAGGUUCGCUUUAAGUAUAGACGGUAUGAAUCCUUUGGUGAGCAGAGCGGUAGUCAUAGCACUUGGCCUUUUACACCAUGUAUCUAAAACCUUCCUCCAUGGUUAUGGAUAAAGCAAAAGUUUAUUAUGAUGUCGGUGCUCAUCGAAGGCCCGAAGCAACCGAGCAAUGACAUUGAUGUCUAUCUAAGGCCAUUAAUUGAAGAACUCCUACUUUUAUGGAGCGAAACAGGUGUUUGUGUGUGGGAUGAGUACAAACAGGAACAGUUCGACCUGUGAGCACUGUUGUUUGUGACAAUCAAUGAUUGGCCUGCUCUAAGUAAUCUUUCAGGGCAGACAAACAAGGGAUAUAAUGUAUGCACAUAUUGUUUUGAUGACCUUGAUAGUAUAUAUUUAAAAAAAUGCAGAAACAUCGUGUACCUUGGGUAUCGUCAAUUUCUUUAUAUGAAUCACCCAGUUAGAAAGAAAGGCAAGCAUUUUAAAGGUGAGGCAAACCAUCGAUGCAAGCCUCGCAACAAAACUGGAGAAGAUGUAUUUGAGAUGGUUAAAGAUGUAAAAGUAGUUUUUAGUAAGGGACAAGGCAGCCAACCAGUUCCAAAAGAUGCAGCGGGUCAUGCACCCAAGUGGAAGAAGAAGUCAAUAUUUUGGGAGCUACCCUAUUGGCAAGUCCUAGAGGUCCGGAAUGCGAUCGACGUCAUGCACCUAACAAAGAAUCUUUGUGUGAACUUUCUAGGAUUCAUGGGUGUGUAUGGGAAGCCUAAAGAUUCACUUGAAGCACGACAACACUUGCAACGCAUGGAAAAACGAGACAACUUGUAUCCAAAGAAGACAGAUGAUGGACGCUAGUAUUUAAGACCUGCUAGCUACACUCUUAGCAAUAAAGAGAAAGAAAUCAUAUUUGAAUGCUUAAGCAGCAUCAAUUAAGGUCCCAUCUGGAUUCUCCUCUAAUAUAAAAGGUAUAAUUAAUGUGCCCGAGAAGAAAUUUCUGAACUUAAAUUCACAUGACUGCCAUGUGCUUAUGACGCAAUUGCUUCGAGUUGCAUUAAGAGGAAUUUUAUCUCCACAUGUACGUCUGGCCACCGUAAAGCUAUGUGUAUUCCUCAGUGCAAUUUCUCAGAAGGCAAUCAAUCUACUGGAACUAGCUGCUCUACAGAAUGAUGUCCGGUCGACCCAACAAAUAACUGACGAGGCUGAGAUCCAAAAACAACUCCUAAAAAAGUGGAUCUUUUCUUAUUAUAUUAUUGUGUAUUCAUUAAAUUAAUUAAUGGAUCUAUUAGUUGAACCCGCUAACCAAUAUACCACCACUGCACGUCGUAUGUGCGUGAAAUGAACCAUGGGGAGGUGGGAGUAACUACUCCUGUGGAGUAGGAAAAAUUUACCCUAUAUAUAUAGGAUAAUUCUUUUUUACUUCUAGUAGUAGUUACUCUCAUGUCUAUAUCUCUAGAUUUAAAACGUAUAUGGCACGAUAAAGUGUAUGUACACCGAAGUAUAUGAUCAUACUAAACCAUCUAAGGUAAUAUAUAUGUUAAGUAUGCAUGCAUACAUAGAGUAUGUGAUUAUACUUAUUAUAUAUACUACAGUAGUGACAUUUUAGUAAUAUACUAAAAAAUAUGAAUUCCUUUAAAUUUUUUCGCAUGGUAAGAUCUAGAGUAUCUUAAUAUAAGUAUAUAUGAACAUACUUAAACUGAUAAACAAGUAUGAAUAUAUACGUAAUAUGGUUUAUUGAAGAUGAGAGUAAUUACUCCUGGGAGUAUGGACAAUGCAUUAUAUAUAUAAUAGGGUUUGGUGGGAACAUUUGAAAAAACUUUACACAGGCGGUUGGUCUAGCCAACCCCUAGUGGUUGUUUUCACUAGUGGUUCUCAAUUAACCGCUGGUGGAAAGUUUCAUUUCCACUUGUCCCAGCGCUAGCGGGUCUGGAAAACGCAUAUAAAAAUAAGUUUGGAACCGUUUAUGCAAUGUUUCAUCGUACUAGUGAUCGUACCUACCAGUCGAGGCACCUGUCUCUCGGCAGGGAGAUGACCGUGGCGAUGAGGAAGACGAUGAUUUUGCCUUCCUCUUCGUCGCUGACAACUGCCAAGCAGCUGCUCCUGUCCGAUGCCAGGCCAGUAGCAGUAGUGCGCAUCAAGCAUGAUGGGAGCCGUGAUGACUGUGCACAUCUUCUCGGUCAUCUAGCCCAUUGCUCACGCUCGCUAGGUAUUACCGUAGACACACAAUUUAAUUUCUUAGUCAUACUUAGCAUAGGUAGAAGUCGAGAGGUGGCAAGGUCACCACCACUGUGCGAGCAACUACAAACAUUGACUUGAGACUUAAACUAGUGUCAGGACAACCAAAACUUUUGUACUAAGAAGUUUCUUCUUUUCAUUGUUUUUUUCUAUUAAUAUGACUCAUGGAGAAAAUGGGAAAUGAAUACCAUGCUCUCUUCAGAGAAGUUUCUCCUAGUGUUGUGAUAGUGGAGUGAGUUGACGGAUUGAUUAUUUUUGUGUUGGAUCAGUUAUUUUAAGGAAGGUAAUACUCACUCAGUCCAAUGUCACUACAUCAUAUGAUCGAAACUACCAAUCCGUUUCUUUAAUGUCUCUAAAUAGUUUUUUCCUCUCUUGGUUAAACUCGAAGAAGAGAAACUAUGAAUCUUGGUGACCACAUUUUUUCUGGUGUACUAUUAGUUACACCUAUGCAUGCACAAUUGUGGCAACCAACAAAUAUUCUAUCUAUAACCUAGCUAGAUUUAUCAUAUAGAGGUUAUGUGAAGCUAGGUGCCAUACAUAUCAGUCUAUGGUCGAGGGUAGUAGGGAUUAUUUCAUCGUCAUAUGCCAAUACACAGACAAGGUGCACCGACAUCGAGUAUUUCUAAGAGAAGUUUUUCUUUAUUUUAUUCAUCACGUUAAGAGUUAUUAGUAAGGUUAGUUUUACAAUAUAAUAUCUUUUAAUAUAGCAUUAAUAAUAUGACUAUGGGAUCACUGACUGGCUAUCUAUGUGCUUCUAGGGAGUCGAGCCAAGUUGACCUAGCUAGAUUUAUAGAGAAAUGGUUGAAUGUCACGUUUACACUUCGCAUGAGUGACUAGAUGUAUUUCUUUAUUACAUGACUGACAAAAUAAGAACUUGAUAUAUUUCCUUAUUACAUGACUGACAAAACAAGAACUUGAUUAAGAUCAUAGAGAACAUGAUUUCUUAUUGCUGAGAAUUAGGUCUAGUUCGUACAGAGGAAAGAAUACAGCAAAAACAAAUAGAGACACUGUAUCACUCACUUCAUCUAUGGAUCUCAGCAAUAAGAAACAAAGGGAAACUUAAACUGGAACUAAUGUCUUAGGCUAGGAAUGAAAGCUUUAGAGAUGGGCUAGUUAGGAACAACCAUCUUCUUAUUUAUAGAGCUGCUACACAACCCUUAACACGCCCUUAGAUAUUUUAGUUAAACCACUUAACUCUAGGAAUAAAACUGUUGACACCGUUUUUGGGCACGUGUCCAUGAUCGGUAGAAUGCAGGUCGGCAAGACAAGACAGCAGUGUUUGGUCUAUAGGAUGAGUUGCCGAUGAGGAUGGUUGCUGAUGAAGGGAUAGCCGAAUAUGGCUAAGUUCAUAGGUGGCGGUGUGUUUGUGCCGAUGGCCAUUAUUAACUUGUCCCGAUGGCUACGAUAAGGAGGUCUGCCGAUGAUGCGGAAGGAGAGCAUGAAGGUUGCCGAUUGAUCGGUAGAAGUGUCCUAGUUUGUCACGGCAGGAUAGUUUUAUGUUUUCCUUAGUUAUUUAAGUCGUUUUGUACACGGAUUCUGUUUAAAUUUGGAAUUCGAAUUCUAGUCGUGUCUAGUUGUAGCUCUUUGAGCAGGGUAUAAAUGUAGACCCUAGGGUCUUGUAAUCAGAGAAUCUAUCAAUCAAUCAAACACAAGUUUUUACUCAUAUUCCAGCAUCUACUUUUUUCGACGACUUCGUCAUAUUUUCCUUUUUACUACGAGUUCUUAGGAAUUCGUCGACUUAAGUUCGGCGUAUUCUCGAGUUCCGCGUGAGUACCUCUUGGCCAUGACAUCCGGGCGCAUCGCUGUUGUCAGGACCAAAGUAUUCGAGUUACCACCUUUGCCGAUAGUAAGGUCAAAUCGGCUGGCACGCCUUAACGUUUGAAUCGGGUAUUACCCCUUUGUGUUUGCAGAUCCGCUUUUGCAUCAACACAUACUCGUCUUCUGACUCUCUUAGAUGGAUCCUUCAAAUAAUCAACGAUUUCCUUUCUCCAAUCAUCGGCAUCAAUUGCCGAUAUUGUAUUAAUCAUAGGCUGAUAUCCCGAGGCAUGCUGAGCCAACCGAUUGGCUUCUUCAUUAUGCAAUCGAGGAACAUGCUCUAAUCGGAAAUCUUUGAAUUCCUUUAACAGUUGGAUACUCUUUUCGUAAUAAGUUAUGAGAACUUCACUUCGGCAUUCAUAGCUUCCAGCCAAUUGAUUUAUAACUAGAAUCCCCGAAAAUCUCAACAUAAUCAGCAUGAACUUCUCUUAAUAAUUCCAAUCCCUUUAUUAAAGCUUGAUAUUCAGCCUGAUUAUUGUUCGUCGACGUGGCAACAAUCGGCAAGGAAAACUCAUACUUCCUUCCUUGAGGGGAAAUUAACACUAUACCGAUUCCUGCCCCCGGUCACACGUAGAUCCAUCAAAGAAAAGCGUCCAAGGUACAAUUUCCAAAGCCUCCACUGUGCCGCAAUGUUGAGUUACGAAAUCGGCCAUAAUCUGCCCUUUAACUACCUUAGCCGAUUCAUAACGCAGAUCGAACUCCGACAGCGCCAAAAUCCACUUACCGAUCAUGCCACUCAUAAUCGGCAUGGACAGCAUGUACCGGACCACAUCAUCCUUGCAAAUAACAGUGCAUUCGGCCGAUAACAAGUAGUGCCUCAACUUGAUACAAGAGAAAUAUAAGCACAAGCAUAGUUUCUCAAUAGCCGAAUACCUGGUCUCAGCAUCAAUCAACCUCCUGCUUAAGUAAUAAAUUGCACGCUCCUUCCCUUCAAAUUCUUGAAUUAAAGCCGAACUGAUGACCAUCCCAUCGGUAGACAAAUACAAUCUGAAGGGCUUCCCUUGCUGAGGUGGAAUUAGAACUGGAGGAUUCACUAAAUAAUUCUUGAUUUCAUCCAGAGCCAACUGUUGUUCCUUCCCCCAAACAAACUCUUGAUCGGCCUUUAACUUAAAAAGAGGACUGAAAGCACGAAUUUUACCAGACAAAUUAGAUAUAAACCUUCUGAUAAAAUUUACCUUGCCGAUCAAGGACUGGAGCUCGGUCUUGUUGGUAGGGGCCACUAUCUUAUUGAUGGCAUCAAUAGAUCUUCGGCUGAUUUCAAUCCCCCUUUGGUGUACCAUGAAACCAAGAAAUUGUCCUGCCGAUACACCAAAUACACACUUAUUGGGAUUCAUUUUCAAACCAUGCUUCCUUGUGCACUCCAACACCUUUCGUAAAUCGGCCAGAUGCUUUGUGAAGUCUCCAGACUUAACCACCACAUCAUCAAUAUAAAUCUCCACCAGCUUGCCGAUGAACUCAUGAAAUAUAAAAUUCAUGGCCCUUUGAUAAGUAGCACCAGCAUUCUUUAAGCUAAAGGUCUUGACUAUCCAUUCAAACAAUCCAACAUGACCAGGGCACCUGAACGCGGUCUUUGGAAUAUCCUCUUCAGCCAUGAAUAUUUGAUUGUAUCCUGCAUUGCCAUCCAUAAAGCUAAUAAUCCGAUGCCCAGCCGCAGCGUCAACUAGCAGAUCGGCAACUGGCAUUGGGUAUCCAUCCAUCGGUGUAGCUUUGUUGAGAUUCCUGAAAUCAAUGCAGACCCGCAGCUUCCCGUUCUUCUUGUAGACUGGAACAACAUUGGAAAUCCACUCGGCAUACCGACACUGCCGAAUAAACUUGGCUUCAAUAAGCUUGGUUAUCUCGGCCUUAAUAUUAGAGAGAAUAUUAGGAUUACAUCGGCGAGCCGGUUGCUGAUGUGGCCGAAAUCCAGACUUGAUAGGUAACCGAUGUUCAACAAUUGAUCGGUCCAAACCAGGCAUCUCAGUAAAAUCCCAAGCAAAGCAAUCUUUAUAUUCUUUUAACAAAUCAGUUAACUGUUGCUUACACUCAGGAUCUAACUUAGCACUAAUAAAAGUAGGUCUAGGUUUAUCACCACUACCUAUAUCUACUUCUACUAAAUCAUCGGCCGAUGUAAACCCCUGGCCUAACUUUCCAUCAUCAGUGAAUCUGUCUAUUAGAAACCUUCAUCAGAACCGACUGCUUGGAUCGAUGGAAUUUUAUAAUCGACAACCUUGAGAAAAUCCUUCUCCCAAGCUUCUCCUGAAAUACACCUAGUCUUUUCAUAGGUGUCUGCCUCUGCCGAUGCAAUAACAUAUGAAGAAUCUCCUGGGACAAUUUCAAUCUUGUCACUUACCCACUGGACCAAGCACUGGUGCAUUGUAGAUGGGAUGCAACAAUUGGCAUGAAUCCAAUCUCUCCCUAACAGUAAAUUAUAUGCACCUUUUCCACUGAUCACGAAGAAAGUUGUCGGUAAGGUUUUGCUGCCGAUGGUCAACUCAACACAUACUGCCCCCUUGACCGGAGACACGUUCCCUUCGAAGUCCUUUAACAUCAUAUCGGUCUUGGUCAAAUCCUGAUCUCCUUUCCCAAGUUUCCGAUACACUGCAUAAGGCAUGAUGUUAAUAGCAGCUCCACCAUCAAUGAGAAUCUUAGUCAUUGGCUGACCAUCCACUCUUCCUUUGACAAAUAAAGCCUUAAGAUGUUGUCUUUCAUUGUCGUCAGGCUUCUUGAAGAUGGCGGUCAUUGGAUCCAGAGCCAACUGAGCUAUUUGGUCGGAAAACUCCAGCUCAUCAUCACUAGACGGCGCCAAGAAUUCCAUCGGCAACAUAAAUACCAUGUUGACAUCUGCCGAUGGACCUUCCCCCUUGGGAUCUGAUUGCUGCUGAUCCCCAGACUGGCCAGAAUUCUCGCCUUUGCUUAGCCCUUCUCGCCUUUCACGCUGCAGUCUUCUCUUUUGUGUUCUGGUCAACCCCUCUGGACACCAGGGAGGAAGUUGCUGCUGCCUUACCGAUGGGCGACGAUUUUCUCCUGACUCCAUUCGGUAAGUAUUGGCAUCUCGGCAGAAGAUGAACUCAUCGGGAACCCAUGCAUUAGCCAUCUCUUCGAGUUCUUCCUGGUUCCUGGGAAAAUAUUGAACACGAUCACCAAGCCUGUCGUGCACACUGAGCCUGCCCCCCAGCCGAUCGUGAACGGACGCUCUUCCUCUAAUCGGCCCAUUAGAUCGCCGAUUGUCGUCGUGAUAGCACCGAUCGGAUCUAUCAUACCAAUCAUAACCGUUGCACUCAGGACAAUCUCUGACAGUGGGAAGCUUAAUAUUCUCCUCCCAACAAUGAAUGAAGAACGGGCAAUUCUAGUGAUCUCUGUGCUGAUUCCACUCUUGCCGGCGCCUUUCUUCCUCCCGAUGGUAUUCUUCCUGCCGGCGUCGAUAUCGGUCCUCACGUUGCUGCCAAGUUUCCCGAGGCCUUCUGUGAGUUAUCACAAUACCAGAUCGGGGAGGCCUUCCCGAGUUGGCUCCUUCCUGGAUUAAGCCUCUUCCCUUGGCCUCGGCAGUAGUGAUCUGAUGCUGAGGAUCCACCGAUGCACUUCUUUCAGCUGCUUCCGAUGUCAAGACCUUGGCCUUUCCCUUAGCAUCCAGCAUGUUUGUUGGGAAAGGGUGUUGAUCAAUUUUCAUCGGCUUCUGAGUUUUGGAACUGUCAAAUUUGAUCCUCCCAGAUUCUAUAGCCGAUUGCAGCUGCUGUCUAAAAACUUUACACUCAUUAGUGUCAUGAGAAGUUGUAUUGUGCCACUUGCAAUACUUCAUCCUUUUUAAUUCUUCAGCCGAUGGGAUCACAUGAUUAGGUGACAGCUUGAUUUGACCUUCCUGGAGCAGAAAGUCAAAUAUCCUAUCGGCCUUGGUGGUGUCAAACGCGAACUUCUCUAGUUCUUUAUGUCCAAAAGGACAAGACAUCGGCUUUUUAUUUUUUACCCAUUCUGCCAAGCCGAUGACUGGUUCUUCAUCAGAGUCCGAGCUCGCCGCUUCAUCCACAAAUGAUACCUUUUUAUUCCAUGCUCUCUUGGGUUCAAACAGCUUGAUGUCUUAAUCAGAAAUUCUCUGCACCAAAUGACCUAAGCUUUCAAACUCCUGAGACGCAUAUUUGUCCCUUAUGUGUGGCAACAAACCCUGGAAAGCCAAAUCAGCUAGCUGUCGAUCAUCCAGAACCAAGCUAUAGCAUUUGUUCUUAACCUCCCAUAUCCUCUGCACAAAACUUUCAACCGAUUCAUCAUUGCGCUGCCUCAAUUUGACCAAAUCGGUGAUAUUCUUCUCAUGGACACCAGAAAAGAAGUAUUUUUGGAAUUGCUUCUCUAGAUCGGCCCAUGUAACCACUGAGUUGGGAGGUAACCAGGUAAAAGCCGAUCCAGAUAAUGAUGACGAGAAUAAACGAACCCUCAAUUCGUCCAUGUUAGCAGCUUCUCCGCACUGGAUGAUGAACCUAUUGACAUGCUCCAUGGUUGACGUGUCAUCCUGCCUAGAAAACUUAGUAAAAUCCGGUACCUUGUACCGAUUCGGAAGCGGGAUCAAAUCAUAUGCAGGAGGAUACGGUGUCCGAUAAGAGUAAGUGUUGACUUUGAGUUUUAUCCCAAAUUGGUCUCUCAUUACUUCAGCAAUCUUAUCGGCCCAAUAAGCAUCGGCAUCUUGCCGAUGAGGUGGUUGCGGAUCUGACACCUGCUGGUAAGCUUCCACGUGUCUGUGCGGCGCACGAUCUGCAUGAAACAUUGGGUUAAUCAUCUGGCCUCCAAUCUGCGGACCACCAAGCUGUUGCCCGCCAAUCUGCUGUCCGCCGACCUGCUGCCCAAGAUUCAUUGGCUGGUUAGGCAUCCCCUGAUUCUGAAACCCGGGAUAGAUCUUGCCUUGCUGGAACCUUGUAGCCUGAUGACUCUGUUGGGGUGUUUGCGGAAAGACUUGCUGCCCAAGCCAUCCACUAUUAGCAUUCAUCGGCAUAGGUCCUGCCGAUGACUGGUAAUUGGGCGUUAUCAUCGAAUUGACAUACCCUGGUUGAGUCAUAAACCUUUGUUGCAUCAGCAUUGAGUCUGCCGAUGUGUUAGGCAUCUGGAAUGUUGGAGCUUGAGAAUUCCCAGUGUAAGGUCUUGCAGUAGUAGUUGUAGUAUACUGGGGACUCUGGUUCAUCGGCAUAUUUGGAGGUGCCGAUGCCAUAGGAGUCUUGCCUCUCAUAUCAGUUGCCUGAGAUGUGCCAGGCGUCUUCAAGUGUUCCGGGGGCAUACCAUAACCCCACCAGUUGGGAGGAGGGACCGGUCCUGACAUUGCCGAUGCCAAUAGAUCUGUAGUGAGCCUAAUCUGCUCAUCUGAAGUCGGUGGAUUGGUUGUCAUCGGCGUAGAUUGUGCAUUAGUGACUCCUAACGUACUUGGAGGAACGGUAGUCUGUAUUCCCGCAGCGGCUGUAGCAGCUGGUGGAGCUGUGACCACCGGUGACCCUGGCUGGUGAUGAGAGGGGCCCACAUAAUCUGGUGGCAAUUGUCCUUCCUUAAAGGUUCUGGCCACGGCAUUGAAAACCGUAUUGGACAGCACACCAGCUUGGUUGAUUAAAGCGCGGUUGAUGGCACUAUCAACCAUCUCUUGAAGUUUACCAGGAUUAGCUUCAAAAGUAACCUGCCGAGGCGUUGGCAGUGCAUCCUUUUAGAUCACUUCGCCGCUCCUGUUUAUGCUGAAGGAUCUCAGGCACUGCUGCUUGUAAUCCUCCAUGGCUUUAGCAAUAGCUUGCUUCUGCUCAUCCUUGAGAUUGGCUUCCGUCACGGGGAUGACGUUCUCUUGAUCAAACUCAGAAGUCGACAUGUUGAUCUUGAUCUUGAAUCUGUCCCACCGAGCGUGCCAAAAGAUGUGUUGAUGCAAAAGCGGAUCUGCAAACACAAAGGGCUAAUACCCGAUUCAAACGUUAAGGUGUGCCAGCCGAUUUGACCUUACUAUCGGCAAAGGUAGUAACUCGAAUACUUUGGUCCUGACAACAGCGAUGCGCCCGGAUGUCACGGCCAAGAGGUACUCACGCGGAACUCGAGAAUACGCCGAACUUAAGUCGACGAAUUCCUAAGAACUCGUAGUAAAAAGGAAAAUAUGACGAAGUCGUCCAAAAAAGUAGAUGCUGGAAUAUGAGUAAAAACUUGUGUUUGAUUAGAUUCUCUGAUUACAAGACCCUAGGGUCUACAUUUAUACCCUGCUCAAAGAGCUACAACCAGACACGACUAGAAUUCGAAUUCCAAAUUUAAACAGAAUCCGUGUACAAAACGACUUAAAUAACUAAGGAAAACAUAAAACUAUCCUGCCGCGACAAACUAGGACACUUCUACCGAUCAAUCGGCAACCUUCAUGCUCUCCUUCCACAUCAUCGGCAGACCUCCUUAUCGUAGCCAUCGGGACAAGUUAAUAAUGGCCAUCGGCACAAACACACCGCCACCUAUGAACUUAGCCAUAUUCGGCUAUCCCUUCAUCAGCAACCAUCCUCAUCGGCAACUCAUCCUGUAGACCAAACACUGCUGUCUUGUCUUGCCGACCUGCAUUCUACCGAUCAUGGACACGUGCCCAAAAACGGUGUCAACAAAAACAGUCCAACUUGACAACUUCAGGCCCAAGCAUCCGACGCCCAUGGGCUCUUCAUGACUUUGCUUUGCCUCAAGGUUUGCCAUGACCCCACUGCCUCCUCCUAUUCCUACCAGAACUCCAACCAUGUUUUGAGGCCUAAACCCAAAAACUACCGAGCCGAUGGUUUUUAGGCCCAAACCACUAAACCACCUAGUAGAGAAGUGUAUCUGCUAUGUCUCCUCCAUGAUCUUGACAUGUGUUAACUAUCGUCCUUAGCUGCCCAAUCACCAAAUAAGCCCUCUUGCACCUCCGCUUGACUCGAUCAACACUGUCUAUUCCUGGUCAUGUGUUCUUGCCUGUUGAUGUCCUCAAGUGUCAGUCCACCACGGUCAUUUUUUCGGCCAUUUUGAUCCCUCGGCUGAAGCCUCAUGUCCGUUCUUCACCGCUCCUAGUCUAUUGACACGACACGUCACUACUUGAGCUUCUCCAUGUUCAUCGACCGUGUUCGUGCUCCACACCAACACAACUAAAAGACAUGUUGUGCACGCAGUCACGCAAUGAUUAGUCCCUAAACUCUUGACAAUCACUCAUUACAAACUCAACAGACAAGAGCACAUAUUAAGCUUGUGUUUAGAGCUAAUAGCAAGGUUAGUUUUAAAAUACAAUAUUUUUAAGAUAUACUAUAGUAUUAAUGAUAUGACUGCGGGAUCCAUACCUGGUUAUCUAUGUGUGGGAGCCUGUGAGCGGAGCUAAGUUUGGGCUUGCUAGAUCUAGAGGAAUGCUUGAAUGCCGCGUUUCCACUCCGCAUGAGUGAAGAGGUAUUUGCUCGCCGGAGUUAUAUAUUUAUGCCAAAGGUGAAUAAAUAUAUGUUGCCUCCAACCUACUUGGUUGGGUAAUACACAAACAUCCAACAUACACAGCUAGUUGAUUCCUAUUUAAUAACAACCCCACCUUACAAGCACAGAGAAGACCUACACCUCCACACACAACCUAGCCAUGAAUCCUCAAAGCCCUAAAACCAGUGCUCCUUGCACCUUGCCAGUGGAGCCGGCUGCUGCUGUUGUUCCCAACGAAGCAGUGGCGACCGAUAAAGCUCCGCCGCCGCCAACGGCCAACACGGUGAUAAUCCGGGAGCAGGACCGGCUGAUGCCCGUGGCCAACGUGUCCCGCAUCAUGCGCCAAGUGCUGCCUCCCUACGCCAAGAUCUCCGACGACGCCAAGGAGGUGAUCCAGGAGUGCGUGUCCGAGUUCAUCAGCUUCGUCACCGGCGAGGCCAACGAGCGGUGCCACACCGAGCGCCGCAAGACCGUCGCCUCCGAGGACAUCGUGUGGGCCUUGAACCGCCUCGGCUUCGACGACUACGUCGCGCCCGUCGGCACCUUCCUCCAGCGCAUGCGCGAGAGCGAGGCCGGCGGCGAAGAGCGCGGCCCAGGGCGUGGCGGCGGCUCGCGCCGCGGCUCGUCCGUGGUCACGCUCACGCUGCCGGUCAACGGCGGUGCGCAGCUGACGAUGCACCACCCUGCCGCCGUCAGCCGGCAUCCGCACCAAGGUGUGUCGCCUGCUGCAGGUUACGCCGUCCGGCCCGUUCCCCGCCCGGCGGCGGUUCCAUCUGCCAAUGGGGCGGUGGCGGCGCCGCACUUCGGCGGCCGGUCGUACCAGAUGUACGGCGGCAACCACCGCCCUGUGGUUCCCUGCUACCACGGAGGAGGAGGAGCGGCGUUCGUCGACGCCGGUGGAAGCCAACACGUUGGAUUCCACGACGACGAGGCUAGCUCUUCGACUGAAAAUCCACCGGCGGGGCGUCCUGGCUCGCACUAGCCAAGAGCUAGCUAGUUUCCGCGCGUGUAUAAUAAGAGGAGAGGCGGCCAGAGGCAGAUGCAUGCACGAUCGAGAUCUCUCGUGCUGCAGGCUGGCCGGUGCACGCGCCGCCUUGCCGAACUCCGUCGCCCGUCGUCGUCGCCGGCGUGGACUAGACCUGUUUGUUAGUUCUCCAGUACCGUUUUCGUUUUCUCCCAUCAUUUACCAUGUUUCUUCGAGACACUUUUUGCUAAUCUUCUGAUGCUUGAGUUUUCGAUUCUCUUGAGGCGAUAUCGUAUCCAUCCCUUGCUUGAUUUUUUCGUCCAUCAAACUGAAUCUCAGCUUUACAUGCCCAUUUACCAACGGUGAAGAUCGUAGCCCUGCUCGAAACGAAUUCCUUCUUCUAGCUAUUGUUCAUGAUUACGUGCGUUUCAUCACGACAGGUCAAUUGCAUGCAUACAUAUGCAUGCUCCUGUGCUGGAUUUACUGGAAGUUAAUUAAUUAAUCUCUCUCUGCUCGUCGGUUGGGAAAGUGGCCGUGGCAGCCUUGAAUAGGUUUUGGAGCUAUGUCGUACGUGCACGGCCGAGGUCGUCUGACAGGCCGGCCGGUGUGACAGCAUGCUGUGCGCGCUCCAGACGAAACUGCCGCGCGCAUGACGUGGCGCGCGGCUGCCGUGGACCGUGGAAUGCCAUCGCCCGUCGCGCUCCGGCACCGGCAGCGGCACAAAUGUUGCCGUCGGCGGCUUACGAACCGCGCGGGUACGUACAUUACGGGCCUACAGCUGAUAACAGCUUUACGAACACUUAUUUCCAAAACAGCUGCAUAGAUGAAACUAUUUUUCUCCUUCUCUUACAAAGACAUAAGUUGGGAUGAAGCUGAAAAAAAUAGCUUCUCUCCCUCAUUUCUCUCUCUCAACUAUGCAUUAAGUAGUUGGUGAAGCUAUUUGGCCAAACACUUUUCCCAAAACAGCUCAACUUCAUCUAGAAAGUCACUCAUGAAGCUAUUUUCUAAAAAAACAGCUUUACUGAUGAAGUUGAGCUGUGCCAAACAAGCCCAACAUUACCAUUCUGUUAUAGCUUUGCUUCUCUCUCAACUACGUUACAUAACCGGCUGGCCACUUCAUCACUUCCAAUCCCGCCGGGGACCACAAGGCUUUCACUAGCUCUUUGUUGCUAUAUAAUUUCUUCAUACCCAUAAAAAAAGUCGUUUAAGACAACGAUACGGUCGUCAAAGCCUAACUUUGACUCUUUAUUUUUAUAAUAAAUUUUAUUAAAAAGUGGUAUAUGUAUGCUUUUAUGAAAGUAUUUUUUAAGAUAAAUCUAUUCAUAUGGUUUUCAUAUUUCUAAAUUCAACAAGUUAAAAGUUAUUAAUGAUUUAUAUUCUCAAUGUUUGACUCAAAUCUUGUCCAAAACGACUUUCUUUAUGAGUAUGGAGGGAGUAUGUCCAUAUGUAUUACACUACUAUCACCACUUAGUUGGGGUGGUGGUGGGCGGGGGGGGGGGGGGGGGGAAGAAGUCCCAUCUACCUAUGUGCAGCCUGAUGCCCUGGUGUAUAGGGAUAGAGAAUGCGACCAAAAUUGUGUGUGAAAAGUUUUGGUUCAAGGCCGGGUCAACUACAUCUCUACAUGAAACAUGCUUGCGUACUCUGGCCCAGUGUUUGCCCAAACGCGUUUAAACUAUCGUCUAUACAUAUUUAAACGCUAAAUAGUGGGUUUGCGUUCUGUUUAGACCAUAGUCACUGAAUUAAAUGCUAGACGCGUCUAACCAGUCAAACUGGUAAAAAAACAUUUAAGCUAUGGCAUUAAACAAUGUCUAAAUGAGUGUAAACGUCAAAACAUGUGUUUAAACUAUCAUUUAGGUGAUAAAUCAUGCAAGUUUGGGUGAUUGGCAAACUUUUUGGAUGAGUGAAAUUGGGUUUGCAUGUGUGUUGGGGGAAAUUUUGGUGAUAUCUAAAUGAUAUCUAUAUGACUAUGUGUGUCACUCUAUGUAUAACUGUUUAUUAUCUAUAUCAAAUUGCGUAACUAUGUUCAUGCCUUAAAUUGUAUUUAAAAUUUUAUAUAAAAAAUAUCAUUUUACAUGUAUAUUUACUGUUACAGUGCAAACCGUUUAAACCAUCUGGUCGGUCAUGUAAACUCUAAUUAAAUAGAGGGUGGCUGACCAUUUAGUGUUUUGCGUUUACGAUAACAGUACUGCUCGGCCAGCCUAAUACGUGAUGCCACCUUAAUUGCCUUGCUAUUUAUUUCAAAUGAAACCUUAUGAAAAAAAAAUAUGUAGGAAAGAUUCUCGGUCCAGGCGUUGUGCCCCUAAAACAUACUUCCACUCAAUAUUGUCACAAAUUAUAGCUUUUCAACAUUGCUCGAUCGACCACAUUAAUUUUCUAAUAUACACUCAUAUAUACAAGCUAUAAGUUUCAGUUGUUUUAUCUGCUGGGUUUGUUUUUGGUUUAGGUUUGGGAUCGGAGCGCGCCCCUUUGAAUGGGAGAGCAGGUCAUAUCUUACCAAAAUUUCGUUAGGCAGCAUUCAUGGGCUACUCUUCAGUUCAACACAAUUUUUGGCCCAUGCCAACACUCAAUGGACUGUGCAAAAUCUCACCAAUAGGAGCACAAAGCCGUGGUGGCAAAAAAAACUGCCAUGUUUUGAUGAGAAAUUGUUUGGUGGGGCGUCAAAAUUGUCUUUAUUCGUCAUAAAAAUUUCAUAUGUGUCAAAGGUUAAGUGCACAAAAUGAUACGCCAACACUCACUGGACUGCGCAAAAAUCCCACCAAUGGGGGCACAAAGCUAUGGUGGCGAAGAAAACGCCAUGUUUGAUGACAAAUUGUUCGGUGGUGCGUCAAAAUUAUCACUAUUUGACAUAAAAAAUAUCACAAGUGUCAAAGGUUAAGUGCUCAAAAUGGUACGGCAACACUCACUGGACCGUGCAAAAUCUCAACAAUGGGAGCACAAAGCUAUGGUGCGAAGAAACCGCCAUGUUUUGAUGACAAAUUGUUCGAUGGUGCGUCAAAAUUGACACUAUUUGCCAUAAAAAUUUAUCACACGUGUCAAAGGUUAAGUGCUCAAAAUGAUACGCCAACACUCAACAGACCGUGCAAAAUCUCACCAAUAGGAGCACAAAGCUGAGGUGGCAAAAAAAACCGCCAUGUUUUGAUAACAAAUUGUUUGGUGUUGCGUCAAAAUUGUCACUGUUUGCUGUAAAACUUUAUCACAAGUGGCAAAGAUUAAGUGCUCAAAACGAUACGCCAACACUCCAGGGAUUGUGCAAAAUCUCACCAAUGUUUUGAUGACAUCAAAAUUAUAACUAUUUACCAUAAACAAUCAUAUCUGUCAAAGGUUAAGUGCUUAAAAUGAUAAAAUAUCAGGCCUCAUUUGGUAUAGAGGUCUGCUUUACUUCUUAUUUUUAGUUUCCACUGUACAAGCAGCAUCCCUAGUGAAACUGAAGCUAUUUUGAAAAAAAUAUUUAGUAAAAUAGCUUAUCUUAGUAGAUCUAAGAGAAUUAGCUGGUGGAAGCUACUCUUUUUUAGCUCCACCGGCUGCCAUUGGCUUGUCUCAAGGCUUCUCGCGGGGCUCCAGCCAUGGAGCAGCUCACUUUUCGCCUCGUUUAGUGAAAGUGAAAUUGCAUGCAUAAUAGCUCCUGAAACUAUUUGAGAAUCCAAACCAAACACUCCCUUAGUUACAUGCACCAAAAUUUUGACAACUCUUAUCACAAUGAGUCAUUGGCAUGUGGAGCUUAAUCUAAUGGAUGGAAAUUUUGCCACAAUUUGUUGUUGUAACCAAAGAACUGUCAAAGCUAAUAAACAUUAAUUUAGGGGUACAAUUUUCACCAUGAAAAAUCAUUUUUUGCUGUAAUACAUCCAAAUAACUAUGAACUGUCGAUCUAAAUAGGAAUUAUCACAUAUUACCUCCGAAGAGGUAGUAGAAUAUAUAUAUAUAAGGAAAAUCUCUUCCUAUUAGAUCUAAUAUGCAUGCCAUCUAACUUUCCUAAUUAACAUGAUCUCAAGUGUUUAUUUAUAAUGAAUAAUAACAUGGAUAUGGACACACACAUGCAUAGCGGUGGAACACACACUUUCACACAUGUGCAGCCAUAAUUUAUUUACGUUCUUUGUAUUAUUCUAUUAUAUUAGAAUGUUGGGCUAUUUCAUGGUACGAGUACAGAUUUAUAUAAUUGUUAUAACGUGACAAACUGAUAUGUAUCAUGUCAUAUGAGAGGUAUGGAAUAGUUGCACAUAUUACUAUAAGUAAUUUAACUUCCAUAUCUACCUAAUGUAAAAUGACACUGGUGUAACAUUGUUUUCUAUCUAAAAAUAUAAAAUGUGACCCAACAUGAUUUUGUAAAUUUUUUUAUUUGUUGGAAUGCGACGAAUGAAUGGGAAAUUGGAAUUCUUUUUAUUCUCAACAUGAAAAAAUAAAGCUUAUUCAAUUCAUAGUAUGAUUGUAUUGUAGCAAUUUUUUUUGUUGUAACGUGACUAUGCCCAAUUAAGAAACAUAAAAAUAGCAUGUCAUGGAAGGUUGAUUUCUGACUCCCAAAUUAUCUCUUUUCCGAUGGCCUUCCAUGAAGUGUGUAGCCAUUGGUUGCAACCAAAAGGAAACAAAUUGCAUGUACACAUGCGUAUAAAAGGAAGCAAUUGGUUAUUUUUUUUAUUAAUUACUUUAUUCCUCUUAAUAUUCAUGGGCUUGGAUUUAUUUGUUAGCUCUUAUUAGGUAAUGAAAAUAUCGUAGCAAAGUCCAUAAAACAUAUAAACACUAAUACAAUAAUAAAAUUGAAGAAGUUCCCUAGCCGUGUUAAAACACACAUACUCCAAAGUUUAUAGUAAGUUGGUGGGGAAGAAGGCUCAUUAAUUAAAAUACCAACUACCUAUGUGCAGUCUUAUGUAUAGGAAUAUAGGAUAGAGAAUACGACCAAAAUUGUGAAAGGGGCGAGUGUGCGUGAACGACAAAUGUUUUGUUUCGAGGAUCAAUACUACAUCUACGUAUGAAACAUGCUUGCGUACUUCGACGAGCUGUACGUGAUGUCAUCCUUUGUUCUGGCUAUUAUUUCAGAGGAUGACACGCGAUGACGCGACCACAAAAUUUAUGUAGGAAAGAUUCUCGAUGCAGGCUUGGUGCCCAUAAUACUCCCUUCGUCUAAGAAAGAAUUUAAAUCUCACUUGUCGAGAAGUCAAAAAAUCUUUUAGUUUAACCAAAUUUAUAUAAGAUAUUAUAUAGUUAGAUCUCUAAUUAAGUAUUAUAAAAAUAUAUUUUGUAACUAAUCUAAUGGUAUUUAUUAUACAUUAUAAAUAUCAAUACUUUUAAAAUUAUAUUUGGUCAAAAUUAAGAAUCUUUGACUCCUCGAGAUGCGAGGAUUACAUUUUUUUUAGACAAAGGCAGUGCAUCUUAUGUCAUACUAUUUUAGCGAACGAAUAAUAUUUUUAUUUCAUAACAAAUCAGUGAAUAAUAUUUUCAGCUAUUGUUUUUGAGCAAAGUGAAUAAUAUUCUUCACCUCCACGUGACCACAUGUAUCGGGUAGUUUGCUUAGAAUAGUAUAUAGGUACAUCACGGCAUAUGUAAGAAAGCCAAAAUAAAUUCGAAAUAAAUUAAGAAAUAAGAAAAAUCUAUGGACACCAAGUAAAUAGCCAAGAAAGGGUUAUAGAAAAAAUAAAUAAAUUAGACAAAUCCAAAUAGAUAGAGAAACAAACACAUGUGCAUACAUGUACACAUAAUUAUAUAUUAUUCCCGCUCCUCAUAUCUAAUAACAACAUGUUUGAUAAACAAUGAGGACAAGGACUUGUGAACAAAGUAGCACCCUCAUGGCAAAAAUAAAUGCACUUUUUUGGCUUGAAAUUAACUCUUAUUUCUUAUGUAGAGCACAAUUCCAAAAUCAUCUUCCAUAACUUCAAAAAAUUAACAAAGAACAUGAAUUGAUCAUCUGCUCUGUAAAGACAACAAAAUAAAAUAAAAAAUCAGAGGUACACAGUUGGAAAUAAUAUAUCUAAAUACAUUAAUCCAACCACCAUUGCCUUGGCAUAUGCAUAGGCUGUCCAAAGAAGCACCCUUCUACACUGGAUGAAAAAAAACCAUAGGUGCAGUCAAGUGUGCAGGCAGAUUCAACAAGCCCGUCUCCCAUGCCGUCAUAAGAUUGUUAACAAAAGAUUGUUCAUAAGUUUCAGAAAAAAAACUAUAGAGCAAACAUCAUGAUACCAUGCAUCAUCUUCUGAAGAACAGUUUGAAUGACUCAGCCUGAAAGAAAGAAAGAUUUCAGCCACAAAGUUUGGAAAAUAUAUCUCAAUUAAAAAAGAAAAUAUAUUGAGAAUACAUGAAGUAUAACUAGAACCAAUUACAAUCAUUGAUCUUUUCUUAAAGUAGUUCUAAUCACUACUAUAAAAAGUAUUCGUAGCAACACGCCUUUUUUUGUAGGAUGGCACUAUAUUGAGCCGCUUCUACAAAUGGUAGCCAAACCAGCUGGCACUAUAAAUCCAUUUGUAGGGGCCGCUGGUAUUACCUGCCGCCUUUACAAAUAGACGAUGAAUAAUAAAAAAGAGGCACUAAAAUUUAACUUUUUUAAAUGACCUUGGAUGGAGAAAUGAUCAAAAUAAAAUUUGUACAUCUCGAAAAGUUAUGAAACUUUGAUGUUUACAAUUUUUUCUUUGAAAUCGGUGACUACUUCAAAAUACUGUUUGAAACUAAAUCAUAUAAUUUUAUAAAGCUAAAGCCCACUAGAUGAUUUCUCACUUCAUACAAGAUGUCCACAUCAUUCCUAUCAAGUGACCCACUAAAUGUUCUAUCUUUUUAUGUAAGGUGUCCACAUCAUUCUCCACUAAGUCUAUGUCAUCCCAUAUUAAUUAUAAAAAAUAUCCAUAUCAUCUAUAUCAUGUGAAAUACUUUAAAUAUUUAAUCUAUUAACAUACAAGUUAUCUACAUAUGCUAUUUAUUUCAUCACCUAUUCCUCUAUAAUGUUAUCAAAUAUUUUAUUGCUUUUCUUCUAUUAACUUAACGAUUGUUUAUUAGAUCUAAUACAAUAAAAUAACAUGCAAGUUAAAUUCAUAUAUAUAUAUAUAGUUAAUGAUUUAUUUUAAAGAAAAUCAUGCAGCAACGCAAGGAGUUCACCUAGUUUAAAAACACUUGAAGAACUCUAAUUUCUCUUUUUAAUCUGUUGCUUGUAACUGGUAUUUCUCUCUCAUACUAACUUCAAAUUUAAUGUUUUUCCCAAAAAUUUAUAAAAUCAUUCCCUAUCAAUUUAUUGUGUUCUUGUAGCUAUUAUUUUAUCCAUCUUUUUCAUGUGUGUGCUUUAUGUAUUUAAAUUUUAUUUUAAAUUUCAAAAAUAACAACUUCGAAUACUAUUUUGGAAUACUAAAUGAUUUCAGCUAAAAAGGUCAUGAACAUAAAACAUCAAGAUCUAUGACUUUUAUUUUGGUCAUUUCUUCAUCCGAUAAAGUGGUAGUAACAUUGUUCGCAAAAUUUACAUAUCUCUCUUAUGUCAAAUGAAUAAAUGAUCAAAAUAAAAGUUGUAGAUCUCAGAAAGUUAUAAAAUUUUAUAGUUGACAACUUUUUUAUCAAAAUCAUCUUGUCAAGGAAAACUACGUUCGAUUCUUAAAUUUGAAACUCAAAUUUUACAAGAGACCUCGGAUGGAGAAACUAUCAAAAUAAAAGUUGUACAUCUUGAAAAGUUAGAAAACUUUGUAGUUGAUAACCUUUUUAUUUGAAUUCAUCUAGGGUCUCAAACAAUCAAUUUAUGCUUGGUUUAAGGUAAUAUAUGGGAAACCAAAAUCUAAUAUAGUCACAAGUGAGCAUUGGGUAGAGUGGUUAGAGGAGGAAUACGCAAGCCCAAGAUCACAGGUUUUGAACUCCGGUAGUUGCGUAGUGCGUGAUUUUACGCGGAAAAAAUACGCAACUUGCCAGAUUGAAAAUAUAUAUUUUUUUUCAAAUUUUUUGGCCUGGAUUUUACACGUGUUGCUCGGUUCAGAAUGGCGAAUUUUUCGAACAUGAUUUGUAGUGGCGGUGCGCUGAAAACGGAUUUUACACGUGUAGUAACGGAUUUUACCGUUUUUAGGGUGGAUUUUACACGUGUUGCUCGGUUCAGAUUCGGCAGUUUUGCUAGCUGCCCCAAAGCAAGAGUGACUACAAAUACCCGAUCUGUAGGGGCGGACCACCCAUACAAAAUCCGUUUUACCCACCAGCUCACAGGCCCGAACUAAGUUUCUCCUACAACUAAAAAGACUAAAAGAUAGACAUUUUUUUGGUGCAAAUUUUGUUUCGUCCUUCUGCCUGCCAACCCGCGUGGGACCAUGACCCUGUAUUAGGAUCUAGUGUAUUAGUAAGGUGUGAUUUCCUUUUUUCUUUUUUUAUUAAAAGUGCUUUAUGUUUGAAUUUGUAUAGAAAAUUGUGUACAGAUCCAAAAAUAGUGAAAAUUUUUGUAUAGGCUCUGUGAAAGGAGUAGAACAUAGGAAAAAUGCUAGGUUCCAUUUUCGGGUAAUUUACAUAUAUAUAAAAAUUGUAUCCUUUAUUUAGUAAAUAAAACUUCCAUGAAUUUUAGUAAUUUAAUAAUAUGUUCAAAAAUCACCAAAAUUUGUGGGAUGACUCUGAAUAUUAUUUCUAGCUUCACACAAAAUUUGGUGGCAUUUGGAUAAUGUUUGUAUAAAAUAUUAAUAUACCCUUAAUUAGUAAUUUAGUAAUAAUCCUAAAAUAAUUAAGUAAUAAUUAGCUUAAUUUCUCAAAUUAGGAUUUGAGUGCUUUUGAGAUUGUGUGAUGACCUGAGGUCAUUAACCUUAAUGACCUUUGGCGUUUAAUUAUUGUUUGGUGUUAAUACUUAAUUACUGUCAUUACUACUUAAUUAAGAAUUAAUUAAGAUAAAAAAGAUUAAUAAUUAGUUAAUUAAGAAUAACUGUAAAUUGAGAAAAGUCUUAGCUUAUUGAUGCAACCUCUUGGGUAAAAACACUAAAAUGAUAAACAACUUUAAUUACUAUUUAGCCUAUCCUUGCACCAAGAAGGAUAGUUGUACUCGACUCGGUCCUUCUUAUGUAUUGUCAUAAGCAUAUCAUGAACAUACAUGAUUUUGCGUAUAGUGCACGGGCCCGAAGGAGUGACCGUUGAACCGAACCCCAAGAUUGGUGUUCCGUUCGAGGAAGUAGGAUCCGAGACUUGGGAAGUCUCCGAGGAACCCACUCAGCUCAACAUCCAAGGCAAGCCCCGGAUGCAUUAACCCUUCCUUGAAUGUUUUAAAUCUUUUAUCACUUAUGAAUUAAAAAUGCUGCAUUACACAGUCAAGAAUUGGGUUUAAUUGCAUUUACUACCUUGAUAUUUGUUAUCCUGUCCUUGCCCCCUGUUUUCUUUUAAAAAUUGCAUAGUGAUGCUUAGCCCUGCUUAUUAGAUAGGUUUUCAAAUAAGAAAGUUUGAAGGGUUGUUGUGGAAUACUUUUAUGGUCAAUGAUGUUUCAACUUGAGAUCGGUCGGUGGACUUGCUUUAAGAAUAGAGUCUUAAAGUAGUGUCGCCAACUGUGUCGAUUAAGGACCGGUCCGUUGAUGGCCUGCUGGGUUGAGAAUUUAUAGUACUAGCCACUUGCCCUCGGUAAGCCCGGUCUUGUGAUUCCUCGACGAGAGCGGCUACUCGCGCACUGGGCGUGGAGCGAUGGCGAGAGUAGUGUGUACCCUCCUAGCAAAUGGGCUAGACGGUGGAGUACUGUGCUCUCGAGUGCCACGAACCCGGUUAGAUCUUGGGAAAGCUAGAUUUGGGUUGACAUAUGCAAGAUUCGGUUCUACAUAUGUCGGGUGGUUAGGAACUCCAGCUGGAUUGCUAAGCGAUUCGAAUCGUCAUUGCUCCCCGAUUGGGAGACUCAAUUCCUUCGACCCUCAUCGUAGUUACGUAUGCAACUAAGCUAUAAAAGGGGAAAAGAUAAAAUGUCUCCUGAGGUUCGGAUCCCAAUUCCCGGACUCAGAGUGACAUGAAGCUAUGGUCGUCGGAUGGAUAAUACUUUUAUUAAGGACUAGGAAUUUACAGACUUGUCUGUAAAAAGCAACUAGAUAGACUGUCCUCGAAUUCCUCGGCCUCUUGAGGUGAGCAAUUCAUAGCUAAAACUUGAAAGUAAGGAUGCACUAUUAGUAAGCUUUUUAGCAAACAAUUUGGCUCCUUGCUCAGCCACCCCUCUUUUUAGUAAGCCUGCAUUCCUGAGUUCUCCUCUUUUUCUCUCGGGUAAGUCUUGUUGAGUACCCCAGUACUCAGGGUUUUAUAACCCCUGUUGCAGGUGAAGCUCAGGAGCUGACUUGUUUCGAACCCUAUUGUGUGACUGUCGUCGAGGUUGACGACGAAGAAGAGUGAGCGUGACCCGUGGGCAGAGUCUGUAAGUUUGUAAUCUUUGUACAAUGGUUAAAGUUGCUCCGCUGGACCUGGCUUGUAAUAACACCUUAUCUAAGUCUUAUCAUGAAGAACUACUUUUGUAAAUUAAGUUAUAUAAUGCUUCCGCUGUUUACUCUGAAAUGUUACUUUGGUUACCUCCUGUUCGUGAUACUGCCAUGUCUUUGUAAUGAAUGAUCCUGGUGUUUGUGUGGUCACUUGCUAUCCUAUAAGGGCGAGAAGAAGAAGUUUUCAUUAAUUAACCAUCACGGGUGGUCCGGACGAAUCUUGUUGUUGCACCAUAGGUAGCAGUGGAAUGGGUGUCCUGCGAUGCUCAUCGGGCUUCUAGAGUAGAUGGAUCUCCGACAUCACCGUUAGAGGUCUUUGGGACAAUGACAGGUGUCAGUGGGCCCAACUACUUAGGAGGUUCUGCCACAGCUGGUAUCGGAGCAUUCAUUGCUAAGAUGACCGUUGUAUCCUUUGAAAAACUUCAAAUCUAUUUGGAUCAAAUAAUAUAAACUUGCGUAUUUUGAGUCCAAGUGCUUUAGCUUUACCUUAUCCUUGUCUGUAGGCUUUACUAGAGUUUUUGAGGUCGUGUGGAGGAGCAACAUAAAGUAUAGCCCUAUGUUGUAAAAUUUUAAGUGAUAUAGUUAUGAAUUUUUAUUGCGGAUCGUAAGUACGUGCAUGCAUCAUGAUAUAUCACUUGGUUAAUUACCUUCCUCUUUAUCCGGGUUGGGUUGUAUAGGAUCAAUCCCAUUCUUGCUAACCUUUAAGGUCUCCCUUACUAAUCCAAGCUUACCCUCUACAGGAUGGGCCGUCUGAAGCAAACUCCUUGCAAGAGAACAGGUCCCAAGGGAGUGCCCCGACAUCAGUUGGCCCCGAGAAAUGAUCAAGCUAGUAGCAGUCGAUCCCAACCUCAGCAGGAGAUGGAGAGGUUGUCAGCAGAGUUGACAGAAGUGACUAGAUAGAUAAUGCUCAAUGUUAUGGAGAUUGGCGAGCUCAGAGCUCAAUUAACAAAUAAAAAACAAGCCACGGAGAAUUACGAGGCGAUGCUGGCCCGCAUGGUGGAAGAGCGAAAUGCAGCCAUUGCCCGGGAGGAGGAGGCCAAGAGUACACAUAUGCACGAGCUGACCCGUAUGAAGGCCAAGCUGACUAAAAGCAAGUACACUGAAAAUUUAUACAAGAAGAUGGCACCCACUGUCACUGCACAGAGGGACGUCGCGUGGCAACGGGAGGAUCAACUACAGCUUGAGAAACUUGAGUUGGCGCACCAUCUAGACACCGUCAGUGAUAUGGCGAUGCAAUACCGAGACAUUGCAUUCGACUUGUACCAUCAGCUUCAUCCACCUCUCGGGGAAGGGGAGAUGGAUACUGAUGGAGAGCUAGCAGAUGGGGGAGAGCCUGAUCAAGACCCUAGCAGUGAAGUGGAACCCGACUCUCGCGACGACAACCCGGGGGACGACUAUGGUUCCGACCACACCGACUAGUUCGGUGGAGUUGCGGGCGACGUCGUUACAGAACUUUCUAGACUAACGUAGUUGGGUUGGGUCAGUAGUGAAGUGUUUUUCUCUAAGUUAAAAGUUGUACUCGUUUGUUUUUCAGUAUGCUGAACUGUUGUAUGAUAAAUAAGUGGAAGUAUGUAAAAUAUGUCUCUAUGUUGUGGGUUUCAAGUGGUAAUGGGUAACUAUAACUGUUGUAGCAGAUGCCGAUGCGCACCCGCGGAUCUGAUGGAGCUGGACCUUCCUAGAGAGGGGAGGACAUUCCCAACCCUCCACCUGCCCCACCUUCUCUGGCUGAUGCAAUUGCUGUUCUUCUGAGUGCCACCACAGACAAUGCUCGUCUGUUGCGUGAGUUAGCGCAGCGACAACCCCAUCCUCCCCCAAUCUUUCGAGCACAACAUAACCCGGAGGGAGAAACUUGUUACGUGGAUUUCACUGAGACAAGGCCACCAGUGUUUACAAAGACAGAUGAGCCUUUGGAGGCUGACGACUGGCUCCGGACAAUGGAGCAUAAAUUCAGCCUGAUCCGUUGUUCAGAAACCCAAAAGCCCCUCUUCGCAGCCCAACAGCUUCGGGGAGCUGCAGGGGCCCUGUGGGAGAACUUUCUUGCUAUUCAGACUCCGGGACACCAGGUCACCUGGACAGAAUUCAAGGACGCUUUUCGUGCCCACUAUAUUCCGAAAGGACUUAUGGCAAUGAAAACGAAAGAAUUCCUUGCCUUGCGACAAGGCGACAAAAGUGUGAUGGAAUACGUGGCAAAAUUCAAUCACCUUUCUCAGUAUGCCACAGAGCACGUGAACACUGAUCGGAAGAAGAAGGCCUGCUUUAUGCGUGGCCUCAAUACAAAACUUCAAACCAUGAUGACCACAUGUCAGAAUGCUACUUACUAUGAGGCGGUUAACAUUGCUAUCGCCUCAGAAGAGAAAAACAGAAAGCAUAAAGAAGCAAAGAAGAAGGCUACUUCUUCCUCUUUCUCUUGUCACGGCCAAAAGCGCCAGAGAAUCAUUUAUCAUCCUCAGAGCCAUGGGCGCUUCCUAGCGCAGCCACCUUUUCAUGGCUCUUUCCCUCCUCUACAGUACCGACCUGGGUAGGAGGUUUAUCCUCGACCUACUGCCACCGCCGCAGCACCUCGCCAGCCGAACACCCCAGGUGUUCGUCCUACUGCUCUGCCAAACCACAAUUACCCUUGCUAUAAUUGUGGUAAACCUGGACAUUUCUCUAAGGAGUGCCCCUACCCUCGACAAAAUAACCCCACUUUCCAAAGGCCGCCUACCGGCCAACCUCAACCGAGCCAGUUUAAAAAUGUGGCUCAGAAAGGGCAGAAUGCACAGAGGGGUAAACCUGCAAAGAAGGUGGGACAAGUUUUUCAUACAGAGGUUGAAACCAUACCGGAAGGAGAGCCGGUGAUGAUGGGUACCUUUCCUGCUGCUAAUCAUCCUGCCUUAAUGCUUUUUGAUUCUGGUGCAUCCCAUACUUUCAUCAAUCGCACCUUUGUGGUAAAGCAUGACAUACCCAUCAGGGAAACUAAAGAUCAUUUCUAUAUACAGUCGCCAGGAGGACGACUGAGUUCUAAGGAAAUGGUUUAUCAGAUACCCAUCGAAUUUGGUGGGCAUAGUUUUCCUACCAUUAUGAUUAUUCUUAAAGAUCAAGAUAUUGAUGUUAUACUAGGCAUGAACUGGAUGACACAACGAGGGGUUGUGCUAGACAUCCUGCAUCGAACCAUCAAGAUGCCAUUGCCCAAUGGUACUUCUUACCUUUUAAUCCAACUAGCCACUCCAAAACGGGCAAUUGAACAAGUUUAUGCCACCAAAGUGAAAGAAGUUGAAAAUAUUUCGGUAGUUCGGGAGUUCCCGGAUGUGUUUCCCGAGGACCUACCAGGUCUACCACCAGAUCGGGAUGUUCAAUUCAGUAUAGAAUUGAAACUAGGGACAACCCCAAUUUCUCGAAGAGCCUAUCAAAUGGCACCAAAAGAACUAGCUGAAUUGAAAACCCAAUUACAGGAGUUGUUGCAGAAGGGUUUUAUUCAACCCAUUUCAUCUCCAUGGGGUUGCCCAGCCUUAUUUGUGAAAAAGAAAGAUCAGACAUUAAGGCUAUGUGUUGAUUAUCGUCCCUUAAAUGAAGUGAUGAUUAAAAACAAGUACCCAUUGCCCCGCAUUGACCUGCUAUCUGAUCAGUUAGACAGGGCUAAAGUAUUCUCAAAGAUUGAUUUCAGAUCGGGGUACCAUCAAAUCAAGAUUAAGCCGGAAGAUGUCCCCAAGACGGCUUUCACAACCCGUUAUGGGCUGUAUGAAUAUUUGGUGAUGUCCUUUGGUUUAACCAAUGCACCAGCUCACUUCAUGUAUUUGAUGAACUCCGUCUUCAUGCCAGAGCUAGACAAAUUUGUAGUCGUCUUCAUUGAUGACAUCUUGAUCUACUCCAAAACAAAGAAAGAACACGCUGAACAUCUAAGGAUUGUGUUGACCCGUCUCAGAGACCAUCAACUAUAUGCCAAGUUCAGCAAGUGUGAGUUCUGGCUGGACAAAGUUCAUUUCCUGGGUCAUGUAUUAUCAGCAGAGGGAGUCGCUGUAGACCCAGGUAAAGUAGAAGAUGUUUUGAAUUUGAAGCCCCCUACUACGGUGCAUGAGGUCCGUAGCUUUUUGGGUAUGGCGGGAUAUUACCGCCGCUUCGUUUCGGACUUUUCAAGGGUCGCUAAGCCAAUCACAGCCUUGCUCAAGAAUCAAACAAAAUUUGUUUGGUCGUCUGAUUGUGAGCAGGCCUUCCAGACUCUAAAAAGGGUGCUAACUACUGCACCUGUAUUAGCCCAGCCAAAUAUUGAGAAGGCCUUUGAUGUGUAUUGUGACGCAGCAGGAAUAGGGAUAGGCUGUGUGCUAAUGCAGGAGGGUCGAGUAAUUGCAUAUGCCUCUAGGCAGCUUAAGCCACACAAAGAGAAUUACCCGACCCAUGAUCUUGAGCUAGCCGCCAUAGUGCAUGCUUUGAAGAUCUGGCGCCACUACGUGUUGGGAAACACUUGUCAUCUAUACAUAGAUCAUAAAAGCUUGAAGUAUAUUUUUACUAAAGCCGAACUUAAUAUGAGCCAGCGAAGGUGGCUAGAAUUGAUCAAAGACUACGAUCUUGAGGUGCAUUAUCACCCAGGCAAGGCAAAUUUCGUAGCAGAUGCCCUCAGUCGUAAGGCUCACUGUAAUUGCUUAACAGUGACGCCUAGAGAUAUAACUCUAUGCCAAGAGCUGGAGAACUUGGGAAUAGAGAUGACUUCCUAAGGAAGCCUCGCCAAUCUAAAGAUUGACUCCAAUCUCGAAGCUCAAAUCAUAGCAGCACAAAAAUAAGAUAAAGGCAUGAAAUACCUCAAAGAGAAAAUUUCUAAUAGAGCACCCACAGUCUUUAAGGUGGAUGAUGCAUGAGUAAUCUGGUUCAAAAAUCGGUUAGUAGUUCCAAAGGUACCUGAGCUACGUCAGCAAAUCCUGGAUGAAGCUCAUACCACAAGGUAUUCUAUUCACCCAGGAAGCAAUAAGAUGUAUCAGGACCUAAAGCAGAGGUUUUGGUGGACAAAGAUGAAGAUAGAAAUAGCCUGCUAUGUAGCCCAAUGUGACACUUGUCGAAAAGUCAAAGCCAUUCAUCUCAAAUCUGCUGGAGAGUUGCAACCCUUGCCUAUUCCAGCAUGGAAGUGGGAUGAUAUUAGCAUGGAUUUCAUAGUGGGAUUGCCCAAGACGGCAAAAGGCUUUGAUUCUAUUUGGGUCAUUGUGGAUCAUCUUACCAAAAUGGCACACUUUCUACCUGUGAAGAUAUUAUAUGUUUCUUCCACCUAUGCCAAGAUCUAUUUUGUUCAUAUAUUAAGUCUGCAUGGGGUGCCGAAGACAAUAGUGUCUGAUAGAGGCACUAAAUUUGUCUCCCAGUUUUGGAAAUGCUUACAUGAAUCUUUGGGCACCAAGCUUUUAUACAGUAUAGCCUACCACCCUCAAACAGGUGGGCAAACUGAAAGGGUGAAUCAAACAUUGGAAGAUUUAUUGAGAUCAUGUGCCCUAAAUUUUCCAGACAAGUGGGAUGACUGCCUACCUCUAGCAGAAUUCUCAUAUAAUAAUAGCUACCAAGAAAGCAUUAAAAUGGCUCCAUUCGAGGCACUGUAUGGCCGUCCAUGUCGAACUCCAUUACACUGGUCUGAACCCGGUGAAAGAUGGUUCUUUGGGGUUGACUUGGUGAAGGAAACCGAAGACAAAGUUAGACAAAUUCAAAAUAACUUAAUAGUUGCUCAAUCCUGACAAAAGAGCUAUGCUGAUAAAAGACGUCGACCCUUAAGAUUUACUAAGGGUGACCAUGUGUAUUUAAAGGUAUCCCCAAUGAAAGGAGUGAAUCGUUUCGGGGUUACAGGCAAGUUAGCACCUCGUUACAUUGGUCAAUUUCCAAUCAUUGACCGGUGUGGACAGGUAGCUUACCGCCUUAAAUUGCCCGAACGAUUAUCUGGGGUACACAAUGUAUUUCAUGUAUCCCAAUUGAAGAAGUGUCUUCGAGUACCGGACCGGGUCCAAGAUUUUGAAGAUGUGGAACUUGAACCGGAUCUGACUUAUGCAGAAUAUCCCAUCCGAGUAUUGGACCAAAAAGAUAGAGUUACCCAAAGAACAACUACCAAGUGGUACAAGGUGCAAUGGAGUCAGCACUCUGAGGAAGAAGCCACAUGGGAAUCUGAAGACUAUCUAAUGGAGAAUUUUCCUGAGUUUCACGCUUCUCUUUAAUGCAACAUCCAAUAAAAAGAAGUGUACUCUAGAGGGGAUAAAGGGUAACCGAAACCAUGUACCUAAUGUACAUAUAUGUUUUUAAUGAAAUGUUCUUCCCCAACUGCUUGUCUUGUGAAAAAGCUAAUGAUAGAUUAGCUUGACAAAUUUCCUUUUACAUUACUUACCCUAAGGCUUUAAAUCUCGGGGACAAGAUUUCUUUAAGGGGGAAGGGCUAUAACAUCCCUCAUGUUACGGUUACUAAAACUGGAUCAUGUCAUCAUAAGCAUUGCAUAGCAUACUGAUUAAGCACAACCUGAUGCAUCAACUUAAAACAAGUUUACUUUGGUUGCUUGUGCUUAGGGAACUAAAGUAUGCUUAUGUUGUGAAAUGAUGCUAGUAUGGUUGUGAAAUCCUUAGUGUUGGAGGAUUCCGAGGAAAUGGGGGGGAAACCCUGAUUUUGAAACCCUAGUUUUUGCCCCUUUUUGUGCAAUUUAAAAACUAAGCAAAAUUUGAGGAUGAGUCCAAAAGCAAAGUUGUAGAUCUUGUCAAGAUGUACAACUUUGGUGUUUUGAGUUGUCAAAGUUUCAAUACAAAAUUCAAAGUAAUUUUGAAAAUACAGAUUUCCAGACAUUGUCCCCUUUUCCAAUUUGAAUCCCUAAUUCAAAAUAUGUUUGGAAUCUUGAAAAGUGACCAACAUGAAAGUUGUAGAGCUUAUCAAAUUGAACAACUUUUAUUUUGGGAAUGUUUCAAGUUAUUUAGAAAAAUCAAAAGUAAUUUUGGAAUUUCUAAUCUACCCCAAUUCAAAUAGGAAUUUCCCCCAAAUUGGGAUUUUGAAUUUCAAACUGUUUUGCCCAAAUUCAAACUCUUCCACUCAGAAUUAGCUCUGGGCCCUUAAAGAUGUUUUGUAGCAUUCAAAAUUGUAAACAACUUUUGUUUUAAUAGAAUUUUGACUUCAGUUCAACUUUUGGGAGUAAUUUGCAAAAAACAAAAAAAGUUGGAUAUAGACUGCUACAGUGAUCCGAUGAGGAUCACGAGCUCCUGUCCAGCGCGGCCGCAGAGGGGGCAGGCGCCGCCUUCACGCGUGCCGCCACGCACCCAGCCACGCAGCUGCUCGCCUGCUUGCGGUCGUAGUGAAGUGGACGAGUGUUGGCGCUUCUUAGCGAGAGGAGAAAAAAUCCGCAAGCGCACGGAAGUACCGUUGUAGCACUUCACCCGAAGGUAUAUCAGGGUAUCGUAUUUUCCCAAAGGAACGGUAUAAAAGUCGAUAGACUCUUAGCUAGUUGGCCUGUUGGGUAUUUUAAACGCAAACAGAAAAAUCCGCAAGCGCACGGAUACCGAUGUAGCUUUCACCCGGGAGUAUUCCAGAGUAUCGAUUUUCCACAGAGAACGUGAGUGUACUAAUUAAGAUCCAAGAUCGCCCAAGGAUAACUAUAUAAGUAUUUUUGGUUGGAAGAGCGGAAGUUUCCUGAGAGUUCUCUAGUUGAUCUAAGAAUCAAGAAUUACUUCAAGAUUAUCUAUAUCGGGACAUCAGAGCCCUAACCACAGAAAGAGAUGAGAAGGGGGCUAGGAAGGUCUGACUACGGUCCUACAAACACCGACCCGAACGUGGUGGAAUACGUCGACCGUUAGGGCUGUCACUACCCUAGGGCUACCACAACAAUCCGUAGGAUUGGGUGUCAUUCCAGGUAAUUGCAAGACUAAACACCACGUCUAAUCUAUUAAUUACUACUCUAGCGUUUCAAAGACUAGAGCACUUGAUGCAAGCGGGAAUCCAAUAAAUAACUUGAAUGUAAAUAAAAGUAAUUAGAGAACUCAGGAGUUAUGAAUUGAAGAACCUAGAGAACGAUGAAGAACGAACCAGAUGCUGCAAAAGUACAAUGUUUAGGAAGAUCCGACAGAUCCGGCUCCUCCUCCGCUCUCCUCUUCUCUCUCCCUAUUUUCUAGAUUACAACUAGAACUAACUAGAACUAGAACUAGAGGAACUAGAACUAGAUGAACUAGAACUAGAUCUAGAUGAACUAGAGGUAGAACUAGAAGAACUAGAGGGAUCCUCUCUACUUGGAUGAAGAAUUGAAACCCUAGCUUUGAUUCUGUAGAAGAGGUAUGAUCUCUAGGGGCCAGGGGGGUCUGGUUUUAUAGUCCCUUCAAGCGAAUCUGGGCCGUCGGAUCAAACCGACAUUGAUCGUGUGGUUUUCCUUGAAGUAUUAGGUCGGUGGAGCAUGAUCCUCAAACUUCACCCUGAUUGGUCCAGGGGGGAGGGCGGGCGCCCUCAGGACUAGGGCGGGCGCCCUGUCCCUGAGGCCUCACGUCUUCCGCUUCGGUCCCGUGGCUUCUGGAGUCUUCUAGAUGAUAGAAAAUUGCGCGGCACGUUAAUAUCUCUAUGUAAACCCGACGUGUGGGCCUUUCCUCCGUAUUUCCUGAUAACCCCCUGCAGAAAUAGACAAACACCAAAACUUGUGGAAUUCUGUUAGAUAAAACCCUAAGUCUAGGUGUUGGUUGCAUUUGGAUCCUUUUCUAUGAUUAGUUGAUGGUUAAAUGUGAGCAUUAAGGACCGUCAACAAGCUCCCCCAAGCUUAACCUUUGCUCGUCCCUGAGCAAAGAUGAACUCAAGAGUUUCUGCAGUGGUUUCAUAACUUAAAGAUACACAUGCGUUUAAACAAGAUCUGAUCUCUGGUUAGAGUAAACUGUUAAGACGUAAAACUUACUCAUUUACCUUUCACCAUGGGACUUGUAACCGUCACUUGUGUCUUGAGCAGUUAAAAGAUAGAACAGUCUAGUCAAGCGCCAUGUCUCUUGUUCUUCGAUUAACUAUAGCUCUGGAGUUUUUUGCAGAUUUUCAAAUAAAACUCAGAGAUUCCUUGUAUGACUCUCUCUAUUCUCUCUUUUGUGGUAUUUCUGGAUCCUUACCAAGGCAGUAAUGGUAUAUGCCUUCUCUCAAAGUAUGUGGCAUUUGUGGUAUAAGGCAUAGUGGCACUACCUUCUCUCUCACCCUACUCUAAUAAGGUUUUGAUAUCUGGAGCUCAUAGGUGGGAGACAGCUAAUACAUACUUACAAGACAUUUAUUGCAUAGUCAAACCAUGGAUCCAGAAGAACAAGUCAAUAAGUCAAAUCAAGAUGUGCAUGUGUGGCGAAUGAAUGGUGUAUGGUGAUGAUGGUGAUAACGAUGGUGAAAGUCUAAUUCUACUUAUGCUCUUUUGAGGGGAUACAUACCUUUCUUGCUCUUUUGAAACUUUUUGAGGAGAAUGAGAUGCUCUAUAUUUUCUUUUUCUUUUCUCUCAGGUGGGUAUCUUGUACCCCUAAUUCUACUGUCGGACACUUGUCCAUUUUUACAUCUCGUCUUACUUUUUCUUUUCUUUCGAGGUUCCGGGCACUUGCCCCUUUUUAUUUCCUCGUAUACUAUUUUUUUCUUUUCUCUUUUUUUUAGAGCACUCAUCUCAUGAGAUAAUAUAGCAAGUGGUAGUAACAAGAUAACUUGAGCAUUUAUUUCACAAGGGAAAACAUAAAUGUUUUUGGCUAUUCUCUCCCUGAUUAGGAGUAGAAUAUUUUUAGGUGGUUCUGGAGAUGGAAAUGGAUGAAUAUAUGUGGAUGCGUACUUCCGGAGUAGAAGCAGCAUGUAUGAGUGAACGUGCAAGUGAAUCUUGAUUUUAACCACAUGACAAGCUCCUAAGGGUCUACACAGCUUGACCACACUCAAUGCUCAUAAGCAGUAAAAAGUAAAUGUGUGGUUCAUAGUCUAACAAGCAUGUAUAUAUGGCUGUGGUAGGAAUUUAAACUCUCAUCAUACAGGAACUCAUCAUGCACAAUUUAAAGAUUUUCGAAGAUAAAAUUCUCCAGAAUUCUAGCAUCUCUAGAAACAGAUAAACAGCAGCUCAACCUUCCCAUAUCAUAUCCGUUAACGACUUAGACUUUAGAUCAAGUACUCUUCCCACAAGUUCAGGUUUAGAGCAAAUCUUAAUUAAUAACAGUCAUGCCUAAACUUGAGAGAGAUUUCAAUUUAAGAACUAGUCAUGGCAGAGCAACUAUUCAUCAUUUCCAUGUGAGAGCUUAUCAUGAGCGUUCAUAGCAAACUUUGUUUAUUUAUUUAUUUAGCAAACUAAUCAAAGAUAUAUAUAAGCACAAAAUUUUUAUUUGGGUUCUUAUGAUUAUGCAUCUUUUUAUUAUUAGAGUAAAGUAUAAAUGUGAGUAGAAUACUUAGCUGGAUAAAUGGGGGUGCUCUCCCCCAAGCUGGAUUUUGACGAAGUUUCUUCUGAUGUAGCUAGCAGCUGGCGGAGGUGUAUUUGAAUGUCGGCAGCACUCUGUCAGCGAUUAGGAUGUCCUUCGUCUGCUAGUCUUCUUUGAUCCUUGAAUUCUGUGGAGCUCAAAUAGACAACAAAGCUUUCUGGAACUAGUUAAGUGUUAGCAUAAAUAUCUAGCCUUUAUCAUGUUGAGCCUCCUCAAUAAAUGUUACUCAUUAGCAGGAUCAUAAUUUUAUUUUUAUAAUUUUAUUUUUAUAGGAUAGGAAUAUAUUUAUUUCAUUUUUUAUGCCACCACAGUGAAUAUACUUAUGGGUUUUAUGCCAUGAGCAUACUCACAUGGGGCUUACUAUUUUUAACAUUUUUAUUUUCUUUUCAAGAUGAUAUGAACCUGAUUAACUAACCAAACUAUUUUAAAUAAUUGAAAGGAAAAGGAUAAUUACCAAGUUUACCUCUUGGCAAGGCGUUCGGUAUUUUUAAGUCCUCCGAAUGGGACUCUCCAUUUUCUCAGUUGUCCUAGAAUUUGCUGGAUGGCGUAGUCGGUGGUUCCGGCAGCGCCUUACCACUUCUCCUUCGUAGUCUGCCCAUCCGUCCUUGAUGAUUUGCCUUCUCUGGUUGCGGUUGCGUCGUCGUCUUCUUGUCCUGACCUGCUUAGAGUCUUCAACUAUAUAGUUAGGGUCAGUAAAACAGUGGCGUACCUUCUCUGAGGGGAAGUGCAUGUGGAUUUCUCUGGUUCCAAUGUAUAUGAUUGCUUUAAUGGUGCUAAAGAACGGUCUUCCAAGGAUGAUGGGUGGAUCGUACUCGUCUUCUCCCAUGUCAAUAACCUUCAAUCUUUUAGAAUGUCUGAUCUGCCAUCUGGAGCUGAAUGUAUGUUGGUUGUAGGGACAUGGUUCCAUGUAGGAGCUGAUAAGUGACUGCGGCCAUUAUGUUGACGUUAGAUCCGGUGUCGUAGAGUGCCUUCUGAAAAGAAUAUCCGUUGAUUGUGCACUCGAUGCUUGGAACACCAGGGUCGUCCUUCUUGGUCAGGAACGGUGACUGAAGUCGACGAUCUUGACCUCCUUGAACUACAGUGACCAUCUUAGCAGACUCGGUCCACACUUGCUUGUUCCUGUUCCUCCGGUUGGUCCUCUUCCUUAUUUCAUGUUGGGAUUGCUCUGAGAUUUGUGUAGUCUUAUUCUUGAAGGUAAACGUCUCCUUCCUCCCCUUGAUGUAGAAACUGAUCUUGGCAGCACUAGCGUAGAUGACAGCUCCCGAGGUGUUCAAGAAUGGCCUCCCUAGGAUGAUGGGUGCCCUCUCAUCAGUAUCAGUCUCUAUCACCACGAAGUCUGCUGGAGCGUAUAAGGUACCAACUCGGACGUAGAGGUUCUUCAAUAUUCCCUUUGGGAAAUUUGGGCAUAAUGUUGAUACUGGAGAAAAAGUCGCAGAGUGCUUCUGGGAAGUUCACCAUGCCGAUGGAGAUCGGGAUGACGGGACGUCCUGGAUUGUAUCUCUUGACCGGCAGAAGGUUAGUAAUUACUUCCACAACAGGGUUACUCCAGUAGUUACAUCCUCAAGCAUCUCAGGGCAGUGAUUGCCUGAGUGACCAGUAUCUCCAGUGUGUUUGUGCUCGUAGAUCUAGGUUCUUCACUUGGUGGAGUCUAGGAGUUGUAAAACUCCUUCAUAUUUUGCUCGAAGUGUACCUGCUCAUAGAGACAAGGCAGAGAUCAAGUGCAUGGGCCCUGUUGGUGGAACACACCAACAGAACCAAAAGUGUAUUUGCUCUUCUCUAACCUCAAGCAUAGUGAGCAAGACAAAGUUGAUGGAUAAUAAGAUCAUGAGUGUAACAUUUAAAACAUUUGUCAGAUCAGAUCACUCAACCUUAUGGAAAGAUAAUCUAUCUAUAUUUAUGUUUAUAUAUAUAUAUAUCUUCCAAAGAUUGAGUAUGCAACAUUUUAGCUCAUAUGAUUAGGAGUGUGGGAUCACUAAGGUGGAAGGACUAAACAUAUUGAAUCGAUUGGGUUGGUUAAUCUAGAAUUGUAAAUCAUACAUGUUUGUCUCUUUUAUUCAUGUGAAUGCCAGAACCAAGGAAAAGCUUAUAGAAGUGAUAGUCAAGUACCUUAAGAUGUUACCUUACUUGAAGAGUGAUGGUACAGUAUUACCUUGUGGAAGCUUUCCUUUCUUAGUGGUUGUGCAUCGUGUUUGUGGCACCCUCCAUGGAUCAUCUCUUGUGAGCUAUGCCUUCCUUGUGUAGAUUGUUAAACUUCAUGUGUCUCUCUCUUUGUCUCCAAUGUGAGUUUGUCUCAGGACUUCCCAGGUCGAUAUUGAAAGUUUUCCUGUAGGGGUUAGUCCAACAAAAUAUCCAAUAUCUACUAUAGCAUACUAUCGGCUCAAAAAUCAACCUAGACACCAUGUCUAAUUUGAUUUAGGAGGGUAUUUUAACCUAAGCACCAUGCUUAAUCUAAAAUCCCUUGGAAGUAAGAUCAUCAUUCCUAGCUAAGGACCAUGCUUAAUUAAGAGAUAAAUGAAACUACUCCAAACCUAGAAAUAUACUAAAGCAAAUAAAGGUGGCAUGAGAGCAUUUAUAGAGAUCUACUCAAGUGGAGAUGAAGUAGUGUGAUUAGUAUUUAACAAAUUGAGCAUGUCUCAAAGGUUGGGACAACCAACAUAACAACAUGGCAAAGGAUGUUUUUAUGUAAGUACUCCCCCAAGCUUGAAUUUUGCAAAAUUCAAGUUUGGAUGAAUUUAAUUCAAUGUUGUAUGAUAGUUGGUUGGACAUACCUUGUGCUUGUCAUUCAUCCGAUCUUCUUGCUCCAAUCCUAGAAAGGUUAGUGACAAGAAUACCCAAAGGAAUAUUUUUACAAUUAUUCUUAUAUGCUCAACACACAAGGUAAUGUUGCAAAUAAUUCAAAGCUCAUGUUACGAUCUGAUCAGUGCUUAUUUUAGGACAUUAAGCUUGUCCUUGGGAAACCAUCAAUUUAUGUCAGCGAAGUGGUUUCCCCUCCAACUCUGACCUAUAUCGAGAUCUACAAUAUUUAAUAUAGACAUAUGCAUCGACAACCGCCCUUUUAAAGUUUUUAUAAAUAGAAAGGAUGAGGGGGUUGGAGAUCUCGAAUGUGGUGAUGUUGGAGAUACCAAUGGAUUGUGAAGAUAUUGCAUAUGAGCAUGGAGUAAAUGAAGUGGCUAUGAAAUAAAUUCCAUGCUCAUUAAUGCUUAGAGUGAAAUCCAUGUGGUAUGGUGAAAAUGAUAAGGUGAGUGUGGUAAAAAAGGAAAAGAAAAAGGAUACACGGACGACUUGGUUCGAAACUAGCACAGCUACCGUUCCCCGGCAACGGCGCCAGAAAGCUUGUUGGGUAUUUUAAACGCAAACAGAAAAAUCCGCAAGCGCACGGAUACCGAUGUAGCUUUCACCCGGGAGUAUUCCAGAGUAUCGAUUUUCCACAGAGAACGUGAGUGUACUAAUUAAGAUCCAAGAUCGCCCAAGGAUAACUAUAUAAGUAUUUUUGGUGGGAAGAGAGGAAGUUUCCUGAGAGUUCUCUAGUUGAUCUAAGAAUCAAGAAUUACUUCAAGAUUAUCUAUAUCGGGACAUCAGAGCACUAACCACAGAAAGAGAUGAGAAGGGGGCUAGGAAGGUCUGACUACGGUCCUACAAACACCGACCCGAACGUGGUGGAAUACAUCGACCGUUAGGGCUGUCACUACCCUAAGGCUACCACAAUAAUCCGCAGGAUUGGGUGCAAUUCCAGGUAAUCGCAAGACUAAACACCACGUCUAAUCUAUUAAUUACUACUCUAAUGUUUCAAAGAUUAGAGCACUUGAUGCAAGCGGGAAUCCAAUAAAUAACUUGAAUGUAAAUAAAAGUAAUUAGAGAACUCAGGAGUUAUGAAUUGAAGAACCUGGAGAACGAUGAAGAACGAACCAGAUGCUGCAAAAGUACAAUGUUGAGGAAGAUCCGACAGAUCCGGCUCCUCCUCCGCUCUCCUCUUCUCUCUCCCUAUUUUCUAGAUUACAACUAGAACUAACUAGAACUAGAACUAGAGGAACUAGAACUAGAACUAGAUGAACUAGAACUAGAUCUAGAUGAACUAGAGGUAGAACUAGAAGAACUAGAGGGAUCCUCUCUACUUGGAUGAAGAAUUGAAACCCUAGCUUUGAUUCUGUAGAAGAGGUAUGAUCUCCAGGGGCCAGGGGGUCUGGUUUUAUAGUCCCUUCAAGUGAAUCUGGGCCGUCGGAUCAAACCGACAUUGAUCGUGUGGUUUUCCUUGAAGUAUUAGGUCGGUGGAGCAUGAUCCUCGAACUUCACCCUGAUUGGUCCAGGAGGGAGGGCGGGCGCCCUCAGGACUAGGGCGGGCGCCCUGUCCCUGAGGCCUCUCGUCUUCCGCUUCGGUCCCGUGGCUUCUGGAGUCUUCUAGAUGAUAGAAAAUUGCGCGGCACAUUAAUAUCUCUAUGUAAACCCGACGUGUGGGCCUUUCCUCCGUAUUUCCUGAUAACCCCCUGCAGAAAUAGACAAACACCAAAACUUGUGGAAUUCUGUCAGAUAAAACCCUAAGUCUAGGUGUUGGUUGCAUUUUGAUCCUUUUCUAUGAUUAGUUGAUGGUUAAAUGUGAGCAUUAAGGACCGUCAACAUGGCCCAGAAGAAGGUAGGAGGGAUAACUUGGUUAGAGAGGAUACACUAGGUAAGACUACUAGGCGAAGAGAGCUUUCCCACUAUGUGUUGCUUCAGGCCCAGAGGUAGAUUCCUGGGUUCAGCCAGGCGAUCCUUCUAUCAGCCCUACUCUAUGACCGAACGUGGGGGAAUACAAGGGAUGACAGGGCUGUCACCACCACUGCCACCUACCUCUCUGCCCGUGGGUCACAGUGCAAACAAAGGUAGACUCUGACUUAGACACCUCGUCCUCGUCCACGUCUUCCGUCUUUAUCAGGAGUCCUCUUACUAGAGCACCCGUCCAAAAGGACGUACGAUGAGUCCACAACAAAUAGCUUUAUGAAAGUAACUUCGCAAAGUAAUCUGGAACCCGAAUGUAAUCACAAACCUCUUACUUCAAGUAGUAAGACGAAUAUAGAGGUCAAGUUGGAGCGAGAGUCGACAGACCCGGCACUUCGUCCACCCUAGAGUAGGACUUGCUUGAUCCCGCUUCUACACUUCAACUCUUUCCUCACUCUCUCUAAUCCCUAAACUAGAAUAGCUAGGAGCUAAUCUAUUGGAAAAGUAGCACUACUCCUUCUAUUCUUCUUCUUGUAUCUUGAUGCUUUGAAAUGUGGAGAGGAGGGACCAAUUUAUAGCUCCAUAGGACGGUUCGUGCUGAUCUAAAUGUGGUACUAGGUGAAACCGUCCUAUGCAUGGCGGCAUGCAACCGCCAGAACAAAGUGGGACCGGGGAACCGCCAGGGGGGUUGCGCCCGCACCUGGUUGCGCCCGCAACCUGGGUGGGCCCCCCUGGCCACCGCCUUCGCGUGGUCGGUUUGUUGUUGGGACUGGACUUCUGCCACGGUCACGGAUGGACCCACCUCGUUUGUUAGGUGGACUUUUCUAUUUUUCUUUGAUUGCGCCUUCUGGAAAUACGUUUUCUUGAAUUAAGGGUCGCCAACAACUCCCCCACAUUUGGUCCUUUACUCGUCCUCGAGUGAAGGCACGUAGGACCAAAUGGGUUCAUCUUCCUUGUCAAAAAGUGUCUGUAUAUGAAUUAUUCCAAGCUUCACCUGAAAAAUUUAUGAACUUCAAAGUGUCUACCAAAAUUAUCUUGGAUAAUUGAAAUAUGGAAUAGCUUGGAUUCAAAUCUUCUUGCAUUGCCCCAGCGCAGAAACUUGGGUUUUUGUGUGUUUUAAAAAAGAAAGAUAGCAUAUGUUCCUUGAAUAAUUCUCUCAAAUCACUCUUAUUUGUAGGUGGUUCCUCUCCAAGGCAUAUGGUUAAUUGCCUUCACUUGAAUCAUCCUAUGUCUAAAGGGAUUAUCUGGAGCUUGGAUAGGAAAAAGUGGCGAGCAUACUUACCCUACAUAUGUUGUCAAGUCAAACCUUAGACCAUGCCGGAGGGAGUACGUCAUACCCUUAGAUCAGAAUGUGCAAGUGUGUGGAGUAUGAGGAAUUUGUGAAAAAUCCUAAUCCUAAAGUUUUUUGAUCACUCCUUUGCAUCAUGACUCUCUUUUAUUUGAAGGAUAAAAAGGAGAUAAACAUAUGGGCUCUAUCACUUAUAUAUAUAUAUAUAUAUAUAUAUUUCAUGACGGGGACUUUUGAUUUUUUUUCUUUCUUUCCCAUCUAUGCCUCUUUGGCUUUCUCUCUUUUUUUACUAUAGCCCAUAUGUUUCGAUGGAUGGUAUCUUGGAAAAUAGAAAGAGAUGUCAUGAUGUCAAAAUGUAAGGAGUGAAUUUUGGGGUUGCGCAAAUCUCGGGGUGAGAAUUUGGCACUUUUAUUUGGUGUAAAACUAAGGCACAAUUCUGAGGAUAAGAAUCGGCAAAAUUUUUGGUGGAUGGAAGGGUGCAUGUUUUGCACGACUUCUCAGUGUAAGAGUCGGCUUUAUUUGGUGGGUGUAAGUGAAUCUCAAUCAUGGGUGCCUUGGUAGGUAAAAGCUCGGAUUAUUCAAGGAACUUGCUAAUAUUUUAUUUUUAUGAAAUAAAUCCCAAGUACUUUGCAAAAACCAGCAAGUAUCAUGUCAUCCUACUAUAUCUCAUACGCCAAUUAUUUAGAUAAAUGGGGUCCCUAUAAAACGGUGUUCAUAAAUCUUCAGGGGUGUUAGCGAGAAAUAAAGAGUAUACAAAACUCUAAUUGAGUAUAGGAUACAUGUUUGAUGGAGUAUGAAGGAAACAUUAUUUUAAAUUUUAUUUUAAGCUUUUUGUAAAAGAUUUUUCGUAAAAGCAAAAGGGAGAGUAUGUGCAAACCGUAGUUGAAGCGUUCCUCCCCCACACUUGUUUUCUUUCCUGUCUUUUAUUAGUAAUAAAGCAUAUACAUAUUUAAGAAAACAAGUGCUUUAUUGAAACAAAACAUUUUAUUGAUAACUUCUCACAGGCACAUUACAAAAGAAGGAAAUUGAAAUAAGCAAAGAAAACAUGUGCCUAUUAUUUUUAGGGGUAAUCUAGAGAUCUAGAACAUGUGCGACCCCUGCUGCCUUAGCGAUCCUGCGCAGAUACUAAGAUGUGUUGAUAUUUGGGAACACAAUAAGGAAUUGAUCCGCAAGCGCACGGAUAUCGGUGAGCACUUCACCCGGGAGGUUAUCUAAAGUAUCGUAUUUAUUUUUUUACCACUAGGAGAAAGAGUGCAUCUGACUAACCUGGUCUAUUACUACUAACCUUUAGGCUACAAAGAAUGUUUCUCGAUGUGAGUGAUAUAUAGAGAAGACUACAACUGUAAUCUCUUUCUAACCUUGGUAAGGAUGAUCUAUUGUUCUAUUGAGGAAGCUUACAGAAUCUAGACACCACAGAGGAUGUUCAACCCGCACCUAUAAACCCUAUCCUUCCUGCUAACGAGAUAUGGUUUGCAAAGGUAACUCGGAAAUGUCACGUUCCUCGCUACUACCACGGUCCAGCUAGUCAGGGGAUAUCUAUGAUUAUCCUAGCCCAAACAUCACGUCUACGCUAGAGAUGAUUACUCUAAACUCUACGCGAAGAGAUUAAAGUAAACUCAUAAACCAAAAGAACAAUAAAACAAGAACUUACUAGAAUUUAGAAGUCGAAAUAUUGAAGAAUCCUAGGAGCAAGCUUCGGGUUAGGAGAACUUGAUCCCGCAGGUACAACCUCGGAGUAGACACCGACAGGCCGUGCUUCCUCCGAUCCACACCUCCACUCUAUCUCUCUCAAUCUACUAGAAACUAAAAGAUCUAAUUCUACUCACAUUGGUUGCUAAGCCCUAAAAAAGUCUAUUUAGAGGAGAGGUAUUCCUUCGAGGGCUCCUCUCAACUCUAUGAUGAACUUGUCUCCUCCAGGGGCCAGGGGGUCUGGUUUUAUAGUCCCCUCAAGUGAACGUGAGCCGUCGGAUCAAACCGACAUUGAUUGAACGGUUAUCCUUGAUCCUUUAGGUCGGUGGAGCUUGGUCCGCGAAAAGAGUUCUGAUUGGAGUCCAGAGGGGGGCGGGUGCCCUGGUCCCUAGGGUGGGCACCCUGGGCCAGGCCCCGUUCGGCCUCCGCUUCAUUCUCGUGGCUUCUGGAGCCUUCUAGAUGGUAGAAAAUUGCGCGGUGCGUUGAUAUCUCUAUGUAAUCCAGACAUGUGGGCCUUUCUUCCUUAUUUCCUGAUAACCCCCUGUAGAAACAGAUAAACAACAAAACUCGUGGAAUUCUGUCAGAUCAAACCCUAAUUCUAGGUGUUGUUUGCAUAUUGGUCCUUUCUCUUGUUUAUUUGAUAAUUAAAAUUGAUACUUAAGAACCGUCAACAAAUACCCCCAUACUUAGGCUUUUACUCGUCCUCGAGAAAAGGAUGGUUAAGAACAAUAUCUAGGGUAAAACAUUUUAAAACAUUUUCUUCAUAUCUGCAGGGUGUUGUAAAAAUUCACUGUAUACUGUAGUCAAGGAAAUAUAUGAUCAAGAGUAGAGGUCCUUUCUUCUCAAUCCUGUCACUUGGAGUUUUUGCAUAUUUUUGAAAAUAAAUUUAGCAUACAUUUUUAUCCUCAUAGGUUCUCUCAGAUCACUCAUUUGUCUUUUAUAUAUCUCACUGAAGCUAUUUUAAUUUGCAAAAAAUCUCAAGCAUACUUACCUUGCAUUUAUUGCCUGAUCAAAAUGGGAUCCGAGGAGGGGAAUGUCAUACUCUUAGAUCAAAGACUUUGGAAAUUAAAAACUUGUCAACUCUUGCUGGCAUAUUGCUUAUUAGAGGGACCAUGGGCUAUUAUUUUCUUUUUCUUCUUUUUUUUAAGUGGAUACCGAGGUACCCCUAAUUCUACUGCCGGACACUUGUCCAUUUUUUUCUACGAGGUUGUCGAGCACUUGCUCCUUUUUAUUUCCUCGAAAUAUCUUUAUUUUUGCAUAGCCCAUGCCUCUAAUGCAAUAAUACUUCGGAAGAGUGAAUCUUUCUGAAUAAAUGUCUUGAUCUUAGGAGCAUGAUAAAUCUCUCAAAAAGGGUCUAACUCAUUUUCAACAAACUCAAUACAGAGUAGAUAGCUUUUAUAAUUAUCAUAUUAAUAUUUUCAGGUUUAUCAGGCAUAUAAAACACUGAGGAUGGUAGCUAGAAUUUUUGAAGAUUUUGAAAUAAAUUCUCCAAGCAACAUUAAGAAACUCAUACGCUACCAUCUCACAUUCCGCAAUGACUUAAGUAACACAGGGUUUUAAAAUGAUUUUUCAGUAAUUGCAAGUUUUCAGGAAAUAUUACAGAGUGAGAUUAAUCAUGAUUAGAAACAUUUUAAUCUUUUUAAUUUAUCAUGUCGGAGACAAUAUUCUGCAUAAUCCAAGAUAUAUAUAUGUGUGUGUAAAGUAAAGUGUGCAGAGUAUGUACCUGAAUUGUGGAGUGGUGUAGUCGAAGUGUGUUUGGCAUGUCGAGGGAUCUCCCCCAUACUUGUUUUCUGCUUUCUUGCAUAAAAAUAAAGUAGAGACACACAAGAAAUAAUAAUAAUACUCUUUAUUAAUCUUGAGGCAUUUAUUACAAAUGACUAGUAGCAAACUGAUGAUAAUAGUAAAAUCUAACCGAAUUUAAAGAUAAAUACUCAAGAUCUAAUCUAGAUAACUUAGCGACGCUCUAAUUCCUUUAUCUUCUUAUUGGCAUUAGCAAGAUCAUGCCUAAGGUCUAGUAUAACGGUGUUGUGGUUAGAGAGCUGUCUAGUGAUGGAGUUAACCGAGGACUGGAGGUCUACGAUAACUCUGUCUAGCCUACGAACGUCCUCAUCAAUAUCUACUAUAGUCUUGCGACGCUUAGGAGGUGUCUCAAAAGUAUUGAGAGCGUGCUUCGGGGCUGCCUUUGGAGGGAUGAAACAGACUUUGGCUGCUCUAAUCCCUUCAAAGUAAGGUCUCUCCUCCUCCGUAGUGUAGCGGAUGCUACUGAUCUCGCCGCUCCGGUUGGUCUUGACUCCAACGACCCUCUCAUUGGGUCUAGGUGGAAGGAUCCUUGUGCCGGUUGGCACCUUGAUGGUGGUCUCCUUCUUGGCUGAUGGUCCCUUGAGAAGUAGGGGUUGUGGCGGUGCGGUGAGAACUGGUUGAGCAUAGUAGGAUUGGGCAGAGCUGCGCUAGCAUAAUGGCAUGGCUUCUAGCUAUAGCUCUGUGUUGUCCGGGACGAGAGCACGGGCGUUGGGGUCUUCCUCAGGCUUCAUGUUGAGGCUGAAGGGGACGACUUCCCAAUCAUCGUGGAACUCUUCGGCCGUUGGAGCAGCGAGGACUAAGCAAGCUCUAAUUGAAAAAGGAGAGAAGGCUUGGAUAGAUUGGUGUUUGAAAACUGACGUCAGGGUCUGUUUAUAUAGGGGUCAAAAAGUGCCUCAAGCGUGUUUCUAGAUGCAAAACUAAUUAGGAAAAUAUAUGUAUGACCCAAAAACGUCAAAUUAAAAGUGUCGGGCUCUAACUCUCCAUGGGAAGGUAAAGUUGGAUUACGUCUAUUUCUUCUAAUUCUUUAUUGGGCUCUAAAAAUAAUUUAAGACGUUGACCAUUUACCUUGAAUAAUGUACCUUCGUCAUUUUGAAGUGUGAUAGCUCCGUGGGAUGAUGAAUUGAUUACCUUGAAUGGUCCUUCCCAUUUACUCCGGAGUUUUCCAUGUCCGAAAAGCUUCACCCUAGAAUUAAUAAGUAAUACCUUAUCUCCAGGUGCGAACUCCUUCUUCUUGAUCCUCUUGUCAUACCACCUUUUGACUCUUUCUUUGUAGAUCUUCGAAUUGUGAUAUGCUUUCUCUCGCCAUUCUUCCAAUUCUGAUAGUUGCAUUCUUCUAUGAUCUCCAGCAACAUCUAGGUCCAUAUUCCAUCUCCUUAUGGCCCAGUGUGCUUUGAAUUCUAGUUCAAGAGGUAGGUGGCAAGUCUUCCCGUACACCAAUUGGUAUGGGGACAUUCCAAUUGGGGUCUUGUAUGCUGUCCGGUAUGCCCAGAGUGCAUCGGGUAACUUGUCUUUCCAUGUCGUUCCCAUUUCAUUCACUGUCUUCUGAAGAAUAUUCUUGAUUUGCUUGUUGGAAGUCUCUGCUUGGCCACUUGUCUGAGGAUGAUAGGGGGUAGCGACGUUGUGACGGAUUCCAUGUUUUGAUAGAUAUUGCUUGAAGCGUUUGUCGAUGAAGUGUGCUCCUCCAUCACUUAUCACUACUCUGGGAACUCCAAAUCUUGGAAAUAUAAUUUCUUCAAACAUCCUCUUUGAACUGAUGUUGUCGGCAUUCUUGCAAGGUAAUGCCUCUACCCACUUGGAUACGUAGUCAACUGCCACCAAGAUGUACUCACACUUCUUUGAUGGAGGAAAUGGACCCAUAUAGUCUAUUCCCUAGACAUCAAAGAGCUCAAUUUGAAGGUUGUUGGUGAGUGGCAUGGCAUCUCUUGUGUUUAUGUUUUCGUGCCUUUGAUAUGGCCCACAUCUUCUGAUAUAUUGCUUCGUUUCUUCAUACAUUGUAGGCCAGUAGAAUUCACACUGCCAAAUCUUUGAAUGUGUACGGAAUGCUCCAUAGUGACCUCCAUAUGGUGAUGAAUGACAUCUGUCGAUGAUCUUCCAUCCUUCCUCAGUGGUCACACACCUCCUAAGUAAGCCAUCAGAGCAUACUCGGAAGAGGUAUGGCUCAUCCCAUAUAUGUGAACGACUUUCUUGAAUAAGCUUCUUCUUUUUUGCUCCUGGUGGUACAUACCCUGAAACCAUAAAAUUAAUCAUAUCUGCAUACCAGGGGUCAGACCUGUUAAUCCCGUAGAGCAUGUCGUCCCGGAGUGAAUCAUUGAUGGGGGUUUCCUGUGGAUUCUUAAAAUACAUCCUAGACAAGUGAUCAGCAACAGAAUUUUCCACUCCCUUUUUAUCUUUUAUUUCUAAGUCAAAUUCUUGAAGUAAUAAGAUCCAUCUAAUCAGGCGAGGUUUAGCAUCUUUUUUAGUGAGCAGAUAUUUUAGUGCAGCAUGAUCAGUGUAAACAAUUAUUUUAGCUCCAACUAAAUAAGAUCUAAAUUUAUCAAUGACAAAGACAACAGCCAGAAGCUCUUUUUUAGUGGUUGCAUAAUUAAGUUGAGCUCCUGUCAAGGUUUUACUGGCAUAUGCAAUUGCAUGAUGCUUCUUAUUUUUAGUUUGUCCCAAAACUGCCCCCACAGCAUAAUCACUAGCAUCACACAUAAUUUCAAAAGGCAACGACCAAUCAGGGGGUUGAAUGAUUGGUGCAGAGAUGAGUGCAUUCUUUAAUAAAUUGAAAGAUGUUAGGCAUGCAUCAUCAAAUUCGAAAGGAGCAUCCUUGGCUAGCAAAAGAGUAAGUGGUCUAGCAAUAAAUGAAAAAUCUUUUAUAAAUCUGCGAUAAAAACUAGCAUCGCCAAGAAAGCUUCGAAUUCCUUUUAUAUUCACAGGUGGAGGUAGUUGUUCAAUUACUUCAAUUUUAGCUUUGUCUACCUCAAUACCUCUUUCAGACACUAGGUGUCCCAGCACUAUUCCUUCCCUAACCAUAAAAUGUCAUUUUUCCCAAUUAAGGACUAAGUGCUUUUCUUCACAUCUUUGCAAAACCUUGUCUAAGUUUUCAAGACAUCUAUCAAAUGUUUUUCCAUAAACAGAGAAAUCAUCCAUGAAAACUUCCAUAAUCUCUUCAAUCAUAUCAGAAAAUAUAGACAUCAUGCAUCUUUGAAAAGAAGCUGGUGCAUUACAUAACCCAAAAGACAUUCUACGGUAAGCAUAAGUUCCAUAUGGGCAUGUAAAAGUGGUUUUGCUUUGAUCAUCGGGAUGGAUCGGGAUCUGGUGAUACCCUGAAUACCCAUCUAAGAAACAGAAGAACGAAUGGUUCGCUAAUCGCUCAAGCAUCUCAUCUAUGAAAGGUAAAGGAAAAUGAUCCUUUCUCGUGGCUUUGUUCAGUUUUCUAUAGUCUAUGCACAUCCGCCAUCCUGUGACGGUGCGUUGCGGAAUUAGCUCGUUCUUUUCAUUCAUAAUGACAGUCAUGCCUCCGUUUUUAGGCACAACUUGAACUGGGCUCACCCACUCACUAUGCGGCACAGGAUAUAUAAUCCCUGCAUGCAACAAUUUUAUAACUUCCUUUUUAACUACCUCUCUCAUAGUGUUGUUAAGUCUGCGUUGGGGUUCUCAAGAAGGUGAAACAGAAGGAUCUAUUGGAAUACGAUGGGUACAAAUCAUAGGACUGAUUCCUGUAAGAUCUUGGAGUGAGUAGCCGAAAACUGAGUGAUGUUUCUCAAGAAUGGUCAUUAAUCGCAGAGUUUGCUCCUGAGUGAGUUUAUCACUAAUGAUCACAAGAAACUCUGGAUUAUUGUUUAGGAAAGCAUAGAUAAGACCGGGUGGUAAAGUUUUAAGCUCUAUGGGAGGUCUAGGCGUUUCUGCAAACUCAUCUAAGGGUUCACGUUCAGAAGGUUCGGCCUCUUCUUCUGUGAAGAAAGGAGUUUCGUCUUCUAAGUCUGCUUCAUCUAAAAGCUCUAGAGAUGCAGCCUUUACCUCCUCCAUAGGAUCAGGCAAAAGAUAUGACUCGGCCUUAUUAUUUAAGGAGUGUGAAAUUGUUAUUGGAAAUUUAAAGGUUUUCCCAAAAGAAAUGUGUAGCUUUCUAGUAUUACCUUCAUAAAGGAGUCUUCUAAAAGGUUGUUCUAUCAACAGGUCAAAGUACCAUGUAUAGAAGUUCAAAUAAACCAUGGAGCCUUCUACCGUAAGAGGUAGGACAUUAAUAAUUCCAAGACUGGGGACUAAUCGUCCCGAAGAUUCCUUUAUGACUUUUGUUGUGGGGGUUAAGACAAGAUUUUUAAAUAAUUUAAGUGCAAAAGAUUCAGACAUGAUGUUGAUCCCCACAACAGGAUUAUAGAGAGCAUCAAAUCGAUGAGAAUCAUAAGCACAGUGUAUAGUUAUAGAGGGUGUGUCCAAACGGAUCACAUCAGAGGAAAGCUCUGAUUCCUCCAACCAUUCGCUACUCAUGACUGCGAUAAGCUCUCUUAAUUUAUAUUCAGUUGGCAAACAAAUGCUAAAAUGGCCGUUUUGGGGUUUGUCUAUAGAAUGGUAUUUUGAAAUGUUUCCAAAAUCGGCAAAAAGAUCUGAUUCUAUAUCCAGCAUGAAGUCAGGUGGUGGAAUUUCUUUCUUUUGUGGCUCAGAACUUGGGAUAGCUAAAGUAGAUGGAGAAUUUGGCAGAGUGUCUACUUUGGCUUUGUGGGUUUCAUCAUGAAGGGUAUUAUCUAUCUCAGCUUCUAGGAUUCUAUCUAGGAUCACUCUAGCAUCAUCAGUAGAGAUGCGAAAGAAAGAACGUCUAGACAUUGUAUGUAGCAUUUGUUUGUGAUCUUCCUGAAGACCUCAAAAAAAUUGAAAUAAAAGAACAGGGUCUUCAAGAUUAAGGUUUGGACCAGAUUCUAAAAGAUCAGAAAAACGUUUCUAGGAUUUUCCCAAAGUUUCAUUAUCUUUUUGUUUAAAAGAUAGGACUUCGAGUCUAAGGUCGCUGAUACGGUCGAGGGAAUAAAAAUCUAAACAAAAGUUGGCUCGUAAAACUCCCCAUUCACCUCGUUGUUGACUUACCUUCUGAUUAUACCAUUGUCUAGCUUCUCCCCUUAAAGAAAAAGGAAAAAGCUUCCAACGUAAAGUUUUAUCAGAAAUGCCUUCAAUGCGAAGACAAUCAUAUGUUUGCUCAAAAUCUCUAAUACGAAGGUAAGGGUUUUCGUCUUCCUUUCCAGAAAAAGAUAGGUUUUGAAUCAUGGCAAUCAACCUGGAACUUAACCUAUACUGGGAUGUUUGAAUAGGCUGUGAUGACUCCAAUGGUAAAAGGUCAGUUACUGAAGGGAUUGCAGAUUCGUGGAUCGAUUUAGAAUUUUGGUUUUUCCAUAAGGUAAGAAUAAAGAAAAUAAAUAAAAAAUAUAAAAGAUAAGAAAAGAUAAAAGUAUAGAUACAAGCUAGUAGUAAGACUCAAGGUUAUCUCAGCAAACCGUCUUUCUCCCCGGCAACGGCGCUAGAAAUGCUUGUUGAUAUUUGGGAACACAAUAAGGAAUUGAUCCGCAAGCGCACGGAUAUCGGUGAGCACUUCACCCGGGAGGUUAUCUAGAGUAUCGUAUUUAUUUUUUUACCACUAGGAGAAAGAGUGCAUCUGACUAACCUGGUCUAUUACUACUAACCUUUAGGCUACAAAGAAUGUUUCUCGAUGUGAGUGAUAUAUAGAGAAGACUACAACUGUAAUCUCUUUCUAACCUUGGUAAGGAUGAUCUAUUGUUCUAUUGAGGAAGCUUACGGAAUCUAGACACCACAGAGGAUGUUCAACCCGCACCUAUAAACCCUAUCCUUCCUGCUAACGAGAUAUGGUUUGCAAAGGUAACUCGGAAAUGUCACGUUCCUCGCUACUACCACAGUCCAGCUAGUCAGGGGAUAUCUAUGAGUAUCCUAGCCCAAACACCACGUCUACGCUAGAGAUGAUUACUCUAAAACUCUACGCGAAGAGAUUAAAGUAAACUCAUAAACCAAAAGAACAAUAAAACAAGAACUUACUAGAAUUUAGAAGUCGAAAUAUUGAAGAAUCCUAGGAGCAAGCUUCGGGUUAGGAGAACUUGAUCCCGCAGGUACAACCUCGGAGUAGACACCGACACGCCGUGCUUCCUCCGAUCCACACCUCCACUCUAUCUCUCUCAAUCUACUAGAAACUAAAAGAUCUAAUUCUACUCACGUUGGUUGCUAAGCUCUAAAAAAGUCUAUUUAGAGGAGAGGUAUUCCUUCGAGGGCUCCUCUCAACUCUAUGAUGAACUUGUCUCCUCCAGGGGCCAGGGGUCUGGUUUUAUAGUCCCCUCAAGUGAACGUGAGCAGUCGGAUCAAACCGACAUUGAUUGAACGGUUAUCCUUGAUCCUUUAGGUCGGUGGAGCUUGGUCCACGAAAAGAGUUCUGAUUGGAGUCCAGAGGGGGGCGGGCGCCCUGGGCCAGGCCCCGUUCGGCCUCCGCUUCGUUCUCGUGGCUUCUGGAGUCUUCUAGAUGGUAGAAAAUUGCACGGUGCGUUGAUAUCUCUAUGUAAUCCCGACAUGUGGGCCUUUCUUCCUUAUUUCCUGAUAACCCCCUGCAGAAAUAGAUAAACAACAAAACUCAUGGAAUUCUGUCAGAUCAAACCCUAAUUCUAGGUGUUGUUUGCAUAUUGGUCCUUUCUCUUGUUUAUUUGAUAAUUAAAAUUGAUACUUAAGAACCGUCAACAAGAUGUGCCUCGGCUACGCGAUCUUAGGCUUUUUCUAUAUUUGCGCGAGCGAUCCUAUUGCUAGUACGGAGUGAGGCGAUGGUUGGCCCUUUGGGCUUCUUUUCAUCCUCACUAUCACUAAAGAAACCUUUGAGAACAUUCUUCUCCUUUCUGAGCCAGAAAGGAUCCUUAGAAGUUUCAUUUUCCUCGGUUCCUUUACGGAAGACCCCCUUAGCAUACCCUCCAUCCGACUUACGUACUCCCCUAAUGGUAUAGGAACGACUAUCCUUUACGGGAGAUGAGAGGGAUGAUACACUAGAGGAUGGGGGCAUGACAGCCGCGCGCUUGCUAAGCCUACUACCACUAGGAGUCUUUCUCUUGACGCCGAGGACACCAGUGGUUUGACGGCCAACGGGCACCUUCUUCUUGGCACCAUUCUUGAGUGAGCGCGCCGUGGAUUUCAAGCUGGACACAUUGCUGAAUUCUAGGCUUGGUGGAGGCAGGAUGGCUAGAGGUGUUUCAAUUGCAGCACGCGGUUCUUCCCUCACAAAAGAGCUCUCAUGGUAUGGGGCUAUGGCUGUUGACGGUCCUUAAUGCUCACAUUUAACCGUCAACUAAUCAUGGAAAAGGAUCCAAAUGCAACCGACACCUAGACUUAGGGUUUUAUCUGACAGAAUUCCACGAGUUUUGGUGUUUGUCUAUUUCUGUAGGGGGUUAUCAUGAGAUAUGGAGGAAAGGCCCACACGUCGGGUUUACAUAGAGAUAUUAACGUGUGCGCCAAUUUUCUAUCAUCUAGAAGACUCCAGAAGCCACGGGAACGAACGGGAGGCCGAGCGGGCCCGGGGGCAGGUCGCCCGCCCUCCCCCCUUGGGCGCCCGCCCUAGCUCAGCAACCAAUCAGGUUGAGUCUCACGGAUUAUGCUCCACCGCCUUUGAGGAUCAAGGAAAACCGUGCGAUUAAGGUCGGUUUGAUCCGAUGGCCCACAUUCAUUUGAAAGGGCUAUAUAAGCAGGCCCCCUGGCCCCUGGAGAACAUACCUCUUCUACAGAAUCAAAGCUAGAGUUUCAAUUCUUCAUCCAAGUAGAGAAGAUCCCUGUAGUUCAUCUAGUUCUAGUUCUAGUUUAUCUAGUUCUAGUUCUAGUUAGUUCUAGUUGUAAUCUAGAAAAUAGGAAGAGAGAAGAGGAGAGCGGAGGAGGAGCCGGAUCUAUCGGAUCUUCCUCAACAUUGUACUUUUGCAGCAACUGGUUCGUUCUUCAUCGUUCUCCAAGUUCUUCAAUUCAUAAUUCCUGAGUUCUUUAAUUACUUUUAUUUAUAUUCAAGUUAUUUAUUGGAUUCCCACUUGCAUCAAGUGCUCUAGUCUUUGAAACGCUAGAGUAGUAAUUAAUAGAUCAGACGUGGUGUUUAGUCUUGCAAUUACCUGGAAUUACACCCAAUCCUACAGAUUGUUGUGGUAGCCCUAGGGUAGUGACAGCCCUAACGGUCGACGUAUUCCACCUCGUUUGGAUCGGUGUUUGUAGGACCGUAGUCAGAGCUUCCUAGCCCCCUUCUCAUCUCUUUCUGUGGUUAGUGUUCUGAUGUCCCAAAAUAAAUAAUCUUUGAAGUAAUUCUUGAUUAUUAGAUCAACUAGAGAACUCUCAGGAAAGUUCCUCUCUUCCCACCAAAAAUAAUUAUAUAGUUAUCCUUGGGCGAUCUUGAAUCUUAAAUAGUACACUCACAUUCCCUGUGGAAAAUUGAUACUCUGGAAUACUCCCGGGUGAAAGCUACAUUGGUAUCCGUGCGCUUAUGGAUUUUUCUGUUUGCGUUUAAAAUACCCAACAAGCUUUCUGGCGCCGUUGCCGGGAACGGUAGCUGUGCUAGUUUCGAACCAAGUCGUCCGUGUAUCCUUUUUCUUUUCCUCUUUUACCAUUCUCACCAUACCACAUGGAUUUCACUCCAAACAUUAAUGACCAUGGAAUUUAUUUCACAGACACUUCGUUUACUCCAUGCUCAUAUGCAACAUCUUCCCAAUAUUUUGGUCUCUCCAACAUCACCACAUUCGAGAUCUCCAACCCCCUCUUCGUUUCUAUUUAUAAAAACUUUAAAAGGGUGGUUAUCGAUGCAUAUGUCUAUAAUAAAUAUUGUAGAUCUUGUUGAGUUGAUAUAGGUCAGCGUUGGAGGGGAAACCACUUCACCGACAUAAAUUGAUGGUUUCCCAAGGACAAGCUUAGUGUCCUAAAAUAAGCACUAAUCAGAUCGUAACAUGAUCUUUUAAUUAUUUGCAACAUUACCUUGUGUAUUGAGCAUAUAAGGAUAAUUGUAAAAAAUUCCUUCGGGUAUUCUUGUCACUAACCUUUCCAGGAUUGGAGCAAGAAGAUCGGAUGAAUGACAAGCACAAGGUAUGUCCAACCAAUCAUCAUACAACAUUGAAUUAAAUUCAUCCAAACUUGAAUUUUGCAAAAUUCAAGCUUGGGGGAGUACUUUACAUAAAAACAUCCUUUGCCAUGUUGCUAUGUUGGUUGUCCCUACCUUUGAGACAUGCUCCAUUUGAUUAAUACUAAUCACACUACUUCAUCUCCACUUGAGUAGAUCUCUAUAAAUGCUCUAAUGCUAUCUUUAUUUGCUUUAGUAUAUGUCUAGGUUUGGAGUAGUUUCAUUUAUCUCUUAAUUAAGCAUGAUGCUUAGUUUAGGAAUGAUGAUCUUACUUCCAAGGGAUUUUAAAUUAAGCAUGGUGCUUAGGUUAAAAUGCCCUCCUAAAUCAAAUUAGACAUGGUGUCUAGGUUGAUUUUUGAGCCGAUAGUAUGCUAUAGUAGAUAUUGGAUAUUUUGUUGGACUAACCCCUGCAGGAAAACUUUCAAUAUCGACCUGGGAAGUCCUGAGAUAAACUCACAUUGGGGACAAAGAGAGAGACACAUGAAGUUUAACAAUUUACACAAGGAAGACAUAGCUCACAAGAGAUGAUCCAUGGAGGGUGCCACAAACACGAUGCAUAACCGCUAAGAAAGGAAAGCUUCCACAAGGUGAUAUUGUACCACCACUCUUCAAGUAAGGUAACAUCUUAAGGUACUUGACUAUCACUUUUAUAAGCUUCUCCUUGGUUCUAGCAUUCACAUGAAUACAAGAGACAAACAUGUAUGAUUUACAACUCUAGAUUAACCAACCCAAUAGAUUCAACAUGUUUAGUCCUUCCACCUUUGUGAUCCCACACUCCUAAUCUUAUGAGCUAAAAUGUUGCACACUCAAUCUUUGGAAGAUAUAUAUAAAAAAACAUAAGUAUAGAUAGAUUAUCUUUCCAUUAGGUUGAGCGAUCUGAUCUGACAAAUGUUUUAAAUGCUACACUCAUGAUCUUAUUAUCCAUCAACUUUGUCUUGCUCACUAUGCUUAAGGUUAGAGAAGAACAAAUACACUUUUGGUUCUAUUGGUGUUUUCCACCAACAGGGCCCAUGCACUUGAUCUCUGCCUUGUCUCUAUGAGCAGGUAUACUUCGAGCAAAAUAUGAAGGAGUUUUACAACUCCCAGACUCCACCAAAUGAAGAACCUGGAUCUAUGAGCACAAACACACUGGAGAUACUGGACACUCAGGCAAUCACUGCCCCGAGAUGCUUGAGGACGUAAACUACAUCAACAACAACUACUACUAUUACAACUGUCCUCAACAAAAUAAAGGUUGGAAUCAACAUAGGCCUAACUACUCAGGUAAUUAUCAAGGUAAUAAUUCUUACAAUAAUAAUAAUAAUAAUAAUUUUCUACCUCUGAGAGAGUUAGUGUCUAAUCAAGGAAAGCUAAUGGAUAACCUAUCUAAGAAAUUGGCAUCUAAUGAUAAAAUGUUAGAAAAUAUAAAUAAUAGAAUGGAUAAUUUCUCUACUGCCAUCAAGAAUCAAAUUAGCUUUAAUAAAAUGAUUGAAUCUCAGUUAAAUCAAAUAGCUGCUGCUGUUCCUGUUACUAACCCCGGUAUACCAUCACAACCGGAAGGAUUAGAAUCUGCAAAUCUUGUGGACAUGUUUGAUGCAGGUAACUACUGGAGUAACCCCGUUGUGGAAGUAAUUACUGACCUUCUGCCGGUCAAGAGAGGCGAUCUAAUAUGCCCCGUCAUCCCGAUCUCCAUCGGCAUGGUGGACUUGCCAGAAGCACUCUGCGACUUUGGCUCCAGCGUCAACAUUAUGCCCAGGCUUACAGAUCGGACACUAAGUUUCCCAAAGGGAAUAUUGAAGAACCUCUGCGUCCGAGUUGGUACCUUGUACGCUCCAGCAGACUUCGUGGUGAUAGAGACGGGUACUAAUGAGAGGGCACCCAUCAUCCUAGGGAGGCCAUUCCUCAACACCUCGGGAGCUGUCAUCUACGUUAGUGCUGCCAAGAUCAGUUUCUACAUCAAGGGGAGCAAGGAGACAUUUUCCUUCAAGAAUAAGACUACACAAAUCUCAGAGCCAUCCCGACAUGAACCACGGAAGAGGACCAACUGGAGGAACAAGAAUAAGCAAAUGUGGACCGAGUCAGCUAAGAUGGUCAUUACAGUUCAAGGAGGUCAAGAUCGUCGACUUAAGUCACCGUUCCUGACAAAAAGGACGACCCAGGUAUGCUAAGCAUCCAGUGCUCCAUUAAUGGAUACAACUUCCAGAAGACACUUUGCGACACCGGGUCAGGCGUCAACAUAAUGGCCGGAAUCACCUAUCAGCUCCUGUUCGGAACCAUGCCCCUAAAACCGACAUACAUUCAGCUCCAGAUGGCAGAUCAGACAUUCCGAAAGGUUGAAGGUACAGUAACUGAUGUCCCUGUCAAAAUAGACGAUCAUUUUGUCCAUACAGAUUUUCAGGUUAUUGACAUGGGAGAAGACGAGUACGAUCCACCCAUCAUCCUUGGAAGACCAUUCCUCAGCACCAUUAAAGCAAUCAUCUACAUUGGAACCAGAGAAGUCCAAAUGCACUUCCCCUCUGAGAAGGUACGCCGCUAUUUUACUGACCCUAACUAUAUAGUUGAAGACUCUAAGCAGGUCAGGACAAGAAGAAGACGACGCAACCGCAACCAGAGGAGGUAAAUCAUCAAGGACGGAUGGGCAGACUACGAAGGAGAAGUGGUAAGGUCUGAAGACAUACAGCUUGAACACAACUGUCUUGAGGAGACCGUAGCACUGAGUCAGGUGUGGAGAGAGAAAAUAGUUAUUCACGAAGAGGAGGCGCCGCCGGAACCAUCGACUACGCCAUCCAACGAAUCCCAUGACGACUGAGAAAACGGAGAGUCCUCGGAGGACUUAAAAACACCGAACGCCUUGCCAAGAGGUAAACUUGGUAGUUAUCCUUUUUCCUUUCACCUAUUUAAAAUAGUUUGCUUAGUUAAUUAGGUUCAUAUAUUCUUGAAAAGAAAAUAAAAAUGUUAAAAAUCGUAAGCCGCAUGUGAGUAUGCUCAUGGCAUAAAACCCAUAAGUACAUUCACUGUGGUGGCGUACAAAUAAAAUAAAUAUAUUCCUGUCCUAUGAAAAUGAAAAUAUAAAAAUAAAUUUAUGAUCCUACAAAAGAGUGUAACAUUUAUUGAGGAGGCUCAACAUGAUAAAGGCUAGAUAUUUAUGCUAACACUUAACUAGUUCCACAACGCUUUGUUGUCUAUUUGAACUCCACAGAAUUCAAGGAUCAAAGAAGACUAGCAGACGGAGGACAUCCUAGGACAUCCUAAUCGCUGUCAGGGUGCUGCCGACAUUCAAAUACACCUCCGUCACCUGCUAGCUACAUUAGGAGAAAUUACGUGAAAAUCCAGCUUGGGGGAGAGCACCCGCAUUUAUCCAGCUAAGUGUUCUACUCAUGUUUAUACUUUACUCAAAUAAUAAAAAGAUGCAUAAUCAUAAAAAUCUAAAUAAAGAUUUUGUGCUUAUAUAUAUAUUUGCUUAGUUUUAUAAAUAAAUAAAUAAUGUUUGCUAUGAACCCUCAUAAUAAGCUCUCACAUGGAAAUGAUGAAUAGUUGCUCUGCCAUGACUAGUUCUCAAAAUUGAAAUCUCUCUCAAGUUUAGGCAUGACUGUUAUUAAUUUAGAUUUGCUCUAAACCUGAACUUGUGGGAAGAGUACUUGAUCUAAAGUCUAAGUCGUUAACGGAUACGAUAUGGUAAGGUUGAGUUGUUGUUUAUCUGUUCCUAGAGAUGCUAGAAUUCUGGAGAAUUUUAUCUUUGAAAAUCUUUAAAAUGUUACAUGAUGAGUUCCUAUAUGAUGAGAGUUUAAAAUCUUACCACAGCCAUAUAUACAUGUUUAUUAGACUAUGAACCAUACAUUUACUUUUUACUGCUUAUGAGCAUUGAGUGUGGUCAAGCUGUGUAGACCUUUAGGAGCUUGUCAUGCGGUUAAAAUCAAGAUUCACUUGCACGUUCACUCAUACAUGCUGCUUCUACUCCGGAAGUACGUAUCCACAUACAUCAUUUCCAUAUCCAGAUUCAUCCAAAAUUAUUCUACUCCUAUCUAGGAGAGAAUAGCCAAAAACAUUAUCCUUAUUCCCCGUGAAAUAAAUGCUCGAGAUAUUUUGGUUACUACCACUUGCUACAUUAUUCGAGGAGGGUGAGUGCUCUGAAAAAAAGUAAAUACGAGGAAAUAAAAAGGGGAAGUGCCCGAAACCUCGAAAAAAAGAAAAAGAAAAAGUGAGACGAGAGGUAAAAAUGGACAAGUGUCCGACAGUAGAAUUAGGGGUACAAGAUACCACCUGAGAGAAAAGAAAAAUAAAAUAUAGAGCAUCUCAUUCCCCUCAAAAGCCUCAAGUGCAAGGAAGGUAUGUACCCCUUCAAAAGAGCAAAAGUAGAAUUAGACUUUCACCAUUAUUUUCACCAUUAUCACCAUUCAUUCGCCACACAUGCACAUCUUGAUUUGACUUAUUGACUUGUUCUUCUGGAUCCAUGGUUUGACUAUGUAAUAAAUGUCUUGUAAGUAUGUAUUAGCUGUCUCCCACCUAUGAGUUCCAGAUAUCAAAACCUUAUUAGAGUAGGGUGAGAGAGAAGGCAAUGCCACUAUACCUCAUACAAAAAAUACCACAUACUUUGAGAGAAGGCAUACACCAUUACUGCCUUGGUAAGGAUCCAGAAAUACCACAAAAGAGAGACUAGAGAGAGUCAUACAAGGAAACUCUGAGUUUUAUUUGAAAAUCUACAAAAACUCCAGAGCUAUAGUUAAUCGAAGAACAAGAGACAUGGCACUUGACUAGACCGUUCUAUCUUUUAACUGCUCAAGACAAGUGAUGGUUGAAAGCCCCAUGGUGGAAGGUAAAAUGAGUAAGUUUAAAUCUUAAUAGUUUACCCUAACCCAGAGAUGAGAUCUUAUUUGAACGCAUGUGUACCUUUAAGACAUGAAACCACUGCAGAAACUCUUGAGUUCAUCUUUGCUCAGGGACGAGCAAAGGUUAAGCUUGGGGGAGCUUGUUGAUGGUCCUUAAUGCUCACAUUUAACUGUCAACUAAUCAUGGAAAAUGAUCCAAAUGCAACCGACACCUAGACUUAGGGUUUUAUCUAACAGAAUUCCACGAGUUUUGGUGUUUGUCUAUUUCUGCAGAGGGUUAUCAGGAAAUAUGGAGGAAAGGCCCACACGUUGGGUUUACAUAGAGAUAUUAACAGGUGCGCCAAUUUUCUAUCAUCUAGAAGACUCCAGAAGUAGACUUAGUUUUCUAAUUCUGAUAACGGUGCCAAAAAUGCCAAACCUAUCCCUCAUACCACUUAAGCCAAGUUGUCAUCCCCAGCAUGAUAUGAGAGACGCGGUAUUGAAAUAUGCAAUUGCUCUUCUAAAUAAAUAAUGAAUGGGAUCUGCAAGCGCACAGAUUAAUACCGAUGUAGCAUUUUAACCGGGAAGUAUUCCAGGUAUCGUUAUUUAUAUUUUUACCACUGGGAAGGGAUUAGCAAUCAUCACUAUUGAUUACAGAAUAGAAUAUGAGAUUGAGUAUCUAUCAUUGCAUGUAUAAUUGAAAACAUUUAUCUAACUCUUUCAUACAGGGAUAAAUGUCACAUAAAAGAUAUAUGAAGUAAUGAAUAGUGACAAAGAUAAUUAAUCUGAUCUAGCACAUAAUAAAUAUGAUAAGCACCUCAAUUAGAUACUCUAGAAAGUCAUUAGCAUGGUAUUAGAACGAACUACAAGAAUAUUUCCUAAGUUAUUCUCAACUAUAUAGUCUAGCAUUACCAUAAUUAGUGCAAGCAUACUUAGCAAUCAUUGCGAGACAAGACUACGCCCAUGCAUAGUGAUAUUAGCAAGGUAAAUGAGAAACAUAGCAAUCACUCCCCUGUAAUAAUGUUGCUCUGCCUGCCCAAUACACGAGAGGGGGACUAUAUAUUGAAGCUGCCACUAUCACGAACUACCCCACGAUCUGGCAUAUUGGGUACAAUCGCAGAUAAAUACGGUAUAAGCACCAUGCCUACACAAUAUCUAUCAUUUACCCAUGGAUCCGAUGGAUAAAUGCUAUACGAUCCUAAGCAUGUAUAUAGAUCCAAUCUAACUAAGCCAAGUACAUAACUAUGAUAAACUAAGAACAAUAUAAUCUUG
rnacentral:lncRNA from 1 species